rnacentral:lncRNA from 1 species
CCCAAAUAUUGAUCAGUUAUAUAUAUAUAUUCAUGAUAUGAUAAAAGCAAAGACAUAUUGCAACAUUAACUGUCCCUUAAACAAAAAUUGGUUUUAAAGUAAAAAAGAAACAUAUAAAACCAGUCUACCUUUAAUAUGAAUUGACAUAUAAAUACUGUACUUAUACCUUUGUUUGAGAUGCUUUCAAUUCUGUUCCAACUUAAAUCCAAGUAUUUCAAGUUUGACAAAUUAUUCAAUCCUGAAAUUCAAUCCCAAAUAUUGAUUAGUUAUAUAUAUUCAUCGUAUGAUAAAAUCAAACUUGAACAUACAUUGAUUUUUAAAUCAAGGAUGAAAGAUUUCUCAUAUGAAACAAAAUGCUAUUCUUCAAAGAAUUCCCACUUAAAUCAAGAGUUUCCAAGUUAUUGAGUCUUGAAAGCAAUUGAAAACCUGAUAUAUAUAUUUACUUGUUAAUUGUUUUUUCUUUCUUAGCCAUAUGAAAAUUUUACUAAAGCAAAAGUGGAAUUACGACGGAUAAAAAGAAUGGAAAACUAGGUACCAAGCCUAGAAGACCAUCCUCAAACUCCACUAUACAAAUAAAAACUAACAGCAGACCAAACUUAAUUUACCUCUUUGAUGACCUGAUCCUUCAAAUUUGUUGAUUGAUAGAUCUAAAUACCGGAGAGAUGAAAGCUCACUCAAAGAUAACAAAAUGCUAUCAUUCAAGUAAUUGAAACUUAAGUCAAGGAUCUCCAAAUUACUCAAUGUGGAUGAUAGUUUUCCAAAGCCUAUAGAAAUAUUCUUUUAAAUAUAUACAAGUUAGUGACUUUUCUUCCAUAAAAUAAAAUAAAAUAUAAGUAAUUGCAAAUUAACGAUGGUAAGAGUAGUGGGAUAAUAAAAGAUGUAAUUAAGGAAAAACUAGAGGCACGACCUUCAUUUUCAAGGUUACCACUUAUGGCAUUCCCCCGCAAAUAAAGACUCUUCAAUUCCUCAAAGGGAAGAAACAUAGAGGUAUUGAGAUACCAGGCAUUGAGAUUCCUAUUAUCCGUUUUGUAUCCCAUACUGUCAAACCAUCUUGUAGAAUUAAGGGAGAGUUGUAUGAGUCUCCUAGUGGUGGUGUUACACUCAACUCUUUCCCAUUUACAACAAUCUGAACCCUUCACCUCAACCCAACUUUGCAAUUGAUUUUGAUAAUUGAAGAAAGGCUUGAGAUGCAAGAGAGCGAUUCUCUCAUGCUCCAAACAAGCAUCAGUAGUACACCAUCUGCAUCCUUCUAACACCAACAACAUUACUGCCAUCCUAAUAAGCCUUAACCAUUUCCACUCCAUCAUCAUCAUCUCUCUGUUUUCACUUCUCUCUCAGUUAUAUGUUACUUUUUGUUAACUUCUAUAUGUAAAUAAUCUAAAGCAGCCUAACCUUCUUAUUUAUAUACAAGCAGAACAUACUGGAUCCCACUAAUUCACUAUAAUGUAAAAAUAAUAUAUAAUUAAUUAAUUCCUCAAAAAUUGGAUCAAAAUCUAGGCUUUUUAUUUACGUAAAUUCCUUAUUGCAAAAACUCCUGGUGGAAAUUCGUUAGGAAAGGAUGAAUGGACCACAAGAAUGUUGAUGUUAAUCUUGAAAAACGAAUGGCCAAAAAAAUAUGAAAAGUGAGAGGUGGACAUAAAAUCUUGUGGUUGGGGUUGCAAAAGUCUUCAUGUGGCUUUCUUGUGAGCUUCAUUUAUACCCUUCUUACACAUAUACAAACUUAGUCUUGACUUGGCUUUAUUAAUGGAAAAUUUAGGUCUUCAUUUUUGGUUUCAUUCAUGGAAAUUUUACUUCUUUGAUUUUGAUUUUGCUUUUAUUCUUGCACAUUUUAGGUUUUGAUUUUGAAAAUUUAGUUUUUUUCAUCUCUAUUAUUAUAAAAUUUCUUGAUUUAAUUAAUAUCAUGAGUUAAUUUAAUAUUUUAAAAAAUAAAAUAUUACAUUCACUAUUUUUAAAAAAAUAGGAGUAACUAUAAAAUUUAAUUAUUUAUAUAAUAUUUUUAUAAAAAAACUAUUUAUUUCUACUAGACCACUACUUUAAAACUAUCAAUUAUCAUAUAACUUCUCUUUAAUAAUUCACUAUUCUUUGAACAUUCAUUAGUUUUUGAAACAUAAAAUUUAUAAAUAAUUAUUUUUAAAAUGACUUGAGUUUUACUUGAAUCAUUUUUGUAAUUAGUUAAUUAAAUUGGGUUAUUUUUAAAAAAAAUCCUCUUAACUAAUAGCAAAAAAAAAAAAAGAAAAAAAAAAGCCAUCAUGUAGAAAAUUCUGGUUUGUUGGAAAGAUAAAGACUUGCACCAUUACUUUAAAUUUUGAAAUGUUCAACUUGAUAUUGACAUCUGAUAAUAUGUACAAAUUUCUCAUUGUUUUGAAUUUUAGUGAUAUUACACAUAUGAUAAUAUGUUUGUCACACCAAAUUUUGAAAUAGUAGAACUUAAUGAAUUUAACAAAUACUUAAUGAAUUUAAGAAAUAUCUAAAAUAUCAAAUUAAAGUCUAGGAAUUAAAUCUACAACUUCAGUAAAGUACAAGAACUAUUGUAGAAUUAAACCUUUAUAUAAUAAUUUCCUUCUAUGAACCACAAUUCAAGUGCACCCCACAAGCAACAUUAAAAAAUUGGCAUGUGUCUAUUUUUUUAAAAAUAUUUAUUUUUUUAAUAUUAUAUACUACACCUCUAUAGGAUACGUGUCAAUCCUUUAACUCUCCUUAUGGAAUUUAAAAACUCCACUAACAAUGUACCAAAUAUUAAUCCUAAUUAUUAUACUAUUCAUGGAUAAAGAUAAAAUAUAAUAUUUGCUUAAAAAUCUCAAUUAUAUAUAUUUGGUCACCCAUUGUGAUGUAAUAUAGCACCGUCUACAAAAUAGUUGGAGGAAAGUGUUAAGAAAAUAUCAUUACAUAUAUCAACAUUCGCAUAAUUCAUUGCAUUAACUUUCAAAUGUUAACUAUUGACUUCUGCGUCAACUUUGAGCUUAUAUAGGUCCCCCUCAUGGAAAUUGAGAAAAACAAAUUAAUAUGUAUAUUCUUGUGGGUGGAAAUUUAGUGGAGAUGCCCAUCAUCUUUCCUAAUUAAUAAAAAUGAAGACUUAGAAAAUGUGCAAUCAUAAUCCUAGUCGUCGUUAUGGCCCCAAGAAUAGUUAUCUUAAUUUGUCUCUCUUCAGGAUUAAAGAUAAAAAAUAAAUUUUAUAAAGUUAGAACUAUAAUUUUAUAAUUAUAUUAACAUAUAAUUUCAUAAAAUUUUAAAAAUGUAUCUUUUAAUUUUUUAAUUAAAUUGAUAAUUCGUUAACUCAUAAUAUUAUUUUAUUUUUCAAAAUAUUUACGAGAACGAGUUCGUAUUCUAUUGUGUGGAAAAUUUUAGUACAGAUUAUUAAGUUAUUGGAGAAGCCAAAUCCAACUUGUUUGACCAAGAAAGUUUUUGUCGCGUGGAAAAUGGACAUUACCAUUUCCUUGAAUGACCUUCAAUUUAAUGUAUUCACACCAAAUUUCAUUAAUGAGUAAAACAAAUAAUGAAUAAUAAUGAAAAUUGGAGGAAAUUGUUAAGAAAUUAUUAUUACAUAUAUCAACAGUCACAUAAUUCAUUGUAUUAACUUUCAAAUGUUGACUAUUGACUUUUACAUCAACCUUGAGCUUAUAUAGGCCCCCCUCACGGAAAUAAUCUCAUAAUUAAUGCCUGAAAAAUUAUUAUACAUCAAUUUACAGUUUUAAUCCCUAGACUUACUCAAUUGAAUUAAAAUUUUAGUUUUUAUUAUUUAAUUUGAACUAUUACUUUAGAUUUUGAAAUGUUCAACUUGAUAUUACAAAUUUCUCAUUCUUUUGAAUUUUAGUGAUAUUACACCUAUGAUAAUAUGUUUGCCACACCAAAUUUAGAAAUAGUAGGACUUAAUGAAUUUAAUAAAUAUCUAAAAUAUCAAAUUAAAGUCUAGAAAUUAAAUCUACAACUUCAGUAAAGUACAAGAACUAUGGUAGAAUUAAACCUUUAUAUAAUAAUUUUCUUCUAUGAACCACAAUUCAAGUGCAUCCCACAAGCAACAUUAAAAAAUUAAAAUGUGUCUAUUUUUUUAAAAUAUAUUUUUUUUAAUAUUAUAUACUACACAUAUAUAGUAUACGUGUCAAUCCUCUAACUCUACUUAUGGGAUUUAAAAAAUCCAGCAACAAUGUACGAAAUAUUAAUCCUAAUUAUUAUACUGUUCAUGGAUAAAGAUAAACUAUAAUAUUUGCUUAAAAACCUCAAUUAUAUACAUUUGGUGACCCAUUGUGACGUAAUAUAGCACCAUCUACAAAGUAGUUGGAGGAAAUUGUUAAGAAAAUAUCAUUACAUAUAUCCAACAGUCACAUAAUUCAUUGCAUUAACUUUCAAAUGUUGACUAUUGACUUCACGUCAACUUUGAGCUUAUAUAGGCCCCCUCCUCAUGGAAAUAAUGUCACAAUUAAUGCUUGAGAAAUUAUUAUACAUCAAUUUAUAGUUUUAAACCCUAUACUUACUCAUUUGAAUUAAAAUUUUAGUUUCAAUUUGAUAUAUUUUGUUCCUCUUAUUAAUAUUAAUGUUAUAGAUUUAUUAAAAUAACUAACAUUAUUAAUUCUCUAACAUUUAAAAAUUAAAAUUAUGUGGUUAUUAAAAUUAUGAUGCUAAAUUGAGAAUUAAAAAUUAUCAAGUUUUAAAUGAUCUCGGGAAUUAAGAAGAGAUCGUGUCCUAACUUAUUGGGCAUGAUCCUUUUUUUUCUCAAGUUUUAAAUGAUCUCAGGAAUUAAGAAAAGAUCGUGUCCUAACUUACUGGGCAUGAUCCUUUUUUUUUUAAAAUCUAAGAUAGCUAAAUAUUUUUUAAAUAAGUAAAUUUUUGGCAUUCAUUCGCGCAUCGGGAAUUCAAGACAUUGUGUCCUAACUUACUGGAUAUAAUUCUCUUUCUCGAUUAAUGUGAAUUAUGGCUUUUUCCCGAAAAUUUUCAACAUUUCAAUAAAGGAUCGUAUUUUAAAUCUCUUUAAAGUUUUCAAUCUUCGAUACUAAGACAUUAAUUAAUCAACUAGGUACCAAUUUUGGGCGUAACGAGGGUGCUAAUCUUUCCUCGUACGUAACCGACUCCCAAACCUGUUUUUCUGAAUUUCGUGGACCAAAAUUAUUAUUUUAUUAAAAUUAAAUUGUUUAUUAAAAAUAACCACUUUUCAAGGUGGCCCGAUCACACCUUAUCAAAAAGGAUUGGUGGCGACUUCCAUAUUCGUUUUCAUUUUUUAAAAUCCAAGUCGACCCCGUUUUCACAAAAAAAAAAAGUGUCAACAAUUAUAUUAAUAUAUAAUUUCAUAAAUUCUUUAAAAAAAAUUGUAUCUUUUAAUUUUUUAAAUUAAUUUAGUAAUUCAUUAACUCAUAAUAUUAAAUUUUUUAUUUUUCAAAAUAUUUACGAGAACGAGUUCGUAUUCUAUUGUGUCGAAACUUUUAGUACAGAUUAUUAAGUUAUUGGUGAAGCCAAAUCCAACUUGUUUGACCAAGAAAGUUUCAGUCGUGUGGAAAAUUUUAGUUUUGUGGAAAAUAUAGAUUAACUUCUAUAUAUGUAUGUAAUCUAAAGAAGCCUAAGCUUCUUAUUUAAUUAUAUACAAGCAGAAGAUAUUGCAUCCCACUAAUUCACUAUAAUAUAAAAAUAAUAUAUGAUUAAUUAAUUCCUCAAAAAUUGGAUCAAUCUAGGCUUCUUAUUUACGUAAAUUCCUUAUUGCAAAAACUCUCGAUGGAAAUUCGUUAAGAAAGGAUGAAUGGACCACAAAAAUGCUUAUCAACUCUUGACUUUGGCGUUCAAUGCUAAGUUCAUUUUAAAAUUCUUUCAUGGAGAGAAGAUGGGAUGACAAGAAUGAUAAGUUUUAAGUCAUUUAAGUUUACACAAAAUUUUAAUCACUCACAAAAAAUCAGUCUUGAUAUUCUAUUAAAAAAUUUAAACAUGGCUUAACGUUGAUUUUAAAUCUAAUGUCGAUGUCAAUCUUGAAAAACGAAUGGCCAAAAAAAUAUGAAAAGUGAGAGGUGGACAUAAAAUCGUGUAGUUGGGGUUAUAAAAUUCUUCAUGUGGACAUAAUAUAUUUUUUAUGCCCUUCUUACACUUAUAUAAAGUUAGUCUUGAUUUCGCUUUAUUAAUGGAAAUUUUAGUUCUUCAUUUUUUGUUUUAUUCAUGGACAUAAUAUUUAUUUUUAUUUUUUAUUUUUGUGUUAUGGUCUAUGUUCGAGGUUUAUGGCUAUCCCCUUUCAACAACGUCGUCUCAACGGUUCAAACAUACACUUGCAGGUAAAAUAAUACUUUUUAAAAUCACAAAUAUUUGAAAUAAUAUAUUGCAGCUAUAUAAAUGCUUUCUUGUUUAAGAUACUAAUAAAGUAAUUAACAAAGUAAUUAUUAUACCUAUAAUAAUUCAAAAUGCCACUUGUUAUCUAAUGAAGUAUAGGGGUGCAAAUGAGACAUCCGUACCCGCAAGCUAUUCGAAUUCGGCUCAAAAAAUUUUGAAUUUGAUUCGGUAAUUAUUGCGCCGAGCUAUAGGUCGAUCCGGAUUCAAGCUUAGUAAUACUUGACUCGAGUAGUUUGGGAGCCUUAUUGAACUUUUCAUAUUUUUAUAUUAUUAGAUUACAUUAUUGCCUUUAAUAUAUAUUGUUAACCCUAAGUUUAAUUAUUGAGGCGAGCUCGAACUCGAGUACAAAAAUUGAUAAACAGAUUUAAUUUCGAGCUUAAAAAUAUAUGUUCAAUCGAGUAUCAAGCUUUGAAUUUCAAAUUAAACUUGAGUUUAACCGUAUUGAGUUCGAAUAGAUUCAAUUACACCCUACAAUAAAAUAUACCAACAAAACCUACAUUCCAUAUUUGCUUAAAAACUUUGCUGUAAAUUUUAUAUAUGUGUGUGUUUAACGUGAGUUCCAUCUAUGUCCAACUUGAUGACGAUGAAAGUUCCUAUGGUGUAAAAAGUUUUAGUUAUGUGGAAAAAUAAGGUCUUCUCUUCACACGUUUAAUAUGCUUACUUGUGACGGUCAUUUCGGGCUUGACAUCAAUUUUCAAAAUGUUCUAAUUGGUGGAAAACUUACGUCUGCUUUUAUGAUUCUUUCAAGUCAAUUGGAGAAUGCCUCUGUUACACUUCAAAAGAAGUAGAUUUUGAACUCAACAUGAACCUGUGAGAUUUGAUGCCUAAAAUAUAGGUAUAAGGUUUCAAUUCAAGGAAAUGUUGGAAGUCCAGGAAAUUUCUUAGUCUCCUCUCUUUGGAUGUUUUUGAACAAAAAUGUUUUAAGUCUCUUCCGAUGCUAAACUUCUGAUUGGUCGUCGGUUCACUGACCCUUUGGUACACAGCAAUAUGAAGCAUUGGCCAUUCAAGGCCAUUGCUGGUCCUGGUGAUAAGCCAAUGAUUGUACUACUAUAGAUUUGAAAUGAUUGUACACAUCUGAUCGGCUCUUUGUAAAUUUAAAUCUUACAAAUUCGGAUAAUAUUCGAAUUUAAAUAUUUCAAUUACUAUCUGCAAUAGAUUAAAAACAAACGUGAUUAUCAAUCCUUGGAUAUCCACAUACAGAUUAUGCAAUACAAUCUCUUAAGGCAUAUAGAAUUUGGGUCUUAACCAAGCUAUGUUGCUUAAAAGCUUGCUAAAAGCACCCCUAACAAAGGGGUAAAUAAAUAAAAUAUCAAGCACCAGUUAUCAAAGCAGAUUGACCACCUUAUAUCUAUGUAUGCUACUACAAAACUUGCACCAUUAAAAUCUCAAGCUGGUAAUUGGAGCUUCAUGUUAUUCUUGCAGCUGCAGGCAUAAUAAUCAAAUAAGUUGCAAUCAUUCACAUAGGUACUAUGAAGUGCUUUCCAGAGCGUGAGAAACCUCUGGAAGUAAUAGUAGAAGAAAUCAGCAUAAAGCAAUGUCUGGACAAGACCGCAAAUCCAAGCUGAUCAAAGGCAUCAAUCAUGUAAACUAGGUGUUAGAAAUAACAAAUAUAGCAUAGAAUAUAACAAAUAAUGAAUAACAAUGAAUAGUACACGUUACCAUUUCCUUGAAUGACCUUCAAUUUCUCCAUUGAGAUAUAGUAAGAGGGAGUGGAAUAGAUGUAAGGUAAUAUUUGAUGUAUUCGGUAAAUGAAUAAUAACACCACAUUCCAUUAAUGAGUAAAACAGAUAAUGAAUAAUAAUGGAAGUUUUAUAAAAUAAAAAUAAAUUAAAUCAUAUACAUAUAAUGUAUUAAAUCUUAUUCGUGAAGUUCACAAUGAACAAAAUACUAAUCCAUAAUGGAGAAAAAUAACCUAAACUUUAAACAUUUGUUCAUUACUAUAAACAUAUGUACAACUUUUUAAAGGUUUUAUAUAAACUAUUAAAAGGUAUAAACACUCUCAUAAAAAUAUAUUAUUAAGUACGUCUUCUUUUACUAGGAAAGUUCCUAUCCUGUAGAAAAAUGUAGUUUUGUGAAAAAAGGUCUUCUAUGCACUAAUUUGUGGCAAUCACAUGGGGUUUGGGAAUUUCAAUUUUGAUAGCCAACCGAGAUUCACUAAAUUUAAAUUUUAUUAUGAUUAAUUACGCUCUUCGUUUUGGAGAAAUAGGUAAUCACAACAACUAAUUUAAUUAAAUGUAAUUUAAUAAUUAAUUUUUUUAUAAUUUAAUUACAUUAACUAUAUUUAAAUUUAAUAUUUAGUAUUUAUAUUUUAAUUUAACAUAAUUUAAUUCACUUACUUUUAUAAUAUUAUUAGUUCGUCUAAAUAGUUGACACCUUUAAUUAAUUCUUAUUAAAAUGUUAAAAAUGUUUAUACUUAUUUUCCAUGUUAAAAUAUAUAUUUUUUUGUGCUUUUAAAAACAAAAUUUCACAAUAUCAUUUCCCGAUAUAAAAAUUAAAUCUCAAAUUAAUUUAUAUUUUUGUAUUUUUUUAUAACUAAUGUUAUCAAGAACUCUUAAUAGUGCAACUGAUUCCACCAUAAUAUUUAUAUUCUUUAAAUAUGAUUUACAAUUUAUGUUUGGAGUUCGUGACUGUCAUUCUUAAUAAUGUCAUUUCUAAUGUUCGAACAUGCAUCUCCCCUUGAGAAUGCAAUAUUCAUUACUAUUGCACCUAAUUAUUUUGAUAAUUUAAUUUUAAAUAUUGACAUAAAAAUAUUUUUAAAUAUAUUAUUAAUAAAUUUAAUUAAGAUUAUAAAACUUGAGGUUUUUUUUAAUUCUUCAAAAAUGUCAUUUAUUUAUUUUUGGCCAAAAAAUGCCAUUUAUUUAACUCUAAUAUGUGCUUUUAUGUUUUAUUUUAAAAAUAUAUGAAAUUCUAAUGAUAGUUAUAUUACAUAUUUUUUAAUUUUAAAUAUCAUUGUUCUUUUAUAAUUUGUUUCAAGUAUGAAAUGAUAUAAUUUUUUUUAGUAUCUAUCACAAUAACCUUUACUAAGAAUUGAAACUAAAUUUCUAAAUUUUGAACAAAAAUGAAAGUUUAAUUAAAUGAUACAUUGGUGGAUUCAUUACCCCUCAUAUCUAGUUCCCUUAAGUUGAUAAAUGUUUCCAAAUCUAGGAAAACAAAAAACAACAAAAUCAACUUCAUUAUAUUCUCUUCCAACAUUAUUAUAUUCUUGUUAAAAAUCUAAUAUUUUUACCUUUCAAUCCAUUGCCCCAUAUGCUCAAAGAUUUCAAAUUUGAAAGCUUCUUAAGGGAUGCAAAUACACUAGUAUUGAACUGAUUUCCAUCUAAAUAAAGCUCUUCCAAGUGGGUCAACUCUAAUUUUCGACCACCAUCAAUAAAAGAUUUAUAUAAUUUCAUCACUAAAAUGAAUUGGCAUAAACUUUUAUUAUAUAUAAGAAUUUAGGUAAUUGGUUAAAUAUAAAUGCAUACCAUUUAAGGAUUGAAAGCUUUCAAUUUCAUUCCAACUUAAAUCGAGUUUCUUCAAAUUUGUUAAAUUGCUCAAUCCUAUACAUAUCCUCAUCCAAUUCAAAAUCUGAAAUUAGUAAAGAUAAAAUUGCACAUUGACCCCCUAAAAUUGAUAAAAAUUUAAUUUAAUUCUUUAAAAAUUAUAAACAUAUGUAGCGACCUAAAAAUUUCGGCACGGGCGCUAGUCGAAGUAAUUAUUGUAAAUUUGAAAACUGAAUCUCGAUUUUAUUUGAAAAAGGAGUCGCCACCGAUAUUUUUUCUAGGUGUGAUCGGACACCUACAAAAUUCUCUUUUUAGAAGAAAAAAUUAUUUUUAAACUUUUCUAAAAAAGAGGUAAUUUUAGGUCCACGUAAAAAUCCAGAGAAAAUUAGGGUCCGGGAGUCGGUUACGCGCGAGGAAGGUAUUAGCACCCUCGCAACGCCCAAAAUUGGUAUCUCGUUAAACGCGUGUUGUCUUCAUUUUCAAAAAUACGAGUUCAAUUUAAUAUUAGUCGUGAUCCGAUUGAACACGAGAAUUUUAAAGCGCAACAACUUUUUCUUUUUUGAAAACACGAAAAUUUUAAAAUACAAGAAUUUUAGAAACACAAAACUUUUUUUUUAAAAAAAACACGAAGAAUUUAAAACACGAGAUUUUUUAUUUUUAUUUUUGAAAACACGAUUCUUCUUUUUGAAACACGAAAAUUUUUAAAACAGAAAAUUUGUUUUUGAAAACAUAAAUUUUUUGAUAAAAUACGAAACACGAGAAAUUUUGAAGACAUGAAAAUUUUUGAAACACAAUUUUUCUUUAAAAAAUACCGUAUUUAACACGAAUCGAUGAUAUUCAUCCCGAUAUGGCGAUGAAACCAUCGAAUUAGUGUUAACUCAAUUCAAUUUAAUAUUUAAUCGGGAUUCUAAUAAAACACGAGAAUUUUUAUUAAAAUACGAGGAUUUUUGAAUAUUUUUAUUUUUAAAAGGGUGUCCCGAAUUUAACACGAGCUAUCGAUAUCCACCCAACAUAGCGAUGAAUUCGAUGACUUGAUGCUAAAUCGGUUCGUUGCCUUAUGCAUUAAAAUAUUAUUAUUUUUAAAAAAAAUAUGCAAUUAAAAUGACAUAAUAAUAUUUAUGAAAACUGUUUUAAAGCAUACUAAUUUAAAUUAAAUAAAACACCAUUUAAAUAAAUAAAAUAAAAUAAAAUAGAUUAAAAAGAAAAAAAGAAAAAAAUUACCCAAAAGCCCAAAGUUAUGGGCUUAAAUUUUGGGCCUCCCCUUUUAUUAUUUUUUUUGCUGUUGGGCUNNNNNNNNNNNNNNNNNNNNNNNNNNNNNNNNNNNNNNNNNNNNNNNNNNNNNNNNNNNNNNNNNNNNNNNNNNNNNNNNNNNNNNNNNNNNNNNNNNNNNNNNNNNNNNNNNNNNNNNNNNNNNNNNNNNNNNNNNNNNNNNNNNNNNNNNNNNNNNNNNNNNNNNNNNNNNNNNNNNNNNNNNNNNNNNNNNNNNNNNNNNNNNNNNNNNNNNNNNNNNNNNNNNNNNNNNNNNNNNNNNNNNNNNNNNNNNNNNNNNNNNNNNNNNNNNNNNNNNNNNNNNNNNNNNNNNNNNNNNNNNNNNNNNNNNNNNNNNNNNNNNNNNNNNNNNNNNNNNNNNNNNNNNNNNNNNNNNNNNNNNNNNNNNNNNNNNNNNNNNNNNNNNNNNNNNNNNNNNNNNNNNNNNNNNNNNNNNNNNNNNNNNNNNNNNNNNNNNNNNNNNNNNNNNNNNNNNNNNNNNNNNNNNNNNNNNNNNNNNNNNNNNNNNNNNNNNNNNNNNCUCUUUUUACUUAAUUAUUUAUCAAUUUACACUAGUUCGAGUUUUUGUAACAGUAUCAUGGAGACUUAUGUACUAGGAGUUAGAUUGUAUUUUGCCUCUUUUACUCAAAAAAUGAGUAAAUUAAUCCUUGUACGUUAAAUCAAUGAGCAAACUAGUCCUUUUAGUUAACAUUUUCAUUCAUUUUUACUAUUAAAAAUUGGAGUGACUAACGAAAUAACCAGAUAGUUACACAUUACAUGCCAAGGGUGAAGCCAGAAAAUUCUUUUAGGGGGCCGAAAUUAAAUUUUAAUUUUUAAUAGCUUAUAUCUUUAUAAUUUUUAAAUGAUUAAAUCAAAUUUUUAUCAUUUUUAGGAGGGGACUAAAGUGUAAUUUUAUCUUUACUAGUUUAAAUUUCUAAAAUUUCUAAAAAGCCUAAAUGGAUAAUUUUCAAUUUUAGAGGGGUCAGGGCCCUUGCCAGCCUCCCUAGAUACGCCACUGUGGCAUGCCACAUGUACCUCAUGUCAGCAUACAUGAACCCGUUUUUAACAGUUAAAAUGGAUGAAUUUUUUAGUAGAAGGAUUAAUUUUCUCAUUUUUUGAGUAGAGGAAAGAAAAUGCAAUCCAAUGCCUAAUACAAGGGCCUCUAUGUCUUUCAUUAUUACUCAAUUAUUUGUCAUCAAAAGUUGUAUAUGUUCAAAUAUAAAUACAAUAAAACACAUAUGUAGUUAUUAAACAUAUCAUGCUAAUGUCAUUGUUUCUUCUUUAUCCAAAAUUAUUGGACUUAUAAAAUUCUUGAGAAUAAGAAAACCCCAUUAAACUUCCUUUUAAGUAAAACGUGUGUUCAAAAUCUUGAACUAGGUUUAUGCAGCAAUAGAAAUUCACAAGCUGUUUUUUUUAUACAUGAGAUGUGAAUCUCAAAAUUUUAGGGUUUCUGAUCUCAUAUAUUUUGGGUCCAGAUUUAAUGCUAAGGAUUUGUUGAGAAAGUUGAAAGGGAAGAAAAUGAUGUUCAUUGGGGAUUCACUAAGCUUGAAUCAAUGGCAGUCUCUAACAUGCAUGUUGCAUGCAUUUUUGCCACAAUCAAACUACACUGUUCACAGAGAAGGGAACCUUUCGACCUUUUAUUUGCCUGUGAGUUGCCAAAUCUAGUAGCUAUUUUAUUUCCUUCUUAUAAUUAAAACUUUUCAAUGUCACCUUUAGAAGGUAGCUGCAUGAAUCAAAUGAGUUAAAUCAAAUAGACUAAUUACUAUUGUUUGGCAAAAAUACCGAGUAGACCUUUUUAAAAAUAGUUAUUAUACUUUUAUUACAACAAAAUAAGCAGGGGUGAACCUAAAAUUUUUUUUAGCAGGAUAGAAAUUUAAUUAUAAUUUUUUCAUAGAUCAAAAUAUAAAUUUAUUAUGAAUUAAUUUAUAAUUUUAUCAUUUUUAAAGGGAUUAAACAGAAAUCAUUUCAUUUUUAUGGGGGUUAAAGUGUAAUUUUACUAUAUAUUAAUUUAUAAUUUCUUUAUUUAUAAGACUAGAAAAAAUUUUCAUGGGGGCCAAAGUACAAUUUUACUAUAUAUUAAUUUAUAAUUUCUCUAGUUAUAAAAGAACUAAAUUAAAAACUUUUCAUUUUUUAGGGGGGCCAAGGCCCUGCCUACCCCUUUCAGAUUAUUCGCCUCUGAUAAUAAGCCAUUAAACUUUAAUUUAUAACCGUUACCAUUAAUUUUUAACUUAUAUCCAAAUAACCCCUUACCAUUUUAUUUAUACUCAAAAUAAAAUUUAACAUAAAUAAAGGUGAGAGAGGGGCCUUGGCCUAUUGGUUAAAAUAGAAAAUUUUCAUUUAGGUCCAAAGGUAAAGCCAAAAAAUCAUUUUAGGGGGUUGGAAAUGAAUAAUAAAUUUUUGGGGAGACUAAUAUUGCAAUUUUAUCAUUAUAUCAACUUAUAAUUUCAUAAAUUUUGAAAAGAUUAAAAGACAAAUUUAUCAAUUUUUGGGGUUGUCUACUCUCCUGAGUUGGUCUCUAUUGAAAAUUAAUAAUUCCAUAAAAUAUAGCUUUCCUAAAUUUAUAAUUUUAGCUCGACCCUAAAUAUAAAAUUCUUUGCUUUACCCCUGAUAUUAAAUCAAAAGAUAGAAACUUAUUAUGUUACUAUAAGAAUAUAGGGAUUUAUUUAGCAAAAGCAAACUAUUUCAAGGACUUUUUUGGUAGUUUGCACUUAUAGUUGGUAUUAGUUAGAAUUAAGUGCCAAGAUUAAGUUUCCUUUGAGAUAUAUAGUUGGUUAAGCAAUUUAAUAUAAGUGGAAAUUUAGACCCCUAAGUUAUACCCUUCAUGCAUUUGGACAACUGUGUUGAGCCAAAAAAAAAAUUGCAGGAGUAUGAAGUUUCGUUGAUGCUAUCACGCAAUGCAUUUCUUGUGGAUAUUGUCCAAGAAAAGAUUGGCACCGUUCUGAAGCUUGAUUACAUUAAAAACGGCGAAUCAUGGAAAGGAUAUGACUUUCUCAUCUUCAAUACCUGGCAUUGGUGGCUCCACACUGGAAGAAAACAACCGUAAGCAAAACAUAAUUUCAGCAAUUAAAACCCGAUUUUUUAAUUGCAUCCCGAGUAGAUUUGUAAACAAAUACAACACUCGAAUUGGGUUGGGUUUGAACCGGAAUAUCAUUCCUAUAGUUUUGAUUAGACCUGUAGUUUAAAAGUUAAUUAUUUAUUUAAGUUUGAAAAUUCGUUUGAAAUUUAGAAGAAUAUUUAGAUAAAAAUAUUAGACUUCAUAAAUGAGCUUGAGUAAAAAAAUUAAACCCGUUUUUAAUAUGGGUUAAGCUUAAGCUCAAAAAAGUUAAGGAUCCAGACAUGUUGAUGAACUUAAAAUGAAUUUGCGAUAACUAUUUACAAAUAUUAGUAUGUUGGAGCAAAAUUUUAAGCCAUUGUUUGGUCCAACUAAAUUUAGGCAAAUAUAAAGUGCGUUAAUAUCAUGCUUAAAAUUGAUUCAAACUGAUCCCAACCCAUAACCACUUCUAAUUCUGAUUAGUUUGACUCAACCUUUUUAUUCUUUUAAAUACUUAUAAAAUCUCUUAUCCAAUUAUAUUUAUAUUUGAGCAAAAAAUGAUGUAUGUAUGUAUGUAUGUAUGUAUGUAACUUGAAAAAUGAAUUGGAUAUUAGAUGGGAUUUCAUUGAAUCAAGAGGAAAGGUGAAGAAAGACAUGGAUCGUAUGGCUGCAUAUAGAGAGGCACUAAGAACAUGGUCAAAAUGGGUGGAUUCCAAUGUUAACACUACAACUACCCAAGUGUUUUUUCAAGGCAUUUCUCCGACUCAUUUCAAGUAAGCUUUAGCUCUUCUCUUCUCUUCUCUUACCAUUUGCAUUAACUUCCUUGUUCUUAUUUUACUUAAAAGAAAUGGAAUUAUGAAAAAAAUUGAAAGCCAUUUUUUUUCCAAUAGAACUUAAUUCAUUUUAAUCCCAUCAGAUUUGGUUCAAAUUAGAGGUGUUUAUAAGUUGGUGAGUCAAUCGGCUUAGUUCGCUUUAGACUGCACUUGAAGUUAAGUUUUCAAGUUUCGAGCCAGAUUAGCCUUACUUGUUUUAUUAGUCGAAGAAAACUAUUUUUAAUUGUUUUAUAAACAAUGAAAAUGGACCAUUUAGGUAAGCUUAAGUUUGGAAAAUUUUUGAAAUUGGGCUUAAACUUGACUUGGAAAAUGAACACUUAUAGUUGAAAGAAACUCAUUUGUCAUAAAGCACAAAUACUUUUAUGAUUAGAGACGUUAAUGGGCUUGAACUUAAAUUUUCUUUUUGGUUUAAGCUUGGUUCGAGUUGAAAACUCGUAUUGUUUAAAAUAUUUCUAAUAUAUUAUUGUUUAAAAUAUUUCAUAAAUAUUUUCAAAAUGAAAUAUGUGUAAGAAUCAUAAAUUCAAGCUGUAGUGUUUCCUCAUAUAAAUUAUGAAUCACUCUAAAUAUCUCAAAGAGAAAAUGACAGUUCAUUGACAUCUAUAUAAAGAUUUUUUUUUUUAAAAUAAAAAUCAACAAGUCUCUUACGUUAUCCAUAUAUAAUAUGUGGAUGUACAAUUAUAAACUUCACCUCAAACAAUUUGGUAUUUUGAUCCACAAUUUUGACAGUGGCAAAGAAUGGAAUGGUACCAAAUCAACAACUUGCACACAUCAAAUCAGACCGGCUACCGAUUUAACGUACGAAAGUGAUCCACCUCCGGAAGUGACGAUCGUAAAGGAAGUGCUAAAAAACAUGUCGACGCCGGUGGUUUUGCUCGACAUAACCAGAUUAUCACAGCUGAGGAAAGAUGGUCACCCAUCAAUUUAUACUGGUCUAAAAGGAAAUGAUUGUAGUCAUUGGUGCCUAGCUGGUGUUCCUGAUACAUGGAAUGAAAUCUUAUAUGCAAUUCUUACAAGUAGGAAAACUUAAUUCAAGAUUAUAAUUUUUUUUUCAAUUUAAUGUAUUUAGUUAAUAAAAAUUAAUUUCCCAUUAAUAGAUGAAGAAUUUUAAAUUUAAUAACAUAGGUGUAGCCAUCAAUUUAAUGUAUUUUUUACCCGAACCCAAAUUAAGUCAAGCUCAAACCAAUGGAAAACCUACAAUAUUAUUCAUAAUAAUAUUGAAACUUUAGAUUUUUUUAUUAGUAUUAUAUAUUUUAAUAAUUAAUUUUAAAUAUUUUUAUUAAUAAAUAGUAUUCAGGUCGCGCCAGCCCAAUUUAAAAGAUAUUUAACUCAAUAUAAAUUCAACAUAUUAAAUGAAUAAUUCAAAUGUCAAAAUGAGCAAAGGAAAAUCUAGAGUUGUAAGCUUUGCAACUUUAAAUUGGACAUGAGAGUUUCUUUUAUUGGAUACAUGCCACAUUAUUUUUUAACAAAAUUCCUUUAUUUUAUCAAUUGAAUUUAAAUUAUUAUAUUAAUAAAAUUAUUUAAUUAUUUAAUUGUGUUUCAACCUUUUACAUAAAAUAAAAUUUUCUCUUUUAACUUUUUCAUCAUUUAAUUUUUCACUUUUUAAAAUCACCCUCAAUUUCAAAUAUAAAUUUACUUGUGUAAAAAAAAAUCUAAAUCUGUUAAUUGCAUCUAGAACUUUUCAGAGUUGGUCUUGUCAAAAUUUUAAGUCUAUUUGCUAGGCCCAAGUUUGGCCUAAAAAAUAGACUUAAAAUUUUGUCUAAAUUUAACCCGGAUAAAAUAUUAAAAUCAGGCUCGACUCAACUCACCUGAAUUAAUUUUUCUAUAAAAAUAUUAAAAAUAAUAGGUCAAAAUACUAAAAAUAUUAAAAUAAAUAUUUUUUAAUAAUUUAAAAAUAAAUUUAAAAAUAUUUAUACUUAGAUAAAAUUAACAAUAAAAUAAUUUUUUAAUGUUUAUUAAAAAAUGGGCCGGACCGGGCUCGGGCUUAUGAUAUUUUUCCCGGGCCGGGCCUGGAAAAAUAUCAGGCCCAUAUUUCGAGCCGGGCCAAAAAAAAUUUCUGGGCCCGACCCGGCCCAUGGACAGGUCUAAUCUUAGACCUUUUCAGUGUUGGUCUUGUCAAAAUUUUAAGUCUGUUUGCUAGGCCCAGGUUUGGCCUAAAAAAUAGACUUAAAAUUUUGUCUAAUUUUGACCCGAAUAAAAUGUUAAAACCAGACUUAGACUCAACCCACUUGAAUUAAUUUUUUAUAUAAAAAUAUUAAAAAUAAUACGUCAAAAUAUUAAAAAUAUUAAAAUAAAUGUUUCCUAAUAAUUUAAAAAUAAAUUUAAAAAUAUUUAUACUUAGAUAAAAUUAACAAUAAAAUAAGAGUUAUAUAAUAUAUAAAUAAUAAUAAAAUAAUAGUAACAACAAGAAAAUAGUAAUUUUUUGUCUUUUUGUUAAUUCAUAUCGGACCGGGCUUAACCCGGUUGAGAACGGUACUUAUAUUUGUACAAAAAAAAAAUCAAAAAAAAAUGUGAACGGUACUUAACCCGGUUGAGUCGGAGCUCCAUGACCCGAACAGCAAUUUAUUUUUCAAUUCUUCUUCGUUACGCAAAAAGGAAAAAAAAAAAAACAGCUCAUGAAAAUGGCAUGGUCAAAUACUCUGCUUCAGAUUCACAUCAAAUCCCCUUCGAUCCCUUCUCUCCAUUUCCCACAUUCCCUCCCAAAAAGCUCCCCAUUCCUUCUUAAUCCUAACCCUAUAAAUCCCAUUCCCAGAUCCCUCAGAAUGCAAUUCCUUCACAGACCCAACGCUGUCCCACUCGUAUCAAGAGCCAUGGACAUCAUCCAAUCGUCUCCUCCCACGUGGCAAUCCGCAGUCCUCAGUAACCUCUUGAUCUUCGUCGUCGGCACCCCACUUUUAGUGGCGGGGCUUUCUCUCUCCGGAAUUUGUGCUGCGUUCUUGCUUGGCACUCUCACUUGGCGCGCUUUUGGCUCCCCUGGGUUUCUCCUCGUUGCUUCGUACUUCGUUAUUGUGAGUUGCUAAUAAUAUAUUAUGAAUUGUAGCUGAAUUAUGGGAAUUAAGUUAAAUUUUGGAAAUUGGGUUUUGAUUUUGUAUCCAUCUGGUAUUAAAAGUUGCUUGCUUUGGAGAAUUAGCUGUCAUUGUUUGGUAGUAUGGCAAGGAAAAUAAACUUAAUUUAUGUCGAAAGGUUACUUUUUAAUUAGUUAGCUAUUCAAGUUUGAUUAGUUGUAUUUAGAGAAAUUGAUUGUACUAGGUGAAAUGAGAUCAAAAGAUUAACAAAAGUUACUUGAUGGUUUCUAGCUUUUUAGCUGAAAUAAAGUCCUGUAUGAAAUGAUAUAAUAUUUUAGUUUUCUAUUAUGGCUUGUUUUCCUUGCAAAGUAUGAAUCUUGAAUUAGUUCCUGCCUCCCUCUUCUAAUUCUCCUUACCCAUUUCUAGUUGAAAGUUAAUUGAAAUUCCAUGUGAUUUUGUGUUAUAAUUCCAGUUCAUAAUCUGAAUGGAGACAAUAAAUUUGGAUGAAGGAGCUUUAAGCAGUGGGAAAAAUCCAUAAUAAUUUGUAAUUCUCUAAAUCUCUAAACAAUCUUACAUCUCUUUGUCAUGCCUUUCAAACAUAGUUGGUAUAACUAUGUUCAAUUGUCUUAGCUAUUGUUUAAUCAUUUUUAAUUUUUCAUUCCCCCUGCUCCCCCAAAAAAAAAUGUUUGUCUGAGCAAUGAGUCUUUCUCAAAAUCAAUUUCCAAGGCCAUUUUAUUUGAUUAUGACUUUGUGAGUAAAACAUGUUUGUAUUUGUUAGGGAACCGCAGUAACAAAAGUGAAAAUGGCUCAAAAGGAGGCCCAAGGGAUUGCUGAGAAGAGGAAAGGAAGAAGAGGACCUGGGAGUGUAAUUGGGUCCAGUGCUGCUGGUUGUGUAUGUGCUGUUCUAACAAUAUAUGGAGUUGGAGGAGAGGCAUUUACACGUCUUUGGCAACUUGGUUUUAUUGCUAGUUUCUGUACUAAGUUGAGUGAUACAGUGUCCAGUGAGAUUGGGAAAGCAUAUGGCAAAACAACGUAAGUAGUGCAUCUCUGUUUGUUAAUGUAUAGGCGCUUUAGAUUAACUGUAUUAAUAAUUCUCCUUAGUUCAUUCUAAAGAAAGGAUAUUUCAAAUCAAGUGGAAUUUAGAUCCCUUAUGGUUCUUGCUAUAUUCGAGCUCUAUUAUUGUCAUAUAUGCUGGUGAUAAAGGUCGCUUUGACAUCCUAUAUAGAAACAAAAUUUGUGAGUGUUAAUAUUGCCUCAAAUCUUUUUUUUUUUCUUCAAAGGUUUAUGUCAAUUGCUACUCUCUUUUUUUUUUACUGUUAAACUACACUUUAGAAUUGCAAAUAUAAAGUGUGUGAUGUGCCAAAAUGAACAGGUACCUGGUGACAAACUUUCAGAUUGUUCCUAGGGGAACAGAAGGAGCUGUCAGUGUUGAAGGAACUGUUGCUGGACUUCUAGCAUCUAUACUGCUUGCCACUAUUGGUUGUCUAUUGGGUGAGGUAGUACUUGCUAUGUACUCAUACUAUGUGAAUAAUUUGUUCUGCCAUUCAUGAUACCAUUUUUUUUUAAUAACAAGCAUUAUUGUGAUCAUUACAAAAUGUUUACACCUUGUAAGAACCUGGAAUUUUUUCUAGUCUCUGCAACAAUAGACUAAUUGGUGGGGUGGUGCCUAGAUGGAAUGAUUUUGCAGAUAUAAUUUGUUGAAGGUGUUUUUCAAAGGGAACUCUUAGCAAAAUAGCAGAUCAUGAUAUAUUUAUAAAUUGAUUUUGACAUCUCAGUUUAGGCGUGUACGACCUUUGUGAGCAUUAUUUUGCUGGGAACUUAAAUUUCAAUUUAAUAUAGUUCAGGUAUUACAAUUUGGUAAAUUGGAUAAUAUUUUCAAGGGGAAGGAGAAUUAAAUUAGUUGAAACCGAUUUUUAUUGUUAGUGGUUUUUUGUAUGUGAGUGGAUGAGGUUGUCUCUCUAGCCUUGCUGCAUCUUUAGCUAGGAUUUUCUCAAAAAUCUUGUAUAUAUCCCUAAGGUUAUGGUGUUGUUCAUAGUAUUGACGCCAUAACCUCUAUACACUUUCAAACUGAAUAUGAUCAACAGCUUCUAGAGAAUGCAUAAAUGAAAUAUGGGUAUUUGAAUUUAUAGAGAUGUUCUAAGCUUCUGUUUUUUGCUUUUUCAUUUAUCUUUGCAAGCAGAUAAAUGUACCUGAGGUAUUGAUAUGUGUAAUAGCAUCCCAGAUUGCUAAUCUUGGUGAGAGCAUAAUUGGUGCUGCAUUCCAAGGGAAAGAAGGAUUUCGUUGGGUAAGGAAUCAUUUGAAUAAUAGGAUGGUUUCUGUCAUCCUGUUUUCUUAACCAUUUUUUCUUAAAUUUAGUGCCUAUGUAUCUUCUAGAUUUUAGUGUUACCGAUGAAUCAGGCUUGAUUCUAUAUGAAUGUAUGGUUUGAUGUGGUAUAUCGAUGAGAUGAUUACAUGUAUAUCAUUUUGUGGACUCUCAUCAUGUUUGGAUCUGGCUGCACUCCUAAAGCUGUAGUGAGGAAGAAUUAUAUACCCACUGUUUUGGGGUAAAGAAGAUCGAAGAGUAAAUUUAGAGAGAUCAGCCUGUUAUAAAACUGCCUGCUAAGGAUUAAUUCUAGUCUUAAUUUUCAUUCGAUGAAAUCACGGUAUUGUGCAUGUAAAAGGCUGUUAUGUUGGUCUGAUUCUUCUUUUUGCUUUGAAGUAUCCAUGUUCAACAUAUAGUCACACAAGAAAUAUGGAGAUAUGACCUUCAAGAUACAUGAUAAACUUUAGCACAAAUCUCUAUCAGACACUUACCUGAAUUUGAGCGAAAUAUCUGGGUUGGCCAUAUAUAAAUCUGCCUAGGAUCUAUCAUCUUAGCAUGUUUAUAUGCUUUUCAUUAUAAGGCUGAAACUUGGAUUCUUUUACCAUAUUGAUUUUGGUUUUCAUCUUGCAGCUGAACAAUGAUGCUGUUAAUGUCAUCAACAUAUCCAUAGGCUGCAUUUUGGCAGUCUUAAUGCAACAACUACUCCAAAACUGGCAAAUGUAAGUUCACCCCAUCAUCUCUUUUGCGAUGUCAGGUAAUUAUUGCAGAGUUCAUCGACACUGCAAUCGACAUAUUGCAAUGUGGGGAAAGAAAAGAAGAAGAAGAAAGAGAAAGUCUUCAAUGUAAUGCAAGAGAUGAGCACAAAGGUGCAACAAUUAUAGCAAUGAUUUUGCUAACCUUGAAAGAUACUCAAAUGAUAUGGAAAAUCAUUAGCAUAACCAUUUGUUCCAUGAGUAUAUUUUAAAAAGGCUUCUCUCUUUUAUAGUCUUGGUAUUCAAAGAUGUAUUCCUUUUAUCAAUCUCCAGUUAGAAAUGAAUUAGAUGCUUUUUAAAUUGCAUUUCUUAACCAAAAUUAUUGGCUUUUUUUUUAUUGUUGUUGAGCCGCACUGGAUUUAUGGGUGUAAUUGAAGCACAAGCUUGACUUGGAACUUUUAUGUUCAAAGUUCGGCCCGGGCCCAAGCUUGAGUUCAAUUAAGCCAUUUGUGAAUAUAUCAACCAAUUGUUCCUUUGUAAAGACAUGUCUAGUUUGGACUAAACCAUCUUGGAUUUUUUUUACAAGGUGAGAGUCAAUCUCUAUAUGUUUCGUUCUCUCGUAGUAUUCAGGGUUGGUUGCAAUCUGAAUUGCUGCUUGACUAUCAUAGAAUAAUAUGAUUGGUUCUACUCGUUUAAAUCCAAGUUCCUUCAGUAGUCCAGUCAACCAAACUAACUCAGCCAUAGUUCUAUACUUUGCCUUUGCUGAAGAUCGUGAUACUGCAUUUUGUUUUGUUUUGUUUUUUCCAAGAGAUGAGACUUAAAACUUCUGGAGGAUGGUCAGGAUGGGUGUUUGGUUUACAAGGUAAAGAAAACGGUGAAGGUGGAGUUUGUGAGGUUUUCUUUUUACCUUUCCCUUUGGAGGAGGAUGAAGGUUGGAUCAUGAAAUUUUCUGGAAGUUUUUCUGGUGGUCUAGAAAGAAUGUCUGCAAGAACAUUGGUUUUCCCUUUUAUGUGGAGGACAUUCUGUCACUAAUCGCUUUGACAUUGGACUUGAAGCCCAAUUCGAAUCACAAUAUGCUACAAGUUAUGGAGAACCAACUACAGCACAGAAUAAACCUUGUCCUGGAUCCUUUUUAAUGUAUCUGACUAUUCUAAGAGCAGCUUUAUAAUGCGACUUCUUGGGUCGUUGCAUAAACUGACUGGAUGUUGUACCACAAACGUCAUAUCUAGCCUUGUAUGAGUCAAGUACAAAAGCCUUCUAAUAAGCCUUUGAUAUAAUGAAACAUCUGUCAAUACCUCAUCAUCAUGAUUCAUUUGCACCAUCUCAUCUUACUGGAGAUGUCAAGUUUUGAUUUUGUUCUAAAGGAGUGACAACUAUCUUUCCUCCCCCUUACCUCGUGUCUGAAAUUAAUUCAAGAGCAUAUUUGCGUUGAUUCAGUACAAUUUCAAACUGUGAUCUUGUGAUUUCAAUGCCAAGAAAAUACUUUGAGAUCACCUAAAUCUUUCAUUUUGAAAUUUUGAUGCACAGUUCCUUUAAGCUCAUUUAUAAGCUUGGUAUCAUUUCCAGAAAUCAACAAAUCGUUAACAUAUAUCAACAUGACAACCAGCUUAUAACCUUUCUUCUUGAUAAAACGAGAAUAAUCGUACUUACUUUGUGAAUAACCAUUUAGAAGAAUAGCUUUAGUAAGCUUUAGAUUCCACUGUCAGACUUAGCAAUUGACAUACUCUAGUCUCUCUUUGAUUGCGAAAAUCGUCUGGAAGAGUCAUAUAAACCUUCUCAUGUAAAUCUCCUUGCAUUAUAGGCAUCCAUUUGAAACAAGGGCCAACCAAACUAUACAGCAAGAGCAAUGACCGUGCAAAUUGUGACUUGCUUCGCAACAGGGGAAAGUGUCAUGAAAAUAAAAAACCUGCCUGCUGAGUAUAACCCUUCCUAACAAGUCUGGCUUUAAAUCUUUCAACCGAGCCAUCAGAGCUGUACUUGACCUUGUAGACCCAUAUGCAACCAAUGGGCGUUUUACUAGGAGGUAAAGGAACUACCUCCCACGUGACAUUUGAUUCCAAUGCUUGAAUUUCUUGAUCCAUGGCCUUUAUCCAAUGUUUAUCCUUAAUUGCUUCACUUUAGGUUUAAGGUUCAAUAAUAUGGGAAAUGGAGGCAGCAAAAAAUUGUGUAUGCAAAGGUAAAUGAGCAUCAGCUAUACAAUUAGAUAUAGGGUACUAACCUUUAUGGAGUGAAGAAGAUAAAGAAGAGCAAUUUAAAUCUUUCAUCCAUGUAGGAUCCUUAAAAGAACGAGUAGUGCGAUGUAAAGACAGCUGGUAAGGUAGUAGACUACGAAGGUAAUAAGGACUGGUUGGGAAAUGGAGCUGAAGAACGACAAGGAGCUAAGGAUGAACAUUUCAAAUGGGAUUUUUCCAAUUCAAAGCUGAAGUAGGUAAUCUGUUAACAAUAUAACAAGCAGCAAGGAUACACUCGCCCCAAAAUUUGGUAGGUACAUUAGACUGAACUUUGAAAGCACAUGCUAUUUCUAACAAAUGUCGAUGCACACAAGAACUUUGAUGUAUUAUGCCUAAGAAGAAAAAAAAGGAGUAUAUUCAGAGUUAAAGAACUCAGUACUUAUGACUUCCAAAAGUUUUAACAACAGUUGAAAAUUGCGUGUGAACCAAGGCUAUAAACUGUUUCAAAAUGACAAUAGUGUCGGUUUUAAGCUUAAACAGAUGAACCAAAGAAAAAGGAGAAUCCGCUCGAGAAUAACUAAUAGGAAAUGGCAAUCGUGUUUGUUUAGUAAGAGGACGAACAUGGCAUGGACUAAUAUAGUCACUGUUCCAAAAUGAAAGAAACAUGGCCAAGUCCGGCAUGCCAAAGGAAAGACUGAUCAUGAGAUGUCAAAAAGGAAGAAAUGGGAGAAGAUACAAAAGAUGGCAAUUGAGGCUGUUGAUGCACCAGAAUGUAAAGAUCAUUCUGUUCUUUACCAAUCCCCUUCACUUGUCCACUGCAAAGUUGCCGUAAAAGGCAAAAAUCGGGAUAAAAGGAUACAAAACAAUGUAAGUCUCGAGUUAACUUGAAAACGAAAAUUAAAUUGAAAUGAAAGUCUGGGACAUGAAGGGCAUUGGUUAACUUGAUAGAGGAGGACAAGACAUAGGAACCCAUGUGAGUAAUAGGGACGGAUUUACCAGUGGGAAAUUGGACAAAUGAAGAAUGAAAAGUAAAAGGAACAAGAGAAUCCAAAUAUUGGCAAUCAGAUAUCAUGUGGUUGGUGGCCCUCGUCUCCAAAAUCCAUUGGAAAGAUGCAGGCCAAGAAACCAUACCUGCCAUGUGAGCAGCUACUCCAACAGUUGAAGUGAACUCAAGACUGAGUAAAUUCAAGAUCAGUAGAUACUGUGCCUGAAUAAACACAGGUGCAAAUACUAUGGUAGCAUUGUUAGUCAUAGUUGACCUUUGUUUUGUAAAUUUAAAAUCAACAGGAUACCCAAUAAGCUUCUAACAAGUUUCCCGUUUGUGACCUUUAAUCUUUCAAUGGUCACACACAUCUUUCAAUGGUCACAGAAUACAAUGUUGUAGGUUCAGAAGGAAAAGAUAUGCCAGAAGAAUGUUGUCUUUGAGCUUCCUCUUGAACAAGCACGGAAUUAGCUUAAUUAACAGAAGGUAAGGGUUCCAUUAACAAAACCUGACUUCCAACAACAGCAUAAGAAUCAUUCAGGCCCAUCAGAAACUGAAAUAACCACUGUUGUUGAAUAAGUUGUUGAUUCAUGCGGGAAUUUUCACAAGAAAAAGAACCAAAGCAUCGUAAUCCCACAAAAGCUUCAAUCGUGUAAACAAAACUGAAACAGAGUAAGUACCUUGAGCAUGGGAAGCAAUCUCACCAUGAAGAACCAUCGACUUUCUCAUAUCGUUCUUGAAGUUCUUUCCAUGUUGACAAAAAUAAACUGUGCGGUAUAAUUAUAUAAUUAACGUCGCUCAAAAUUAACAUAAAAUUUCAAUAUUUGUAAAUUCGAAUAAAGAAGGUGAAAUUCAAUUAUAUUACUUUAUAUACUCAGUGCUUUCUAUGUAAAUUAUUUUCAUUAUUUUAAAUAUAAAAUGUUUAUAUUAACAUGAUAAAAAAUAAAUUAAAUUAUAAAUUAAAUAAAAAAUAAAAUUCAGUUUUAGUUACAUUCAAAUACUCGAUUUUUGGGGUUUUCUGCGCCCUAAUAGUAGGAAAAGAAAAUUCUCAUCAAACCCUAAAGCCCAUAAAAGAAAAAGUGAGAAGUUUAGUUGAUCUAUCAGAAUCUCAAGCACUCACCCUUAAUUUGCAGUAAGUUGCGAGUCUGCAAUUCUUUAGACCCCUUUUCUCAAUUGAUUUUCUUCUUUAACCAAUCGUUUCUCUCGCGCUCUGUUUCUUUUAGGAUGGCCGAUGAACAUAUUUCCACAGUCCUGGAGCAGCUACGACGAAUCAUGGCCGACGAAAGAUUUCGGAACUCGGAGUUUCAGAUAAACUUGCUUGUAUGGAGACUCGAAGCUUUUCAAUCUAUGAUUCUUUAACAUGGGGACGGGCUAUUUUCGGUUCGGCUAUUGGAGCGUGGGAUUACUGUUCAUGCACUCGAUCAAGUGCUAUAUAACAUAGAAGAUGUAAUUAACGACGUCUUACAUUUAGGAGUAUCUACUGAAUUAGCAGCAGCAGGCCUUGAGAAGUUUGCUUCUACUCAAUCAAAAGCAGCAUCAGCAGAAACAGCCACUCUUUACAUCUUGCGCAAGAGGUUGGAAGAAUUGGAGGAGGUAUUGAUUGGUAAUCCGCAUGAAUCGCAUCCCUUGCACUCUAAACGAUCUUUUUUUGUAAAAUUGUCAAAGUUAUAUGGUCUAGAUGUGGUUAAGAAAGAUAUAAUAAAUGUAAUUUUGGGUGAAAGUUUCAGGGAUAGUAGCGACAGCAUUAAAACCAUCAUUAUUGUUGGCAUGGAAGGAACGGGGAAAACAUAUCUUGCGCGGUGCAUUUGUACUGAUUGUCAAGUUCUGGAAAUUUUUGACAACAUAAUUUGGGUGAAUGUUUCGGAUGAUUUUGAUUUAGGUAAAAUUGCAAGAAAAAUUAUUCUGUCUCUUGAAGGUUUGGAGCAUGACUCUUUGCGUCUCCUAACAUUAGUUCCAUUGCAAAGUCUGUUAGAUAGAAUUCAGCGAAAGAUUGUUAACAAGAAAUCACUUCUUGUUUUAGAUGGUGUGGGGAGAUAUGAUUGUGAUGAUUGGGAAGCACUUAGAGCUGUUUUUCAACAUGGCAUGUCGGGGAGUGGGAUUCUAGUGACUACUCAUGAGCACUCGGUUGCAGGAGCAAUGGAAUCAUCUUAUAAAUUUUGUUUGGGAAAGCUGUCUGAUGAGUUGUGUUGGAUGAUACUUCGUGAAGUUGGAUUGAAUGAUGAUACUCUUGAAUAUGCGGUAGAGGAUAUAGGAAGGGAACUUGCAAGGAGGUGUGAAGGACUACCCUUUGCUGCAAAGGUUUUGGGAGAUGCUAUACGACAUUAUGACUUUGGAAUAAGAGGAUGGGAUGUUUUUCUGAGAAAUUGUAUCUGGAAAUCUCCUAGAAUACCCAAAUAUAUGUCUAAAAUUCUAUCACUAUCUUAUUGCAAUCUACCUUUGUCUGUAAGACGGUGCUUAUCGUAUUGGGCUAUCUUCCCCAAAAGCUUUGAGAUUUCAAAAACUCUUUUGGUGCAACACUGGAUGGCACAAGGUUGUCUGUACUCAUCUGAUAAUUUAGAAAUGGAACUAAAAGGUGAAGAGUACUUUAAAUGCUUAGAAGCUCAUUCAUGUUUCCAAUAUUGUACCAGAGAUGGUGGUAUGCUUACUUGUAAGAUGCAUAGCUUAGUACAUGAUUGUGUCCAAUCUUUGUCCCCAUAUGAUUUAAUGAUGAGGUUCGAGUCUGUUAAACAGCUGACCUUGAAUUUAUCUUCUUGGACGGAGGAGGUCAAAGUUGUUGGCACUCAUCAUUUGGUAAUGAUGAUUGCUCAAGGAGCUGGUUUUCCCAUGGACAUUAGUGGUGCAGAGAAAUUGAGGACCCUUGUUGCUGUUACUCAAGGGUGUUUGAUAACUAGUCAAGCAUUAUCUAACUUAUUUAAACAAUCCAAACAUCUGAGGUUAUUGGAUUUGAGCUUGACUAGUGGGUGGCAUAAUUGUUUUGGGCCAUCCGGACAAGGUAAUAUACUAGAUGAAAUUCCGGUGGAAAUCUGCAGAUUGAUUAAUUUGAGGUACCUUAGCUUGGCUGGCAGCAAAGUAUUGAAGAUAUUACCAGAAACAUUGUGUGACUUGCAUAAUUUGCAAUCCUUGGAUCUUACUGGUUGUAGUAGUCUUAGAAAAUUGCCAGAUGGAAUGGGGAAAUUAAUGAACUUGAGGUAUUUUUAUACCUGGUGUUGCUCUAGUAUAACUUCCUAUCCAAAAGGGAUUAGCUGCUUAACUUCUCUUUGAGAAUUAACCAAUGUCAUUGCUAGAGCUGAUCACAAUGAUGCAAAGGAAUUCACUCUUGGAGAUUUUGAAAAGUUGAACAACCUUUGUGGACAUGUUCGUGUGAAACUGGUAGGGAAUGCGAUGGAUGCAGAUGAGGCUAUUAGAGCUAACCUUUGGAACAAGAAGGAUCUUGACCGUAUCAGAAUAAAUCUGGAUGGGGAUAUAGGGAAAGAAAGCCAAGACGUUAUAAAGAAAGCAUUAAACCCGCCUUCCGACUUGAAUAUAGAGUUCGUAGGUUGGUGGUUCUAGUCCAGAAAUGUAAGGAUGCUGCAAAGCAACAGGUAGUCUCUCUGUCUCAUUUUCUCUUUUGUUGUAGCUUUGAUGGUUCAAAUUCAGUAUUUACUCCUAUGAUUCAUUCAAACCCAAAUUUCAGUUGUGUUAUAGUAGUUCUAGUUUCUGUUGUUAUCAUCUGAUUAGAUGGAAUAUUAUGAAAUCUCUUAUAACAUUACAAUGACAAAGAUAUCGGCUUGUCUAUCACAUGAAAUUUCUCUCUUGCUAAAGCAUGCUCUGAAUGAAUCACUUUAAAACGGCAAGAUAACUUAGAUUAUCCUUAUUUUCUUUUGCUGGACAUACAUAUCCCGUGAGAGACAUUGUCGUUAUCGGUGGUACUGUAGUUAAAGUUGGAGUAUAUUUUUAGUAUUUUAGUUUUUAUAUUAGGAUUUAAUCAGUUAUUAAGAUGGAUUUUUUCUGGAAAAAACAUGGAUACUUUUUUCUAAAAUUUUUUAUUAACUCUUUUGAAAUUUGUUAAAUUUUUAAUUAUUUUUAUUAGUUUUUGAAUUUUUAUGAAUUAUAGGUAGGCUACCACACGAAUUGAUCACGUCAAUAUUGUUAAAAUUUUAAUAAUCUUUUUAAUUCAAAAGAAAGUAAUAUAACUAAAUUGUAAAGGUUAAGUGUAAAAGUCAAAAUGACAAAAUAAGUCAACAUUAAAAGAUUAAAUUUAUCACGAUGCCUUUUUUAUAUACUCAUAAUUAAUUAUAAUAAAAAGUUAACUUUAUUCAGAUAUAUUUGUUAUUUUAAAUAAAUAUUCAGAAUACAACUUGAAAAUAAUCUCAUGUUUAUAAUUAUAACACGAAAACUUUACUUACUAUAUAAUGGAAGAGUAUUUGGUAUAUUAACAGUGUGCCUUUUUUUAUUGCACAAGUAUGUGUAAAAGAUUGAUAUAUGUCUUUAUUUUUUAAUAUUUUAUUAUACUUUCUAAGACACUUGUCAAUCUUUUAACUUUGCUUAUAAAAUUUAAAAAUUCCACUAAUAAUCUCACCUAGCAAAAUGGAUUAAAAACAUUUAAAGUAAUUUAGUUGAAUUAUGAUAAAAGGUCAAUGUAUUCUAAAAUGCUAAAUGGCAUAAAUUUGAGUUUGUCAAAUUCUCUAGCAUUGGGAGGUAAGUCAAAUUGCAAACUAAGUUGAAUAUUUUUUGGCUUUUCAGUAAUCAUAUUCAUGCUAAUAUUUUUAGAUUUAAUUCUCACUUUCAAUAUUAAAAGAGGGUUCAAAUGCAACUUGGAGUCAACAUGAACAUGAUACUUUGAAAACCCUAAAGGGCACUUGCACUCUUGUUUUGGAGGUGAGGUUAAGAAGACCUACAACAAGUUUUAAUAGAAUUUGAUAUAGUUGAAAAAGAUUCAGAGGAAAAUGGUACCAAAAUCUACAGUCGUGGAAUACGAUGACUGUAUUAAAAUAUAUGAAAUUGGUUGAUGGUUUUAUUUAUUGUCUCUUAAUAUUUUAACUAAUCAAUUAAGUAGUAAUGAGAAGGACAUGACACUUAAUCAUUAUAGUUUCUAGUUAAAGUUUAGGAAGAUGCAUUGACAUCAAUUCACUAAUUUUUUAUGAAAAAUGUUUUUAACCGGUUCAUAUCCCCAAUACCAUUGAACGUUGAAUCAAAUGGUUUUGUUGAUUAGAGAAAGACACUAAGAAAUGUAGAGGAACAUGUAUGCGUAAGAGAGAAUUUGAGGCACAUUUAAUAAGUUAACUUUGGAAAUUUUAUAUGUGGAUAAUAGCAACGAAGAAAGAGACUGUUGAGAAUGAUCAAACUUGGAGCAUAUGUUUAGAUCCAUGUGGAGGUACCUAUUAGGUAAGUGAAACAAGCAAUUGAAAUGAUGGAGAGUUUAGUACACCGGUAUCGUACUAUGAUAAUUUAUGGUCAUUUUUAAUUAAUACAAGUCAAAAAUAAUAAUAUUUAAUAAACCUAAAAUUAAUGGGCAAAUAGUGAUGAGUUAUCCUAAAAUAGAAUUGAAGAGGAUAAGGUCCUACAAUUAAUAAUAAGAAAAGUGAAGACUCUUUGAAAAGAUUAAGGAUGUACUUUGAUUAAGAGUGGUUAUAAAAAAAAAAAUUGGGGGGAAGGGAUAGAGUGGAGUAAGGAAAGUGGUGUGAUUGCCCAUUAACAUAAGUAAGAAAUAUGCGAAUGAUUGCCCAUUAACAUAUAGAGUAGGUAAAAUUGACUUGUUUUUCUAGAAAGACAAUAGAUAAGCCUAAAAAGUUAUAAAAAGUAAUUGUUAAAAUAGUUAAAAUGAGAGGAAAAAAUAAGAUAUUUUUGUUUAUGAGAAUUAAGUGUCGUGAGUCGGGACGAAAAGAUUAAUCAUUGUUACGACAGUAAAUACCUUGAUUACAACGAAAAAGAUAAAAUACCAUUUUACUUUAUAGAAAAUUCUCAUGAUUUUAUAAAAUAUACCAUGAAUAUAUUAAAUCAUAUAAAAAGCGUAAUUCUAUAACUCAUACCUAAUUUAAAUACAGGAUGGUAUUUAGAAUGAUUAUAAGAAAAUGCUUGUUCAUGAAUGUUGUGAGUUUUCCGAAUCUUGGGGACAAUGUACCCUCUGGCUCCCGUCAGGAUUCACCUGGUAAUUUAUAAAAAGGAAUAAACAAUCACUUGGUAACUCACAACUCACAAGGCAUAAAAUAUAAUCACGUCAAGCAGCAAAACACAAACCUUUUUUAAUAUUCCAAUCUAAUACAAGUGAUAAUAUCAACUCUUAGAGCCCUAACUCUUAAAGUAUCAGCACAUAAUUUUAACCACUUACUUUUAAUAAAUACCACCAUCACUACCAUUAUCACCAUCGACAGAGCCUCUCAAUUCAUAUGUCCUGCAAAAAAUGGUGUCAACACUAACAAAAAAACCAAAAUUAUAUCAUUAAAAUAUAUUUGUAUUUCUUAAAAGGCAGAUCAUUCAGUUUUUCUGGACAAGUUUCCCUAUGCAAUCUAAUACAAGUGAUAAUAUCAACUCUUAGGGUCUGUUUGAUUGACGGAAUUGAUUUUCCGGAAAAUCAUUUCCAACUUUUCCAGCGUUUGAUUGGCGGAAAACAUUUUCCAUUUGGAAAAUGAACUCCAAAACAAGGGAAAAUGAGUUACAUUUUAGGGAAAAUGUCUUACUCUUUCAAUUUCUAUAAUUUUAGGCUUUUCCCACCUACCUCUAAUUACACAAAAUAUUUUCAGAUUUAAUUUACUAAUUUUGGCUUUUACAAGGUCAAGAUUUGACUAUCCCAUCAAAUGUCCCAAAUUUAUAAUUUGGUCCCUCUUCUCUUUUCCAUGCUUCAAUCUAACCCCUUCUUUGCUUGUUUUUGAUUUAAAGUGCCCGAAUUUUGUUCCUGUCAAUAUUUAAACACAAAACGCACCAAUUACCAGGGAUUAAUUUGAGAAUAAGUCGAGUUGAACACGUAAAUUAUGCAAAAUGAACAAGUUAUCAUUGACCAUUAGUGCUACGUCAGCACAAACAAACGGUGUUAGUGCAGAGAUACCAACCUAGGUGACAGAAUAUAAAUUCAGGUACCAAUUAGAUAAAAAAAAAUCAUACACCAAAUAAAUACUUUUGAAUAAGUUCGAAAAUAGACGACAAAUUAUCCUUUCUUUUCUCUUUUUAUCUACCUGUAAUAUUUGAAUAUGAAAAGAAGUUACACAACUUUUCAAUUUCAAUAGUAGUUAUUUAACUUUGCCUAGUUGAGUUUUACAUAAAAUUUCUUUCUUUCGUUGAACAUGCUCUCAAUGAAUCACUUCAAACCCCCAAGAUCCUAAUAUUUUGCAGAACAUAUCAAUUGAGAGGCUCUAUCGAUGGUGGUGGUGGUGUUAGAAUCCGUUUAUGCUGGUGGUAGCAUUUUGUAUUUUUUUUUAUCGUAUUUAUUAAAAAUAAGUGGUUAAAAUUACGUGUUGAAAAUUUAAGAUUUAGAGCAUAUCGCCACUCGUAUUAAAUUGUAAUAUAAGCAUCGAUUGUAAAAAGAAAAGUUUGUGUUUUGCUUGUACUGUCUCAUAAAAGACAUUAAGUAAUUUCGUUGUCGUGUUUAUAUUUUAUGCCUUAUGAGUUACCAAAUGGUUGUUCAUUCCUUUUUAUAAAUUACUAGCCGAAUCCUCUUCAGUGAAGGAGCUUGAAAAUUUUUUGGGAGGGUCGGAAUUAAAUUGUAUAUUUGUAUGAUGGUAAAAAUAGAAUUUUAUAAUUUUAAUAGCUUAUAUCUUUAUAAUUUUUAAAAGGUUAAAUCAAAAUUGUAUCAUUUUAAGAGGUCAAAGUAUAGUUUUACUAUUACUAAUUUAAAAUUUUAUAAAUUAUAAAGGGCCUAAAUUAAAAUUUACUAUUUUAAGGGGGCUAUGGCGCCUUGGGUCUCCACUACAUUAUGCCACUGAUCCUCAUGGAAGACAGAGGCUACCUUGACCCCCAAGAUUUAGAAAAUUGCCAUUUGACCUUUUUAAUUUUAUAAAAUUUUUAAUUUAGUUUAUUAAAAUUCUGUAAAUUUUCAUUAAACAAUUUUUAAAACUUUUAAUUAGAUCUCUCAAAUUCUUUUUGGAAAUUCUUAUUUUCUCAAUUAAUUUUUUAAUUAAACUAUUCAGAAUUUUUGAUAAUUCUCAUUAAACCUUUUUAAAAUUCUCGAAAUUUUAAUUAAAUUGGUAAAAUUUGAAAAAUUUUAGUGAAGGGAAUCCCUCCCACAUAUUGAUCAAGAAAGCUUUGAAAAAAUAUUAAUUAAUUAUAUGUUUGAGAGAUUAAUAAUGUACUAUUUGGCUCCCAACAAUAAUAAUUCACUCUUAAUUUUGCUUCUUUUCCCUUUUUCUUUUACUUGUUUUUGUGAAAGAUAUCAUAAUAUAUGUUUUAAAUAAUUAAUGUAAUAAUAGAAAUAUUAAAAAAUAUAGUUAAUAGUAACAAUAUUUUAUACAAGCACAAUGACUUAUUCAAUUCUCCAAUUUUACAAAAAGAGACCAAUAAGUGAUUAGAUGUAAUGACAGGUCACAUUGCAUUCCCAAAAGAACUGCCUAAGUUCGAACAUCAUAAGUAAUAUAAAAACUUAAACAAAGUCAUGUAACAACCCAUAUAUCAAGUAUCACCAAAUACCAUUUCAUUCUUAUUCCAUUGUUUAGUUUCUAUUUUCAAUCAACUGAAUAUCGUCCGAUGGAACUAUAGCAAAACGGGCUCAAAUACACGGGAAUAAGUUGGUCACACAAGUUGACAGUAUAUUAGGGCUGCUCAGACAAGUUGACAUUACAACAGAAUUGCUCACAUAAACUGAUAUUAUAUCAAGGUUAUUCAUCUGGGCUAAACCUUCAAUAUGUAUAACCCGAGAAUUUGAGACAAGCCCAAGAACUCAUCCUAUGUAAAAGGGGUGCCAAACCCUAGUGCAUAGUAGGGUAUGUUGCCGCCCCUUAGUGUUUUGAAUAAAGGGGAACUGUAGUAUCAUAUUAAAACAAUACUAUUUAAUUACUCAUUAUUCAAGUAAAACUUUUGUACUAUUUUCCUAAAAUAGGAUCUAUGAAAUGAUUUAAUUACACCUAUCGCUGUUAUUUUAUCAUAAAAUAGUGGUAAUUUGUUUAUAAGAAUAAAUUCUAUAUUCUGAAAAGCUCAAAGUUUUCGAUUUCUAUAUAGAGAAUUAACUUUCUCACUAAAAGUUCAUGAAAGAUUGGUUGAACUGGGCAAAAAAAUUGGUCGAAUUAGAUGCGAUUGAACUGGUUGAACUAAAAUAUUUUAAUAUAUUUUUAUUUUUUAUGAAUUUUUUAUGAUUUAUUUAAUUGAAUUAGACUAAUCAAUCAAACCAAUUGAAUCAAUUGGAUCAACAAACUAGUAACCUUAUUGGUUUGAUCAUCGAUUUAGUUUUUAAAACCUUAGAUUUCGUCAUACCGUUUCAAUUAUUAUACCUUAUAAAUAAAAUAUAAAGUAAACCAGUGGUGAAAUUAGGGGGAUUGGCAAGGGCCCUGGCCCUCCCUAAAAUGAUUUUUUUUUUCAUAUGGACCCUCUAAAAAAAUUAAAAUUUUAAAUUAAUAAAAAUAAAAUUAUACUUUGGCUCCCCUAAAAUAUAAAAAUUUGAUUUAAUCUAUUAAAAAUUAUAAAGAUGUAGUCUAUUAAAAUGGUGAAAUUGUAUUUUUCUAUCGUAAAAAUUACAAUUUAAUUUUAGCCCAUAAUUUUUUUUUUCUAAUUUCGCACCUGAAAUAAGCUAUAUUUGAUUAAAUUUAUUAUUUUACCUUACAUACAAAACACAAAAUAAACAUUUAACUAUACAAAAUUAAUUGAUGAAUUGUUUUACUCAGUUGAAAGUAGAACAAAUAAUUGAUCCAAGAGGAAAGUGAAAUUUAUCCUUUUAUACGUCGAACAUUAGCGAAAAGGACAAAAAAGAAAUUUUGGGUUAUUUGGCUUUUGUUUCCUGCUGCUCUCCUCAAUCCAUUGACGCUGUUUCACCCCCUUUCUCUCGAUUUCUCAAUGUUUCUUUUCCUGUAAUUUGUUGUGAUUUGAAGUAUAAAUCAGGGAGAAGUAAAAGCUAUCAUAAAAAUGGCGGAGGCAAUUCUUACGGUAGUCUUGCGACAGAUAACAACAAUCUUGAGUGACCAAGCGGUAAAAGAGAUGACGAUGUGGGGAGACCGCGAGGCUGCUCUCAAAAAUCUUGAAACAUAUCUGAAAUCCAUCCGAUCCGUUCUCAAAGAUGCAGAGGACCUUCAAAUUACAGACGAUGCAAUCAAACUGUUGCUAGAAGAUCUGAAAAUUGUAAUUUAUGAAAUCGAGGAUGUGUUGAAUUUAUGGAGCUGUAAAGUACGGAAGGCAGAAUCUGUUCGUGCCAAGGUAAAUUGUCUACUUGAAUUCAUUGCAUAUCGUCGUAGUUCUGAUAGAAUAAAGAAGAUUUGUGAAAAACUGAGUCCAUUUGAGCUGAAAAACAAGCUGGAUCUGGGCAAGAGUAAAAUUAUAUCUCCUCUGCGGAACAAAGAAAGUACUAGCUAUUGUGAUCUAUCAAAAAUUAUUGGUCGAAGCGGAAUAAAAACUGAGUUAGUGUUCCGUUUAGUUUNNNNNNNNNNNNNNNNNNNNNNNNNNNNNNNNNNNNNNNNNNNNNNNNNNNNNNNNNNNNNNNNNNNNNNNNNNNNNNNNNNNNNNNNNNNNNNNNNNNNNNNNNNNNNNNNNNNNNNNNNNNNNNNNNNNNNNNNNNNNNNNNNNNNNNNNNNNNNNNNNNNNNNNNNNNNNNNNNNNNNNNNNNNNNNNNNNNNNNNNNNNNNNNNNNNNNNNNNNNNNNNNNNNNNNNNNNNNNNNNNNNNNNNNNNNNNNNNNNNNNNNNNNNNNNNNNNNNNNNNNNNNNNNNNNNNNNNNNNNNNNNNNNNNNNNNNNNNNNNNNNNNNNNNNNNNNNNNNNNNNNNNNNNNNNNNNNNNNNNNNNNNNNNNNNNNNNNNNNNNNNNNNNNNNNNNNNNNNNNNNNNNNNNNNNNNNNNNNNNNNNNNNNNNNNNNNNNNNNNNNNNNNNNNNNNNNNNNNNNNNNNNNNNNNNNNNNNNNNNNNNNNNNNNNNNNNNNNNNNNGCAUCUUUCUAACACCAACAACAUUACUGCCAUCCUAAUAAACCAUAAGUACCAUUUCCACUCCAUCAUCAUCAUCAUCUUUCUGUUUUCACUUCUCUCUCAGCUAUAUGUUACUUUUUGUUAACUUCUAUAUGUAUAUAAUCUAAAGAAGCCUAAGCUUCUUAUUUAUAUACAAGCAGAACAUUUUGCAUCCCACUUAUUCAAUAUAAUAUAAAAAUAAUAUAUAAUUAAUUAAUUCCUCAAAAAUUGGAUCAAUCUAGGCUUCUUAUUUACGUAAAUUCCUUAUUGCAAAAACUCUUGGUAGAAAUUCGUUAGGAAAGGAUGAAUGGACCACAAGAAUGCUUAUCAACUCUUGACUUUGGCGUCCAAUGCUAAAUUUAUUUUAAAAUUUCUUCAUGGAGACAAGAUGGGAUGACAAGAAUGAUAAGUUUUAAGUCAUUUAAGUUUACACAAUUUUAAUCACUCAUAAAAACAAGUAUUGACAUUCUAUUAAAGAAUUUAAACAUGGCUUAACGUUGAUUUUAAAUCUAAUGUUGAUGUUAAUCUUGAAAAAAGAAUGGCCAAAAAAAAUAUGAAAAGUGAGAGGUGGACAUAAAAUAGUGUAGUUGGGGUUAUAAAAUUCUUCAUGUAGACAUAAUAUUUUUUUUAUGCCUUUUUUACACUUAUAUAGAGUUAGUCUUGACUUUGCUUUAUUAAUAGAAAUUUUAGGUCUUCAUUUUUUGUUUUAUUCAUGGACAUAAUAUUUUCUUAUUUUUAUUUUAUGGUCUAUGAUCGAGGUUUAUGACUAUCCCCUUUCAACAACGUCGUCUCAACUGUUCAAACAUACACUUGCAGGUAAAAUAAUACUUUUUAAAAUCACAAAUAUUUAAAAUAAUACAUUGCAGCUAUAUAAAUGCUUUCUUGUUUAAGAUACUAAUAAAGUAAUUAACAAAGUAAUUAUUAUACCUAUAAUAAUUCAAAAUGCCACUUGUUAUCUAAUGAAGUAUAGGGGUGUAAAUGAGACAUCCGUACCCGCAAGCUAUUCGAAUUUGGCUCAAAAAAUUUUGAAAUUGAUUCGGUAAUUAUUGAGCCGAGCUAUAGGUCGAUCCGGAUUCGAGCUUAGUAAUACUUGACUCGAGUAGUUUGAGAGCCUUAUUGAACUUUUUAUAUUUUUAUAUUAUUAGAUUACAUUAUUGCUAUUAAUAUAUAUUAUUAACCCUAAGUUUAAUUAUUGAGGCGAGCUCAAACUCGAGUACAAAAAUUGAUAAACAUAUUUAAUUUCGAGCUUAAAAAUAUAUGUUCGAUCGAGCAUCAAGCUUUGAAUUUCAAAUUAAACUUGAGUUUAACAGUAUUGAGUUCAAAUAGAUUCAAUUACACCCUACAAUAAAAUAUACCAACAAAACCUACAUUCCAUCUUUGCUAUAAAUUUUAUGUAUGUGUGUGUUUAACGUGAGUUCCAUCUAUGUCCAACUUGAUGACGAUGAAAGUUCCUAUGGUGUAAAAAGUUUUAGUUAUGUGGAAAAAUAAGGCCUUCUCUUCACACGUUUAAUAUGCUUACUUGUGUCGGUCAUUUCGAUCUUCACAUCAAUUUUCAAAAAGUUGGAAAACUUAUGUCUGCUUUUAUGAUUCUUUUAUGUGUGUGUUUAACGUGACUUCCUUGUGAGUUCCAUCUAUGUCCAACUUGAUGACAAUGAAAGUUCCUAUGGUGUAAAAAGUUUUAGUUAUGUGGAAAAUUGGUGGAAAACUUACGUCUUUUUCACUUGCUUUUAUGAUUCUUUUUACAUGAUAUUACUAUAUAAUUAAAUUGAAAUACUGAUAAAUUUGAACCCAUAUGAUGUAAGUCUAGGCAUCAUCUAAUUUAUUGAUAUUUAAUUAAUUAAUAUAUAUACUUUCAAUUAUAAGAAUUGAAACAUAACUUUCAAGUCAAUUGGAGUAUGCCCCUGUUACACGUCAAAAGAAGUAGAUUUUGAACUCAACAUGAACCUGUGAGAUUUGAUGCCUAAAAUAUAGGUAUAAGGUUUCAAUUCAUGGAAAUGUUGGAAAUCUUGGAAAUUUCUUAGUCUCCUCUCUUUGGAUGUUUUUGAACAAAAAUGUUUUAAGUCUCUUCCGAUGCUAAACUUCUGAUUGGUCGUCGGUUCACUGACCCUUUGGUACACAGCAAUAUGAAGCAUUGGCCAUUCAAGGCCAUUGCUGGUCCUGGUGAUAAGCCAAUGAUUGUACUACUAUAGAUUUGAAUAUUUGUACACAUUUGAUCGGCUCUUCGUAAAUUUAAAUCUUACAAAUUCGGAUAAUAUUUGAACUUUGAAUGUAUGUUUUGUUGGUGAGAAUAUAAAGUUGAUAAAGAUUUGGUAAAUAGAGUAAAAUAUUAUUUUUAUUAGAAAAAUUAUUUGGUACACUGCCAAUCGAGGUAAUUAAAACAUGUCAUUAUAAAUAAUAAAAUUAUGAUGACUCAAAUAUACGAACACGUCAAAAUUUAUGUACAACGAAUUAUUAACAUGUAAAUGUAUAAUACGGUACGCAAAAAUAAGAUAAUUGCUUGUUUUUUUAAUUGAAUUGUUAUAACAUAUUAUACAAAAUACAUUGUGACUUAAAGCAUAAAAUGAACUUGAUAUCAAAAUAUUAAAUUUUUUUUAAAAUUCAAUGAUACGAAUAAUUAUGUAAAAUAUAACAUGAUGCAAAAUAUCUUGAGAGGAAAAGAGGAAUAAAGAAUUGCAUUAUUUGUGAGGUUUUAAAAUAUUCCAGUUUUAGAUUCAAUUUUCUAGUAUGUUUGGUUUAAUUUUACAUUAGAUUUCCUUUUCAGUAUGCACUAGUGAACGCUUAGCAGUCAGUUUAAUUUAAUUCAAAGAGAUAUUGCAUAUACAUAAUAAUGGAUUAUGAUUUUACAUUAAAUUUCAUAGAAGAAAAAGAAAUAGAUGGUUGAAAAUGAUAAAACCAUAAGAUAAAAGAGCUUUUAUUCAAAAUGCAAAAAUCAACAAAAUAUUCAUUAUCGCUCAACUUAGCAUAAUUAAACAUUUAGGUGUGGAAACAAGUCACAAUUUGAGUAGCUAAACACAUUGCUUGAAAAUGUGAUAAGUAAGAAAAUUGCCCACAUUUGAGUAGCGACAUGUGGUGAAGCAUUUCCCAACGAGAGAAAACUAAGCUCUUCACCAGUAUGGAUUUAUGUAGAGGACAACAAAAAUUGUCAACAACACAACUACAUAAGAAACCAAAAAGCUCACAAAAAAAUCAUAAGUAUCUAUCAAACCAUCUUCUCCUUUAUCUUCUGAUACAAUUGAUAUCGCUGAUGGUGAAUCGGUUUUGGAACAACUUUUAUGCAAUAUAUCUCCACAACGAAAAGGAUUUCCCUCAUAACUGUUUUCAAUAAAGGUCCCAAAUUGAGCUUUUGGUUCGGGAAUACUACCUGACAAAUUGUUAUAUGCCACGCUGAAAACCUCCAAAGAGUUCAACUCUACCAAUUGAUUGGGGAUUUCACCACACUCAAGUUGUUGUAAGAAAGGUCCAAACUCUCAAUGUGCUGAAGUUUUGAGAAUGAUGAGGGUAUAACUCUGGUCAACUUAUUGUGUGACAAGUUUAAAGAAUGGAUUUCACUCAAGUUCCCUAAUUUUGGUGGGAUAUGACCAGUUAAGUUUUUGCAAGAUAAAUCAAUCCCAAUAAUAUAUGAAAGGAUGUUGCCCUUGUACGAAUAGAACCCACUCUUUGUUGUGAACUCUAUUACUUCUUCUAAGUAGCUGUCAGGGUUGUAAGGAUUUAUACCCCUUUCCCAUUUUCUCAUCACAAUGGAUGUUGAUUCAUCCUUUUCUAUAAAUGGAAGAUAGAACCCAGUUGCUAGACUCUCUUUCUCUUUCAGUGGAAGAGAUAAAUUUCCCAAACAAGAAGGUAUAGGACUAGAAAACAUAUUUUGAGAAAGAUCUAUGAUGCUUAAAGAAUGCAACUUGCAUAACUCAAUAGGAACUUUAUCAUGAAAAUGAUUAUCUUUCAGGAGAAGAACACUCAAAGAAGAAAGCGUGUAAAUCCAUUUUGGAAUACUACCUGUCAAAUUGUUUCCUCUAAGAUCUAAAGUCACUAUUGAAGAGUUAUUAUAAAAAAGCAAGUGAUAGUGUGCCUCUCAGUCUAUUCCCGUGGAGGUGGACAUGCUCUAUGUAUGGUGGAUUAAAACAUGACGGUAUAGAGCCAGAUAAAUUAUUUUGAGAAAGAUCCAAAAAUUCCAACCUAUUCAACUUUCAAAAUUCCAUUGGAAUAGAACCUUCAAAACCAUUGUUGGACAAAUUUAAUCUCCACAAAAAUGAUGCAUUCCCUAUCCAUCUUGGGAGCUUUCCAUGCAACUUGUUACUGAGAUCAAUUUCGCUUAGUGAAUUUGGAAACUCAAAAAGAAAUGUUCACACAAAGUUUUUUCCAACAUAUGUCUGUCAUUUGUGGGGUCUUGAAUUUAAUAUCAAUGGUUGAAUUUUCAUAGCUAAUAUGUGCGCAAAAGGCCUAGUGGGUGGAAUUUUAUGUCAGGAAAGCGUUUCUACAAUGACAUAAUUAAUUGCAUUACUUUUCAAAGAUUGACUAUUGACUUUGGUGAGCUUAUUAGGUUAAAUUCUGCUGCUGGUCACUGUUCUUUGUGAAAGUUGUAAAUUUAGUCUAUUUACUUCAAUUUGAUCAAUUUUAAUCCCUAUACAUUUUGAUUUUUAAAAUUUUAGUUGUGACCCAAACAAUAGAGUUAAAUCAAUUUAAUUAAAACCAAUUACUAGUCCUAUAUUAUGUGUACAAUUGUUGAUUUAGUCCAUACUCUCCAAUUGGAUCAUUCUAAGUACCUAUAUUUUUCAAAUUUUAAAAUUUCAGUCUUGAUGCAAAUGACAAUCCUUAGUCCGUUAACUAGAUUUUUAGUAACAUAUGAAAAUAAUAAGAUGAUAUGACAUUACAAAUAUGAUAAUAUUUUUGCGUUAAAUAUGUCAACAAUGACAUAAUUAAUUGCAUUAACUUUCAGACGUUGACCAUUGACUUUUGCUUCAACCUUGAGCUUAUAUAGCCCCUACAAUAAUUUAGGUUAUGGAAAUAAUCUUACAAUUAAUGCCUGAGAAAUUAUUAUAGAUCAAUUUAUAGUUUUAAUCCCUAUAAUUACUCAAUUGAAUUGAAGAUUCAGAUUUUCUUAUUUAAUUUGAUAUAUUUUCUUCUCUUAUUAAUGUUAAUGUUAUGGAUUAGUUUUUUUAAGACAACAUUAUUUUAUUCAAUGAAUAAUAUCAUACAAUUCGAGGAGAAAAUAACAAACACUCGUUGUACUCGUUAAAGGACAAGUUCCAUCAACACAACAAAACCUUUAACUUCAACAUUAAUAGAACAUUAUGGCAUGUUGAAAUCGGCUCUGUCACAACUCAAGCACAACAUAUCAGGAGUGAUUACAAGCACUUAAUAUGGUAAGAAAAUUAACCCCGGAUGGUCCAAAGCGGUGGGCAUAAAUCAGCAAAAGAACUGAGCAUCCACCAAACUAGAGGGGAUGCGGCGACAAAACUAACCCUAAAAUUACUCUCAAAAGCAAGACUAAAAAGCGUACUACAAGAGUAGACAAAAACUUCGAAAAGUAAAGACUUAUUAAACAAUGGAAAAAUAAACAAAAAAAACAUAUAAAACUUAAGAUAACAUGAGUCUAAACCGAGUCAUGAAAUUAUUUAUUAUUUUGAAACUCUCAAAACAUAAACAAAUUAAGAAGUCAACGAAGAGGUACCCACUUUCUAAAAGAAAGUGUUGGUGGUCGGUGGUGUUUCAAUGAUGAUAGGCAUUGUCACCUGUUCAUCACAACUUGUAAAGAUAACAAAAAUACCCACAAAAUAAAUCUGUAAAUUGAAAAGAACGAAGACUCAUGGAGUGAAUGAGAAGAAGAAAAAUAAAAAGGGUUAAUAGAGACAAAGCAGGGCGGUAACUAGUUCAGAGGCUAACACCGCUGCUAGGCUAAAAAAAGAAGAAGAAGCAAACAUGUUAUGGAUUAGUUAAAAUAACUAACAUCAUUGAAAAUUUCAUUACUUGGCUGAUUUGGAUUUUUUUUUUUAAAAAAUUGAAACUAGAAACCAUAAAUGAUCUAACAUUUAGAAACCAUAAAUUGGGUUCAAUUGCUUUGCUGUCCAACUCCAUCCAUCUAAAAUCGCAAGGAUGUACCCAUGUUCAAUAUGCAGUACAGACCCAAAAAUUGACCAUAUAAUGUGGCUCAAGAGAAUUUUCGAAUGGUUUUAAAGAAUUAUGAGAACACAAUGAAUAAAGUUAAGGCAUCAUUUAUUCAGCUUGCUAUAAUGCAGGUCAUUCCAAUAAAGAAGCAUUUUUUAACUAUAUUUUCCGUUACCCCAAUAACAAUGGCACAGAAUGUUCUCCGAUGAACAUAGAACUCACCAUUUUUAGGAACACGUGUAGUUGAGGAUGAGAAUUCGGAUCAACUGUAACUUCAAAUGGUGGAAUGAAAACAUUGUCCAGAAUAUUCUGAAAAGAUUUUUCAAUUCCCAUUUGCUUGUACACAUUAUACAAUCGUGGUGACUGCAGAAUUAAGUCAAAAUCAAGUGAAGAAGGUUACCUUUGACUUGAGAAAUAUAUCACAGAGAGAGAGAAAGAGAAAACAGUAAUCUGGAAAGAUGAUGCUUAAUAUGGACAUGAUACCCUAGAAACCGAUCGAUCUUAAAUUUUAAUUUCUAAAAUAUUAUUAGCUUGUGCAUACUUUCAAAUACUUUUCAUUAGAGUUACCAUAAGACUAAUUUUUCCAAUUUUAGAUGAUUCAAGAAACUAUUUGGGGGCAAUUCUUAAAUAAACAUGUCCAAACAGUAGUCAUUAACAAGAAAGCAUCCAAGAAAACCAGCAGUUAAUACUUAAAUUAACAUUAUCAAAUGGAGAUGUAAAGAAGAAAGAAUCCUACUGCAAAGCUAGAUAGCAGGAGAAUCACUAGAAUGAAGAGAAAUACUAUUGGCACUAUACCUGGAUUAACCAAACAGUAGUCUCACUAUAAAUUUCAUUGUUAAUAAACCAACUUGCCAAACUGGUCCCAUUCACUUUGUUUCCUUCCAUAUAUGGACACCCUGUACUCUGCCAUCUAGAAAAUAUAUAUAUUAUUCAGUGUAGUCAGAGGCGCAAGGAGCACUCUAGGUGCUAGAAUCCUUUUAUUGUACAAGGCACAUGGCGCACAAAAAAAAAAAAAAACUUGCUUAUGUUAAGGCACAUGUAUGCGUGUUUUGGUAUGUCCAUGUCUGUAUAUAUAUAAGCCGAAGAUAUAUAAUUAUAAUAAUAAACUAUAAAAGUGCUCCAGUCUGAAGUACAGAACAUGCCAAAUUUUCUUUCUUUUGUCAACCAUAUGCAUAUUUCCAUAUGAUGCCAUGCCUGGUGUUGAAUACUCAAAUAUUGAGAAGUUGAGAGUUCGAUAUUAUCCCUUUGUUACAAUUAAGAAACAAUUAAAGAGAUAGUAAAGAGAACUUCAAUUAGAAGGCCUUUUCCCCCUACAUGCACCAGGCAGGCGCUUAGCCUGAAAAGGUCAAAGGCCCUUUUACUGUCUGGUGAUAAGGCAAAAAACAUUGGACAAAGUUGGUGGGAGGAUAGAAUACUAAAAGAGCCCAAUGUUGUCACUUUUCUAAAGUAAGCUCAUAUGCCUUUUUUGUACCCAAACAAUAUCUUACCCUUUAAUUUGUACCUAAAGAAAUUAUUUCUAAUAGAAAGUUUACUUUUGUUAUGAUCAAUGCUGGAGGCCAAAACUGAUUUGGGCUAAGGAAUUGGUGGUGAGAGUUGGAAGGCAAGAAGAAAGAAAGUUCUUUUGAGUGUUAUAUUUUUCAAAAAAUACAAAUUGUUCAUUUUUUUUACCACAUCAUCAUGCCAGGUCAGCUUCCAUGUGGAUAAAGAAAAUUUUGGCGGCAUUGAAACAGAGGCUUCAUGGGCUUUUAGUAAUUUAGCCCUUGGAAGGAAUAUGACCAUCCAAAAAAAGGCAGUUGAUGCUUUAAGGUCAAUUAGCCGAAACAAUAACAACAAUUCCUAGGCUUCAAUAAAAUAAUUUAGACAACAAAUAAAGCUUGAAGGUUGAGUUUUGCACUGCAGCAGCAUUGGGCUUUACAAGGUGAAAACCCACAUUGCACAAAAAUAUCAAAGUUUCAGAUCUAUCAUAAUUUAAAAUUCUAACUAAACUAAACGCCAAGAAUGCUGAAUGCCUAAUCAAAAAACAUAAGAUUAACCCAAGGACCUAAUUGGGUAUGCUAAAAUUUGUCUUGGAAUGAAAUUAAUAAUAUCCUUACUAUUUCACUUUUUUUUUCUUCAUAUGUUUGGUGUGAGCAUGAUACAGAUUAGACUGAUUUUAAAGUAAAAGUAAAACGAUACCAAACCUAAACAUUUUGGUUUUUUUUUAAUUUUUUAUCAGAGCCCUGUUUGAUGCAUUUUUAGUUUUGUUUUCUAAUAACAAAUGGAAAGUUAAUUAAAAAAAAACCCUAAUCCAAUGAGUUCUUUUAUAGAUAUAAGAUAAGUCCUGCAAAGUUUUUGUUUUUUAGAAAUAAAAUUUUAUUUUUGUUUUUUAAUUCUUCAUACCUAUUUUAAUAUCUAAGUUCCGGAUUCCUAACUGCCCUUUCAAUUAUAUAGUAUUCAAGAUUUGAACUUAUAUUUUUCUAUAAAAAUAUAAUGUAUUUUAUUAUUGUAUCCUACAUUCAUUAAUACUUAGUAGAAAUAACCUAAUAAAAUGAUUUUUUUCAUAUAUUAAUAGAGAUAAGAUUCGUGCAAAAUUGUUGGUUGAAAAUUCAUUAGGAAAGGAUGAUUGUACGAAUGUACCAUCAUUAUAAGUGAGCUCAACGAUAAGCCUCCUAUCAAUCACCAGUGUGCAGAAAACAUUUGAAAUCGAAACACCCGUUCAUACAUCAUACAUCAUCAUAAGUGAGCUCAACGAUAAGCCUCCAAUCAAUCACCAGUCUACAGAAAACAUUUGAAAUCGAAACACCCCGGACAUCUCCAACAAAUCUGCCAUAACGUUAGCAUCUCUUCCAUUUUUUCUAAACAAAACCUCACUAAGCUCAUCAAAUGUGCCAAUAUUUCCAAGGCCUAGAUUUCUCAUUGAUACACCAAGAAAGCUCGACUAUGGAGUCGGAUUCAACCAUAAGCUUUCAGUCUAUAAUCCACUAGGAAUCCAAAAAGAAACACUCUCGAACACCUAAAGAACCUGAAACAUAGCAAUGACAUGACCCUUUGAAUUUCUAAGAACCUCACCUCACCACGUCGAGCUAAGAUUACCUAAUGUCGAACCUUCACGGUUAAACUUUUACCAGCCUUCACCUUACUCUUGAUAUGAUGAUUAUGGAUACUCCCUUCACAAUCCCACAAACACUCCCACCAAAUUGACUCAACAAAAUUUGCACCUAUAGGUUUUCUGUUUAUAUUUGAUUUUGUUCACACAUUGCCUAAAACUACUCAUGAUCCCUCUCCAACCUAUAAAUACGAGGAUAAUGCGCUUCAACGCGCUCAAACCCACGUCCUCCUACAUUAGCAACAAUACUCAUGUCAAUCGAGUUAAAACACAAUCAAUAGAUUUUUUUUAAAAAAAAUCUUUAAAUGUUAUAUUAUUAUAUAAGAAUUUGAAACAUGACUUCCGUAGGUUUUAAAUCUAAUGUUGACACUAAUCUUGAAUAAGUCAUUCCACUCCCAUCUUAACUAAUGGCCAAAGAGAUAUCAAAAGUGGGAGAUGGCCAUAAAAUUGUGUAGUUUGGGUUAUAAAAUUUUUGGGCAAACUACAUAUAUUAUCAUUUAAUUAUAUAUUUUUUUCAAUUUAAACACUUAAAGUAAAAAAUUUAUAAUUUAAGCACCCACAUUAUAUAGUUUAGUUAUUUUGAUCACUCCAGUUAAAAUAAAAAAUGGCAAACUGAAGCGACAAUUAAAAAAAUGUAUAAUAACAAAUUUAACCCUCAAAUUUUAUAUAUUAUAUCAAUUACAUAUUACAACUAAUUUUAUAAUUAUUGAUAUUGAAUAUGUCCCUCACUACGUUAGGGAUUUUUUUUAUAAUUUGUAUUUAAUUAAUAUUUAAAAUUAAUUUCAAAAUAUGUGAAAAUUUUAUAAUUAUUUGGUGUUAGUCCCUUUAUUAUACCCAAAUUUAGGAUUAAGCCCCUAUAUUUUAAUUUUGACAUAAUUUGUUUCUUUCACUUUUAUAAUCUCAUUAAUUAUUUCAAGUAACUAACACUUUUAACAAUAUUGCCAAAUAAAAUAAUGUCAUAUUUUUUUUUCUUAAAGCCAUCACUUCUAACUAAAUCAUGACUUAAUCACUUUCUAAUUAAUCAUACUAACUUAGAUUUUUCUUUUGUUGGAAUCAGUACGUUUAAGGAAAACCCACCUUAACAUUUGUAGAUGUCUUCAACAAUUUCCUAAGCACGAUACAAUAAAGCUUGGUGUGUAUAAUUUUGUUUUAUGGAAGCUCCAAAUUAUGUUGAUUCUUGAAUGAUACGGUCUGCAUGGGUUUGUUUUGGGUGCUAUUAGUGUACUAGCACAGUUUGUAGAGGAUAAAUAUGGGAGAUUAGUAGAAAAUUCUGAUUAUGUUUUACAUGUGCAACAAGAUAAGCUAUUGGCUUCUUGGUUACUUUCAACUGUUAGUGAUGAAAUCCUAGCCUAUCUUACUAGUGCUCGUACUAGUUAUUAUAUGUGGGAAACUAUUGAAAAGAAGGGUUGCGACUAAGUCCACGGUAAAAUUGUCCAGUCAUGUGUUGUAUUCACAGAAAAAGGGUCAUUUGUUUGUUAAAGAAUAUUUGUCUAAGAUCAAGUCCAUGUGUGAUAUGUUGGUUGCAACGGGUUGUUUGAUUUCAAAUCAAGAAAUGGUUAGCAUCAUUCUUGCAAGGUUGCCAGUUGAGUGUGAAUCAGUACGGGUAGUAGCUUCAGCUACUGGUGUGUCACUUGAUCUGUUGAUUGAGAUGCUGCUUGAUUGUGAAGCUCGAAAAUUGAGUUCUUGAAUAGUGUUCUCGUACAACCUAACAUAGCUAGUAAACAAGAUUGUGAUGAGGGUGAUCGGACCAAGGGUUCUGAUUAUAACAGUGGCUAUCAAGGGAACAAACAGACAUAUAUAGGUGGUUUUCAAUGCAAUAGAGGUUCCAUCGAGGUUGAGGCCGUGAGGGUUGUUUUUCUAACAAUCGGCCCCAAUGCCAGUUGUGUGGUAAAAUUGGACACAUUGUCCAAAAGUGUUAUUACCGUUUUGAUGAAAAGUUUUGCAGGUAUUGCUAGGAUGGUAAUAUGGUAUAGUGGGCUGCAUCUUGAUUGUUUGUUUCUCAUGCUGAGGCUAUAAUUUUAAUCAUACCUAUUAUUGUUUCUUGUGUCCUGCAAUUUCAUCAUUUGCAGGCUGUUUCACUAAUUGCAUCCUAUUUACAAGUUCCCUUGUGUUAUCCUCUGCGCUUGGGUGGUUCUCGCUCAUAUAUUAAUGACCAUGCGUCUUCAAUAGACCAUGCAUCUUCUGAUUUGUCAUUGGAUACAACACUUUCAGCAAAUGUAAAGCCGGUAGAAUUUCCGCUGUUUUUAGAAGGUCAAGACACGACAAGAGCAGCAUAUGCUGUGUUCUUGUUAAACAAGGUAAGCUUUUGCAUAUUAGUAAUUUUUUUUUCCAAGAUGAAUUAUUCUCCUUUGGCAUUUUAUAUUAUAUAAUUAGUCACUACAAAACAUAAAUAAAUAAUAAUACUCCAUUUUUACAAUAAAAAUUCACUAAAGAAAAUACAUUUGAAGUCUAUCAUUGCUUUUUCGAAUAAGAGUCGGUCAAGAAAGUUAUGCGCAAAUACUUAUAUCUUUAUUUCAGAUGCUUUCAAUUCUAUUGUCACUUAAAUCCAAGUACUUUAAAUUUGUCAAAUUAUUCAAUUUUGAAAUUCAAUCCCAAAUAUUGAUCAAUUAUAUAUAUUCAUGAUAUGAUAAAAGCAAAGACAUCUUUCAACAUUAACUUUCCCUUAAACAAAAAUUGGUUUUAAAGUAAAAAAGAAACAUAUAAAACCAGUCUAGCUUGAAUAUGAAUCAAUAUAUAAACACUAUACUUAUACCUUGGUUUGAGAUGCUUUCAAUAUUGUUGUCGCUUAAAUACAAGUAUUUCAAGUUUGUCAAAUUAUUCAAUCCCAAAUAUUGGUUAGUUAUAUAUGAUAUGAUAAAAUCAAACUUGAACAUACAUUGAUUUUUAAAGUUGAAAAUUACUUGUUAAUUUUUUUUCUUUCUUACCUAUAUGAAAAUUUUACUAAAGUAAAAGUUGAAUUACAACGGAUAAAAAGAAUGGAAAACUAGGUACCAAGCCUAGAAGACCAUCCUCAAACUCCACUAUACAAAUAAAAACUACUCAAACUCCACUAUACAAAUAAAAACUAACACCGGACCAAACUUAAUUUACCUCUUAGAUGACUUGAUCCUUCAAACUGGUUGUAUGAUAGAUCUAAAUACCGGAGAGAUGAAAGCUCACUCAAAGAUAACAAAAUGCUAUCAUUCAAGUAAUUGUAACUUAAGUCAAGGAUCUCCAAAUUACUCAAUGUGAAUGAUAGCUUUCCAAAGCCUGUAGAAGUGUUCUUUUAAACAUAUACAAGCAGUUAGUGACUUUUCUUCCAUAAAAUAAAAUAUAAGUAAUUGUAAAUUAACAAUGGUGAGAAUAGUGGAAUAGUAAAAGAUAUAAUUAAGGAAAAAAAAUAAAGGCACGACCUUCAUUUUCAAGGUUACCACCUAUGGCAUUUCCCGACAAAUAAAGUCUCUUCAAUUCCUCAAAAGGAAGAAACAUAGAGGCAUUGAGAUACCAGACAAUGAGAUUCCUAUUAUCCAUGCCGUAUUCCCAAUUGUCUUCCCAUUUUGUAGAAAUAAGGGAGAGUUGUAUGAGUCUCCUAGUGGUGGUGUUACACUCAAAUCCUUCCCAUUUACAACAAUCUGAACCCUUCACCUCAACCCAACUUUGCAAUGGAUUACGAUAAACGAAGAAAGGCUUGAGAUGCAAGAGAGCGAUUCUCUCAUGCUCCAAACAAGCAUCAGUAGUACACCAUCUGCAUCCUUCUAACACCAACAACAUUAUUGCCAUCCUAAUAAACUAUAACCAUUUCCACUCCAUCAUCAUCAUCUCUCUGUUUUGUAUACAUAUGGACUACAAUUCAAGUUUCAUGCUUAUAAUUAUACCAAAUCAAAGUUCAUGUAUCAAAUUGCACAUUAAAUCAAAAUUUAUGUAUACAUUUGAUAUUUAUCUCAUUUAUGGGAGAUUAACUUUCUAAUGGUAUUGUUUUGUUUACAUUAAUCCAAAUAAUAGGAAAUGAUGAAUUAGUUUAACGCAAAUUGUAAUUCUAUUAAUGUUUCUUCUCAAACUUUUGGUUGCUCUUAUUUACAUGUUUUAUUAAUUGAUAGAUUUAAAUUCUUGGAAUAUAUUCGGUUAGAAUGAAGUGCCCCGAAUCCUUAUUUAAAUAAAAUACAGUGUUAAAAUAAAAGAAAAGUAAAAUCCCUACAGAAUUAUACUUCUUUUAUUUUAUUUUAGAAUAAGGCUUUUUAAAUCUUAUUAAACUCCAUCUAUUUGAUAUUGAUUAGAAUAAAGAGUUUCACUCCUAUUAGAAUAAAGUUUUACAAGCCUAUAAAUAGACAUAGUCUACUCCUCUUGUAAUUAAUUCAAAUUCGACAUAGUGAAUUUUCUUCUCCUCUGCCCGUGGUUUUUUCCCGAAAGGGUUUCCACGUAAAAUUUGUGUGUUCUUUAUUUUUCUAUUUCUAUUUUCUUUGUGAUAUAUUAUCAUUACCGACAUUUAUUUUCACAAAUUGGUAUCCGAGCUUCUGGGUUGUUCAUCGCAAUCACUGUAAUGACGUCUUUGAAGUAUGAAAUUCUACUGUUGGAUCGCAACACCAGAUUCGCAUUUUGGCAGAUAAAGAUGCAGGCAGUUCUUGCACAGAUGGACUUAGAGAAAGCCCUGCUAAGGUUAGAUAAGAUGCCUUCAACAUUGAUGGAGGAAGAGAAGAAGCACAAGGAUUGAAAGGCGUUAACACAAUUACAUCUGCAUUUGUCUAACGAAAUUUUGCAGGAUGUGAUAAAGGAGAAUACCGCCGCUAGAUUAUGGAAGACGUUGGAACAACUAUGUAUGUCGAAAACUCUAACUAGUAAGCUGCAUAUGAAGCAGCGUCUUUAUGCUCAUUGUUUGGAGGAAGGUGCGUCUAUGCAUGAACACUUGACAGUGUUUAAAGAAAUUCUCUCAAAUUUGGAGGCCAUGGAGGUUCAGUAUGAUAAGGAAGAUUUAGGGUUGAUUCUACUUUGUUCGUUGCCCCCGUCUUAUUUAACCUUUAGAGAUACAAUUUUAUAUAAUCGCGAGUCUUUCACAGUUGAUGAGAUUUAUAAUUCUUUAACCUCGUAUGAUAAGAUGAUGCAUCUUAUGGUUAAAACUGACUCUCAAUGAGAGGGUCUCAUUAUUCGUGAGAGAUAAGAUCAGAAUAUUGAUGAUGAUCAUGGAAGGACACAAGAACGGAAUCCUCGUGGUAAAUCUAAAGGUAGAUCGAAGUUUUCAAACAGAGGUAAAACUUGUAACUUCUGCAAGAAGAAAGGGCACAUUAAAUCUAAGUGCUAUAAGCUACAGAAUAAGAUCAAAAGGGAGACUGUGAAUCAAAAUGGAAAACAACCAGAAAAUUUUGGUAAGGCUAAUGUUGUAGAAUACUACAGUGAUUGUGAACUUCUAGUCGCUUCUGUCAAUAAUUUUAAAGUGAGCGAGGAGUGGAUCCUUGAUUCGGGUUGCACCUUCCACAUGAGUCCCAAUAGUUAUUGGUUUACAACUUACGAAAUAGUGUCUGAAGGUGUUGUUUUAAUGGGAAAUAAUACUUCAUGUAGAAUUGCAGGUGUUGGAACAAUUAAAGUUAAGAUGCUUGAUGGAGUUGUCAGAACACUUAGUGACAUAUGACAUGUUCCAAAAUUGAAGAGAAAUUUAAUUUCAUUGAGUACUCUUGAUUCAAAAGGGUACAAAUACACAGCUAAAAGUGGUGUUUUGAAUAUUUCUAAAGGUUCCCUCAUUGUGAUGAAAGGAUAGAGAAAGACUACCAAGUUUUAUGUUUUGCAAGGUUCUAUUGUUACUGGUGAUGCAGCUGUCGUAUCCUCUUCCUUGUCAGAUGAUGAUAUUACUAAACUUUGGCAUAUGCGCCUAGGGCAUAUGAGUGAGAAUGGCAUGGCAGAAUUGAGCAAAAGUGGACUUCUUGAUAGGCAAUGAAUUUGCAAACUGAAGUUCUGUGAGCACUACAUUUUUGGGAAGCAAAAGAGAGUUUGAUUCACCAGAGGAAUCCAUAACACAAAGGGAACGUUUGAGUAUAUUCAUUCUGAUCUGUGGGGGCCAUCCAGAGUACUUUCGAGAGGUGGAGCUAAUUAUAUGCUAACUUUUAUUUAUGAUUUUUCCAAAAAAGUGUGGGCGUUCUUCCUGAAGCAGAAAAACGAUGUGUUUUUUGUAUUUAAGUCUUGAAAAACCAUGAUUGAAAAACAAACGGGAAAGUAAAUAAAACACCUCCGCACAGACAAUGGCUCAGAGUUCUGUUUUGAUAAGUUUAAUAAAUUGUGCAAGUCAGAAGGGUUCAUGAAACACUUGAUAGUUCAUCAUACUCCACAGGAAAACGGCGUUACAGAAUAAAUGAACAGAACGAUCAUGGAGAAGGUUCGAUGUAUGUUGUCAAAUACCAACUUACCAAAGUCAUUUUGGGCUGAAGCAGCCUCUACUGCAUGAUUUUUAAUCAACCGAUCUCUAUCCAUUGCCAUUGAGAAAAAGACUCCACAAGAGGUAUGGUCUUGUAAUCCUGCUGACUAUUCUGAUUUAAAGAUUUUUGGUUGUCAUGUGUGUGUGCAUGUUGAUAAUGGAAAAUUGGAAUUGAGAUCCAUUAAAUGUGUUUUUCUUGGUUAUAAAGCUGAUGUAAAAGGGUAUAAGUUAUGAUAUCCUAAAAAUAGAAAAGUUGUGAUUAGCAGAUAUGUUAUUUUUUAUGAAACUGCUAUGCUACCUAACUUAUCUCUUAAAGAAUCUCUCAAUAAAGAAAAUCAAAAGUAGGUGGAGCAUCAGAUUAAUACAGAAUCUACAACAGAGUCGACUACUGAAGCCAGUACAAAAAUUCAAAAUAGAGUUGCUCCUUCACCAUAAUACUCUAUCGCCAAAAAUAGAACUAGAAGAGAAAUUAGACCUCCAAAGAAGUAUGUCAAGUCUGAUCUAGUUGCUUAUGCUUUAAAUGUGGCUAAAGAUAUAGAUGUAAAAUAAGAGCCAUCUAAUUAUUCUGAGGCGAUUAGUUGUGAAGACUCAGAAAAGUGGAUGUUUGCUAUGCAAAAGGAGAUGGAAUCACUCCACAAAAAUAAAAUAUGGGAUCUUGUGAAACUUCCUAAAUGUAAAAAGAUUAUUCGUUGUAAAUGGGUGUUUAAAAAGAAAGAAUGGACUCCAAGAGUUGAAGAACCCAGAUAUAAAGCAAAGUUUGUUGCAAAUGGUUACAGUCAAAUUCCAGGAGUGGACUUCACAGAUGUGUUCUCUCCAGUUGUGAAGCAUAGUUUGAUUCAAGCUUUACUUGGUAUUGUGGCCAUACAUGAUUUGGAGCUUGAACAGUUAGAUGUAAAAAAUGCUUUUUUGCAUAGAGAAGUUAAGGAGGAUAUUUACAUGCAACAACCAGAGGGUUUUACAGUCUCAGAAAAAAGGACUAUGUUUGCUUGCUGAAAAAGUCUCUUUACAGUUUGAAACAGUCACCAAGACAGUGGUACAAGAGGUUUGAUUCAUUUAUGACUUCUCAUGAUUUUAAAAGAAGUAGCUUUGACAGUUGUGCUUACUUUAAGAAAAACAAUGAUGGUUCUUUUGUGUAUCCACUCUUUUAUGGUGAUGAAAUGUUGAUAGCAGUGAAAGAUAAAUGAGGGAUAAGAAAGGUCAAAGCCCAACUAAGUGAAGAAUUUGAGAUGAAAGAUUUGGGACCAGCAAAGAAGAUACUUGGUAUGGAGAUUCUCAAAGAUAGAAAAGUAAGUAAAUUGUACCUAAGUCAAAAGGGGUACAUUGAGAAAGUUCUUUGCAGAUUCAAUAUGCAGAAUGCUAAGCCUGUUAGUACUCCUUUAGCAGCCCAUUUUAGACUUUUAUCGGCUUUGUCUCCACAAUCAGAUGAUGAGAUUAAGUACAUGUCACAUGUUCCAUACUCUAGUACAGUGGGAUCUCUCAUGUAUACUAUGGUUUGUUCACGUCCAGAUUUAUCAUAUGUAGUUAGUGAAGUUAGCAGAUACUUGGUGAAUCCCGAUAAAGAACAUUGGAAAGUAGUUCAGUGGAUUUUAAGAUACUUACGAGGUACUACUGAUGUUUCCUUACAGUUUGGAAGAACUAGAGAUGAAGUCAUUGGGUAUGUUGAUGCUAAUUUUGCUGGAGACUUUGAUAGAAGAAGAUCUCUCACAGGUUAUGUCUUUAUAAUCGGAGGUUGUGCAAUCAGUUGGAAAGCCACUUUGCAAACUACAGUUGCUUUGUCCACCACUGAAGAUGAGUACAUGGCGAUUACUGAGGCUUGUAAAGAAGCUAUUUGGUUGAAGGGACUCUUUAGUGAACUCAAUAAAGGCUUUCAAAUCAAUACAGUAUUUUGCGACAGUCAGAGUGCUAUCUUCUUUACAAAAGAUCAAAUGUUUCAUGAGAGAACAAAACACAUUGAUAUUCGGUAUCAUUUUGUUCGUGAUAUUAUUGCUUGUGGUGAUAUUGUUAUGAGCAAAAUUAGUACUCAUGAAAAUCCUGCAGAUAUGAUGACUAAGUCACUUCCUAUAACCAAGUUUGAGCAUUGCUUAGACUUGGUUAGUGUUCAUUGUUGAAGUUAAACCCUUAAGGGGUUUUAUGGAAUAGGUGGAAAACUUGAUCGUUGAGAGUUCGCGAUGAAGAACUUGUUCAUUAAGAAUUCGUGUCAAUGUGGAGAUUGUUAGAAUUAAGUGACCCGAAUCCUUAUUUAAAUAAAAUACAGUGGUAAAAUAAAAUAAAAGUAAAAUCCCUAUAGAAUUAUACUUCUUUUAUUUUAUUUUAGAAUAAUAUUUUUUAAAUCUUAUUAAACUCCAUCUAUUUGAUAUUGAUUAGAAUAAAGAGUUUCACUCCUAUUAGAAUAAGGUUUUACAAGCCUAUAAAUAGACAUAGUCUACUCCUCUUGUAAUUAAUUCGAAUUCGACAUGGUGAAUUAUCUUCUUCUCUGCCCGUGGUUUUUUCCCGAAAGGGUUUCCACGUAAAAUCUGUGUGUUCUUUAUUUUUUCUAUUUUUAUUUUCUUUACGAUAUAUUGCUAUUAUCGACAUUUAUUUUCACAUAUUCUAAUUAAUUAGAUAUUUCCUUCCUUCCAAAAGCCUUUCAAAAUAGGUUUAGUUUGACCAAGAUACUCUUGUAGAAAAUUUUAGUUUUGUGGGAAAACGAAAAACUAGAUUUAUUUUUUAUUCUAAUUGGUUUCAUAUGCAAGGUAUAUAAACUUUUGUGUCGCUGCAAUUUUUUUCCAACAUAUGUAUGUGAUUUGUGGGGUUUCAAUUUUGAAUUUUUUUUAUAAUUUAAUUAAAUUGUGAAAGUAUUUGAAAGUUUUUAAGUUGAUACAAUGUUUAGAACUACCCCAACACCCACCCAACCCUUAAAUAGGAGGAUAAACAUGCUUCAGCACGCUCAAACUCACAUUCUCCUACAUCUAUGAUAAUACUAAUGCCAACCGAGUUAAGACUCAACUAGCCUUGAAUUUUGAAUUUUACUUCUGAUAUAUUUUGAAUUUUGAAAUUUUAAUUUUGACCCAAACAGUAGCAGUUAAUUUAAUUUGAUUAAAUUUAAUUACUAGACCUAUAUUAUGCGUACGAUUAUUGAUUAGUCUAUACUCUCAAAUUGGGCAAUUCUAAGUACCUAUACUUUCUGAAUUUUGAAAUUUCAGUCUUGAUGCAAAUGACAAUUGUUAAUCUAUUAAUUAGAUUUUUAGCGAGUAAUAUGUAAAAAUAACAAACUGGCAUAACAUUACACAUAUGAUAAUAUGUUUAUUGCACCGCAUUUGAAAAUAGCCGAAUUUAACAAAUAUCGUUAGUGAGGAUUGGAAAUUAGAGUCUAGGGAUUAAAUCCACAAGUUCAGUAAAUUACAAGAACUAAUGGUAGAAUUUAACCUUUAUAUAACCUUUAAAUUCUAACCGUGGUUUGCACACUACUCAGCCGACCAUUGGCUGUGGUGGGAACACAAACUGUUUGAAUUUGACAUCAGUGAUUGAAUUUUCAUAGCUAAUAUGUACGUUCCUUCAAUUUCUCCAUAGGAGGGAGUGGAAUACAUUAUAUAAGGUAAUAUUUGAUAUAUUCGGUAAAUGAAUAAUUGCAAGAUAUCUCAUUAUCUAGUAAAAUAAAUAAUGAAAAUUUUAUAAAUAAAUAUUAAUAAAAUAUUAUUACAUAUAUCAACAAUGACAUAGUAAGUUGCAUUAACUUUUAGAUGUUGACUAUUGACUUUUGCAUCAACCUUGAACUUACAUAGGCCCCUACAAUAAUUUAGGUUAUGGAAAUAAUCUUGCAAAUAAUGCUUGAGACAUCAUUAUACAUCAAUUUAUAGUUUUAAUUCUUGUACUUACUCAAUUGGAAUAAAGAUUUAGUUUUUUAUUUUCUUUUGAUACAAUGUCUAGAAUUAUCCAUAGCCCUUUUCCAACCCUUAAAUAAAUGAAUAAUGUGCUUCAGCGUACUCGAACUCACAUCUUCUUACAUUGACAAAUUGCUGAUGCCAAUUAGUUAAUGUUAAUGCUAUACUUUAGUUAAAAAUAACUAACAUUAUUAAAAAAUUCAUUAGUUGGCUCAUGUGGAUUUUUUUUCAAAAAAAUUGAAAUUAAGAACCAUAAAUUCUUUAAGACUUAAAAAUUAAAAUUAUGUGGUUAUUAAAAAAGAUUUAUUUUUUAUUAAAUUAUUAUUUAAAAUAAAUUUAUCUCAUCAUAAUGAUAUGAUUUUUUUCUUUAAAAAAUCCACAUUAACCAACUAAUAGAAUUGUAUAAAGCUGCCACCAAUCUCUUAGCAUGAUGGCAAAAGAUUCAGAGGCAGCCAGAAAAUCUUUUGAGGGGCGUGAAUAAAGUUAUAUAUUUUUAUAAUAGCAAAAGUGAAAUUUUAUUAUUAUAAUAGUUUAUAUCUUUAAUUUUUAAAAUAUUAAAUAAUUUUUUUCUUAUUUUUGAGGGGAUAAAGUAUAAGUUUAUCAUAUACUAAUUUUAAAAUUAUAAAAAGACUAAAUGUGAAAUUUUUCAUUUUAAGGGGUGGGGCCCUGUCAGGUCUCCUUGGCUUCACCUUGAUAAAAGUAUUAUGUAAUACGUAUAAAGUUUGAGUUUAAUCCCAAACAAUCUCAUUUCUUAUCCCUCAUUAUAAAAUAAUAAAAUAAAUAGAGCAAUUGAUAUGAGGAGACAAGUAUAAUAGGGCAAUUUUAACCUGGGCCAGAUUUCAAAACAAAACCCAAACCAAAUAAUAAAAGAGUCCAAAAUAAUUAAAACAAUCCAUCCAUUUUACAAACAAACCCAAAUUAGCAGCCCAAAUACAAAUUAAAACUCAAUAACCCAAAACUAACUAUAGCCCAAUUAGCUAAACACUUAAACGCAACAAAAAAAACCCUAUCCCCCUAAGCCUCCAACGCUGCAUGACCACCUACGCCGCACGUCGUCGCUGCCGCUCGAGGCUCGCCUAUCUUCGACCAUCCACGCAUCUGACACUUGCAAAACCAAGGCAACACGCAACAACAAAGGCCAAAUAGAGGAAACAACAAGGAAACAGACAAAAAAGGAAGAAACAAACAGUUUUGAUUCGGCUAUAAAAGCCCGAAUCUCACCCUUGUAAUUUUUUUGCGAACAUUAGAAAAUAAAAAAACAAAAACAACACUUUCAAGGUGAAUUUCUACUUUUAUUUCUGUUUUAAAUACUUAUUUGAUUCUAUAUUCAUAUUUUUAUUUUAUUUUUUAUAUAUAUACGAAAAUAAUAAAAUAAAAAAAGGAAGAAAGGGCUCACCGGAGACGCCCCGUGAUCGUGCCGUCAGAAGGCUCUUCUCCGUUGUUGCCAUCGGAUCCGAGAGGGGGUCGAGAGUCUUCCUCUUUCGCUUUUUUGGGUCGAGAGGGCUGGGCUUCCAAGGGAGCUGCGAAACGGGGGCUAAAAAUGCCCUUUUGCGCAACACCGACCACCGGCCACGACAGCACUACGACGGCGACCAUGGCCGGCCAAGGGGUGGGCUGAGAGAGAGACCAAGAGAUACUGAGAGAGUUCUCUGUUUUUUUAGAAAAAUGAAAGUUGAACCGUUUUUUUCUUCUUUUUUUUUGCUAUUUAUAUAGGGUAUAAUACGACGCCGUUUUGGACUUAAGCAUCAGUGGCCAAAACAAUGCCGUUUUGCAUCAGACCUGAAAAUCGACUCGAAUGCGGCCAGGAUCUGCGCGUUUUAGCUUUGAGGAGCUAUUUGCAUAUUCAGCCCUUCCGCUUUUGUAGUAUAGUGCAAUCUGGUCCUCGUUGUUUUUAUAUUUUGGCCGCAUAAUUUUUUGAUUGUUUUACUUUGGUCCGAGCUGAAACGCUGCGCAUAGGGGCUAGGAAUAUUGCCCAGUCGGUCCCUCAUUCCUUAAGCGCGCUCUAUUUCAGUCCCUAGCAACCCUUUUUUUUAUUUGUAAUUUAAACCCCAAAUUCUGGGUCGAUUUUAGUAUCAUCCUUAGUCCAUUUAAUUUAUUUGUUCACUAUUUUUUAUUUAAAAAACUCUUUUAUUAUUAUUUGUUUUAAGUUUUUUUAUUUAUCAUUUAUUUUAAAUUGUUUUACAUACUAUUUAUUUAAAUUUUUUAUAUAUUAGUCAUUUUAAACCAUUAUAUGUACAUUAUCUUUUAAAUUUUUAUAUACAUAUAUUUUUUUUAAAAAAAACUGUUGUAUGUUUCUUAUUUAUUUAUUUUAAACUGUUAUUAUUAUUCAUUUUAAGUUUUUAUAUACUGUUUAUUUGAAGCCGGUUAUUAUUUAUUUUUGAAUUGUUCUUAUAAAUUAUUUACUUUAAAUUAUUAUUUACUUUGAAAUUUUUUUGCAUAUUAUUUUGUUUUGUUUUUUUUAUUGUUAAUAUUAGUAUAAAAAUUAUAUACAUUGUGUGAUUAUUACCGCCAUGUGUACUAUAAUUAGUUUCUUCGUGUUUUCAUAUUAUUAUCACUCAUUAACAUAACAUUUUUUUCAUAAAUUGUUAUUUUAUGUUCUAUGUUAUCAUUCCAUUUCACUUCAUCACUUCGAAAGUUGCAUUCAAUUUGUAUUUACCCAUAAUAAACCGUUCUAUUUUGUCACAAAUAAAACAAAUGCACCUCGUUCAAGCAUUGUACUCACAAUUAUUCAAAACGGGGAAAAGUUUUAAAAUAAGACAAUAUUUCGCAUUUUGGAGAUUUGAGAAAUUGUACCCUAACUUACGGGGUUUCAAUUUUCUCGUUGAACCUAAAUAGCAAAAUAUCCUUCUAAUUUUCAAAAUUUACGAAAUUCCAAUAAAGUUAAAGGCUAGCUUAUUCUCAAGGGUUCUAAGUGUCGUGUCCUAACUUACGGGAUGUGACAUUUAUUAUCUCGAGACGAGAGGAUCUUUGACAUUCGUUUCAAUUUAUUCAAGCAAAUUCUUUUAAAUUAAAAUAGCGUUAACAAAAGGGGGAUCGUGUUUUAAAUUCUUUCGAAGUUUUUCAAUUUUUAACAUUUAGACAUUAAUUAAUCAAUUGAAUACCAAUUUUGGGCGUGACGAGGGUGCUAAUCCUUCCUCGCAUGUAACUGACUCCCGAAUCCGUUUUCUCAAAUUUCAUAGACCAAAAUCACUGUUUUGAUAAAUUAAAAUAUUUUAUUAAAACAACUAAAUUAUGAGGUGACCUAAUCACACCUCAUAAAAAAAAGAUUGGUGGCAACUCUCGUUUUAAUUUCCAUUUUCAAACCAACGUCGACCCUUUUAAAAAAAUGGUUUCAAUAUUAAGUUAUAAGUUGAAUGAAUUAAAAAUAUGUGAAAAGUGUAAAUAGAGACUCUUCAAUCUCAUUUCCUCUAAUGCUCUUUUUUUAAAUUUUUUUUUAAAUUUUUUAUGUACCUUUUAAAUAGUUAAUGAAAAUAAAAAUAUUUUGAUAAUUUUCACUUCGAAAUGCAAAAGCCAACAACAGUUUUUGACUACAAAAGCGGUGUGUUCUUCAUCACUUCUCAGUGGAAAAACACUUCUGCAAUGUAACAACACUUUUAACCCAAAACGGCUUUUUCACCACAAUAGAGAAUGCACCCUAAAAUUGUAAAUAGAAAAAAGAAGGAUCAAACAUUGUUUCUACCCUGUUUUUGUCUCCUCUUUGAAAAUACUUUCCAAAAAGUUUUAUCAUUUUUUUUUCUGUUUACAAAUUCCUUAUAGAAGUGCUUUCUUUUGAUCCACUUGCAUCAUUGUAAUAAGUUUGCAUUGCCUUCUAACUUUCUAUGUUGAUUACAGUUUAUUAAGUUUUCUGUUGGAUCUUAUAGUCAAAUUCCUUUACAUCAUGUAUGUUAAUUUGCUUAGCCCUGAUAAAUGUUAGAUAUAGGGUUAUCAGUGUCGAAACCACUUUUUUGGCGAACAAAAAUUAGUUGUUGACUUUAAAAACGAAAGUUGGAGUCGCCAUCGAUCCUUUAUUGGGGUGUGAUCGGCUCACCUUAAAAACGAUUUUGGUCUGCAAAAUUUGAGAAAACAGGUUCGGGAGUCGGUUACGCAUGAGAAAGAGUUAGCACCCUCUUAACGCCCAAAAUUGGUACCGAAUUAAUUAAUUAAGGUCUUAAUGCCGAAUAUCGAAAAUCUGUGAAGAAUUUAAAAAUACGAUCCUCCCUUUUUGUUAAUGUUAAUUUUAUAAAAGAUGCUUGGAUAAAUCGAAGCGAAUGCUAAAGACCUUUUUGUCUUGGAAUAAUAAAAUGUCACACCCAAUACGUUAGGACAUGACAUUUUAGUCCUCGAGAAUAAGCUUGUCUUUUGAUUUUCAAAGCUCGUGCGGUGAAGUUUAAAAAGGAUAUUCAAUUGCUUUAACUCAGAUGAAAAAUCGGAGCCCAAUACGUUAGGGCACAAUUUCUCAAAAUUCCGAGCAUUGAAUAUUGCCCUUAUUAUUAUUAUUUUUAAAAUCUUCAUCUCGAGAAAAUGACAUGUCAUAUCCAAUAUGUUAGGACACGACGUAUCGAAUUUUCGAGAAUGAGCUUUUUAUUUAUGCUUUAAUUAAAAAAGGAUACCCGGUUUCUUAGAUUCAACGAGGAAGAUUGGAAUCCAAUAAGUUAGGACACAAUCUUUUCGAGGAUCCUAAAUUCCGAGUGUCGCGUUAUUUUUGAAAAAAAACUUUUUGAAUAAAAAUGCUCUCGAUACUUGAAUGAUAUUAAACGUAACCUUUUAACAACGAAUAAAAUGCGACGGGACGAUAAUGUAUAACGCGGAAUGACGAUUUGUAAACAAAAUAUACUCUAACGAAUGACAAAUAAUCAAUAAAAACAAAUAAACAUUAUCAUACAUAUAAGAGCAAUAAUCACAUGUAAAUAUUAACAUCAACAUUUGAAAGCUAAUGACCUAAAAGCCUAUCGCAAAUACAACAAAUUUAAAAUAACUAAAAAAAAAGCAUGAGAGAAAAGAAAUUUGAAAUUAUCAACAUAUAUACACAAAAUACACGUAUAUAAAAAUUUAAAAGAAAUAAUUAAUAGGAAGACUUGAAAUAAUUUAAAAAUAGAAUUAAAAAUGAAUAAUAAUAUCUAAAUGAAUUUUAAAAUAAAUAUUAUAAGAAGAAAGUCAAAAUAAAUAAAACCCAAAAUAAUACACAUAUAUUAAUCUAAAUAGGUAAUAGAUAUAAAUUACGUAUUAUAAAAGAAAACUAUUUAAAAAGGGUAAAUUCUAUUGGAUUAACAUAAAAAUAUAAAAUAAUUUAUUAUGAAAUUAAAUAAUAAUAUAUGAUAAUAAUAUAAAAAAACUUAAAAUAAUAGUGCAUAAUAGAAUAAAAUAAUGAAUAUAAAAAGGUUAGAUAAAUUGAUAAAAAAUAAUACUAAUAAUAAUAAUAGUAGCAGUAAUAAUAAUAAUAAUAAUAAUAAUAAUAAUAAUAGUAAUAAUAGUAAUAAUGAUAAAUUAAUAUUAAAGUAAUUAAUUUGAUAGCAAAAAUAACAAAACAGAUUACUAAUUUGGAAUUAAAACAGAAAUUUAGGGGUAAGACGUGCAAUAAAAUGAAAUGAAAAGGACCUAAUUGAAAUUAAUUUAAAAUCAGACUGACUAGCAAAGAAAUUAAACGCACAAGUCUCACCUGGCAAUCAAGUCAGAUCAUCAGAAACGGCGUCGUUUCGAACGUUUGUCUCCUCAACUGACAGAAGGACGAAAUUGAAAGAAAUAUCGAAUUAUGUGGCAAAAUUAAAAAAGACAAAGAAGGAUUAAAAUGAAGUAAAUAAAAAACAGAAGGACCAAACAGGAGAAUAAGCCAUUGAAACAAAACACGCGGAUCCUCCCCGGGUCAAAUCGGAUCAUCGGGUCAACCAACACGGAGACGUUUUGAAGCCAUUAAAUCGGGCUUAAACGGCACCGUUUUAUUAUCGUUAAAAACCUAAAAAAAUAAAACCCUAAUAAUUUGUUUUGCCAUCCUAAAACAGAUCAAGAGCCUAGCCUUCUCCCCACCGGUCUCCACUCACGAACCCAAUCUGACUCCGAUUCAGACGGAGCAAACCAGAUUCCAAUGGCGUCUGCUCUGGUAAGACGCUUCUUCUCUCCCUCUUUUUUUUUCGUUUGGUGCCAAAGAAGAAAACAAAGAAUCAAAGAAAUAAAAGAGAAAAAAAAACGAAGAAAAUCACCUUUCGAAAAAACUUUCUGUUUUGAUUUUUUGUUUGUAUUCAAUAUGCGUAAAAAAGGAUUACAAUGGCCUUCUCCCUCUUUAUAGCCGAAUAUUCGAAAUAAAAUGAAAGAAAAUACAAAAAAUUCUCUCUGCUGCGUUGUUUUCGUCUUCUUUGCAGGUAAGGAGGCUAGCUGGCGUAAGGAGGUGGUGGACGUGGCACAGCACACUCGGGGAAGGCCCUGGUGGCUGCGGCGCUGGAAGGAGGGCUGUUGCAGCUAGGGUUUUCUGAUUUUUUUUUGGGCUAGGGUUGGGUUGAUAGUUGUAUUGGGCUAGGUAUUUGGGCUGGGUGUAGUUGGACUAGAUGUAUCUGACUUUGGGUUUGUACCGGGUCACUGUAAAUGGGUUUGGUUUUUGUUGUUAUUGGGCUGUGAACUAUUUGAGUUUUAAUUAAUUUUUAUUUAUUUGGUUUUUUAUUGUGGGCUGGGCAAAUUGGGUAUUACAAUCAGCUAAUUAGGAAAGACUGUGAUGAUAGUCACACCUUACAUCCAAAAGCAAAGCUUUUUUUACAUGUGUAUGUAAGGUUGCUAAGCAAAUCUGGUGAGCCUUCACUGCUGUUUUAAGGUUAAGUUAAUGUUCCUUUUCGGCAAAGAACAUUAUCGAGAUCACGGUAUUUUGAUCGCCUUUUGCUUCUUGUUAUUCGUUCUGAAACGAUUGCAUAAUCUUUACUGUGAUUGCAGGAUAUAGAGCAACUUUUGAAUUUCAUCGCUGUAAAGUGUUUAGGACCACGACAUGUUCUUGCAAAUUUGAAGAAGCUUCUAAGGUCUGUCCAGUCUUCAGAAUAUAUAGAUACCUGAAUUAAUUUUGAUUUUGUAGGAUCAACUAUAAUUAGCUACUUAUUAGAGUAUGAAUAGACAACCUCACCUUCUUCACACACUGACACGUGCGGAUUUUUUGCCAAUCCCAUUUCAAAGGAUCACACUUUUUUGUUGUUUACAGAAUCAUAAUUAAUGUUAAUUAAAGUGGAAUAUUUCAGAUUUCUGAUGAUGAGCAUAUUCUUGAGUAUUGCAGUAAAAAAAUGGGUGCGGAACUUAUUUGAACUUUGAAUGUAUGUUUUGUUGGUGAGAAUAUAAAGUUGAUAAAGAUUUGGUAAAUAGAAUAAAAUACUAUUUUUUAUUAGAAAAAUUAUUUGGUAGACUGCCAAUCGAUUUAUAAUUAUCAUGACGCAAUAUUAAGGGUAAUUAAAACAUGUCAUAUUACAAAUAAUAAAAUUAUAAUGACUCAAAUAUACGAACAUGUCAAAAUUUAUGUACAACGAAUUAUUAACAUGUCAAUGUAUAGUAUAAUAUGGUACGCAAAAAUAAGAUAAUUGCUUGUCUUUAAUUGAAUUGUUAUAACACAUUAUACAAAAUACAUUGUGAAUUAAAGCAUAAUAUAAUCAUGAUAUCAAUAUAUUAAAUUUUUUAAAAAUUCGAUGAUACGAAUAAUUAUGUAAAAUAUCACAUGAUACAAAAUGACUUGAGAGGAAAAGAGGAACAAAGACUUGCNNNNNNNNNNNNNNNNNNNNNNNNNNNNNNNNNNNNNNNNNNNNNNNNNNNNNNNNNNNNNNNNNNNNNNNNNNNNNNNNNNNNNNNNNNNNNNNNNNNNNNNNNNNNNNNNNNNNNNNNNNNNNNNNNNNNNNNNNNNNNNNNNNNNNNNNNNNNNNNNNNNNNNNNNNNNNNNNNNNNNNNNNNNNNNNNNNNNNNNNNNNNNNNNNNNNNNNNNNNNNNNNNNNNNNNNNNNNNNNNNNNNNNNNNNNNNNNNNNNNNNNNNNNNNNNNNNNNNNNNNNNNNNNNNNNNNNNNNNNNNNNNNNNNNNNNNNNNNNNNNNNNNNNNNNNNNNNNNNNNNNNNNNNNNNNNNNNNNNNNNNNNNNNNNNNNNNNNNNNNNNNNNNNNNNNNNNNNNNNNNNNNNNNNNNNNNNNNNNNNNNNNNNNNNNNNNNNNNNNNNNNNNNNNNNNNNNNNNNNNNNNNNNNNNNNNNNNNNNNNNNNNNNNNNNNNNNNNNNNNAUGGUCUUCUAGGCUUGGUACCUAGUUUUCCAUUCUUUUUAUCCGUUCUAAUUCCACUUUUGCUUUAGUAAAAUUUUCUUAUAGCUAAGAAAGAAAAAAAAAACUAUUAACAAGUAAUUAUAUAUAUAUAUCAGGUUUUCAAUUGCUUUCAAGACUCAAUAACUUGGAAACUCUCGAUUUAAGUCGGAAUUCUUUUAAGAAUAGCAUUUUGUUCCAUAUGAGAAAUCUUUCAUCCUUGAAGACUUUAAGAUUGAGCGGUAAUCAGUUGAAAGGAAGGCUGGAUCAUAUUCAAGGUAGACUAAUUUUACCUGUUUCUUUUUAACUUUAAAAAUCAAUGUAUGCUCAAGUUUGAUUUUAUCAUACGAUGAAUGUAUAUAACUAAUCAAUAUUUGGGAUUGAAUUUCAGGAUUGAAUAAUUUGACAAAUUUGAAGUACUUGGAUUUAAGUUGGAACGACAUUGAAAGCAUCUCAAACAAAGGUAUAAGUAUUUGUGCAAAACUUUCUUGACCGACUCUUAUUCCAAAAGGCAAUGACAGACUUCAAAUGUAUUUUCUUUAGUGAAUUUUUAUUGCAAAAAUGGAGUAUUAUUAUUUAUUUAUGUUUUGUAGUAACUAAUUAUAUAAUAUAUAAAUCAGGUUUUCAACGGCUCAUUAAAUUGGAAAUUAUUGAUAUAAGUUGGAAUUAUUUGAAGAAUAGCAUUCUUUAAAAUAAAUUCAUGUUGAAGGAAAAGUUGUUGCAAUAAGUCAUUUGAUUUUAUCAUAUCAUGAAUAUAUAUAAGUAAUCAAUAUUUGGGAUUGAAUUUCAAAAUUGAGUAAUUUAAGUAGGAAGGUAUCUCAAACAAAGUAUUUAUAUAUUGAAUCAAUUCAUGGGAAAGCUUGUAAAUUGGCUCUUCCUUCUCAAACAAUCAUUUUUCCUAACUUUUUAUAUCUUGAAUGAUAUUAACUAUACUCAUUAUUUUCUUCCAAUGAUAGAUGGAACACAAUGGAGGCUAACAAACUUAGAGGAACUUGAUUUGAGUGGUAAUCUCUUUCGGAACAACACAAUUUCCUUUCCUCAAGGGCUUUCAAGCCUAAAGUCUUUGACUUUGUACAACAACCAUUUGCAAGGCUCAUUAGAUACUAUAGGUACCAAAGCUAUAACUUUGUUUUUCUUGAUAAUUCUUUCUAGAACCUUUUAAAAUUAAUUGUUUCAAAUUUGAACAUUCACAUUUCACUUUUGAGGAUUUUCAUCUUCACUUCCAGUUUUAGAUUUACUUUUUUUUUCAUUUUUAUUUCAUUAAAAUAUUAAGUAGAAAUUAAAAUUAUUAACAUAAUGAUUUUUUAAAUUGUACGUGGAUAUGUAUAGGAUUGAGCAAUUUAACAAAUUUGAAGAAACUCGAUUUAAGUGGGAAUCAAAUUGAAAGCUUUCAAACCUUUAAAGGUAUGCAUUUAUAUUUAACUAAUUACCUAAAUUCUUACAUAUAAUUAAAUUUUAUGCCAAUUCAUUUCAGUGAUGAAAUUAUAUAAAUCUUUUGUAGAUGGUGGUAGAAAAUUGGAGUUGACCCACUUGGAAGAGCUUUAUUUAGAUGGAAAUCACUUCAAUACUAGUGUAUUUGCAUCCCUUAACAAGCUUUCAAAUUUGAAAUCUUUGAGCAUAAGUGAGAAUCAAUUGAAAGGAUCAAUAGAUAUGAAAGGUAAAAAUAUUAGUUUUUUAACAAGAAUAUAAUAAUGUUUGAAGAGAAUAUAAUGAAGUUGAUUUGUUGUUUUUGUUUUCCUAGAUUUGGAAGCAUUUAUCAAAUUAAGGGAACUAGAUAUGAGCUAUAAUGAAUUGAGAGAUUUUGUGAUCCACCAAGGUAUCAUUUAAUUAAUUUUCCUUUUUUUUUAAUUUAGAAAUUUAGUUUUGAUCUAUGAUAUUAUAAUAACAGUUAUUGUCAUAAAUAUUAAUAAAGUUAUAUCAUAUCAUACUUGAAAGUAAAAUAUGGGUUUGGUGAAACAUUUUCUAAACCCUCCAUUAUAAUGUGUUUCGACUUUGGUUUGAAACUAAAAUUCUUUAAAUUUUUCAUAAUUUUUAAAUAUUAAUGUUUAUAAUUAUUUUGUUUGUAUAACUAUGUUUUUAAAAUAAUUUAUUGAAUUUUUAUGAGAUAAAAAAUAAUUAUAACGAUAAAAAAUGAUAUUAUAAGUAAAAAUACAUAUAUUUAUGGGAAAAUAUGUAAUAUAACUAUAUUUUAAUUUCAUAUAUUUUUAAUAGUAUAAAACAUAAAAAUACAUAUUAGAGUUAAAUAAAUGGCAUUUUUUGGCCAAAAAUAAAUAAAUGUCAAUUUUGAAUAAUAUAAAAAAAAACUUCAAUUUUAUGAAAUUUAAACAUACAUUUUGAGGUGUUUAAACUUUUUUUUUUAACUUUUUAUAAAUUUCAAAAUGCACAUGUUGUUAAUUUUUUGGUUUUAAAAAAUGUGAUAGGUCUAUGUACUCUUUACAAAUUUGUAAUUUAAUUCUUGUAUUUUUAUUUUCGGGAAUUUGAUCCCUCUAUUUUUUAAAUUUUAAAAUCCAAGUUCAAUUGUUAACAUUGUUAUUUUUUUAAAAAAUAAUUUAUUGGUGUUGACAUUUUAAAAUAAAAGAACUUGGUAGCGAUGUAACUAAAAGAUGAUGUAAUGAACAUGGAUUUAAUAAAAUAAUUUCAACCGUAUAAAUAGUUAGACUUGAAUUUUGAAAAAAAAAAUUUGUAAAGAGAAAAAUAUGCACAUUAGAUUUAAAUAAAAAUAAUAUUUUUUUUAGUUUAAAAUUUUCUAUUUUAUAAUAGAACCAUUGAUUUAAAUAAAUGAGAUUUUGAAGAAUUUCCAAAAAAAAAAAACUAUGUAGGUGAAAUUUAAAUAGAGAAUUUGAUAAGCUGAAAUUCUCUUUUGGAAUUCAUAAAUUUUAAAAUUCAGAAGCAUGUAUUUUGACAAUUUUGAUUUAAUAUGGUGAAUUUAAUCAAAAAAUUAUUUAUUAGAUUGUAAAAUAUUUCUUAACAUUUAUAAUUGAGUACAAAGUAAAUUAAGUUUAAGGGAAAAUAUUGGGUACUAUUAAUGAAAUUCUUUUCUUUUAUCAAUUUUUUUUUAAAAAAAUCGGGGUGGUACUAUUAAUGAAAUUCUAAACUUCAUAAGUAGGAUUGAGAUAAUAACAAAUUUCUUAUAUGGUAUAGUAAAAUAUUAAAAAAUAAAUAUUUAAAAGAAAUAGGUUAGUGGCCAUUUUUUAACUUCACUUGUAGAGUUAAAAAACUCCAUUACCAGUACCAAAUACUAACAUUAAGGUUAAAUGCUAAUUGAUUUCAAACAUAUUUGAGUUUUUUAAAAGAAUAUUCUCAUAUAUUUAAAAGAAAACAACACAAAGUUAGAAGAUCUCAUCUUGAAGGGUAAUUCAUUUACCGGUCCUCUCACAUUACCGUCAGCUCCUAACUCUAAAGUGUCUUUAAUUGACAUAUCCCAAAACAAAUUGCAAGGUCAGAUUCCAACCAACGUGUGUUCACAUUUUCCACAUUUGAGCCACUUAUUCUUAUCCAAGAAUGCCUUCGAAGGUGAUAUCCCUCCUUGUUUGAGUGGCAUGAAGGAUUUAUCGAUUUUAGAUUUAUCAGACAAUCAAUUGUCUGGAAGAGUACCUGAAGAGUUAAUCACAAAAAACUCGUUGACCAUUUUGAGACUAUCAAACAACAACCUCAGUGGACAUGUGCUUCCUGUGAUUCUCAAUGCAAAUGGGCUGUCAAAAUUAUAUUUGGAUGGAAAUAAUUUUUCUGGGGAGAUGGCAAAUGUUGAUGUCUCUAUUUCUGAGUUUCCAACUUCACUAAGGGAAAUUAAUCUCGGAAAUAACAAGUUUUAUGGAAACCUCCCAAGAUGGAUGGGGAAUGUGUCAUUUUUGGAGAGAUUAGCUUUGUCCCAAAAUGGUUUCGAGGGUUCUAUUCCAAUGGAAUUUUGCAACUUGAAUCGCUUGGAAUUUUUGGAUCUCUCUGAAAACAAUUUAUUUGGCUCUAUACCGUCCUGCUUUAAUACCCUAAACAUAAAGCAUGUCCACCUGCACGGGAGUAGACUAAGUGGCCCACUACCAAUCGCUUUUUAUAAUAUCUCUUCACUGGUUACGUUAGAUCUUAGAGGAAACAAUUUGACUGGUAGUAUUCCAAAAUGGAUUGGCACACUUUCUUCAUUGAGUGUUCUUCUCUUGAAAGAUAAUCAUUUUCAUGGUGAAGUUCCAGUUCAGUUAUGCAAGUUGGAUUCUUUAAACAUCAUAGAUCUUUCUCAAAAUAUGUUUUCUGGUAUUAUACCUUCUUGUUUGGGAAAUUUAACCCUUUCAACGGAAACAAAUAAGAUUCUAACUGAUUCGAAAAUUAGUCCAAGGUUAACAGGGGACGGAUUAGUGAAAACAUUGGGAGCUCUCGGAAAUUAUUACUAUCCUGAAGGCUACUUAGAAGAAGUAAUAGAGUUCACAACAAAGAGUGGGUUCUUAUCGUAUGAGGGAAACAUCCUUACAUAUAUGACCGGGAUUGAUUUAUCUUGCAACAACUUAACUGGUCAUAUCCCACCAGAAUUAGGGAACUUAAGUGAAAUCUAUUCUUUAAACUUGUCGCAUAAUAAGUUGACAGGAGUUAUACCCUCAUCAUUCGCAAAACUUCAUCAAAUUGAGAGUUUGGACCUUUCUUACAACAAUUUGAGUGGUGAAAUCCCCAAUCAGUUGGUAGAGUUGAACUCUUUGGAGGUUUUCAACGUGGCAUACAACAACUUGUCAGGUAGUAUUCCCGAACCAAAAGCUCAAUUUGGGACCUUUAUUGAAAACAGUUAUGAGGGAAAUCUUUUUCUUUGUGGAGCUAUAUUGCAUAAAAGUUGUUCCAAAACCGAUUCACCAUCAACGAUAUCAACUCUAUCAGAAUAUAAAGGAGAAGAUGGUUUGAUAGGUACUUAUGAUUUUUGUGUGAGCUUUUUGGUUUCUUAUGUAGUUGUGUUGUUGACCAUUUUUGUUGUCCUCUACAUAAAUCAAUACUGGCGAAGAGUUUGGUUUUCUCUCAUUGGGAAAUGCAUCACCACCUGUCGCUACUCAAAUGUGGGCAAUUUUCUUACUUAUCACAUUUUCAAGCAAUGAGUUUAGCUACUCAAAUUGUAAUUUGAUUUUCACACCUAAAUGUUUAAUUAUGCUAAGUUGAGCGAUAAUGAAUAUUUUGUUGAUUUUUGCAUUUUAAAUAAAAGCUCUUUGAUCUUAUGAUUUUAUCAUUUUCAACCAUCUAUUUCUUUUUUCUUCUAUGAAAUUUAAUGUAAAAUCAUAAUCCAUUAUUAUGUAUAUGCAAUAUCUCUUUGAAUUAAAUUAAAUUGAAUACCAAGCGUUCACUAGUGCAUACUGAAAAGGAAAUCUAAUGUAAAAUUAAACCAAACAUACUAGAAAAAUGAAUCUGAAACUGAAAUAUUUUAAAACCUCAAAAACAAUGCAAUUCUUUAUUCCUCUUUUCCUUUCAAGUUAUUUUGUAUCAUGUUAUAUUUUACAUAAUCAUUCAUAUCAUCAAAUUUUAAAAAAUAUUUAAUAUUUUGAUAUCAUGUUCAUAUUAUGCUUUAAUUCACAAUGUAUUUUAUACAAUAUGUUAUAACAAUUCAAUUUAAAAAACAAGCAAUGAUCUUAUUUUUGCAUACCGUAUUAUACAUUUACAUGUUAAUAAUUCAUUGUACGUAAAUUUUGACAUGUUUGCAUAUUUGAGUCAUUAUAAUUUUAUUAUUUGUAAUAUGACAUGUUUUAAUUACCCUUAAUAUUGUGUCAUGAUAAUUAUAACUCGAUUGGCACCAAAUAAUUUUUCUAAUAAAAAAUAGUAUUUUAUUCUAUUUACCAAAUCUUUAUCAACUUUAUAUUCUCACCAACAAAACAUACAUUCAAAGUUCAAAUAAGUUCCACACCCAUUUCUUUACUGCAAUACUCAAGAAUAUGCUCAUCAUCAGAAAUCUGAAAUAUUCCACUCUAAUUAACAUUACGAUUCUGUAAAAACCAAAAAUGUGUGAUCCUUUUUUAAAGCUCUUUUUUUUUUCCUUUAAUGAAAUGGGAUUGGUAAAAAAUCCGCACAUGUGUCGUGUGUGAAGAAGGUGAGGUUGUCUAUUCAUUCUCUAAUAAGUAGCUAAUUAUAGUUGAUCCUACAAAAUCAAAAUUAAUUCAGGUAUCUUUAUAUUCUGAAGACUGGACAGACCUUAGAAGCUUCUUCAAAUUUGCAAGAACAUGUCGUGGUCCUAAACUCUUUACACCGAUGAAAUUCAAAAGUUGCUCUAUAUUCUGCAAUCACAGUAAAGAUUAUGCAGUCAUUUCAGAACGAAUAACAUAACAAGCAAAAGGCGAUCAAAAUACCGUGAUCUCGAUAAUGUUCUUUGCCGAAAAGGAACAUUAACUUAACCUUAAAACAUCAGUGAAGGCUCAUCAGAUUUGCUUAGCAACCUCACAUACACAUGUAAAAAGCUUUGCUUUUGGAUGUAAGGUGUGACUAUCAUUACAGUCUUUUCUAAUUAGCUGAUAACCCUGUAUCUAACAUUUAUCAGGGCUAAGCAAAUUAACAUACAUGAUGUAAAGGAAUUUGACUAUAAGAUCCAACAGAAAACUUAAUAAACGAUAAUCAACAUAGAAAGAAGGCAAUGCAAACUUAUUACAAUGAUGCAAGCGGAUCAAAAGAAAGCACUUCUAUAGGGAAUUUGCAUUUAAGGCAUCGUAAACAGAAAAAAAAAUGAUAAAACUUUUUGGAAAGUAUUUUCAAAGAGGAGACAAAAACAGGGUAGAAACAAUGUUUGGUUCUUCCUUUUUCUAUUUACAAUUUUAGGGUGCAUUCUCUACUGUUGUGAAAAAGCCUUUUUGGGUUAAAAGUGUUUUUACACUGCAGAAGUGUUUUUCCACUGCAGAAGUGAUGAACAACACAUAGCUGUUGUAGUCAAAAACUGUUUUUGGCUUUUGCAUUCAAAAGAGAAAAUUAUCAAAAUACUAUUAUUUUCAUUAACUAUUUAAAAGGUAUAUAAAAAUUAGAUUAAUUUAUAUUUUAUAUAUUAUUAUAUUAAAUUGUUUAAAUCUUAUUUAUUAUUAUAUUUAAUUUUUUCAAAAUAUUUUAUAUAUUAUCAAUUUUACAACUAAUUAACAAAAUAUUUUACUAGGGAAUACGUAUAUGUGAAUAUCUAUAAAUGGCAUGCCUGGAUAUGCAUAUCCUUUGAUAUCAAAUAUUUUGAAAAAAAUAUUAUCAAUUCCACUGAUAUAUUAUCAAUUCCACUGAUAUAAAGCUCUUUAUAUUACCAAUAUAAAUAUAAAUAUUUUGAAUAUAAAUAUCCAUUGAUAUAUUAUCAAUUCCACUGAUAUAAAGCUCUUUAUAUUAUAAAUAUUUUAUAUUUUUUUUCAAAAAUAUGGAUAUGCAUAUCCUUUGAUAUCAAAUAUAAAGGUAAUAUUUAUAGGAAUUGUUUUUUAAUUAGAUAUUUUUAUAUAUCAGUGGAAUUGUCAAAAUAUUUUCAUUAACUAUUUAAAAGGUAUAUAAAAAGAGCUUUAUAUUGCCUCAAGCGCAAGGCACAAAAUGAAGCGCUAGCCUGUGUGCAGUAAAGCGCAAUACGUAUAUGUGAGAGUUUUUGCAAGUCUGUGUGUCUAUAACAUAAAAGUUUAAGAUAUAUAGUAAACUCUAAAGUGUGGUCUGGUUUAUCCACAAAACUUGAAAUUUUUUUAUAGGUGAAUGCUCAAAUAUUGAGAAUUAUAGAGUUUGAUAUUAUCCCUUCCUUAUUAGUAAAGGUAUAUCAAAUGAAAACAGUGAAAAAUAAAAUAAAUUAUUGAGAAAUUCAACAAGGCAGGUUUUUCUAAUGCCCAUUGCCUUACAAAAAAAGUGUGCCUAGGUGCACCAGGCAUGCGCUUGAUCAAAUGGACCUCACCUGGAAGGGUCCAAGGCGUUUUGUUGUAUAAAACUAAGGCGUAGGCAUGCCUAGGCGCAUGCCUUGACGACACUGACCAUAUGUUGGCUUUAUUGCAAAGCAUUAGCAAUUCAAAACUACUAGCACAUUACCUAAUCUACUACUGCUAGAAUAGGACUCAAGUUCUUGCUCCUGUGCAGGUCCAACCAAGAUCUUUACAGGAUACAGUAAUGAAACUUGUGAUAUCAUAUAUUGUUGCCUUGCUCGAAGCUUCCUUUGCACAUUUUUAAGUUUAACACAACCCCUUUCUUCAGUGAGUAAUCUAUUUGCUUCCUGUGAUAAAAACAACAUAUAAUCAAUCAUGCCAUGCAUGCAAGACUACCAACCAUCUUAAAAAAGAGACAAAGAAGUAGGACAGCAAGAAGGGGAUAACCCUUGACUAUGCAAAGGAAUUCAUAGAAUGAGAAUCAUCUCAUCUAAGCCCCUCAACCACCUUCACAGGGGGUGGAGCUGCAAAAAGAGAUGUCUUAUUGAUCCAAGAGGAGAAUAAAUAACAUCUAAAGCUGAAUAAGAAGAAACCUUCAAAUGUAUCAUAAAUUCAGCAUUCAUGAUAAUAUCAAAAUGAAAUUCCAAAGCUAAUUUAAGCUAGAAUAAAAAUGCUUCACCUGUAAUCGCUUCCUUGCUACAGAAAGAGAGGUACCAGCAACCAACAAUGAUCUUACUUCAGUACUAAGCAUUUCCUCCUGUUUUUUAGCAUCCUCUGUUGCAACUUUGCAACGAGUUGACAUUUUGCCAUAACUACUUUCCUUGCCUCUAGUCUCUCACGCAUUUCCUCAAGCUCGUUCAGUUUAUUCAAAGACUCAUUUUUUACCUGCACAGCAUGUUCCCGCCCAUUAAUCAGUGGGCCAAUUGAUUAGGUCACAGAAGACAAAACUAAAUUACCACUCACCAGGUCCCCUUGAAGUGUCAUAUGGCUUUAACAAUUCAACGUGCAAUAUCUAGUAAAAGUAAAAUAAACAUAGAAGAAAGCAAAUGCAAUUCUUAAACGCCUUUAAAUGGACAACAUGAAACAGUUUAAGAGCCCUAUAAAACAGUAAAGUGGAAAAAAAAUCUGAAAAGGAAAAAGAAAUGAAUUGAAACAAUAAAUCCAUCAGGUACAAACAGCAACAAAACUUGAAAUAAGCUUUGGCUUUAGCCCAUUAAAGCCCGGGCAUCCAGCCAAAUAAACAGUGACUGCCAUGUCAACUUUUUGAGACGGUAGAAAAGAGAUCGAAAAUCUCAAUUUCCAAAAAUAAGGACAUAAGAAGUAAAAAAAUGCACUUAUUCUUACAGUAGAAGAGCAAAAUGAAACUAAAUGAAGCAUAAGGGAACUGAUGCGAAUUGACAUUGUCAUUUUUGGGACUAAAAAGAAUACGCAGAUUGAAUAUUUAAGAUUUGGAAGGGAAAAGUUCCAUUCACCAACACAAUUAUCGUCGCCCUUCAUCCUAGUAAAGCUUAAUUGACAAUUUUUCUGUCUCGUGUUCUUGCUAAAGCAUUUGAGCAACCCAACAGAAAUCAUUAUAUUUCAAACUGAAAUGAUUGGCUUUAUCAAUUUCACAACCUAUACCGCCCAACCUAGUAAGUAAUUUAGGUGCAGACACCAGAAAUCUAUUUCCUUUGCACUCUACAACUAAAUAGCCUACCACUUAUCAAUCAAACACAGCUGAAAACUUCAGUGAGGAAACAUUAUGAAAACUGAAAAAACUAUAACUUCAACUUGAUUCAUAGCUCGGCAAGUUCAGGGAAUUGGGACUUCUACCACCAUGAUCCAGUUCGAUGUGAAACAGUGAUCUAUAUCACGCAUAUCGGUUCCCGCAACAAGAGGUAAAACAGCAAAUUAGGUAAACGAUGAUCCUACUAUAUUUCAGAAUAGCAACAUUGAGCAUGAAAGCUAAAGUUAUAGCAUAUUAUGGGUCCUUGCUCUCUACAACUACAUAUAAAAUUACUAAACAAUAUUACUACAUUAAGGAUCCAGAAAAACUUUGUUUCAAUUGUUGAUCACUUGAUCCAACUAUUUUAGAAAGUUUAUUCUUCUUUUUCCUUUCCCUUAUUUUCUAAAUCAGGAAAAACAGUAGCACAUAAACUGGAUUACUACUCCAAGUUUCUAAAAUUUCAGCAAUAUCCCUUUAACCUUUUCACUCAAGUCACUACCCCCCCAAUUAACAAAUAUAUUCCCAGUUUCCCUUUCACUUCAAACCCCCUUUUUUUUUUCUCUACCCAAAUUCAGCUUAAGUUCAAAAACCCAAAAUUGGUUUGCUAAAAAUACAUAAUUUUCAAACACAAAGGUAACCUAAUUUUAAUCAGAAAAAAAAAGCAUUACCUGAAUUAGUGAAUGGAGUUUCUCUUGAAGACUUUGUUUUAAAACUAUCUUAUACUAUUUGCUUUAAAUCGAUUUUUAUUAGCUAUUUAAAACUCGUUUUCAUGUAUUAUUUAUUUUUUUAUCACUUAUUUAAAUUGUUUUACAUAUCUAUUUUUUAAACCCUAUUUUAUUAUAUUUUACUUAUUUUAACUUUUUUACAUAUUUCAUUAUAAAUAUUAUUAAUUAUCUAUAUUGAGUUUUUCAUUCCAUAUGUAUUACUUAUUUAGAUAAAUAUAUACUAUUUUGUGUAUUACUUAUUUUGAUUUUCUUCUUAUACAAUAUUACUUUAAAAUUCAUUUAGAUAUUAUUAUUUCACGUAGUAUUUAUUUUUAUCUUCAUUUUUUAUUUAUUUCAAACUCAUAUAUUGUUUAUUUUGAAAUUUUAUGCAUAUGAUUUAUUGUUUAUAUUGAUGAUUUUAAAUUUCCUUUCUUGCAUGUUUUUUUUAUUUAUUUUAAAACUUGUUAUACUUUAUUUGUGUUAAUUUGCUUAGUUUUUCUUUCAAAAUUAACUUAUAAUUCAUUAGCUUUUAAUGUUAGUAUUUGCACAAUAUGUGAUGUAAGAUUAUUGCUUUCCUGUAUUGCUUAUCUGUAUAUAUUGAUUAUUUGUCAUUCAUUAGUAUACAUUUUGGUUUACGAAUUGACUAAUUUACCAAAAAAAGCCAUUUUUUUAUAAAUUACCGAAAUAGGCCGGUUUUUUAAUUAUUUACCGGAAUGGGCCAUUUCCCCCGAAAUCGCGCCACGUCGAAGCGAUGUCAGGGGACGGGGCAGAAGGUCGCGUCCACGUCAGAGCGACCUACUGACGUGGAAGGAAAUCGCUCCCCUGAGGGCGCGAUUUCCUUCCACGUCAGCAGGUCGCGCUGACGUGGACGCGACCUCCUGUCACUUUGCGCGGUACCGGGAAUGCGAUUUUGACCCUGAUUUUUACGCCUAGGUUUUAUGGCUUUUAGGGUUUAGGGUGCAGGCUUUUUAGGAGUUAGGGGUCCGGGAAAAUUAUUUUUCGAGUUGACGUUUCUGGUUAAAUAGUGGGAAAUCGCUUAUACUAGGAUGCUAUUUAAGAAGAAAUUGUGAAAUAGUGGCCUCGUGGACGCGAUUUCGCUACAGUGGUCAUGUGAGAAAUAAUUUUUUUAGACGUUUUCUGAGGAAAUAGUAUAAAAUCGCUGAUACCAGGAUGCUAUAUGAGAAGAAAUUGUGAAAUCGCGCCCUCGUGGACGCGAUUUCGCUACAGUUGGUCAUGUAGGAAAUAAUUUUUUUUGACGUUUCUGAGUAAAUAGUGUCAAAUCGCGCCCUCGUGGACGCGAUUUCGCUACAGUAGCAAGUUUGGGCUGAGGUUAUAAAUUAGGCAGAGAAUUUUCUUAGAAUGCAUAACUCAGAGCAGAAACAUUUUAGGUUAGGGUUAGGGAAUUUAGAGUUUCAAAAUGAGUGAAUGUAUUAGUGCUGUUAUUUACUACGAUGGUGAGGUUUGCCACACCGAGAAUGGUGUUGUUUUUUUGUCGAAGAAUACGAUGCGACUGUCAUUUAGCCAAAACAUAGAUUUGACAGAACUCCGUAAAAGAAUUAGGCGUAAAAUCUUCGGAACCACGCCAAUGAAAGUUCAGUCAAUGACGUAUCGAUUUUGUUCUUCUGUUGAUUCGGUGACAUAUGACUCGUUCGACAUAAAAGGUGCUCGUAGCUUAGAGGCAAUGGUGCAGACUCAUCUUGCUAGCGGAGCAACUUAUAUUGAGUUAUAUGUACAAUUUACGUCACCAAAUGAUGUACUUUCGUCCGGUGUUCGAGAUGUAUACACGACCCCUGGCCGACACUCGGUUAGUGUGUUACAAAAUACGGAACAGCCCAUGUUCGGUAGCGGUGUCGAAUGCACAUCCCCCCAAGACACUCUGUCGGUGGAUGGGACAUGUACGUCGGUGGCUCGACGGUUGACGCUGGAAAUACGAGCUGGUACGUUCAUUCUCUUAUUUUAUUUUAUUUCAUAUUUUGGGAAAUUUAGAACGAUAAGCGAAAAUGAAUAUAUUCAGAUUAGCAGGGGACAUGACCCAUUUGUUUAGUGUUCUUGUUUUGCUUCUUAAGAUCCACACAAUCAAGUCUUGUGCUGGUACGUUCAUUUUCCAAAUAUUUACUUUACUUUUUGUUUCUGGGCUUAUUUCAUUUUAUGUUGUACUUUUUUCCCAGUAAUUUACUGCUUAAUAUAAAAGAAUCGAAUAUUUAGGUUAAAUUGUGGGUGGGUUUUUGCUAGUUUAUUGAAUACUCAAAUUGGAGCCAUGUAAAAUGUGGAAACUUUAGCUUGAUAGAAAAUGUGACCCCCUUUUUUUUUAAUGUAUGGAAUAAAAAUUUUUGUAUUUUGUGAAUUUUUUUUUAGUAAUUUGAAUUUGUAUGUAUGUUCAUUGGAAGUUUAGAAGCAAGGAGUUCUGAUCAUUAGGACUUUAUGUGAUUCAUUCAUUUUGAGUUAUAGUGUAGUUAGUUGUUGGAUUUAGUGUCACUGUUGGCAUCUUAUUUUAGCUGAUUUCCUUUCUAUUUGUACCGAUAAACCUCUAGAGGUUUUGAAAUUAGCAACUGAUUUUUUUUAUGUGUGAGAGUUUUUAUGGAAAUCAAUAAGCUAAUUACAUUUUGCAGGAUCAUACAGUCGGGUUAGUGGUUUUUAUGUCAUGCUGGCCUAUGGUUUUGAGAUGAACAUCAUGAAAUCUGUAUAAGAUGAGGGUAUUAAACUAUAAACAUAGCCGAGGUAGCGAUUUAUUUCGUAUCAUGCUAUUGGAAGUUUUUUUGGGGCGGCAAUGUCAACUAAAUUUAUAUUCUUUUGAUCAAGUCGAUUAUUUCCAGUUGCACAACUAGCUUGUUGGAAAUAUUUUCUUUCUUUGCUCCUGUCCUUUUCACUUUCAUAUUUUAUGGGUGGUGUGAUGAUGGGAAGAUUCAUGGGUGGCUAAAGCCAUCUUACUCACUAGAAGUGAGGCUGUUAUUUUUAGAAGUUAGAGAUGCUAUAUCAAUUGAGGAUGCCGUGAGCAAAAGCUUGCUAAUAAUAAGUGACUGUUCAUAUGCGUGGGUUCUAUCACAUGUUGAUGGAGUAUUUGGUGCUCUUUCUUCACUAAUUUCAUAUGUAUAGAUAUAAUUGUAUAACAUCUCGACGUUGAUUACUGUUACGAGGGGAAAAAAACACAGCAUGUAAUGAAACUCAAAAAGUAGGAAUCCUAGAUCCUUGUAUUCAUUCAUAGGCAUUUUACAACAUUUGAUUUAACUUGAGCAAGAUUCCGUUUUGGGCCUGGUCUUUUCCUGUUCGUUCCCUUGUUUAUAUAUGAUGAAGUUGGUUCAGCAUGCAGGAAACUCGACAGCAUGCAGGCCAUGAAGACCAAGUCGUGCAGGAGCUGCUGGAACGAGCUGAACUUUUCCUAUUUUGUUCAUCUAGUAAUCUUAAGUUAAUGUAAUGUACUUUAGUUCAUUUAGAACUAUGUUAGGUUUAUGAUUGAUGUAAUUUUGAUGACAAUUGAGCUGUUAAGUCAGCUUUGUUUAAGUGUGUAAGCUUAGUUUUUCAAGUUUCAAUGUAUUAGUGGUAGUAGGUGAUGAUUAGGUAUCAUUAUGCAGAUUUUGACAAGCAAAUUGCUUGGUUUAUGUAUUGGCAUUAUGCCAUUGUUCAACAUAUGAAUGAAAUCAACUUUGUUCAUCAAUAUUCUCUCAAAUUUCCUCAGCUUAUUUUCUUUUUUCUUCAACUCGAAAUUGUUUGUUUGCUCAGCAAGAUUCGAGGCUUGCUCGACAAGAAACUUGCUGAGUCUGUUUGAUUCUGCUGUUGCACCAACAAUUGGUAUCAGAGCUUAUUUCUUAAGGGACCUGUUAUACAAAUCCAUGGCUUCAUCAAGUUUUUCACCAGCUGCACCUCAAGUCUUCAAUGGAGAAGGCUAUCACAUAUGGGUGGUCAAAAUGAAGACCUACCUGCAGGCAUUUGAUCUGUGGGAGGUGGUCAACUCUGAUGUUGAACCAGAGCCACUUAGAGCUAAUCCAACAGUGGCUCAGAUCAGGCAGCAUGCUGAUGAAAGGACCAAGAGGCACAAUGCUAUGUCUUGCAUCCAAAACUCAGUGUCUGAUGUGAUUUUCACAAGGAUUAUGGCCUGUGAAUCACCAAAACAGGCCUGGGACAAGUUGCAGGAAGAGUUUCAAGGGACUGAGAGGACAAGGCAACAACAGUUGUUAAACUUGAGGAGAGAUUUCGAGAAUUUGAAGAUGAAGGAAGAAGAAACUGUCAAGCAAUAUUCUGACAGGAUUAUGGCUGUGGUUAACAGCAUCAGGCUCCUUGGAGAGCAGUUCAAUGAAGCUAGGAUAGUGGAGAAGGUUAUAGCAACUCUGCCUGAGAGGUAUGAGGCAAAAAUCUCAUCUCUCGAGGACUCAAGGGACCUGUCCACCAUCUCCCUGACAGAGUUGAUCAAUGCUCUAUAUGCUCAAGAGCAGAGGAGAGCAAGCAGACUGGAGGAGCACCAAGAAGGUGCCUUUCAGGCAAGAACAAAUACUUCCUACAAAGGCAAGAAGGCUUGGAGAGACAAGCCAAAGGAUGAUGCUGCAAGGAGAGAAGGUCAAACUUGCAAGCACUGCAGAAAGGCUGGUCAUUCAGAAGAAAAAUGCUGGUUUAAUCCAGAUGCUGUGUGUCAGCAUUGUAAGAAAAAGGGCCAUGUUGAGAGAGUUUGUAAGAGCAAUGCCAAAACAAGGCGCAAUCAGGCUCAACAGAUGAAAGCUGAGGCUCGAGUAGCUAAGGAGGACAGUGACCAAGAGGAGCAAGUCUUUACUGUGUCAUGCUCAGCUGCUCAGGAAAGGUCCUCAUCUGGUUGGCUCCUAGACAGUGGAUGCACCAACCACAUGACACCUGAUGCUGCAAUCUUCAAGUCUUUAGACAGAAGCUGCAGAACUAAAGUCAAGAUAGGAAAUGGUCAUUUUAUUCAAGCUGAAGGCAAGGGUGAUGUUCUGAUAUGCACUCUUACAGGUACCAAAGUGAUUUCAAAUGUGCUGUUGGUGCCUGAAAUUGACAGAAACCUGCUCAGCAUAGCUCAGUUGCUGGAAAAAGGUUACUUAGUUGUGUUUAAAGACCACCAAUGCCAAAUCAGUGAUCCAAGUGGAUCCAAACUGAUGGCAGUCCCUAUGGCUGAUAAGAGCUUUGUGGUUGACUGGACAAAAAAGUCAGACAUUGCCUACACAGCCACUUCAGAUGAAUCCAAGCUGUGGCAUCAAAGACUGGGACAUGCCAACUUCAGAUCGAUGGCCCGAAUGAUCAGAGAAGACCUGGCUGAAAACUUCAUCAACUCAGUAGACCAUGAUGAUGUAUGUGAAGUAUGUCAGCUAGGAAAGCAGGCCAGACUCCCAUUUCCCUCGAAUCAAGCCUAGAGAGCCUCUGAAAAACUCCAACUGGUGCAUACUGAUGUGUGUGGACCUAUGAAGACUGAGUCAUUAAGUGGAAACAGGUAUUUCAUACUGUUCAUUGAUGAUUUCUCGAGAUAUUGCUGGAUUUACUUCUUAAAACAGAAAUCAGAGGUGGCCACUGUGUUUUGGAAGUUCAAAACUGCUGCUGAGACUGAAACAGGCUGCAAGGUGAAGACCAUAAGGUCUGAUAAUGGGACUGAGUACACCUCAGCUCAGUUCCAAGCCUUCUGUGAUAAGGCAGGCAUCAAACAUCAACUUGCCAACACAUAUACACCUCAGCAGAAUGGGGUAAGUGAAAGGAAGAAUAGGAGUUUGAUGGAUAUGGCCAGGUGCUUGAUGAUUCAGAAGAAUCUGCCUAAAGCACUAUGGGCAGAAGCAGUUAACACUGCAACAUACAUUCAAAAUAGACUUCCAACCAGGGCUUUGGAUCAAAAGACCCCAUUCGAGGCCUGGUUUAGCUUCAAGCCAUCACUGGCUCAUCUGAAGGUCUUUGGAUGCAUCUGUUAUGCACAUGUACCUGCUGUUAAAAGGGACAAAUUGUCUGAAAGGGCUCGACCUGGUGUUUUGGUGGGCUAUAGCACUGUUAAGAAGGGCUAUAGGAUUUUAGAUCCUUCAACAAACAAAGUGUCAGUAAGCAGGGAUGUGGUAUUUGAUGAGAGGUCAUGUUGGAACUAGGAAAGACAUGAACCUGAAGAAGUUUUUGAAGAACUUGCAGCAGACCAAGCUGAGCCAGACCAAGAUGUCCCUGAAAUGGAUAUUGAUGAUGAACCAGUCAGAGGAACAAGGCCAUUGGCUGAAAUUUAUGAAAGGGCUCAUGUAGCCAUAGUUGAACCAAGCAACUUUGAAGAGGCUGAGGCUCAGCAAGGGUGGAAGCAGGCAAUGGCUGAGGAGAUCAGCAUGAUUGAGAAGAACCACACCUGGAAAUUGGUUGAAAGGCCAGUCAAAAGGAAAGUGAUUGGGGUGAAAUGGGUGUACAAAGCCAAGCAGAAUGCUGAUGGUACCUUGAACAAGCUGAAAGCAAGGCUAGUUGUCAAGGGGUUCAGUCAGAGGUAUGGCUUGGACUACCUGGAGACCUUUGCACCAGUGGCCAGGCUCGACACCAUCAGACUGCUGAUUGCCUUAGCAGCACAGCUUGAAUGGAAGAUCCAUCAACUUGAUGUGAAAUCAGCUUUUCUGAAUGGUUUCUUAGAUGAAGACAUCUAUGUUGAACAACCACAAAGGUUUGAAAUAGCUGGCAGAGAGCAUAUGGUCUACAAACUGAAAAAGGCCCUAUAUGGAUUAAAGCAGGCUCCAAGGGCCUGGUAUAGCAGAAUUGAUGGCUACUUGACUGAUCUAGGAUUCGAUCGAAGCAAGAGUGAGCCAACACUGUAUGUCAAGAAACAAGGGACACAAAUACAACUCAUUGUGUCCCUGUAUGUUGAUGAUCUUCUGGUGACAGGAGGAGAUCGAGUAGUGCUGGCUGAUUUUAAGACCAAGAUGCAGGAAGUGUUUGAAAUGUCUGAUCUUGGGGAGAUGUCAUACUUUCUUGGAAUGGAGGUGUCUCAAGUAUAGAAUGAGAUAUUUCUAAGCCAGAGAAGCUUUGCCACAAAGAUUCUGACCAAGUUCUCCAUGCAAAACAGCAAGGCAACUAAAACACCUAUUGCUGUUGGAGAAAAACUAUCGAGCCAAGGUGAUUUUAAGAAAGUUUGUGAAACAACCUACAGGAGUCUAGUUGGUUGCUUGCUAUACUUGACUGCCACUAGACCAGACAUUAUGUAUGCUGUAGGAUUGCUCUCAAGGUUCUUGCAUUGCUGCAAUGAGAAGCAUUUCCAAGCUGCAAAGAGAGUGCUGAGAUAUGUCAAAGGCACUUUAAACUAUGGUUUGAAGUACAGUAAAGAAGGAAAUCUGAAGCUGAUUGGCUACACUGAUAGUGACUGGGCUGGCUCGAUAGAUGACAUGAAAAGCACCUCAGGGUAUGCUUUUAACCUUGGUUCAGCCAUGUUUUGUUGGAGCUCAAAGAAGCAAAGUCUAGUAGCUCAAUCUACUGCUGAAGCAGAGUAUGUGGCAACAGCAAGUGCUAUCAACCAAGCCAUAUGGCUAAGAAAAAUAUUGGCUGACUUGAAUGUGCAUCAAGAGCAAGCUACUGAGAUCUUCUGUGACAACCAAUCUGCAGUAGCAAUUGCUAAAAAUCCAGUGUUCCAUGGAAGAACAAAACAUUUCAGCAUAAAGUUGCAUGUUGUUCGAGAAAUGGAGCAAGCUCAGGAAGUAAAGCUGGUCCACUGUAAUUCAGAAGAUCAACUUGCUGACAUUUUAACCAAAGCUCUUAGUGUCACAAGGUUUGAAUAUCUAAGAAAGAAGCUAGGUGUUUGCUCCAUGCAAACCAAGGAGGAGUGAUGAAGUUGGUUCAGCAUGCAGCAAACUCGACAGCAUGCAGGCCAUGAAGACCAAGUCGUGCAGGAGCUGCUGGAACGAGCUGAACUUUUCCUAUUUUGUUCAUCUAGUAAUCUUAAGUUAAUGUAAUGUACUUUAGUUCAUUUAGAACUAUGUUAGGUUUAUGAUUGAUGUAAUUUUGAUGACAAUUGAGCUGUUAAGUCAGCUUUGUUUAAGUGUGUAAGCUUAGUUUUUCAAGUUUCAAUGUAUUAGUGGUAGUAGGUGAUGAUUAGGUAUCAUUAUGCAGAUUUUGACAAGCAAAUUGCUUGGUUUAUGUAUUGGCAUUAUGCCAUUGUUCAACAUAUGAAUGAAAUCAACUUUGUUCAUCAAUAUUCUCUCAAAUUUCCUCAGCUUAUUUUCUUUUUUCUUCAACUCGAAAUUGUUUGUUUGCUCAGCAAGAUUCGAGGCUUGCUCGACAAGAAACUUGCUGAGUCUGUUUGAUUCUGCUGUUGCACCAACAAUAUACCUCCACUGUGCCAUUGUGUAUUUGUGUUCGAUUUUCAGUUCUGUCUCACAAUCCCUGUCAUGUCUUAUGAGUGAUUUUCUGGCUCUAAAUAUCUAUGAUAUAUUUGUGCAGGCAUUUCACUGAAGACUCAGGAACUCUAUGCUAUUGUCUUUGCUACUCGUUACUUGGACAUAUUCACUAAUCAUAUCUCGCCUUAUAACACAAUCAUGAAGCUAAUAUUCCUGGGCAGCUCUUUCUCAAUUGUAUGGUACAUGCGGUAUCACAAAAUAGUUCGUAGAUCUUAUGAUAAGGACCAGGAUACAUUUCGACAUUACAUCCUUAUACUCCCUUGCCUGAUUCUUGCCCUUCUUAUAAACGAGAAGUUCACCUUCAAAGAGGUAUCGACAUCCUUUUGUUUGUUGGAAUAUGAUAACAGUAUGUUCAUAUUAAUUACUGGUUAACUUAGAAGCUCCCUAAACUGUUUAUCUGUUUUAUAUUAAUUAUUCAUUAUUAUCCUUCUGGUUAUAUUUUUAUAUAUUGAUUAUUGUCUUAAAAAAAAUUGUUGAGCAGGUCAUGUGGACAUUUUCCUUGUAUUUGGAAGCUGUUGCGAUACUUCCUCAGCUUGUAUUGUUGCAAAGGACUAGAAAUAUUGACAACUUGACUGGACAAUAUGUGUUUCUCCUUGGGUAACCACUGUAUUCUUUAAAAAUCCUAAUCAGUUGCAAGUUUUCUAUUUUAUUACCUUGCAAUUUGCAUGAAGGACCCUUAUUUCCUGGCUCAGUUCCCUAAAAUGUUGCCUCCUUCCUGAGGAAACAAAAGAGAGAAAGUCUCUAAAUAGAGUUGCCAUCAUAUUGCCGCUUGGUUGCCACUGAUUUCUUUUUGAUGAAAAGUUGAUAUGAUUAUAUGUUGGACCAAAGUUAUCUAUUUUCAGAUGUGAUUAACUGCAGUUGAAUUUUGCGAGUAUGACUGUUCUUGUGUAACUUUUGUUAUGUGCUUUCAUGUCGUUUUUAGUCUUUUACACUGUGUUCUGUCUAUCUUUGUUUGCUAUUAUCCUAAGUUAGGAGACAAGGUGCCAUUAGGAGCAAUGUGACGUCAAAAUUCAUUUCCCUUUAGCCUUCAGUUCUACCUUUUCUUCCCUUUCUUUAUGUAGUUUUUGGGAGUUGGGGAUCACAGCGAUGAUAGUCGGUACAUGUGACUUGAAAGAUGCCUAAAAACUUCAAGAGCAUAGUGUUGUAUAAAUCUUUUGGAGAAAUUUUUUUGGUACAUUGAUGCCAACUUACAAUAACCCUUGCCACUACAACCGUGGCUUUGUUGGCUUAUGUAUGCACUCUCUUUGUCUUUAUAGGUCACCAAAUUCCUAAUGUCUAAUUCUUGGUUAUGGACUAAUAUAGUUGCUUGUUAUUGCAGUGCAUACAGAGCAUUGUACAUAGUGAACUGGAUUUAUCGGUACUUUACUGAAGACCACUUUGUCCACUGGAUAAGUAUGUACUCUUCUCUGUCUCCCUUCAUCUUUUACUCCAAGUCGGUAGCCAUGGGUGUAUGACGAGUGUGUCAAUAUAUCUACCCCAACACAUUUGUGAUAUACUAUGCUAUAUGUGUUAUUUCUAACACCUUGUUUACAUGAUUGCUGCCUUUCAGCUUGGAUUUGCGGUCUUGUCCAGACAUUGCUUUAUGCUGAUUUCUUCUACUAUUACUUCCAGAGGUAACCCCCUUUCUGACACUCUGGAAAGCACUUCAUACCUAUGUGAAUGAUUGCAACUUAUUUGAUUAUUAUGCCUGCAGCUUGAAGAACAACAUGAAGCUCCAAUUACCAGCUUGAGAUUUUAAUGGUGCAAGUUUUGUAGUAGCAUACAUAAACUUACAUCAUAUGGGUUCAAAUUUAUGAGUAUUUCAAUUAAUUUUAAUUUCACUAUGUUAUAUUGUAAUAUCAUGUAAAAAGUAUCAUAAAAGCAGGCAUAAGUUUUCCACCAAUUAGAACAUUUUGAAAAUUGAUGUCAAGCCCGAAAUGACCGUCACAAGUAAGCAUAUUAAACGUGUGAAGAGAAGACCUUAUUUUUCCACAUAACUAAAACUUUUUACACCAUAGGAACUUUCAUCGUCAUCAAGUUGGACAUGGAUGGAGCUCACGUAAAAAUAAUUUUUCAUAUAAAAACUAAAAACUAGAAAUUGACUUGUAAUAAUUCUCAAGGUUAAGGUUGACGUGGUCAAUAGUAAUGAACUUAUGUUUAAGGUUUGGGUUAUUUUUCUCAAUUAUAGAUUAGUAUUUUGUUCAUUGUAAACUUUGCUAACAAAAUUUAAUAUAUGACACAUAUCUGAUUUAAUUUAUUUUUAUUUUAUAAAACUUUCAUUAUUUGUUUUACUCAUUAAUGAAAUUUGGUGUGAAUACAUUAAAUAUUACCUUUUAUAUAUUUCACUCCCUCUUACUAUAUCUCAAUGGAGAAAUUGAAGGUCAUUCAAGGAAAUGGUAAUGUCCAUUUUCCACAAAACUAAAAUUUUCCACACGACAGAAACUUUCUUGGUCAAACAAGUUGGAUUUGGCUUCACCAAUAACUUAAUAAUCUGUACUAAAAUUUUCCACGCAAUAGAAUACGAACUCGUUCUCGUAAAUAUUUUAAAAAAUAAAAAAUUUAAUAUUAUGAGUUAACGAAUUAUCAAUUUAAUUAAAAAAAGUUGAAAGAUACAUUUUUUAAAAUUUUAUGAAAUUAUAUAUUAAUAUAAUUAUAAAAUUAUAGUUUUAACUUUAUAAAAUUUAUUAUUUAUCUUUGAUCUUGAAGAGAGACAAAGUAAAAUACCUAUUCUUGGAGCCAUAACGACAACUAGGAUUAUGAUUGCACAUUUUCUAAGUCUUCAUUUUUGUUAAUUAGGAAAGCUGAUGGGCAUCUCCACUAAGUUUCCACCCACAAGAAUAUACGUAUUAAUUUGUUUUUCUCAAUUUCCAUGAGGGGGGAUAUAAGCUUAAAGUUGACGUAGAAGUCAAUACUCAACAUUUGAAAGUUAAUGCAGUGAACUAUGUGCUUGUUGAUAUAUGAAAUGAUAUUUUCUUAACAAUUUCCUCCAACUAGUUCGUAGAUGGUGCUAUAUUACAUCACAAUGGGUAACCAAAUGUAUAUAAUUGAGAUUUUUAAGCAAAUAUUAUAUUUUAUCUUUAUCCAUGAAUAGUCUAAUAAUAAGGAUUAAUAUUUGGUACAUUGUCAGUGGAGUUUUUAAAUUCCAUAAGUAGGGUUAGAGGAUUGACACAUGCCAAUUUUUUAAUGUUGCUUGUGGGAUGCACUUGAAUUGUGGUUCAUAGAAGGAAAUUAUUAUAUAAAGGUUUAAUUCUACCAUAGUUCUUGUACUUUACUGAAGUUGUAGAUUUAAUUCCCAGACUUUAAUUUGAUAUUUUAGAUAUUUGUUAAAUUCAUAAAGUCCUACUAUUUCCAAAUUUGGUGUGGCAAACAUAUUAUCAUAGGUGUAAUAUCACUAAAAUUCAAAAGAAUGAGAAAUUUGUACAUAUUAUCAGAUGUCAAUAUCAAGUUGAGCAUUUCAAAAUCUAAAGUAAUAGUUCAAGUAUUUAUUUUUCCAUAAAACCAAAAUUUUCUACAUGAUGGCUUUUUUUUUGGCUAUUAGUUAAGAGGAAUUUUUUUAAUAACCCAAUUUAAUUAACUAAUUUAAAAAAUGGUUCAAGUAAAACUCAAGUCAUAUUAAAAAUAAUUAUUUAUAAAUUUUAUGUUUCAAAAACUAAUGAAUGUUCAAAGAAUAGUGAAUUAUUAAAGAGAAGUUAUAUGAUAAUGGAUUGUUUUAAAGUAGUGGUCUAGUAGAAAUAAAUAGUUUUUUAUAAAAAAAUAUUAUAUAAAUAAUUAAAUUUUAUAGUUACUCCUAUUUUUUUUAAAAAUAGUGAAUGUAAUAUUUUUUAAAAUGUUAAAUUAACUCAUGAUAUUAAUUAAAUCAAGAAAUUUUAUAAUAAUAGAGAUGAAAAAAACUAAAUUUUCAAAAUCAAAACCUAAAACGUGCAAGAAUAAAAGCAAUCUGAAGACUUAAAAUUUCCAUUAAUAAAACCAAAAUCAAAGAAGUAAAAUUUCCAUGAAUAAAACCAAAAAUGAAGACCUAAAUUUUCCAUUAAUAAAGCCAAAUCAAGACUAAGUUUGUAUAAGUGUAAGAAGGGUAUAAAGGAAACUCACAAGAAAGCCACAUGAAGAAUUUUAUAACUCCAACUACACGAUUUUAUGUCCACCUCUCACUUUUCAUAUUUUUUUUUGGCCAUUCAUUUUUCAAGAUUAACAUUAGCAUUCUUGUGGUCCGUUCAUCCUUUCCUAACCAAUUUCCACCAAGAGUUUUUGCAAUAAGGAAUUUACCUAAAUAAGAAACCUAGAUUGAUCCAAUUUUUGAGGAAUUAAUUAAUUAUAUAUUAUUUUUAUAUUAUAAUGAAUUAGUGGGAUGCAGUAUGUUCUGCUUGUAUAUAAAUAAGAAGCUUAGGCUUCUUUAGAUUAUAUACAUAUAGAAGUUAACAAAAAGUAACAUAUAGCUGAGAGAGAAGUGAAAAUAGAGAGAUGAUGAUGAUGGAGUGGAAAUGGUUAAGGUUUAUUAGGAUGGCAGUAAUGUUGUUGGUGUUAGAAGGAUGCAGAUGGUGUACUACUGAUGCUUGUUUGGAGCAUGAGAGAAUCGCUCUCUUGCAUCUCAAGCCUUUCUUCAAUUAUCAAAAUCAAUUGCAAAGUUGGGUUGAGGUGAAGGGUUCAGAUUGUUGUAAAUGGGAAAGAGUUGAGUGUAACACCACCACUAGGAGACUCAUACAACUCUCCCUUAAUUCUACAAGAUGGUUUGACAGUAUGGGAUACAAAACGGAUAAUAGGAAUCUCAAUGCCUGGUAUCUCAAUACCUCUAUGUUUCUUCCCUUUGAGGAAUUGAAGAGUCUUUAUUUGCGGGGGAAUGCCAUAAGUGGUAACCUUGAAAAUGAAGGUCGUGCCUCUAGUUUUUCCUUAAUUACAUCUUUUAUUAUCCCACUACUCUUACCAUCGUUAUUUUGCAAUUACUUAUAUUUUAUUUUAUUUUAUGGAAGAAAAGUCACUAACUUGUAUAUAUUUAAAAGAAUAUUUCUAUAGGCUUUGGAAAACUAUCAUCCACAUUGAGUAAUUUGGAGAUCCUUGACUUAAGUGAAAACUACUUGAAUGACAGCAUUUUGUUAUCUUUGAGUGAGCUUUCAUCUCUCUGGUAUUUAGAUCUAUCAGGCAACAAAUUUGAAGGAUCAAGCCAUCUAAGAGGUAAAUUAAGUUUGGUCUGGUAUUAGUUUUUAUUUGUAAAGUGGAGUUUGAGGAUGGUCUUCUAGUAAUUCCACUUUUGCUUUAGUAAAAUUUUCAUACAGCUAAGAAAGAAAAAACAAUUAACAAGUAAUUUUUAACUUUAAAAAUCAAUGUAUGUUCAUAUUCAAGGUAGACUGGUUUUAUAUGUUUCUUUUUUACUUUAAAACCAUUUUUUUUGUUUAAGGGACAGUUAAUGUUGCAAUAUGUCUUUGCUUUUAUCAUAUCAUGAAUAUAUAUAAUUGAUCAAUAUUUGGGAUUGAAUUUCAGGAUUGAAUAAUUUGACAAACUUGAAGUACUUGGAUUUAAGUUCGAACAGAAUUGAAAGCAUCUCAAACAAAGGUAUAAGUACAGUAUUUAUAUGUCAAUUCAUAUUAAAGGUAGACUGGUUUUAUAUGUUUCUUUUUUACUUUAAAACCAAUUUUUGUUUAAGGGACAGUUAAUGUUGCAAUAUGUCUUUGCUUUUAUCAUAUCAUGAAUAUAUAUAUAUAUAUAACUGAUCAAUAUUUGGGAUUGAAUUUCACGAUUGAAUAAUUUGUCAAACUUGAAAUACUUGGAUUUAAGUCGCAACAACGUUGAAAGCAUCUCAAACCAAGGUAUAAGUAUUUGUGCGUAGUAACUUUCUUGACUGACUAUUAUUCCAAAAGGCAAUGACAGACUUCAAAUGUAUUUUCUUUAGUGAAUUUUUAUUGCAAAAAUGGAGUAUUAUUAUUUAUUUAAGUUUUGUAGUAACUAAUUAUAUAAUAUAUAAAUGAGGUUUUCAAUGGCUCAUUAAAUUGGAAAUUAUUGAUAUAAGUUGGAAUUAUUUGAAGAAUAGCAUUCUUUAAAAUAAAUUCAUGUUGAAGGAAAAGUUGUUGCAAUAUGUUAUAUCAUGAAUAUAUAUAAGUAAUCAAUAUUUGGGAUUGAAUUUCAAAAUUGAGUAAUUUAAGUAGGAAGGUAUCUCAAACAAAGUAUUUAUAUAUUGAAUCAAUUCAUGGGAAAGCUUGUAAAUUGGCUCUUCCUUCUCAAACAAACAUUUUUCCUAACUAUUUAUAUAUUGAAUGAUGUUAACUAUACUAAUUACUUUCUUCCAAUGAUAGAUGGAACACAAUUGAGGCUAACAAAUUUAGAGGAACUUGAUUUGAGUGGUAAUCUCUUUCGGAACAACACAAUUUCCUUUCCUCAAGGGCUUUCAAGCCUAAAGUCUUUGACUUUGUUCAACAACCGUUUGCAAGGCUCAUUAGAUACUAAAGGUACUAAAGCUAUAACUUUGUUUUUCUUGAUAAUUCUUUCUAGAGCCUUUUAAAAUUAAUUGUUUCAAAUUUGAACAUUCACAUUUCACGUUUGAGGAUUUUUAUCUUCAAUUCAAGUUUUAGAUUUACUUUUUUUUUUCAUUUUUAUUUCAUUAAAAUAUUAAGUAGAAAUUAAAAUUAUUAACAUAAUGAUUUUUUGAAUUGGACGUGGAUAUGUAUAGGAUUGAGCAAUUUAACAAAUUUGAAGAAACUCGAUUUAAGAUGGAAUCAAAUUGAAAGCUUUCAAUCCUUUAAAGGUAUGCAUUUAUAUUUAACCAAUUACCUAAAUUCUUACAUAUAAUUAAAUUUUAUGCCAAUUCAUUUCAGUGAUGAAAUUAUAUAAAUCUUUUGUAGAUGGUGGUAGAAAAUUGGAGUUGACCCACUUGGAAGAGCUUAAUUUAGAUGGAAAUCACUUCAAUACUAGUGUAUUUGCAUCCCUUAACAAGCUUUCAAAUUUGAAAUCUUUGAGCAUAAGUGGGAACCAAUUGAAAGGAUCAAUAGAUAUGAAAGGUAAAUAUAUUAGUCUUUUUAACAAGAAUAUAAUAAUGUUUGAAGAGAAUAUAAUGAAGUUGAUUUGUUGUUUUUGUUUUCCUAGAUUUGGAAGCAUUUAUCAACUUAAGGGAACUAGAUAUGAGCGGCAAUGAAUUGAAAGAUUUGGUGAUCCACCAAGGUAUCAUUUAAUUAAACUUCCUUUUUUUUUUAAAUUUAGAAAUUUAGUUUUGAUGUCAAAUAUUAUAAUAACGGUUAUUGUCAUAAAUAUUAAUAAAGUAAUAUCAUAUCAUACUUGAAAGUAAAAUAUGGGUUUGGUGAAACAUUUUCUAAAUCAUCCAUUAUAAUGUGUUUGGACUUUGGUUUGAAACUAAAAUUCUUUAAAAUUUUCAUCAUUUUAAAAUAUUAAUGUUUAUAAUUAUUUUGUUUGUAUAAAUAUAUUUUUUAAAAUAAUUUAUUGAAUUUUUAUGAGAUAAAAAAUAAUUAUAACAAUAAAAAAUGAUAUUAUAAAUAAAUAAAAACAUAUAUUUAUGAGAAAAUAUGUAAUAUAACUAUAUUUUAAUUUCAUAUAUUUUUAAUAGUAUAAAACAUAAAAAUACAUAUUAGCGUUAAAUAAAUGGCAUUUUUUGGCAAAAAUAAAUAAAUGUCAAUUUUGAAUAAUUUAAAAAAAAUCUUUAAUUUUGUGAAAUUUAAGCAUACAUCGAGAGGUGCUUAAACUUCCAUUGCAAUCUUUUUAUAAAUUUCAAAGUGCAUAUGUUUUUAACUUUUUGGUUUAAAAAAAUAUGAUAGGUCUACGUACUCUUUACUAAUUUGUAAUUUAAUUCUUAUACUUUUAUUUUCAAGAAUUUAAUCCCUGUUUUUUUAUAAAAAAAAUCAAAAUCCUAGUUCAAUUGUUAAAAUUGUUAAAAUUUUAAAAUAGUUUGUUGGUGUGACAUUUUGAAAUAAAAAAAAAAACUUAGUAGUAAUGUAACUAAAAAAAUGACGUAAUGAACAUGGAUUUAAUAAAAUAAUUUUAACAAUAUUAAUAAAAUAAUUUUGAAUUUUGAAUUUUAACUUAACUCUAUUUUUGGGCCAAGAUUUAAUGCUUUAAAAUUUUCAUUUAAUCCGCUGAGUUUACUUAUAAUUCUUUUGAGUUUUAUUUAUUGGUGAGUAAAAUACCUAUUUGAUUUUUUUAUAUACUAUUGGCAUCUUUAAAGGUAAUAUAAUAAUUUUAGUGUAGACGUGUUUUAUUUUAUAAAUAUUAUUUAUAGUGUAGACAUGUGAAUUUUGAAUAAUUUAAAAAUAUCUUCAAUUUUAUGAAAUUUAAACAUACAUUUAGUGUAGACAUGUUUUAUUUUAUAAAUAUUAUUUAUAGUGUUGUUGAUUGGAGUUUGAAAAUUAUACAACUUAGCUAUAUCAGUUAAUUACUUAUAUUAAAAAAUAAUAUAAGAAAAUACUAAAAAGAAAAAAAAUAGUAUAAUUAAUAAAAUGGAUGAAGAGUUAUAUUAAAGUUUCAACAUCUUCUCUCUAUCAAAAUUUAUCUCAGAUAAAUCAUGAAUAAUCUAACUCAUAAAAAAUAUAUAUAUAUUUAUAUACUUCAUUUCAUUCACAGAAAAUAAAGCAUUCUACUUAGUAGAGGCUUUCUAUAAUACCGUUAUCUAAUACCUCUUGACAUUGCUUAGAUUCAAAUGUGUCGAGCAGUUUGGAGGAAAUAUAUCUUGACUAUUCUACUCUCAACACCAACAUUUUGCAAAGCAUUGGAGUAUUCGCUUCUCUUAAAACAUUGUCUUUAUAUCAUUGUGGACUUAUUGGUCCCUUACCUAAUCAAGGUAAAUAAUUUUAUGGCUCAAUUUGAUUUCUUUAUGAACUUUCUGUAAUAUAUUAUCUCCUAUUCUGUUUUAUAAAGCAAAAUUUAAUUGAAACUUCUUCCAUGAAUUUAUUUAUAAAAUUUUCAGGAUGGUGUGAUCUAAGGAACCUUGAAGUGUUGGAUGUGAGUGGGAAUGCACUUGAGGGGAUGCUUCCUCAUUGUUUUAGUAACUUGACAUCUCUUCGUGAGUUAUAUAUUUCAAGAAACCAUUUUCAAAUUCCGCUGUCAUUUGCACCAUUUGCAAACCUUUCAAACCUCAAAUCCCUUUGGAUUAAUGAAAACAAGAUGGUAAUGGAACCUUCCUUUUAUACCUCAAUCCCAAAGUUCCAAUUGGAAGUCAUCAGUUUGCUAAAGUGCAUAACAUCUCAACAACUCAGUCGUAAAGUUCCUACCUUCCUUUACUACCAAUAUGACUUGAGAUAUGUGGAUCUUUCGCAUAACAAUUUCAGCGGAACAGUCCCAACUUGGUUGUUAGAAAACAACACAAAAUUAAAAGUUCUUAUCUUGAAGGGUAAUUCUUUUACUGGUCCUCUCUCACUUUCGUCGGCUCUUAUUUCUAAUGUAUCUUCAAUUGACUUAUCUGAAAACAAAUUACAAGGUCAAAUUCCGAUUGGUAUAUGUUCAACUUUUCCACAUUUGAGUCAAUUAUUCUUAUCCAAGAAUGCUUUUGAAGGUAAUAUCCCACUUUGUUUAAGUGGCAUGAAGGACUUAUCAACUUUAGAUCUAUCAAACAAUCUAUUGUAUGGAAAAGUUCCAGAAGAGUUGAUCGCGAAAGGCUCACUGACCAUUUUGAGACUAUCAACUAACAACCUCAGUGGAAAUGUAGUUCCUGUGAUUCUCAGCGCAAAUGGGCUGGAGAAUUUAUAUUUGGAUGGAAAUAAUUUUUCAGGAGAGAUGACAAAUGUUGAUGUGUCUACUUUUGAGUUUCCAAAUUCACUACGGGAAAUUGAUCUCAGUAACAACAAGUUGCAUGGAAAGCUCCCAAGAUGGAUAGGGAAUGCAUCGUUUUUGGGGAGAUUAGCUAUGUCCAACAAUAGUUUUGAGGGUUCUAUUCCAAUGGAAUUUUGCAAGUUGAAUAGCUUGGAAUUUUUGGAUCUUUCUCAAAAUAAUUUAUCUGGCUCUAUACCGUCAUGUUUUAAUCCACCAUACAUAGAGUAUGUCCACCUCCACGGGAAUAGACUGAGAGGCCCACUAUCACUUGCUUUUUAUAAUAGCUCUUCAAUAGUGACUUUAGAUCUUAGAGGAAACAAUUUGACAGGUAGUAUUCCAAAAUGGAUUUACACGCUUUCUUCUUUGAGUGUUCUUCUCUUGAAAGAUAAUCAUUUUCAUGGUAAAGUUCCUAUUGAGUUAUGCAAGUUGCAUUCUUUAAGCAUCAUAGAUCUUUCUCAAAAUAUGUUUUCUGGUCCUAUACCUUCUUGUUUGGGAAAUUUAUCUCUUCCAAUGCAAACGAACAAGACUCUAGAAAUUGAGUUCUAUGGGCCAUCUAUAGAAGAGGAUGAAACAACACGCAGUAUGAUACUAAAUUUGGGAAUGGAUUCUUACUAUCCUGGUAGCUACUUAGAAGAAGUAAUAGAGUUCACAACAAAGAGUGGGUUCUAUUCAUACAAGGGCGACAUCCUUUCAUAUAUGACUGGGAUUGAUUUAUCUUGCAACAACUUAACUGGUCAUAUCCCACCAGAAUUAGGGAACUUGAGUGAAAUCCAUUCUUUAAACCUUUCACACAAUAAGUUGACCGGAGUUAUACCCUCGUCACUCUCGAAACUACAUCAAAUUGAGAGUUUGGACCUUUCUUACAACAACUUAAGUGGUGAAAUCCCCAAUCAAUUGGUAGAGUUAAACUCUUUGGAGGUUUUCAGCGUGGCAUUUAACAACUUGUCAGGUAGUAUUCCCGAACCAAAAGCUCAAUUUGGGACCUUUAUUGAAAAUAGUUAUCAGGGAAAUCCGUUUCUUUGUGGAGUUAUAUUGCAUAAAAGUUGUUCCAAAACCGAUUCACCAUCAACGAUAUCAACUGUAUCAGAAGAUAAAGGAGAAGAUGGUUUGAUAGAUACUUAUGAUUUUUGUGUGAGCUUUUUGGUUUCUUAUGUAGUUGUGUUGUUGACAAUUUUUGUUGUCCUCUACAUAAAUCCACACUGGCGAAGAACUUGGUUUUCUCUUGUUGGGAAAUGCAUUACCACCUGUCGCUACUCAAAUGUGGGCAAUUUUCUUACUUAUCACAUUUUCAAGCAAUGUGUUUAGCUACUCAAAUUGUGAUUUGAUUUCCACACCUAAAUGUUUAAUUAUGCUAAGUUGAGCGAUAAUGAAUAUUUUGUUGAUUUUUGCAUUUUGAAUAAAGGCUCUUUUAUCUUAUGGUUUUAUCAUUUCCAACCAUCUAUUUCUUUUUUCUUCUACGAAAUUUAUUAUGUAUAUGCAAUAUCUCUUUGAAUUAAAUUAAAUUGACUGCCAAGAGUUCACUAAUGCAUACCGAAAAGGAAAUCUAAUGUAAAAUUAAACCAAACAUACUAAAAAAUUGAAUCUAAAAUUGGAAUAUUUUAAAACCUCACAAACAAUGCAAGUCUUUGUUCCUCUUUUCCUCUCAAGUCAUUUUGUAUCAUGUGAUAUUUUACAUAAUUAUUCGUAUCAUCGAAUUUUUAAAAAAUUUAAUAUAUUGAUAUCAUGUUCAUAUUAUGCUUUAAUUCACAAUGUAUUUUGUAUAAUGUGUUAUAACAAUUCAAUUAAAAAACAAGCAAUUAUCUUAUUUUUGCGUACCAUAUUAUACAUUGACAUGUUAAUAAUUCGUUGUACAUAAAUUUUGACAUGUUCGUAUAUUUGAGUCAUUAUAAUUUUAUUAUUUGUAAUAUGACAUGUUUUAAUUACCCUUAAUAUUGCGUCAUGAUAAUUAUAAAUCGAUUGGCAGUCUACCAAAUAAUUUUUCUAAUAAAAAAUAGUAUUUUAUUCUAUUUACCAAAUCUUUAUCAACUUUAUAUUCUCACCAACAAAACAUACAUUCAAAGUUCAAAUAAGUUCCGCACCCAUUUUUUUACUGCAAUACUCAAGAAUAUGCUCAUCAUCAGAAAUCUGAAAUAUUCCACUUUAAUUAACAUUAAUUAUGAUUCUGUAAACAACAAAAAAGUGUGAUCCUUUGAAAUGGGAUUGGCAAAAAAUCCGCACGUGUCGUGUGUGAAGAAGGUGAGGUUGUCUAUUCAUACUCUAAUAAGUAGCUAAUUAUAGUUGAUCCUACAAAAUCAAAAUUAAUUCAGGUAUCUAUAUAUUCUGAAGACUGGACAGACCUUAGAAGCUUCUUCAAAUUUGCAAGAACAUGUCGUGGUCCUAAACACUUUACAGCGAUGAAAUUCAAAAGUUGCUCUAUAUCCUGCAAUCACAGUAAAGAUUAUGCAAUCGUUUCAGAACGAAUAACAAGAAGCAAAAGGCGAUCAAAAUACCGUGAUCUCGAUAAUGUUCUUUGCCGAAAAGGAACAUUAACUUAACCUUAAAACAGCAGUGAAGGCUCACCAGAUUUGCUUAGCAACCUUACAUACACAUGUAAAAAAAGCUUUGCUUUUGGAUGUAAGGUGUGACUAUCAUCACAGUCUUUCCUAAUUAGCUGAUUGUAAUACCCAAUUUGCCCAGCCCACAAUAAAAAACCAAAUAAAUAAAAAUUAAUUAAAACUCAAAUAGUUCACAGCCCAAUAACAACAAAAACCAAACCCAUUUACAGUGACCCGGUACAAACCCAAAGUCAGAUACAUCUAGUCCAACUACACCCAGCCCAAAUACCAAGCCCAAUACAACUAUCAACCCAACCCUAGCCCAAAAAAAAAUCAGAAAACCCUAGCUGCAACAGCCCUCCUUCCAGCGCCGCAGCCACCAGGGCCUUCCCCGAGUGUGCUGUGCCACGUCCACCACCUCCUUACGCCAGCUAGCCUCCUUACCUGCAAAGAAGACGAAAACAACGCAGCAGAGAGAAUUUUUUGUAUUUUCUUUCAUUUUAUUUCGAAUAUUCGGCUAUAAAGAGGGAGAAGGCCAUUGUAAUCCUUUUUUACGCAUAUUGAAUACAAACAAAAAAUCAAAACAGAAAGUUUUUUCGAAAGGUGAUUUUCUUCGUUUUUUUUUCUCUUUUAUUUCUUUGAUUCUUUGUUUUCUUCUUUGGCACCAAACGAAAAUAAAAAGAGGGAGAGAAGAAGCGUCUUACCAGAGCAGACGCCAUUGGAACCUGGUUUGCUCCGUCUGAAUCGGAGUCAGAUUGGGUUCGUGACUGGAGACCGGUGGGGAGAAAGGCUAGGCUCUUGAUCUGUUUUAGGAUGGCAAUACAACUUAUUAGGGUUUUAUUUUUUUAAAUGGCUUCAAAACGUCUCCGUGUUGGUUGACCCGAUGAUCCGACUUGACCCGGGGAGGAUCCGCGUGUUUUGUUUCAAUGGCUUAUUUUAGUGUUUGAUGCUUCUUUUUUUGAUUUACUUCAUUUUAAUCCUUCUUUGUCUUUUUUAAUUUUGCCACAUAAUUCGUUCUUUAUUUCAAUUUCAUCCUUCUGUCAGUUGAGGAGACAAACGUUCGAAACGACGCCGUUUCCGAUGAUCUGACUUGAUUGCCAGGUGAGACUUGUGCGUUUAAUUUCUGUUCUAGUCACUCUAUUUUAAAUUAAUUUCAAUUAGGUCCUUUUCAUUUCAUUUUAUUGCAUGUCUUACCCCUAACUUUCUGUUUUAAUUCCAAAUUAGUAAUCUGUUUUGUUAUUUUUGCUAUCAAAUUAAUUACUUUAAUAUUAAUUUAUCAUUAUUACUAUUAUUACUAUUAUUAUUAUUACUAUUAUUAUUACUACUACUAUUAUUAUUAGUAUUAUUUUUUUAAUCAAUUUAUCUAACCUUUUUAUAUUCAUUAUUUUAUUCUAUUAUGCACUAUUAUUUUAAGUUUUUUUUAUAUUAUUAUCAUAUAUUAUUUAAUUUCAUAAUGAAUUAUUUUAUAUUUUUAUGUUAAUCCAAUAGAAUUUACCUUUUUUAAAUAGUUUUCUUAUAAUACGUAAUUUAUAUCUAUUACCUAUUUAGAUUAAUAUAUGUGUAUUAUUUUGGGUUUUAUUUAUUUUGACUUUCUUCUUAUAAUAUUUAUUUUAAAAUUCAUUUAGAUAUUAUUAUUCAUUUUUAAUUCUAUUUUUAAAUUAUUUCAAGUCUUCCUAUUAAUUACUUCUUUUAAACUUUUAUAUAUGUGUAUUUUGUGUAUAUAUGUUGAUAAUUUCAAAUUUCUUUUCUCUCAUGCUUUUUUUUUAGUUAUUUUAAAUUUGUUAUAUUUGUGAUAGGCUUUUAGGUCAUUAGCUUUCAAAUGUUGAUGUUAAUAUUUACAUGUGAUUAUUGCUCUUAUAUGUAUGAUAAUGUUUAUUUGUUUUUAUUGAUUAUUUGUCAUUCGUUAGAGUAUAUUUUGUUUACAAAUCGUCAUUCCGCGUUAUACAUUAUCGUCCCGUCGCAUUUUAUUCGUUGUUAAAAGGUUACGUUUAAUAUCAUUCAAGUAUCGAGAGCAUUUUUAUUCAAAAAGUUUUUUUCAAAAAUAACGCGACACUCGGAAUUUAGGAUCCUCGAAAAGAUUGUGUCCUAACUUAUUGGAUUCCAAUCUUCCUCGUUGAAUCUAAGAAACCGGGUAUCCUUUUUUAAUUAAAGCAUAAAUAAAAAGCUCAUUCUCGAAAAUUCGAUACGUCGNNNNNNNNNNNNNNNNNNNNNNNNNNNNNNNNNNNNNNNNNNNNNNNNNNNNNNNNNNNNNNNNNNNNNNNNNNNNNNNNNNNNNNNNNNNNNNNNNNNNNNNNNNNNNNNNNNNNNNNNNNNNNNNNNNNNNNNNNNNNNNNNNNNNNNNNNNNNNNNNNNNNNNNNNNNNNNNNNNNNNNNNNNNNNNNNNNNNNNNNNNNNNNNNNNNNNNNNNNNNNNNNNNNNNNNNNNNNNNNNNNNNNNNNNNNNNNNNNNNNNNNNNNNNNNNNNNNNNNNNNNNNNNNNNNNNNNNNNNNNNNNNNNNNNNNNNNNNNNNNNNNNNNNNNNNNNNNNNNNNNNNNNNNNNNNNNNNNNNNNNNNNNNNNNNNNNNNNNNNNNNNNNNNNNNNNNNNNNNNNNNNNNNNNNNNNNNNNNNNNNNNNNNNNNNNNNNNNNNNNNNNNNNNNNNNNNNNNNNNNNNNNNNNNNNNNNNNNNNNNNNNNNNNNNNNNNNNNNNNNAAACUAAAUUUACUUUGUACUCAAUUACAAAUGUUAAGAAAUAUUUUACAAUCUAAUAAAUAAAUUUUUUAAUUAAAUUCACCAUAUUAAAUAAAAAUUUUAAAGCACCUAAAAUUGUCAAAUACAUUCUUUUGAAUUUUAGAAUUUAUGAAUUCCGAAACAGACUUUCAGCAUCUCAAAUUCUCUAUUUAAAUUUCACCUACAUAGUUUUUCUAGAAAUUCUUCAAAACUUCAUUUAUUUAAAUCAAUGGUUCUAUUAUAAAAUAGAGAAUUUAAAACUAAAAAGAUAUUAUUUUUAUUUAAAUCUAAUAUGCAUAUUUUUCUCUUUACAAAAAAUAAAUUUUCAAAAUCCAGGUCUACUAUUAAUACUGUUGAAAUUAUUUUAUUAAAUCCAUAUUCAUUUCGUCAUCUUUUAAUUACAUUGUUAUCAAGUUCUUUUAUUUUAAAAAAAGAUCACACUUUUUAGUUGUUUACAGAAUCAUAAUGUUAAUUAGAGUGGAAUAUUUCAGAUUUCUGAUGAUGAGCAUAUUCUUGAGUAUUGCAGUAAAAAAAUGGGUGUGGAACUUAUUUGAACUUUGAAUAUAAACGAACGUGUCAAAAAUUUAAGUACAACGAAUUAUUAACAUGUAAAUGUAUAAUACGGUAUGCAAAAAUAAGAUAAUUGCUUGUUUUUUUAAUUGAAUUGUUAUAACACUACACAAUACAUUGUGAAUUAAAGCAUAACAUAAAGAAUUGCAUUGUUUGUGAGGUUUUAAAAUAUUCCAGUUUUAGAUUCAAUUUUCUAGUAUGUUUGGUUUAAUUUUACAUUAGAUUUCAUUUUCAGUAUGCACUAGUGAAUACUUGGCAGUCAAUUUAAUUUAAUUUAAAGAGAUAUUGCAUAUACAUAGAAAGAAAUAGAUGGUUGAAAAUGAUUAAACCAUAAGAUAAAAGAGCUUUUAUUCAAAAUGCAAAAAUCAACAAAAUAUUAAUUAUCGCUCAACUUAGCAUAAUUAAACAUUUAGGUGUGAAAAUCAAAUCACAAUUUGAGUAGCUAAACAUAUCGCUUGAAAAUGUGAUAAGUAAGAAACUUGCCCACAUUUGAGUAGCGACAGGUGGUGAUGCAUUUCCCAACGAGAGAAAACCAAGCUCUUUGCCAGUAUGGAUUUAUGUAGAGGACAACAAAAAUUGUCAACAACACAACUACAUAAGAAACCAAAAAGCUCACACAAAAAUCACCUAUCAAACCAUCUUCUCCUUUAUCUUCUGAUACAGUUAAUAUCGUUGAUGGCGAAUCGAUUUUGGAACAACUUUUAUGCAAUAUAGCUCCACAAAGAAAAGGAUUUCCCUCAUAACUGUUUUCAAUAAAGGUCCCAAAUUGAGCUUUUUCGGGAAUACUACCUGACAAGUUGUUGUAUGCCACGCUGAAAACCUCCAAAGAGUUCAACUCUACCAACUGAUUGGGGAUUUCACCACUCAAAUUGUUGUAAGAAAGGUCCAAACUCUCAAUUUGAUGUAGUUUUGCGAAUGACGAGGGUAUAACUCCUGUCAACUUAUUGUGCGACAAGUUUAAAGAAUGGAUUUCACUUAAGUUCCCUAAUUCUGGUGGGAUAUGACCAGUUAAGUUGUUGCAAGAUAAAUCAAUCCCGGUCAUAUAUGAAAGGAUGUUGUCCUCGUACAAAAAGAACCCACUCUUUGUUGUGAACUCUAUUACUUCUUCUAAGUAGCUGUCAGGAUAGUAAGAAUCCAUUCCCAAAUUUAGUAUCAUACUGCGUGUUGUUUCAUCCUCUUCUAUAGGCCCAUAGAACUCAGUGUCUAGAAUCUUCUUCGUUUGCAUUAGAAGAGAUAAAUUUCCCAAGCAAGAAGGUAUAGGACCAGAAAACAUAUUUUGAGAAAGAUCUAUGAUGCUUAAAGAAUGCAACUUGCAUAACUCAACAGGAACUUUACCAUGAAAAUGAUUAUCUUUCAAGAGAAGAACACUCAAAGAAGAAAGCGUGUAAAUCCAUUUUGGAAUACUACCUGUCAAAUUGUUUCCUCUAAGAUCUAAAGUCACUAUUGAAGAGCUAUUAUAAAAAGCAAGCGACAGUGGGCCUCUCAGUCUAUUCCCGUGGAUGUGGACAUGCUCUAUGUAUGGUGGAUUAAAACAUGACGGUAUAGAGCCAGAUAAAUUAUUCUGAGAAAGAUCCAAAAAUUCCAACCUAUUCAACUUGCAAAAUUCCAUUGGAAUAGAACCUUCAAAACCAUUAUUAGACAAAUCUAAUCUCCACAAAAAUGAUGCAUUCCCUAUCCAUCUUGGGAGCUUUCCAUGCAACUUGUUGUUACUGAGAUCAAUUUCCCAUAGUGAAUUUGGAAACUCAAAAGUAGACGCAUUAACAUUUGUCAUCUCUCCUGAAAAAUUGUUUCCAUCCAAAUAUAAAUUCUCCACCCCAUUCACGCUGAGAAUCACAGGAACUACAUUUCCACUGAAAUUGUUAUUUGAUAGUCUCAAAAUGAUCAGUGAGCCUUUCGUGAUCAACUCUUCUGGUACUUUUCCAUACAAUUGAUUGUUUGAUAGAUCUAAAAAUGAUAAGUACUUCAUGCCACUUAAACAAAGUGGGAUAUUACCUUCAAAAGCAUUCUUGGAUAAGAAUAACCGCCUCAAAUGUGGAAAAGUUGAACAUAUACCAGUCGGAAUUUGACCUUGUAAUUUGUUUUCAGAUAUGUCAAUUGAAGAUACAUUAGAAAUAAGAGCUGACGAACGUGAGAGAGGACCUGUAAAUGAAUUACCCUUCAAGAUGAGUUCUUCUAACUUUGUGUUGUUUUCUAGCAACCAAGUUGGUAAAGUUCCACUGAGAUUGUUAUGAGAAAGAUCCACAUAUCUCAAGUCAUAUUGGUAGUAAAGGAAGGUAGGAACUUUUCGACUGAGUUGUUGAGAUGUUAUGCACUUUGACAAACUGAUGACUUCCAAUUGGAACUUUGGGAUUGAGGUAUAAAAGAAAGGUUCCAAUACCAUUUUGUUUUCAUUACUGGAGAGGGCUUUGAGGUUUGAAAGGUUUGCAAAUGGUGCAAAUGACAGUGGAAUUUGAAAAUGGUUUCUUGAAAUAUCUAACACACGAAGAGAUGUCAAGUUACUAAAACAAUGAGGAAGCAUCCCCUCAAGUGCAUUCUCACUCACUUCCAACACUUCAAGGUUCCUUAGAUCACACCAUCCUGAAAAUUUUAUAAAUUCAUGGAAGAAGUUUCAAUUAAAUCUUGUUUUAUAAAACAGAAUAGGAUAUAAUAUAUUACAGAAAGCACAUACAGCAAUCAAUUUGAGCCAUAAAAUUAUUUACCUUGAUUAGGUAAGGGACCAAUAAGUCCACAAUCAGAUAAAGACAAUGUUUUAAGAGAAGCAAAUACUCCAAUGCUUUGCAAAAUGUUGGUGUUGAGAGUAGAAUUGUCAAGAUAUAUUUCCUCCAAAUUGCUCAACACAUUUGAAUCUAAGCAAUGUCAAGAGGUAUUAGAUAACGGUAUUAUAGAAAGCCUCUACUAAGUGAAAUGCUUUAUUUUCUGUGAAUGAAAUGAAAUAUAUAAAUAUAUUUUUUUUAUGAGUUAGACUAUUCAUGAUUAUCUGAGAUAAAUUUUGAUGGAGAGAAGAUGUUGAAACUUUAAUAUAACUCUUCAUCCAUUUUAUUAAUUAUACUAUUUUUUUUCUUUUUAGUAUUUUCUUAUAUUAUUUUUUAAUAUAAGUAAUUAACUGAUAUGGCUAAUUUGUAUAAUUUUCAAACUCCAAUCAACAACACUAUAAAUAAUAUUUAUAAAAUAAAACAUUUCUACACUAAAAUUAUUAUAUUACCUUUAAAGUUACCAAUACUUUUAAAAAAAAAUAAAAAUAGGUAUUUUACUCACCAAUAAAUAAAAUUCAAAAAUAUAUUUAUAUAUGAAAUUAAAAAAUUUAUAUGUAUUUUUACUUUUAAAAAAAUAAAAACAGGUAUUUUACCAAUACUCUAAUAUGUAUUUUUAUGUUUUAUACUAUUAAAAAUAUAUGAAAUUAAAAUAUAGUUAUAUUACAUAUUUUCUCAUAAAUAUAUGUUUUUAUUUAUUUAUAAUAUCAUUUUUUUAUUGUUAUAAUCAUUUUUUAUCUCAUAAAAAUUCAAUAAAUUAUUUUAAAAAAUAUAUUUAUACAAACAAAAUAAUUAUAAACAUUAAUAUUUUAAAAUAAUGAAAAUUUUAAAGAAUUUUAGUUUCAAACCAAAGUCAAAGCACAUUAUAAUGGAGGAUUUAGAAAAUGUUUCACCAAAUCCAUAUUUUACUUUCAAGUAUGAUAUGAUAUAACUUUAUUCAUAUUUAUGACAAUAACCGUUAUUAUAAUAUAUGAGAUAAAAACUAAAUUUCUAAAUUAAAAAAAAAGGGAAGUUUAAUUAAAUGAUACCAAAUCUUUCAAUUCAUUAUAGCUCAUAUAUAGUUCCCUUAAGUUGAUAAAUGCAUCCAAAUCUAGGAAAACAAAAACAACAAAUCAACUUCAUUAUAUUCUCUUAAAACAUUAUUAUAUUCUUGUUAAAAAUCUAAUAUUUUUACCUUUCAUAUCUAUUGAUCCUUUCAAUUGAUUGUCCCCUAUGCUCAAAUAUUUCAAAUUUGAAAGCUUGUUAAGGGACGCAAAUACACUAGUAUUGAAGAGAUUUCCAUCUAAAUUAAGCUCUUCCAAGUGGGUCAACUCCAAUUUUCUACCACCAUCUACAAAAGAUUUAUAUAAUUUCAUCACUGAAAUGAAUUGGCAUAAAAUUAAAUUAUCUGGAAGAAUUUAGGUAAUUGGUUAAAUAUAAAUGCAUACCUUUAAAGGAUUGCAAGCUUUCAAUUUGAUUCCAACUUAAAUCGAGUUUCUUCAAAUUUGUUAAAUUACUCAAUCCUAUACAUAUCCACGUACAAUUCAAAAAAAAUCAUUAUGUUAAUAAUUUUAAUUUCUACUUAAUAUUUUAAUGAAAUAAAAAUGAAAAAAAAAAGUAAAUCUAAAACUUGAAGUGAAGAUGAAAAUCCUCAAACGUGAAAUGUGAAUGUUCAAAAUUGAAACAAUUGAUUUUAAAAGGUUCUAGAAAGAAUUAUCAAGAAAAACAAAGUUAUAGCUUUAGUACCUUUAGUAUCUAAUGAGCCUUGCAAACUGUUCGACCUCAUAUCCAAGGACUUUAGGCUUGAAAGCCAUACAAGAAAGGAAAUUGUGUUGUUCCGAAAGAGAUUAUGACUCAAGUCAAGUUCCUCCAAGUUUGUUAACCUCAGUAGUGUUCCAUCUAUCAUUGGAAGAAAAUAAUGAGUAUAGUUAAUAUCAUCCAAGAUAUAAAUAGUUAGGAAAAAUGAUUGUUUGAGAAGGAAGAGGCAAUUUACAAGCUUUCCCAUGAAUUGAUAACUACAUUUUACAAGUAAAACUUAAUUGAUUCAAUAUAUAAAUACUUUGUUUGAGAUUCCUUCCUACUUUAAUUACUCAAUCCCAAAUAUUGAUUACUUAUAUAUAUUCAUGAUAUGAUAAAAGCAAAUGACUUAUUAAUUGCAACAGCUUUUCCUUCAACAUGAAUUUAAUGCUAUUCUUCAAAUAAUUCCAACUUAUAUCAAUAAUCUCCAAUCUAAUGAGCCAUUGAAAACCUGAUUUAUAUAUUAUAUAAUUAGUUACUACAAAACAUAAAUAAAUAAUAAUACUCCAUUUUUGCAAUAAAAAUUCACUAAAGAAAAUACAUUUGAAGUUUGUCAUUGCCUUUUGGAAUAAGAGUCGGUCAAGAAAGUUAUGCACAAAUACUUAUACCUUUGUUUGAGAUGCUUUCAAUUCUGUUCCAACUUAAAUCCAAGUAUUUCAAGUUUGUCAAAUUAUUCAAUCCUGAAAUUCAAUCCCAAAUAUUGAUUAGUUAUAUAUAUUCAUCGUAUGAUAAAAUUAAACUUGAACAUACAUUGAUUUUUAAACUUGAACUUAUAUCAAUAAUUUCCAAUCUAAUGAGCCAUUGAAAACCUCAUUUAUGAGCCACUGAAAAUAAUUUUUUCUUGAUUCAUAUCAUAUUUUAAUAUAUUAGCAUAUUGUUUUAAAAACUCAAAUAUGUUUAAAAUCAAUUUAGCAUUUAACCUUAAUAUUAGUAUUUAACACCGGUAAUGGAGUUUUUUUAACUCUACAAGUGAAGUUAAAAAAUGACCAAUAACCUACUUUUAAAUAUUUCUUUUUUAAUAUUUUACUAUACCAUAUAAGAUAUUUGUUGUUAUCUCAAUCCUACUUAUGAAGUUUAGAAUUUCUUUAAUAGUACCACCCCGAUUUUUUAAAAAAACCAGAUUUUUUUAAUUUGAUAAAAGAAAAGAAUUUCAUUCAUAGUACCAAAUAUUUAUAUUAUUUUUUUAGUAUUUUCUUAUAUUAUUUUUGAAUAUAAGUAAUUAGCUAAUAUAGCUAAUUUGUAUAAUUUUUAAACUCCAAUCAACAACACUAUAAAUAAUAUUUAUAAAAUAAAACAUGUCAACACUAAAAUUAUUAUAUUACCUUUAAAGUUACCAAUACUUUAUAAAAAAAAUCAAAUAGAUAUUUUACUCAGCAAUAAAUAAAAUUCAAAAGAAUUAUAAGUAAACUUAGCGGAUUAAAUGAAAAUUUUAAAGCACUAAAUAUUGGCCCAAAAACAAAGUUAAGUUAAAAUAUGUCAUAUCUCCCUUUUACUCUUUACAAACGUGAAGUUUUAAAAUUCAAGUCUAAUUAUUAAUACUGUUAAAAUUAUUUUAUUAAAUCCAUGUUCAUUAUGUCAUUUUUUAGUUACAUUGCUACCAAGUUUUUUUUUUAUUUCAAAAUGUUACACCAACAAAUUAUUUUAAAAAAUUAACAAUUUAAAUAAUUAAACUUGGAUUUUGAAAUUUAAAAAAAAUAGAGGGACUAAAUUCCUGAAUAUAAAAGUAUAAGAAUUAAAUUACAAAUUUGUAAAGAGUAUGUAGACCUAUGUUAAUAACAUGUGCAUUUUGAAAUUUAUAAAAAGUUUGCAAUGGAAGUUUAAGCACCUCUAAAUGUAGGUUUAAAUUUCAUAAAAUUGAAGUUUUUUUUUAAAUUAUUCAAAAUUGACAUUUAUUUAUUUUUGGCCAAAAAAUACCAUUUAUUUAACUCUAAUAUGUAUUUUUAUGUUUUAUACUAUUAAAAAUAUAUGAAAUUAAAAUAUAGUUAUAUUACAUAUUUUCCCAUAAAUAUAUGUAUUUUUUAUUUAUAAUAUCAUUUUUUAUUGUUAUAAUUAUUUUUUAUCUCAUAAAAAUUCAAUAAAUUAUUUUAAAAAUAUAGUUAUCAAACAAAAUAAUUAUAAACAUUAAUAUUUAAAAAUUAUGAAAAUUUUAAAGAAUUUUAGUUUCAAACCAAAGUUCAAAAACAUUAUAAUGGAGGGUUUAGAAAAUGUUUCACCAAACCCAUAUUUUACUUUCAAGUAUGAUAUGAUAUAACUUUAUUAAUAUUUAUGACAAUAACCGUCAUUAUAAUAUCUGAGAUCAAAACUAAAUUUCUAAAUUUUUUUUAAAAAAAGGAAGUUUAAUUAAAUGGUACCUUGGUGGAUCACCCAAUCUUUCAAUUCAUUGCCGCUCAUAUAUAGUUCCCUUAAGUUGAUAAAUGCUUCCAAAUCUAGGAAAACAAAAACAACAAAUCAACUUCAUUAUUAUAUUCUUGUUAAAAAUCUAAUAUUUUUACCUUUCAUAUCUAUUGAUCCUUUCAAUUGAUUGAACCUUAUGCUCAACGAUUUCAAAUUUGAAAGCUUGUUAAGGGAUGCAAAUACACUAGUAUUGAAGAGAUUUCCAUCUAAAUUAAGCUCUUCCAAGUGGGUCAACUCCAAUUUUCUACCACCAUCUACAAAAGAUUUAUAUAAUUUCAUCACUGAAAUGAAUUGCCAUAAAAUUUAAUUAUAUGUAAGAAUUUAGGUAAUUGGUUAAAUAUAAAUGCAUACCUUUAAAGGAUUGAAAGCUUUCAAUUUGAUUCCCACUUAAAUCGAGUUUCUUCAAAUUUGUUAAAUUGCUCAAUCCUAUACAUAUCCACGUCCAAUUAAAAAAAUCAUUAUGUUAAUAAUUUUAAUUCCUACUUAAAAUUUUAAAGAAAUAAAAAUGAAAAAAAAGUAAAUCUAAGACUUGAAGUGAAGAUGAAAAUCCUAAAACGUGAAAUGUGAAUGUUCAAAAUUGAAACAAUUAAUUUUAAAAGGCUCUAGAAAGAAUUAUCAAGAAAAACAAAGUUAUAGCUUUUUGUACCUUUAGUAUCUAAUGAGCCUUGUAAACCGUUCCAACUCAUAUCCAAGGACUUUAGGCUUGAAAGCCCUUGAAGAAAGGAAAUUGUGUUGUUCCGAAAGAGAUUAUCACUUAAAUAAAGUUCCUCUAAGUUUGUUAGCCUCAAUUGUGUUCCAUCUAUCAUUGGAAGAAAAUAAUAUCAUUCAAGAUAUAAAUAGUUAGAAAAAUGAUUGUUUGAGAAGGAAGAGCCAAUUUAGAAGCUUUCCCAUGAAUUGAUAACUACAUUUUACAAGUAAAACUUAAUUGAUUCAAUAUAUAAAUACUUUGUUUGAGAUACCUUCCUAUUUUGAAAUACUGCAACAUUAACUGUCCCUUAAACAAAAAUUGGUUUUAAAGUAAAAAAGAAACAUAUAAAACCAGUCUACCUUUAAUAUGAAUUGACAUAUAAAUACUGUACUUAUACCUUGGUUUGAGAUGCUUUCAAAUUUCAAUUCUGUUCCAACUUAAAUCCAAGUAUUUCAAGUUUGUCAAAUUAUUCAAUCAUAAAAUUCAAUCCCAAAUAUUGAUUAGUUAUAUAUUCAUCGUAUGAUGAAAUCAAACUUGAAUAUACAUUGAUUUUUAAAGUUGAAAAGAAACAGGUAAAAUCAGUCUACCUUGAAUAUGAUCCAUCCUUCCUUUCAACUCAUUACCACUCAAUCUUAAAGUCUUCAAGGAUGAAAGAUUUCUCAUAUGGAACAAAAUGCUAUUCUUCAAAGAAUUCCAACUUAAAUCAAGAGUUUCCAAGUUAUUGAGUCUUGAAAGCAAUUGAAAACCUGAUAUAUAUACAUAAUUACUUGUUAAUUGUUUUUUUCUUUCUUUGCUAUAUGAAAAUUUUACUAAAGCAAUAGUGGAAUUACAACGGAUAAAAAGAAUGGAAAACUAGGUACCAAACCCAGAAGACCAUCCUCAAACUCCACUAUACAAAUAAAAACUAACACCAGACCAAACUUAAUUUACCUCUUAGAUGACUUGAUCCUUCUAAUUUGUUGUGUGAUAGAUCUAAAUACCGGAGAGAUGAAAGCUCACUCAAAGAUAACAAAAUGCUGUCAUUCAAGUAGUUUUCACUUAAGUCAAGGAUCUCCAAAUUACUCAACGUGGAUGAUAGUUUUCCAAAGCCUAUAGAAAUAUUCUUUUAAAUAUAUACAAGUUAGUGACUUUUCUUCCAUAAAAUAAAAUAAAAUAUAAGUAAUUGCAAAUUAACGAUGGUGAGAGUAGUGGAAUAAUAAAAGAUGUAAUUAAGGAAAAACUAGAGGCACGACCUUCAUUUUCAAGAUUACCACUUAUGGCAUUCCCCGACAAAUAAAGACUCUUCAAUUCCUCAAAGGGAAGAAACAUAGAGGCAUUGAGAUACCAGGCAUUGAGAUUCCUAUUAUCCAUGUCGUAUUCCCAUUUUGUAGAAUUAAGGGAGAGUUGUAUGAGUCUCCUAGUGGUGGUGUUACACUCAACUCUUUCCCAUUUACAACAAUCUGAACCCUUCACCUCAACCCAACUAUUCAAUUGAUUACCAUCAUUGAAGAAAGGUUUGAGAUGCAAGAGAGCGAUUCUCUCAUGCUCCAAACAAGCAUCAGUAGUACACCAUCUGCAUCCUUCUAACACCAACAACAUUACUGCCAUCCUAAUAAACCUUAACCAUUUCCACUUCAUCAUCAUCAUCAUCUCUCUGUUUUCACUUCUCUCUCAGCUAUAUGUUACUUUUUUUUAACUUCUAUAUGUAUAUAAUCUAAAGAAGCCUAAGCUUCUUAUUUAUAUACAAGCAGAUGCAUCCCACUAACUCACUAUAAUGUAAAAAUAAUAUAUAAUUAAUUAAUUCCUCAAAAAUUGGAUCAAAAUCUAGGCUUCUUAUUUACGUAAAUUAUUUAUUGCAAAAACUCUUAGUGGAAAUUCGUUAGGAAGGGAUGAAGGGGCCACAAGAAUAUUGAUGUUAAUCUUGAAAAACGAAUUGCCAAAAAAAUAUGAAAAGUGAGAGGUGGACAUAAAAUCGUAUAGUUGGGAUUGCAAAAGUCUUCAUGUGGCUUUCUUGUGAGUUUCAUUUAUACCCUUCUUACACUUAUACAAACUUAGUCUUGACUUGGCUUUAUUAAUGGAAAAUUUAGAUCUUCAUUUUUGGUUUUAUUCAUAGAAAUUUUACUUCUUUGAUUUUGGUUUUAUUAAUGGAAAUUUUAAGUCUUCAGUUUGCUUUUAUUCUUGCACAUUUUAGGUUUUGAUUUUGAAAAUUUAGUUUUUUCAUCUCUAUUAUUAUAAAAUUUCUUAAUUUAAUUAAUAUCAUGAGUUAAUUUAAUACUUUAAAAAAUAAAAUAUUACAUUCACUAUUUUUUUAAAAAUAAAAGUAACUAUAAAAUUUUAUUAUUUAUAUAAUAUUUUAAAAAAAACUAUUUAUUUCUACUAGACCACUACUUUAAAACUAUCCAUUAUCAUAUUGUAAUAGGCCCAAUUUGCCCGGGCCCGGUAAAUAAAUAAAACCAAUAAAAUCAAAUAAAAAAUAGUCCCAAAACAGUCCAUUUACAAUGACCCAAUACCAACCCAAUGGCCUAAAUCUCUACCCAAGCCCGAAUCUAAACCUAAACAGGCCCAAACCCCACUAAACCUAAUGGCCCAAUACCCAGCUUGGCUGAGACAAACCCUAGCCUUCAGCAGCUUUCUGCUCUUGCGCUGCAGCCAAGCCGCUCCUCACGUACGAGCCUCAUUCAUGCGCCGCACCGAGCAACGCCAUCGCCAGGGACCACGCCUGUACUGUGCCACGUGAGCCUCCGUACAUGCGCGCCCGUUCACCUCUGUACCAGUACCUGCAAAUACACACAAGAAGCAGCGAAGCAACAAAAAAAAAAAGAAAAUAGCAGUAGAAAAAUAGGGGAUUUUCAGUUUUUAUUUGAUUUUUCUGGCUAUAAAAGCCAAACACGCAGAUUGUAUCAUAGGGGGAACUCACACAUAUUGCAAAAAAAAAGGGGCAGAAAAUCAAUACAAAAAAAAAAAGAAAAGGUUUUCUCUUCCUUCAGGUCUCUUUUCUUCUCCAAUUGUUUCUUUUCUUUUUCGUUUGUUAUUAGCCUCAUAUAAGUAUAGAUAUAUAUAGAGUAAAUAAUAACAAAAAGGGGGGGUUAAAACGUACCUGGUGAUGCCUUUGAAUCCACGCGAAGAAGCCAAAAAGCCUUGAAUGGUGAGGCUCCGACCACCAUUCGCAGUGGAAUCAAGGCGGAGGGGCGGACUGACGGCACUGAAGGGUGAAACCCUAGCAGAGGAAACAAUAAGCAAUUUUUUUUAAAAACGAGUCUGCUAAUGUUUUUUUAGGGUAAAUUUUGUUUAAAUAAUGAUACAAUACGGAGCCGUUUUGGGCUAGGGUUCCUAGCGCCCAAACGACAUCGUUUAGAGGCCUUACCCAAUGACCCGAUCCAGAUGGCGGCUAGAUCCGCGUGUUUGGUAGGAGGAGGGGAAAUUUCGCGAAGAGUCCCUCUUGUUUUGUGCCGUUUCGGUUUGAUUUUCUUCAUUGUUUUUAAUUUGAAUCGCGUAUUUUAUUUUGUUUUCAAUUUGAUCCAUAGUUAAACGGCACCGUUUUCACUAAUCGGAUUUGAGCAUCCGAACAUUUGUGUUUAUUUUCUGUUUUAGUCCUCUCUGUUAUUUUUUAUUAUGAUUUUUACCCUCCUAUUUUAUUUUCACCCUAAUUUAGUCCCGAAACUGUUAGAUUUCACUUUAUUUAUGCAAUGUAUAUAUUUAUUUAUUUUAAACUUUAUAUUAUUUAUUUUAAAUCGUUCUAUUACUAUUUAUUUUAAGCCUUUUUUACAUAUUAUAUGUUUUAAAUUAUGUUAAUCAAUUAUUCAUUUUAAAUAUAUAUUAUUUAUGUUAAACUACAAAUGUAUAUUAUUUAUUUGGAAUUGUUCUUAUGCACAUCAUGCAUUAUCAUUUUAAAAAAAAUAAUAAUAAUAGAAUUUGUUUGCAUAUUGUUCAUUUAGGAUUCCUUCUCACACAUUACUUAUUUUAAACGUUUUACAUAUUAUUUUAAAUUGUUUUAUAUGUUUUUUUUAAAUGCUUUGAAGAUUAUUCAUUUUAACUUGUUUUACACAUUAUUUUAUUAUGUAUGGAAUUGCUUUAAUAUAUAUAUACGUGAAUAAAACGUAUUGUAACUGGUAAUUUCUAAAAUUUUAUUCUACGUUUUAAAAUUUUUAUCAUUUCGAUUAUGUUGAUUGGUUUACUUGGGAUUAAAUUAUUAUUGCAUUGAUUAUUCUUUUUUUUUUUGAUUUUUUUGUUAGAUUGAUUAUUAGUUUAUUUGAUUAUCAAUGUUGAUGUAUUAUAUGUUUGGUUGCUCCAAAUUGUAAAUUUAGCUUGCUAUUCACCAUUUGAUUAGUAUAUUGAUAUUUUAUUAUAUUGUUUGUAAAAAUUGCAUUUCAUUAAAGCAUUACAAUUGUUUUAUUUCAAAAUUCUCAAAAAGCUUGGUAUUUAAAAAUUCUCGAGAGGAUUGUGCCCUAACUUACUGGGCUUCAAUCCUCCCUUUUUGAUUCUAAAUAACCGAAUACCUUUUUUAAUUUGAACAUAGAAGUUUCAAAAUAAAAGCUCAUUCUCGGGAAUUUGACACGUUGUGUCCUAACGCAUUGAAUAUGACUAUUAUUUUCUCGAGAUGAGGAUUUUAAGGCAAUGUUCGAUAUUUAGGAAUUUUGUGAAAUCGAACCCUAACUUACUAGGUCUUGAUUUUCUCAUUUGACCCAGAUAAUCGGAUAUCCUCCUCAAAAUGCAUAGGUUUUAAAAGACGAGAGAUAAACUUAACUUGGAGGACUUAAAAUGUUGCACUCUAACUUACUAAGUGUGACGAUUUAUUUCUUUGAAAUAAGUGAGUCUCGUCGUCCAAUUCAUUUUAUUCAAAAUAAAAGGAUCAAAUUUUAAAAUCUUUUCAAAAUUUUGACAUUAAGACAUUAAACAUUCCAAUCGGUACCAAUUUUGGGCGUCACGAGGGUGCUAACCCUUCCUCGUGCGUAACCGACUCCCGAACCCGUUUUCUCAAAAAUUCGCAGACCUAAAAUUAUUUUCAAGGUGAUCCGCACACCACAAUAAAAGAUCGGUGGCGACUCCAUUUCCAUUUUCAAAAUUGAUCCCCAUUUUUCAAAUUACAAAAAAAUGGCUUCGACAGCUUGGCGACUCCACUGGGAACGAUUUAGAGAGUCAAGCCAUAAAAUUGAUUGUUUUUGUCUUAUUGUCGAAAAUUAAAAUUUGAUUUGAAAAAUUACGCUCUUUUCUUUGCACUUGUUUGCAUGAUUAUUGUAAAUUAAGUUGCAUAUUUUGGCAUCAUUUUGCAUAAGACUGUUUAGUCUUGUCCUUUUAAGUGGGAGUGAGAAACUAGUCCUUCGUGAGGUUUUCACCUUCGUGCAGGAUAGUGGAUCACUUCCGGGAUACAUCCGUACCUAUGUCUUCGUGAGAUUUUCAUCUCCGUGCAGCCAUAGGGAAAUGUAUUCCCCUGAACCGAACUCGGUCUGUAUGAGCCUAUAAUGGGUGAAGAUCGAGGAAUCUACUGGUUCGGGUACCUUGACUUUAGAAACAACCCUCAUAUAGUGGACUUAGGAACCCAUCCUAGGUAGAGCCACUCCGAACCCCUAGUGGUCACCCGACUAGGCACUUUUGUUUUCCUUGUUUGCUUCUGUUUCGCACUAACCUAUCUUGUUUUGUUUUGAUUAUGAUUGCAUUUCAUUUGCAUCUUAGGAAGGAGACAUUGAUUCAAGUUCGAUUACUAAAUUAAAAAGCUUGUCAUGGAAUACGAAUUCCUUGAUAAAGUGGAAAACAAUACGACUUUCCGAAUAUAUUCUGAGAAACAUAAGAAGGGCGAUCGAAGAGUUCGCAACCUCGCUUCGUGGCCUAAGGAUUCAAGGCGAUUGUCUGAGAGCCUUCGACGUUCCACCCCCUUUAAAAGCUGACGAGCCUUAAGAAGAUGGAUAGAUGAUGGAUCGUGACCAAGAUCAAGAAAAGGAGCUAGUAAUGGCAUCUAUUGGUAAGAUUACCUCAAACGUGCGGAUGAAGAAAAAGAUCGAUGUUGGUUCUUGGAAUAUGAGGGCGAGGUCGUACAUGUAUCCGUUUUAUGUAAGGGAAUUUGCUUUCUAGAAAAGUUUUCUAAAUGUAAUUGAAUCAGAAUCAACGUCUCUUUAGGCAUUCAUUUCAUGUAUUUGCAUUACAUUGCAUUACAUGCAUUAAAAUCCAUUGAAAAAGUCUAAACGAGUAAAUUUAUUUCAGCUAACCUGGAAAACCAACCGACCAAACACCCUUACGAUAUCCAAGAAAAGACUAGAGAAAUGGAAUGAAGGUUGGAAAAAUUAGAGCGGAUGCAGAUUCAGAUGCGGGAGAGAUUGACUGAAUUUCAACAGGAGAUGAGAGAUCAGAUGCUAGAAUUACAGAGAACCUUGAUGAACCAGUUCAACUGACUACUAGCUGGAGAGUUAGAAAAAAAGAAGGACCCGGUGGUCCACUUUGGGGUUGAUAAUAAGGAUCUUGCCCAUUCCCUAGAUUAUACUCCGACAAGUGUCCAAGUCCAGCCGGAUGGGCGUCCACAUGGGGCACUCUUUACUAUCAGAUCACAACAGUAUCAAACUGGUACAGCAACACCGGUGGGUUGCUUGACAAACCCAAGGUCCAAUGCGAGGAACAAUUUUCCUGUUGCUCUCGAUGGCCCGGCUGAAACAAAGCAGGCAAGGGUGGAGUACCUAGGUACUACAAAGGCCCUAAGGAAGAAGGGGAAUAAAUGGGAUAAUGUAGGUAGGUAUAACAAGGGCCACUCAAAACCAAUCACUGCGGGCCAACAAAAGAUGGCAACCACCAGCCAUCAGAGCCCUUUAAAGCAAGACCCUUAUGUGAAACAAGGCACUGAGAACCUCCAGUUCACGCCAAUUUCGGUGUCGUAUAAGGAGCUGUAUCAAAGCUUAUUCAAUAUGCACAUUGUUGCCCCUCUCUACACGAAACCUCCACAGCCUCCGUACCCUAGAUGGCAUGACGCAAAUGCACGAUGUGAAUAUCAUGCAGGAAAUAUGGGGCAUUCCAUAGAAAACUGCAUUGCCUUUAAAAAAACUGAUUGAAAGGCUUAUCAGUAUGGGCGUCAUUAAAUUUGAUGAUUCCUCUAGUGUAUAAAAUACGCCGCCUAAUCAUAUUAAUGACGAGGCGAAUGAGGUGUACGAAGUAGUGUUGGGAAAUGUUCACAUCAACGACGUGUCUGAAGACACAAAUGGAAAGGGAUCUUGUUAGAUGUCCGCCCUUAUAAAUUCUGGAGUGUUCUAAAUAAUUAGACUGCGGAAGAAAUCCAUAUAGUCUCUAGAGCUUUUUAAGGUAAUGUUCAGAACAUUUUUGUUGGUUUUAGCCUAGAAAUGAUAGAAAUUCCUUUGUGAAAUAGGCUUAUGUCUGAACGUUGUUAUUUUAAUGAAAUACAUCUUUGCAAUUACUUCUGAGCCAAUAUUUUCAUUCUUUGCGAAUAAGUCCAUAUUCUUUCACUCUUUUGGAUUUUCUUCCAAACCAUCAUUCAUUCAUUCAUAAUUAUGUGAUAUAAAUAAUUAUUCAUAAAUUUAUACAUUCUUUUGUAUAUUCUUCGGUGCUUAUUAUGGGUCCCCAGAUAUCAAUUACUUGAAUGACACUGCUAAAGACUCAGAUUUUCCUUUUGAGCAAGGCAUGUGUUCAGAGGGAUCUCAGGACUUUGGGAAUGACAUAGAUCUAGCUUAUCUCAGACUUGUUGAGGAUGAUAGAACAAGAGAACCGACAGAUCCUACCUCACAAGGAAUCAUUAGGAAUUGUGGGCUUAGUGAAGAUUAGAAUUGACCUGACCUCAAAGAUGAAACAAGACCUUGUUCAGAGAUGUCUUUGUAGGAUCAUGCCAGGAUAUGCCGGGUUAAGCGCAACAACACAAUGACAAAAUUUGCAGUGUGAAUGACGUAAUGGAAAUUCUUUGCCGGGGCAAUGCACUUCUUGUUAACUCAGUAUAGCUUUGCCCAUUUGAAUUCGAGUUUCUAUUUCUUCAAGUUUUGUUGGAUUUUAUCUUGAUUGAAGAGGAGGAUCCAAAAUUUUCUAUCGUAGUUUCGCCCCAGAAGGCUCUAUGAAAGAAACCUAAUACCAAAGAGGGUUUUUCGCAUAUAGGAUGAAAGUGGAAGAUCUUAUCGAAAGGGAUAUCAUAGGCUUGCCCAAUCCUAAGGGUUUAGAUUCAAAAAAAAAAUCAAAAUAAAAAAAAGAAAAAUCAAAGUCAAAAGUAAAAAAAAAAAGAAAUCAAUCAAAGUCAAAACAAAUAUGAAAAGAGAAAAAGAAAGAAAAGGAGAGGCCAAGGCGAAAACCCGCAAAGGGAACUUUGUGACCAAAGGUGGUUUUGAGUUGAAAACCCGAAAAAGGUGACUCAAAUUUUGAGUAAAUUGAGGCAUGGACAUCACAAUUAUCGAAGAUUUCUAAUGGGCAUUGCUUCACUAUUGAGAUCAUUAAUUACUUCAUCAAAUGGAUAGAGGCUACUGCAUACGUUAAUGUCAUCAUAUGCCGAUAUAGAAUUCCAGAUUGGAUGGUAUUGGAAAUUGCAUUGAACUUGAAUGACAGCACGACAGCUGAAGGCUGCAAUCAGUUCAAAAUCAGGCACCACGGUUUGCCACUGUAUUGCAAGAUGAUGAAGUUAAAAAAAAGAAUGAAAAAUGAAAAUGAAAAAUGAAAAAUGGAGAGGCUAAGGGAAAACCCGCAAAGGGCACCUUAGGCCAAGGGGAUUUGAGUUGAAAACCCGAAAAGGGCGGCUCAAAUAUUUGUUCAGAAUGGGGCAUGAGGCGAUCAGAGCGAUUUGAAUUUUGAUAAUAUUGGGGCAUGUGGUGAUCUUGCUAUGCCUGAAUCAACAGGAGAGGAUAGGCGACAUCUUGGGGCAUCGACAAAGCACUGUAGAUCCCCUAAACACAUGUCCAACUCAAAAUAGUCUUCAGAGAGUCUGUACAGAGAAGUUCAAGCUGCGAUAUCUAGGGCACCCAAUUCUCAUAUUAUUUGUUGUUCUUGGAAUACUUUUUUCUUUUCCAAGAUAUACAUUCCCAAUUGUCAUCCUUCUUUACUAUUUUCGAUAAUUUGUUCUUUCGAGCUAUGCUCAGAACCAACUUUAUUCUUAUCCAUUGUUAUAACCCUUUUUGUAAACAUGUUGCAUUGGAAUAAUAAUUAAUGGACUAAUAAAACUUUCACAAGGGAAGUUUUGCAUAUUACUUUGAAAAGUUUCUAAGAAAUAUAGGAACCUGAAACAGGACUAUUGUUUAGAACGCACCAGGUAAAGGUUGGAAAUUUGAGAGGGAAGAGUCUAAAUUUGGGCUUUCUCUUUGGAUUUCAUUGUUAAAUGCAUUGAUUGACAGGAUGCCAUGAUUGGUGACAAAGCUUAAGUAUACAAGCAAGCAAUUAUCACCAGGUAAGAGGAGGAGGUUACCUCGGAGAAGAGAGCCUUCAUCUGCGCAUAAGUCUUUGGUACGACACCUUGGGAAUGGUGUAAGGAACUAGAACGACUCGGAUCCUGUAUCCUUGAAUUAUGAUAAGGAAGGAUUGAGGAAAGGCCAUAUAUUUCUACGCUUGGAUUACAGUGGGAGAAUGAAGGUACAAAAUUUGUGUCCCAGUGGUUUACAGUGGGGGCAAUCUGACUAAGUGAUUCUUCAGAAAAGCCAAUCGAGCAAGAAGGUGUUGUAACAACGUCAGCCUAAAAAAAACUCAGAGUAAUGACAACCUAAGCGGGAUCGUUCUCGAAAAAAAUAAAAUUCCGCAUUCAUGCAAACGCCAUUCACACAUGUCUAGUUAGGAGCAUUUGAUUCAUUCUGAUCAUACCAUCCUAAUCAUUAGGCAUAAUUAGGUUCAUUAUACAGGUCAUGUUCCCCAGAGAACAGAUCAGUGAAUAUUGCGGAUCUUAUCUUCCCCAGGAGUAAGGAAAUAGAUCUAAGCACGAAUCUUAUCUUCCCCAGGAGUAGGGAAGCAGAUCUAAGCGGCGAAUCUUAUCGUCCCCAGGAGUAGGGAAACAAAUUUAAGCCACAAGUCUUAUGUCCCUGACCAACAGCGGAGUAGUUUGGAAAUUACAAGUCUUAUCUCCCUAAGCAGUAGUGGAGCAGACCGAAGAAGCAAAUUUUAUCUCCCUGAGGUUACAGUGGAGCAGAUCGAAAUCGAUAAUCCUAUCUCCCUGAAGUUGUAGUGGAGCGGAUUAAACAACAGAUCUUAUCUCCCUAAGCAGUAGUGGAGCAGAUCGCAUCAAGUUUUAUCUCCCUAAGUAGUAGUGGAGCAGAUGAAAAAAAAACCAAUCCUAUCUCCCUAAAAUUACAGUGGAGCGGAUUAAAACAAUAGAUCUUAUCCCCUUAAGCAGUAGUGGAGCAGAUCGCAUCGGGUCUUAUCUCCCUGAAGUUGCAGCGGAGCAGACUGAGCGAACAAGUCUUAUCUCCCUAAGCAGUAGUGAGCAGACGAAAAAACCAAUCAUAUCUUCCUGAAAUUGCAGUGGAGCGGAUUAAAACAAUAGAUCUUAUCUCCCUAAGCAAUAGUGGAGUAGAUCGCAUCAGGUCUUAUCUCCCUGAAGUUGCAGCGGAGCAGACUGAGAAAACAAGUCUUAUCUCCCUAAGCAGUAGUGGAGCAGACGGAAAAAAAACCAAUCCUAUCUCCCUGAGAUUGCAAUGGAACGGAUUAAAACCACAGAUCUUAUCUCCCUAAGCAAUAGUGGAGCAGAUCGCAACAAGUCUUUUCCCCCUGAAAUCACAGUGGGGCAGACUGAAGAAGCAAAUCUUAUCUCCCUGAGGUUGUAGUGGAGUAGAUUGAAUUCGAUAAUCCUACCUCCCUGAAGUUGUAGUGGAGCGGAUUAAAGUAAUGGAUCUUAUCUUUCUGAAGUUACAGUAGAGUAGAUCGCAUCAGAUUGAAGUCAGAAAUCUUAUCUCCCUGAGAUUACAGCGGAGUAGAUUGAAACUAGUAAUCCUAUCUCCCUUAGUUUACAGUGGAACGGAUUAAAAUAAAGGAUCUUAUCUCUCUGAAGUUACAGUAGAGUAGAUCGCAUCAGGAAUUAUCUCCAUGAGAUCACGGUGGAAUAGACCGAAGAAUUUUAGAUCUUACUUCCUAGAUAAUACAGUGGAACAGAUUAAAGCCACAGCAGCGAAUCUUGCUUCCCUGACAUCACAGUUAUGAGUUACAAAUCUGAUCUCCCCGACGUUGGGGUGGAGUGGAUCAAGGCACCGAUUCCUAUACCUCUAAAGAUGCAGUAGGAUGGAAUGAGGUAACUCGAAGAAGAAGAACACUAGGGUUCAGCACGACCGGGCAAAAUUGGUCCUCUUUAGUCUUUGCUCUAUUCUCGUUACACGACAAUGAGCAAAGAGGGGCAGCUGUAAUAGGCCCAAUUUGCCCGGGCCCGAUAAAUAAAUAAAACCAAUAAAAUCAAAUAAAAAAUAGUCCCAAAACAGUCCAUUUACAAUGACCCAAUACCAACCCAAUAGCCUAAACCUCUACCCAAGCCCGAAUCUAAACCUAAACAGGCCCAAAACCCACUAAACCUAAUGGCCCAAUACCCAGCCUGGCUGAGACAAACCUUAGCCUUCAGCAGCUUUCAGCUCUUGCGCUGCAGCCAAGCCGCUCCUCACGUACGAGCCUCCAUUCAUGCGCCGCGCCGAGCAACGCCAUCGCCAGGGACCACGCCUGUACUGUGCCAUGCGAGCCUCCGUACAUGCGCGCCCGUUCACCUCUGUACCAGUACCUGCAAAUACACACAAGAAGCAGCGAAGCAACAAAAAAAAAGAAAAUAGCAGUAGAAAAUAGGGGAUUUUCAGUUUUUAUUUGAUUUUUCUGGCUAUAAAAGCCAAACACGCAGAUUGUAUCAAAGGGGGGAACUUACGCAUAUUGCAAAAAAUCAAUAUAAAAAAAAAGGUUUUCUCUUCCUUCUGGUCUCUUUUCUUCUCCAAUUGUUUCUUUUCUUUUUCGUUUGUUAUUAGCCUUAUAUAAGCAUAGAUAUAUAUAGAGUAAAUAAUAACAAAAAGGGGGGGUUAAAACGUACCUGGUGAUGCCUUUGAAUCCACGCGAAGAAGCCAAAAAGCCUUGAAUGGUGAGGCUCCGACCACUAUUCGCAGUGGAAUCAAGGCGGAGGGGCGGACUGACGGCACUGAAGACUAGGGUGAAACCCUAGCAGAGGAAACAAUAAGCAAUUUUUUUUAAAAACGAGUCUGCUAAUGUUUUUUUAGGGUAAAUUUUGUUUAAAUAAUGAUACAAUACGGAGCCGUUUUGGGCUAGGGUUCCUAGCGCCCAAACGACAUCGUUUAGAGGCCUUACCCAAUGACCCGAUCCAGAUGGCGGCUAGAUCCGCGUGUUUGGUAGGAGGAGGGGAAAUUUCGCGAAGAGUCCCUCUUGUUUUGUGCCGUUUCGGUUUGAUUUUCUUCAUUGUUUUUAAUUUGAAUCGCGUAUUUUAUUUUGUUUUCAAUUUGAUCCAUAGUUAAACGGCACCGUUUUCACUAAUCGGAUUUGAGCAUCCGAACAUUUGUGUUUAUUUUCUGUUUUAGUCCUCUCUGUUAUUUUUUAUUAUGAUUUUUACCCUCCUAUUUUAUUUUCACCCUAAUUUAGUCCCGAAACUGUUAGAUUUCACUUUAUUUAUGCAAUGUAUAUAUUUAUUUAUUUUAAACUUUAUAUUAUUUAUUUUAAAUCGUUCUAUUACUAUUUAUUUUAAGCCUUUUUUACAUAUUAUAUGUUUUAAAUUAUGUUAAUCAAUUAUUCAUUUUAAAUAUAUAUUAUUUAUGUUAAACUACAAAUGUAUAUUAUUUAUUUGGAAUUGUUCUUAUGCACAUCAUGCAUUAUCAUUUUUAAAAAAAUAAUAAUAAUAGAAUUUGUUUGCAUAUUGUUCAUUUAGGAUUCCUUCUCACACAUUACUUAUUUUAAACGUUUUACAUAUUAUUUUAAAUUGUUUUAUAUGUUUUUUUUUAAAUGCUUUGAAGAUUAUUCAUUUUAACUUGUUUUACACAUUAUUUUAAUAUGUAUGGAAUUGCUUUAAUAUAUAUAUACGUGAAUAAAACGUAUUGUAACUGGUAAUUUCUAAAAUUUUAUUCUACGUUUUAAAAUUUUUAUCAUUUCGAUUAUGUUGAUUGGUUUACUUGGGAUUAAAUUAUUAUUGCAUUGAUUAUUCUUUUUUUUUGAUUUUUUUGUUAGAUUGAUUAUUAGUUUAUUUGAUUAUCAAUGUUGAUGUAUUAUAUGUUUGGUUGCUCCAAAUUGUAAAUUUAGCUUGCUAUUCACCAUUUGAUUAGUAUAUUGAUAUUUUAUUAUAUUGUUUGUAAAAAUUGCAUUUCAUUAAAGCAUUACAAUUGUUUUAUUUCAAAAUUCUCAAAAAGCUUGGUAUUUAAAAAUUCUCGAGAGGAUUGUGCCCUAACUUACUGGGCUUCAAUCCUCCCUUUUUGAUUCUAAAUAACCGAAUACCUUUUUUUAAUUUGAACAUAGAAGUUUCAAAAUAAAAGCUCAUUCUCGGGAAUUUGACACGUUGUGUCCUAACGCAUUGAAUAUGACUAUUAUUUUCUCGAGAUGAGGAUUUUAAGGCAAUGUUCGAUAUUUAGGAAUUUUGUGAAAUCGAACCCUAACUUACUGGGUUUUGAUUUUCUCAUUUGACCCAGAUAAUCGGACAUCCUCCUCAAAAUGCAUAGGUUUUAAAAGACGAGAGAUAAACUUAACUUGGAGGACUUAAAAUGUUGCACUCUAACUUACUAAGUGUGACGAUUUAUUUCUUUGAAAUAAGUGAGUCUCGUCGUCCAAUUCAUUUUAUUCAAAAUAAAAGGAUCAAAUUUUAAAAUCUUUUCAAAAUUUUGACAUUAAGACAUUAAACAUUCCAAUCGGUACCAAUUUUGGGCGUCACGAGGGUGCUAACCCUUCCUCGUGCGUAACCAACUCCCGAACCCGUUUUCUCAAAAAUUCGCAGACCUAAAAUUAUUUUCAAGGUGAUCCGCACACCACAAUAAAAGAUCGGUGGCGACUCCAUUUCCAUUUUCAAAAUUGAUCCCCAUUUUUCAAAUUACAAAAAAAUGGCUUCGACACAUAUAACUUCUCUUUAAUAAUUCACUAUUCUUUGAACAUUCAUUAGUUUUUGAAACAUAAAAUUUAUAAAUAAUUAUUUUUAGGGUAAACUACACCCAUGGUCACUUUUGUUUACCUUAGGUUACAUUUCAGUCACUUAUGUUUGAAAUGUUACGUUUUAGUCACUUAAGUUAUUGUGUUGUAACAUUUUAGUCACUGAGCCGUUAGUUGUCGUUAAUGGCUGACGUGGCACGUUAAAUUAUCAUUUCAAACAAAAACUUUAGGUUAAAUUAUACAAUUGGUUUCCAUAAUUUUUCGUUUUGAGCAAUUUAAUUCUUUUAUGCUCUUUAACUUUCUUUCUUUUUUUUUUUCUUUAUUUUCCAUUCUCUUCUGCUUCUCCCUGUUUUCCUACAUUCUUUAUUUCUUUUAACAUAUCAGGAAGUCGAAUUGGUAGUGAAGAAAGAAGCAUGGUAUGGGUUUAUGGGUUUUGGUUAUGGGCAAAUGAUGACAGUCGACUUCCUACUUCUUUUUUCACUGUCAAUUCGACUUCCUAAUAUGUUAAAAGAAAUGGGAAAAGUAUGAAAACAGAGAGAGAAACAAAAGAGAAUGGAAAAAAAGAGGAAAGUUUAAAGAACAUAAAAGAAAAAAAUUAAAUUACUUAAAACGAAAAAAAUAUGGGGAUCAAUUGUAUAAUUUAACCUAAAAUUUUGUUUGAAAUGAUGAUUUAACGUGCCACGUCAGCUUACCGUUACACCAUUAACGACGAUUAAUCGCUCAGUGACUAAAAUUUUACAACAUGAUAACAUAAAUGACUAAAACGUAACAUUUUAAACAUAAGUGACUAAAACGUAACCUAAGGUAAAUAAAAGUGACCAUGGGUGUAGUUUACCCUUAUUUUUAAUAUGACUUGAUUUUUACUUGAAUCAUUUUUGUAAUUAGUUAAUUAAAUUGGGUUAUUUUAAAAAAAAUCCUCUUAACUAAUAGCCAAAAAAAAGCCAUCAUGUAGAAAAUUCUGGUUUGUUGGAAAAAUAAAGACUUGACCUAUUACUCUAGAUUUUGAAAUGUUCAACUUGAUAUUGACAUAUGAUAAUAUGUACAAAUUUCUCAUUCUUUUAAAUUUUAGUGAUAUUACAUGUAUGAUAAUAUGUUUGCCACACCAAAUUUGAAAAUAGUAGAACUUAAUGAAUUUAACAGAUAUCUAAAAUAUCAAAUUAAAGUCUAGGAAUUAAAUCUACAACAUCAGUAAAGUACAAUAACUAUGGUAGAAUUAAACCUUUAUAUAAUAAUUUCCUUCUAUGAACCACAAUUCAAGUGCACCCGACAAGCUAAUUAAUAAAAAUUUAGUGGUAGAAUAUGUAUAUUCUUGUGGGUGGAAAUUUAGUGGAGAUGCCCAUCAUCUUUCCUAAUUAAUAAAAAUGAAGACUUAGAAAAUGUGCAAUCAUAAUCCUAGUUGUCGUUAUGGCCCCAAGAAUAGGUAUAUUAAUUUGUCUCUCUUCAGGAUCAAAGAUAAAUAAUAAAUUUUAUAAAGUUAAAACCAUAAUUCUAUAAUUAUAUUAAUAUAUAAUUUCAUAAAAUUUUAAAAAAUGUAUCUUUCAACUUUUUUAAGUAAAUUGAUAAUUCGUUAACUCAUAAUAUAUAUUUUUUUCAAAAUAUUUAUGAGAACGAGUUCGUAUUCUAUUGUGUGGAAAAUUUUAGUACAGAUAUUGGUGAAGCCAAAUCCAACUUGUUUGACCAAGAAAGUCUCUGUCGUGUGGAAAAUUUUAGUUUUGUGGAAAAUGGACAUUACCAUUUCCUUGAAUGACCAUCAAUUUCUCCAUUGAGAUAUAGUAAGAGGGAGUGAAAUAUAUAUAAGGUAAUAUUUAAUGUAUUCACACCAAAUUUCAUUAAUGAGUAAAACAAAUAAUGAAUAAUAAUGAAAAUUGGAGGAAAUUGUUAAGAAAAUAUCAUUACAUAUAUCAACACUCACAUAAUUCAUUGUAUUAACUUUCAAAUGUUGACUAUUGACUUCUACAUCAACCUUGAGCUUAUAUAGGCCCCCCUCACGGAAAUAAUCUCACAAUUAAUGCCUAGAGGUGCUUAUGGGCCGGGCCGGGCCCAGAAAAAAUUUUGGCCCGGGCCCGGCUCGGCCCGAAAUAUGGGCCUGAACUUUUGCCCAAGCCCGGCCCGGUAAAAAAUUCAUAAGCCCGAGCCCAGCCCUUUUUUUAAAAAAAUACCAAAAAUUUAUUUUAAAAUUAAAAAAAUUUAAAAAAAAGUAUUUUAAAAAUAUUUUAAAUAAAUACCAAAAAUUCACCCUGCAUCUAAAAGGAGGUCCAGCACUCGAAUCCCAUUCCCCAUAACUAAAAACUAUGUCACUGUGACUUGGUCAUAUCUCCGCUCAAAGUCGGACAUGGGUAGUUAAAGAAAAAUGAAGAGUCGAUGCAUGAUAGACUAAGGACUAGCUCAAAAGUGCUUUUAGAAAAAAUUGCUCUUGAAAAGAGGUGUGGAAAAGUGUGCUUGUUAGUUUUUAGUGUUGUUCAUUGCUGCCAAAAAUCGCAAUUGAAAGUUAAAAUGUUCUUUUUAGACAUGAUAGUAGAAAGUAAAAAAUUAGUCAAGUCAUAUGAUUUUUAAAUAAUUUAAUAUAAUGAUACAUGAAAUAUAACUUUUAAAUACCUUUUAAGUAAUUAAUAUAAAUUAGUUGUAAAAUUGAUAAUAUAUAAAAUAUUUUGAAAAAAAUAAAUAUAAUAAUAAAUAAGAUUUAAACAAUUUAAUAUAAUAAUAUAUAAAAUAUAAAUUAAUCUAAUUUUUAUAUACCUUUUAAAUAGUUAAUGAAAAUAAUAGUAUUUUGAUAAUUUUCCCUUUGAAAUGCAAAAGCCAAAAACAGUUUUUGACUACAAAAGCUAUGUGUUGUUCAUCACUUCUGCAGUGGAAAAACACUUCUCCAUGGUGUAAAAACACUUUUACCCAAAAAGGCUUUUUCACCACAGUAGAGAAUGCACCCUAAAAUUGUAAAUAGAAAAAGGAAGAACCAAACAUUGUUUCUACCCUGUUUUUGUCUCCUCUUUGAAAAUACUUUCCAAAAGUUUUAUCAUUUUUUUUUCUGUUUACGAUGCCUUAAAUGCAAAUUCCUUAUAGAAGUGCUUUCUUUUGAUCCACUUGCAUCAUUGUAAUAAGUUUGCAUUGCCUUCUUUCUAUGUUGAUUAUCGUUUAUUAAGUUUUCUGUUGGAUCUUAUAGUCAAAUUCCUUUACAUCAUGUAUGUUAAUUUGCUUAGCCCUGAUAAAUGUUAGAUAUAGGGUUAUCAGCUAAUUAGGAAAGACUGUAAUGAUAGUCACACCUUACAUCCAAAUUUUUACAUUGAGGUUCCUUAUUAUUUUUUCUUGUUUCACCAAUUGCAUCCUAUUUACAGUUCCUUAGCGUUAUCCACUGUGCUAGGGUGGUUCUUGUUCAUAUAUUAAUCACCAUGCGCCUUCAGCAAAUGCAAAGCCAGCCAGCAUCUUCUGAUUUGUCAUUGGAUACUACACUUUCAGCAAAUGUAAAGCCGCCAGAAUUUCAGCUGUUUUUAGAAGGUCAAGACACAACAAGAGCAACAUAUGUUGUAUUCUUGUCAAACAAGAUAAGUUUUCGCAUAUUAACGAUUCUUUUUCCAAGAUGAAUUAUUCUCCUGUUGCAUUUUUAUUUGGGUUCAAAUGUUCUGUGAAGUUAGCUUGCCAGUGCUUGUUUGUUCAUCAGCAUUUACAGCUCAUUUGUCAUUGGUCAGCAGAAUUUCCGCUGUUUUUAGAAGGUCAAGACACAACAAGAUCAGCAUAUGUUGUAUCUAACAUUUAUAUUCAACAACUGGAAACCAUGUCAUAAAUACAUAUGAGAAAUAUUUAAAAAUCCUUGGUUGAAUACUCGUGCACUAACAUUUUUUAAAAGUUAAUUUUGUGUUUCUUUUUUCAUCUCUUUUAUUAUAAAAUUUCCUGAUUUACUUGAUAUCACCACUUAAUUUAGCAUUAAAAAAAUGAAAUAUUUUUAUAAAAACUAUUUAUUUCUACUAAACCACUACUUUAAAACUAUCCAUUAUCAUACAACUUCUCUUUAAUAAUUCACUAUUCUUUCAACAUUCAUUAGUUUUUCAAACAUAAAAUUUAUAAAUAAUUAUUUUUACCUACAUUUUGAAUGAUGCAAUUUCUAGCUAUACACUAAAAUACUCCAUUUAUCAAUUUAAUUUAAUUCAAAGAAUUAUGAUAAUAAUUGAAAUUUCAAAAAAGAAAAACAACUAAAUAAUUGAAUAUUUAUAUACAAAAAUAAAACAAACAAGACAGACUUAAGCUUUCUUACCCCAAAGACAAGAUCUUUAUUCAAAAUGCAAAACUAGCAAAAUACUCCCUAAAAUUCAUCUAAACACAUCUUCUAAAGAUGUAAUACCCAAGAAGAUUGCCCACAGUUGAGUAACGGCAACUGCUGAUGCACUUCCCGACGAAAGAAAACCAAACUCCUCGCCAAUGUGGAUUUAUGUAAAGGAUAACAACAAUUGUUAACAACAUAACUACAUAAGAAGCCAAAAAGCUCACACAAAAAACAUAUGUGUCUAGAAAACUAUCUUCUCUUUCAUCAUCUGAUAUUGUUGAUGUUGAACCGGUUUUGGAGCAACUUAUAUGAAGCAUAGGUCCACAGAGAAAAGGGUUCCCCUCGUAACUGCUUUCAAUGAAAGUCCCAAAUUGGUUUUGUUCUGGAAUACUACCUGACAAGUUGUUGUGUGCAACACUGAAAACCCCCAGAGAGUUCAACUCUACCAGCUGGUUUGGGAUUUCACCACUCAAGUUGUUGUAAGAAAGAUCCAAACUCUCAAUCUGCUUAAGUUUUGAGAAUGAUGAGGGUAUAACUCCGACCAACUUAUUGUGUGACAAGUUCAAAGAAUGGAUUUCAUGCAAGUUCCCUAAUUCAAGUGGGAUUUGACCGGUUAACUCAUUGCAAGAUAAAUCAAUCCCAGACAUGUACUCAAGGAUGUCGCCUCCAUAUGAGUAGGAUCCACUCUUUGUGGUAAACUCUACCGAUUCUUUCAUGUAGCUAUAGGAAUGCAUCAUGUGCUCGAAAAGUAUACCCGUCUUUAAUAGUUUCAAUUCAUCCAGUUCUGAAAAUGUUGGCGACAUUAAAUCUGGUGUCAUGGUCUUAUCCUUAUUCAUUGGAAGAGUUAAAUUUCCCAAACAAGAAGGUAUAGGACCGGAAAACCUAUUUUGAGAAAGAUCUAUAAUGCUCAAGGAAUACAAGGUGCAUAACUGGACUGGAAUUCUUCCCUGUAAAUGAUUAGCUUUCAAGAGAAGGACACUCAAAGAAGAAAGUGUGUCGAUCCAUUUUGGAAUACCACCAGUAAAAUUGUUUCCUCUAAGAUCUAAUGUCACUAGUGAAGUGCUUUUAUUAAAAGCAAGUGACAAUGGACCACCCAGUCUAUUAUUGUGCAGGUGGACAUACUCUAGGUUUGGAGGAUUAAAACAAGAUGGUAUAGAGCCAGAUAAAUUAUUUUCAGAAAGAUCCAAAAAUUUGAAGUUAUUCAAGUUGCAAAAUUCCACUGGAAUAGAACCCUCGACACCAUUGUUAGACAAGUCUAAUCUCUCCAAAAGUGACAUAUUCCCUAUCCAUCUUGGAAGCUUUCCAUGCAAUCUGUUGUUACUGAGAUCAAUAUCUGUUAGUGAUGUUGGAAACUGAAAAGUAGAGACAUCAAAAUUUGUCAUCUCUCCAGAAAAAUUAUUUCCAUCCAAAUAUAAUUUUUGUAACCCAUUUGCAUUGAGAAUCACAGGAACUACAUUUCCAUUGAGGUUGUUGUUUGACAGUCUCAAAAGAAAUAGUGAGCUUUUCCUGACCAACUCUUGAGGUACUUUUCCAGCCAAUUGAUUGUUUGAUAGAUCUAACAUUGACAAAUUCUUCAUGGCGCUUAAACAAGGAGGGAUAUUGCCUUGAAAGGCAUUCUUGGAUAAGAAUAACUGCUCCAAAUGUGGAAAAGUUGAACAUAUAUUGGUUGGAAGCGGACCUUGUAUUUUGUUGUCAGACAUGUCGAUUGAAGAUACAUUUGAAUUAGGAGUCGACAGUAAUGUGAGAGGACCUGUAAAAGAAUUACCCUUCAAGAUGAGAUCUUCUAACUUUGUGUUGUUUUCUAACAACCAAAAUGGGACAGUUCCACUGAAUUUGUUCUGAGAAAGAUCCACAAAUCUCAAGUCAUUUUGGUAGUAAAGGAAGGUAGGAAGUUCAAGACUGAGUUGUUGAGAUGUUCUGCACUUGGACAAACUAAUGAAUUUCAAUUGGAAUUUCGGGACUAAGGUGUGGAAGGAAGGUUCCAUUUCCAACUUGUUUUCAUCAGCCAAGAGGACCUCAAGGUUUGGAAAGUUUGCAAGUGGUACGAAUGAAAUUGGAAUUUGAAAAUGAUUACUUGAAAGAGAAAUGGCUCUGAGUGAUGUAAGACUUGCUAAAGGAGUUAGAUUUCCGGAAAAUCGAUUGUUGGAGAUAUCUAACUCACGAAGAGAUGUCAAGUUACUGAAACAAUGAGGAAGCAUCCCCUCAAGUGCAUUCCAACUCACAUCCAACACUUCAAGGUUCCUUAGAUCACACCAUCCUGAAAAAUUUAUGAAAUCAUGGAAGAAUUUCUAAUUAAAUUUGGUUUUCUAAAACAGAAUAGGAGAAAUCAGAUAAAGAAAAGGUCGUAUAGAAAAUUUUACCGUGAUCAGGUAAGGAACCAAUAAGUGCACACCUAUAUAGAGACAAAGUUUGAAGAGAAGUGAAUACUCCAAUGCUUUGCAAAAUGUUGAUGUUGAGACGAGAAUAAUCGAGAUUUAUUUCCUCCAAGUUGCUUAAUUCUAAUCAAUGAAAAGAGGUAGUAGGUGUUAAUGAAACGUAAGUUGUUUUGGAAUAGAAGAAGUAUUAGAUGUUAAUCAAGAAAAGGUGUUUACCUGAUGAGAAAGCCUCUACUAAGUUUUCUAGCGGAAUGCUAUCGUCGGUGACAAUACUUUGGAGACGAAGAACUUUUAACUUUUUCAAUCCCUUGUUUUCUGUGAGCCAAAAUAUUUUGAUAAAAAUUGUGAAAACUUCAACAUGAUUGCACUAAUUGUUUUUCUUUUCUUUCUAGCAUUUUAAGAUAAAUAAUGUGUAAAAUAGAAUUUUCCUUUAUUGAGAUCAUUAUAUUACUUUAAAUUUAUCACCACUAAAUAGAAAAUUAUUAUUAAAUCAAAGUUUUAAAUUUAUUAUUACUUAAAUGUUGUUUAUGCUGGGUGAUUUUGAUGAGAAUAAUUUAUUAUAUAAAAAUAAAAGUAUAUUUCUUAAAGUAAAAUAAGAGAAAUAUUUUAAAUUUUUUUGAAAGUGUUUAUAUACAUAUUACACUUAAUCACUCUUUUGAAAAUUCUAAUUACUCUUUUAAAUUUUAUGUUAAUUUUAAAAAGUAUAUAUAAUUUCAACAGAAAUAUUACUUUAAUAUUAAAAUGAAGAGCUUUUGUGGGUAAAAAAAAUUAUAUGAGUUUAUUUAAUUACAAAAAUAAUUUAAGAAUUUAUUUAAAAAAUAUGUAGUAGUUUUAGGCUCGAUCCUAGGGGUUAUUUGAGAGUGCGGUCGCCCAGGGCUGGAAGGGGCCCAAUUUUUUUUUCAGAUUUUAAUAUGGGAAAAUAUUCAGACUAAAAUAAAUAAAUAAAUUGCCUAGAGCUUUCAAAUUUUCACCAUAAAUACUUCAUCUCUUAUGGCUAAAAAAUUUUCAGCUUUUAUUGUAUUACAUUUUAUAAUAUUUUUAAAAAGACUCGUUUAAAGACUUUUUUAAGUAUAUUAACCUAUUUUAAAAUUCCACAUUUUUAAAAUGUCUUAAUUUUCAAAUUAAAGUACAAACACACUAUAAUCCACAAGCCUUAAUUGCCAUGUCAACAUAAACCACCAUUUAGAAGAUUGUUUUCAUUUUUUAAAAAAUAAAAAAAAAUUAUUUAAAUGAUACCUUUGUGGACCACAAAGCCUCUCAAUUGAUUCCCACUCAUAUCUAGUUUCUGUAAGUUAGUAAAUGCAUCCAAAUCUGGGAAAGAAACAGAUAAGCUUCAUUAAAUCAUUCCAAAACAUGAUUAAUAUUUUUGUCUAUAGAGGCAUAAUUUGUCAAAAAAUAAUAAUUUUACCUUUCAUAUCUAUUAAUCCAUUCAAUUGAUUGAAACCUAUGCUCAAAGAUUUCAGAUUUGAAAGCUUGUUUAGAGUUGCAAAUACACUGUUAUUGAAGAGAUUUGCUUCUAAAUUAAGCUCUUCUAAAUGGGUUAACUCCAAUUUCUUACCUUCAUCUACAAAAGAUUUAACGUAAUUUCAUCAAUGAAAAAAAUGAUAUAAAUUUAAUUAUGUGUAAUAAAUUAUUUAACUGAACCCUAAAUUGUGGGUUAAUGGUUCAAGUGUUCGAAUUAUCAUUGUGUAAAAAAAACAAACUUAAUUAACGGACCAAAAUAUAAAUACAUACCUUUGAAGGAUUGAAAGUUUACCAUUUGAUUCCACCUUAAAUCCAACGUCUUCAAAAUUUUCAAAUUAUUCAAUCCUAUAUAUACUCAAGUUGAACAAAUAUUUUAAUAAAUUGGCUGAAGUGAAAAGGGUAAAAGUAAGGAAGUUGAAAAAUCCCCAAAAGUGAAAGUACUAAUUUGAAACAAAUAAUUAUAAAGGGUCCUACAUAAGUAAGGACUUUAUGCUUGAAAGCCUUCAAGGAAGGAAAAUGUGUGGUUUCCAUGGGAUCUAAUUAUAAUCCUUGUUUGCUGGAUUCCAACUUUUUUAUUUGGCCAACAAAAAAUAAAUAAAUAAUAUAAAAAAAUUGUGAUUACUAAGGCUUCAACCUUGAAGUUUAAAUAGAAUUAUUCAAUCCCAAAAAUUGACCAAAAAUUUCCCUCAAACAAAACUUAACUUUAAAGUAGAAACAAAACCAGAGAAAGGCAAUCUACCUUGAAUAUGAGGCCACUUUCCUUCUAAUAGGUUGUAAGCUAGAUUUAAAUAUUGGAGAGAUGAAAAUUGGCUCAAAGAUAAUAUAAAGCUAUCAUUCAGAUGAUUUUGACUUAAGUCAAGGAACUGCAGAUUUCUGAAUGUGGAUGAUAGCUUUUCAAAACCUGCAGAGUUAAUAAUAACAAGUAAUCGCAAAAUUAACAGUAAGUUGUGUUGAAAAUAUGUGUACAUAAUAGAGUAACUAAAGAUGAAAUGAAGGGCAAAUCAAAUAUAGAACCUUCAUUUUCAACACAACCGGCUAUGCCACUCCCUGUCAAAUAAAGCCUCUUUAAUUCCUUGAAGGGAAGAAACAAAGAGGCAUUCAGAUACCAAUAAUCCAAGUAUCCGGACCUCAUAGAAUCAAGAGAGAGUCCAAUGAGUCUCCCAGUGGUGGUGUUGCACUCAAUCCCUUUCCAUUUACAACAAUCUGAACCUUUAACCUCGUCCCAGCUGUCGAACUCAUUAUAGUGAUUGAAGAAAGGUUUGAGUUGCAAGAGAGCAACUCUCUCAUGCUCCACACAAGCAUCAAUAGUGCACCACCUGCAUCCUUCUAACAGUAGCAGCACACUCAUCACUGCCAUCCUCAUAAACCACAACCAUUUGGAGUCCAUCAUCUCUCUGUUUUUGCUUCUCUCUCAAUUGUAUGCUACUUCAAACUUCUAUUGCAUAAGCCUUCAUGAAACUUGUUAUUUAAAGACAAGGACCUAAGGCUGAAGGCAACCCACUAGUCCACGCUGAAAUAGUCCACUGAAUGUGACGAUAUAUAGGCCCUACAAAGUGUGGUUGUGGAAAUAAUCUAAACACCUAUCCUCCAAAUUAAUACUAUUCCUUGAGAAAUUAUUAAAGGUCAAUUUCUGGUUUUAGUCCCUACGCUAAAUUCAUUUUGAAGGUUUAGUUUUUAUAUAAUUUAAGAUCAAAUUUUUAUAAUUAAAUUAUCAUUUACGUCUGCUUUAAAAUUAUGAAAAAAAUAUUUUAAAAAUAUAACGAACUCCAGCUACAGCUUCAAAAUAUGAUGAAGAUGUUUUAGUAGAAUAAAUCGCAGAAUCCGCCAUCUUUGACUUUUGUUUUCUUAUUGUGAGAAUAUCUUAACAUUAUAACUUUUGAAUAUAUUUUGUUAUUUCAGUUAUUAAUUUAGAUCAUAUACAAAUUUCUUUCGUGAUAGUCUCAUUUAGAUUUGAAGUUUGUUGUUGGAUUUGAAGUUACAGGAAAAUAUGUUGAAAAUUUGGGUUUAAUAUUAAAUAAAAUGGGUUGGUAAAAUCUAUUAAUGUUAGUGGCGUUUUCCCACAAAUGCCACUAUAGAACAUGAUCUUUAGCUGCGCUUUUACUACAAACAUUGCUAAAAAACAUGAUUUUUUGUGGUACUUCUAGCUAUAAAUGCCACAACAUGCUUGACUCUUUUAUAGUGUUUUUCCAAAUGAACGCCGCAAAUUUUAGCGGCGCUAUCUAAAGCGACUUUUUACUGGCACUUAUCAAAGCGCCGCAAUCUGUUUUAGCGGCACUUAUAAGCACCGCCAUAGGGCCAAAAAAACACCGCUAAAAACCUAUUUUGCUGUAGUGAUUUACGCAUUUAUAAGCCUACAAAAUAAUCACGGAUUCAAUUUUAGAGUCCGUUAUCAGCCCCUAAUCGGGACAUCAAAUUGACCAAAAAGGGCCCACAUGACCUACCUGUUCAACUUGCGUAAUUGCACACGCCUAAGUGCUCCACACGGCCUGGCACACGGCCAACUACACAUCAAUGUGGUGCACAUGAACUUGUGACGCAGAGUAGCUUUGAAAAUUGUAACCUCCCAAACCCGGCCUAGAUGUUAUGACUAGAUUGAGAAGGCUACAAUAGCCACCGAAAUGGCUAAGCUAACUUACGUUACUUUUGAAGACCUUAAAUAAACUCAUUUUAGAGAAAACCGUAGUUGUACUUUGAGUUAGCUUAAAAGCAUUCAUUCAUUAGGUCGUGUAUACUUAGGAUUCAUUUUAUUGUUGAUAGUGUUGUUUUACAAAAAUAGUUUGCUUAUCGCUCUUCUUUUAAAAAAAACUCGAUGGUAAACUAAUGUGCGGAAAAACCAUUUUUCAAGUCAUUUUGGAAACUUAGUUGCCUUAACGAUUUGUUUUUCAGAAACAAUUCCUUUUUAAUGCAGCGGAAACUAGGGAACAAUAUCAAAUUUUACUUAAGCUCGAUAUCAUGCAUUAUUCAGUUAUUAUGCUUGAGUAAUCCAUGCAUGCAAAAAUCCCAAAAGAAAAGUUACUAAGCCACAAACCACAAGUCAUUAAAAAUUACAAACCAAAACUAAUAGAAUCUGAUUAAUACUUUUUAAAAAUAGUCCGAGGUCCAAGGUGAUUCUUCGAAUGCCAAGUCCGAUCCUAAUUUUGAGGUUUACACAUUCAUUUGACAUACUCAGCACGUCCUCAAUAAUCACAUACUUUUAGUAAAUGAAAACAAUGUUCCAAACUUUCAAAUUACCAUUGUGUUGGUAUUAAUCAAUAUCGUUCAAUUUCGCAUACUUUAUGAAUUUUGAUUAUGCAUAAAUAGCACCCUAUACAACAUAUAUGUAUAUAAUAUAUGCCAAGAAAAUUUAGAAAUACAAUAAAUCAACCUAAAUGAAAUCAUUCAUCAUCAUUUUUCAAGAUUUUAAAUUAUAUUUUCUCAUUCCCAUUGUCAGUGUAUUUCAACUUGUAAACAAAGAUGAUGGCUACUAUAAAUGGAAUCAUUGAUAUAUCAUGAUAUUUGAAUUUGACAACUAUUUUUAUACAUUUUAUUACCAAAAGUAAGGGUAUUAAUUUUUUAAUGUUUAAUUGUGGUUUAGAGUUAAUUUAUUUAAAGUUAAUUGUUAAUAUUAUUAAAUUCAAAUUUUCGUAAUUGUAUUAAUAAAAUAAAUUUAGUGUUAAAAGUGAGUUUAUUCAAUUUUAUAUUUAAUUUGUUAAAUGUAAUCUAAUGAUUUUUUUGUGCUCUAGUGUUGAUUUAAUUAAAGUUAAUUAUUAAUAUUAUUAGGUAACUAUGAGUUCUCAUCAAAUUAAUCCUAAAAUUCAAAUUAAAUGCUAAAAAAUUAACAUUAUUACUUUUAAAUAUCAAAAUGUAUAAAUUUUAUUAAAUAUAGAUACUAAAUCAAACAAAAAUUAUAAAUUUUGAGUCGUUGCAAAUUUUUCCAACAUUUUUGGGGUCUUGAAUUUGAUAUGCAAAAAGUUGGUGGGAAUUUUAAGUCAGCAAAUCCUUUAAAAGGGCAAUGACAUAAUUAAUUGCAUUACUUUAAUGGUUGAAUUUUCAUAGCUAAUAUGUAUGCAAAAAGUUGGUGUGAAUUUUAAGUCAGCAAAUCCUUUAAAAGGACAAUGACAUAAUUAAUUGCAUUACUUUUCAAAGAUCGACUACUGACUUUGGUGAACUUAUUUAUAGAAGGUUAAAUUCUGCUGUUGGUCACUGUACUUUACGAAAGUUGUGAAUUUAGUCUCUAAACUUAAAUUUGAUCAAUUUUAGUCUCUAUACCUUUUGAAUUUUGAAAUUUUAGUUCUAACCCAAACAGUAGCAGUUAUCAAUUUGAUUAAAUUCUAUUACUAUCGAUUUAGUCCAAACUUUCUGAAUUUUGAAAUUUUAGUCUUGAUGCAAAUGACAAUCACUGGUCUAUUAAUUGGAUUUUUAGUAAAUAAUAUGUGAAAAUAACAAGUUUGUUGACACCAUUUUUUUGAUAAAAAUGGGGUCGACUUAGAUUUUGAAAAUAAAAACGAAAAUGGGAGUCGCCACCGAUCCUUUUUGAUAAGGUGUGAUCGGGUCACCUCAAAAAGUGAUUGUUUUUAAUAAGCGAUUUGAUUUUAUUAAAACAACGAUUUUAGUCCACGAAAUUUAAAAAAAUGGGUUCGGGAGUCGGUUACGUUCAAGGAAGGAUUAGCACCCUCGUAACGCCCAAAAUUGGUACCUAGUUGAUUAAUUAAUAUCUUAAUGUCGAGAAUUGAAAACUCGAAAAGAAUUUAAAAUACGAUCAUUCCUUUUUAUUAAUGUUAAAUUUAUAAAUGAUGCUUGGAUAAAUCGAGGUGGAUGCUAAAGACCUUCUUGUCUCAGAGUAAAUAAAAUGUCAAUCCAGUACGUUAGGACACAACAUUUUAAAUCCUCGAGAACAAGCUUAUCUUUUUAUUUUCAAAACUCGUGCAUUUAAAUUUCAAAAGGAUAUUCGAUUAUUUGGAUCAAAGGAGAAAAAUCGAAACCCAGUGAGUUAGGGCACGAUCAUUCAAAUUUCCCAAAUACAGAAUAUCACUUUUAUUAUUUUUUUAGGAAAAUCCUCAUCUCGGGAAAACAACAUGUCAUAUCCAAUGCGUUAGGACACAACGUAUUGAAUUUCCGACAAUAAGCUUUUUAUUUAUGCAUUUUUGGUUAAAGAGAAUUCUCGAUUAUUUAGAUUCAACGAAGAAAAUUAGAACCCAAUACGUUAGGGCUCAAUCUUCUCGAAGAUCCAAAAUACCGAGUAUUACCCUUAUUUUCAAAAUUUUCUCUUUAUUACGAAUUUGAGUAAAAAUUGUAAAUGACAGAAUAACAAUUAUGAUAAUGUAAAUAAAUAAAUAAAUGAAUAGAAUGAAAAAAAGUAAAAAAGACAUAUAUGUAUGUGCAUAUAUAUAUAUAAAUUAUAAAAAAUAUAUAUGAUAUUAUAAAAAUGUAUGCAUGUAUAUAUAUUAAAAGUAUAUGUAUAUGUGUAUUUCGAAAGUAUAAAGUAUAUAAGAUAUAUAUAUGUAUAUGUUUAUAAAUUAUAAAAUAUAAAACAUAUAAGUACGUAUAUAUAUAUAAAUGAAUCAUGAAAUGCACGUGUAUAUAUGUAUAUAUUAGAAAAUGUAUGAAUAUAUAACAAAAUUUGGAAUUAAGGAUGUAAAUGAGUGAAUAAUAAUAACAAUGAAUUAAAAUACAAAAUCAAUGAUGCCAUACAAUAGUAUUAAUAAUAUCAAAAUAAUUAAUUUAAUGAUAAAAUAACUAAAACAACAAAUAGAGGAUUAAAUUAGAAACUAAACUAAAAUUUGGGGUCAAAUAAAAAUAACUUAAAGAGGGUGACUCGGGACUAAAACAAAAUGCGCUGAAGGAGCAAGGGACUUCCAGGGAAAUAUUCCCUAGUCCUGAAACGCAGCACUUCAGCAAGGAUUAAAAUGAAAUCAGAAAAAAAUUUAUGGGCCAAAAUGAAAGAAACAAAAGGGACAAAUUGCACUGAACUAUAAAAGAGGAGGGGCUGAACGCGCAAAUAGCCCCUCCAGGCAUAACACGCGGAUCCUGACCGCAUUCGGGUCGGGUCUCGGAUCGGCUCCUGGUUUUAUGCCAAACGGUGCUGUUUUGGCCAUGGAUGCUAAGGUCCAAAACGACGCCGUUUUUAAACUAUAUAAACACUCAAAAAAUCAACAAAAAAAAAAUUCAUCCCUUAUUUUUUUCAAAAAAACUGAGAGUCUCCCUAACUCUCUCUCAACCCCCAUCCCUCAUAUUCGGCCGACGACCUUCUUAGGCCUCCGUCGCGCCACCUCGUAGCCGGAGGUCGGCGCCGGAAAUGAAAGGCCAUUAAACCCCUUUUGUGGAGUCCUUGAGAGCCAGGCUCUCUCAACCCGCGAGGAGUGAAACAAAAGGGGAACCCUCGACCUUGGCAGACCCGACUCAACGAUGGAGGAGAGAGCCUCUGGCGGCACAGUCACGGCCAACUCCAGUGAGUCACCCUUCCCUUUUUGUCCUUUCUUUUAGUACUAGUUUUAAAAUCAGAUUUUUUAAAAAAAUGAUAAAUAAAAUAAGUAAAUAAUUCAAAAAAAAGAAUCGGAGAAGACAGCAACCUUUGUUUCUAUUUCUGAAAUUCGUAAAAAAAUGACAGACGAAGAAUACAAUGUUAAGAUUUUGGCCUUUAUAGCCGAUUUAAAAACCCCUAAAUUUCUAUUUUUUGUCGUUUUGUUGUUUGGCCUGUUCUGCUGUUGUGUGUGGUUUACUGCCUUGCAGGUGUCAGAGGCUGACGGUCGGUGAUAGGCGAGUAACGGCCUGCGUGAGGAGUGGCAGAGGAGGCAGAACAUGCGGCGCUGGGCAUUGGGCAGAGGCGUGCGGCGCUUUGGGGUUUGCUCUUGGCUGAAAUUGUUUAAAUUGUUUAAGUUUGCUGUAAAUGGACUGGAAUAGUUUUUAUUUUUUAGGCCCGGGCCAAAAUUGGGCCUUACAAAGUCGAUAUGACAUUACACAAAUGAUAAUAUGUUUGUCACACCAAAUUUUGGAGAUAGCAGAACUUAAUGAAUUUAACAAAUAUCGUUUACGGUGAUUGAAAUCUUAAAAUUUGAAAAGUACAAUAACUAAAAUAUCAAAUUAACUUAUAGGGAUUAAAUCCACAACUUCAAUAAAAUACAGGAAUUAAUGGUAGAAUUUAACCUUUAUAUAAUAAUUUCCUUGGUGAAAAAAACGCACAUUAUCAUUUCCUUGAAUGAACUUCAAUUUGUCCAUUGAGAUAUAAUCGGAGGGAGUGGAAUAUAUAUAAGAUAAUAUUUGAUGUAUUCGGUAAAUGGAGAAUAUUAAAUAGAGAGAGCAAGCCAUUCGCCUCACGGAACACAUUAACGAAAGACACAAGCUUAAUACAGUCACUAAAUCCAUCAAUUUCAUUAACAACCUGCUAAUAAUUCAAGACAAUUGUUGGGUCCGGAUGGAUUAUAUUUUAAAAUUUUCUUUCAAAAUACAGAAGUUCCUUUGACAAAAAUGAAAAUAUUAUUUAAUUAUAGGGUUAGUAAUUAGUACACUAAUAAUCUACUUAAUGCUAUUGAUUUUUUUUUAAUAUUAUACAACACCUUUAUAAAACACGUGUCAACCCUCUGACUCUGCUUAUGAAAUUUAAAAACUUCAAUGACAAUGUACCAACUAUUAUUCUUAAUUAUUAUACUAUUCAUGAUUUAAGGACAAAGAUCAAAUACAAUAUUUGCUUAAAAAUCUGUAAUAUAUAUGUAUAUAUAUAUAUACAUUUGCUCACUUAUUGUGAUGUAAUAUAGCACCAUCCAGCUAACCCUAGCUUUCUAGCAAGUAGUCGGAGGAAAUUAUUGAGAAAAUAUCAUUAAAUAUAUCAACAAUAAUUGCACUAACUUUCCGAUGUUAACUACUGACCUUUGCGUCAACCUUGAGCUUAUAUAGGCCCCCUACAAUAAUUUAGGCUAUGGAAAUAAUCUUACAAUUAAUGCCUGAGAAAUAAUUAUAGAUCAAUUUAUAGUUUUAAUCCCUAUAAUUACUCAAUUGAAUUAAAAAUUUUGUUAUUCUUAUUUAAUUUAAUUUGAUAUAUUCUGUUCCUCUUAUUAAUGUUAAUGUUUAGAGUCCCCGCUUGUACAUUGGUGAUUAGGUCUCUCACCAUUAAAUUACUCUCUUAAGAACCUAACCUGCAAAUUCACAACAUAAAAAAUUUACAGUCAAAUGUAAUCACACAAAUGACAUUCCUCACUUAAACAGAUUAAGUCGUUGCAAAUAUCUAAACAUAAUCAAAGUCGUCGUUAUGGCCCCAAGAGAAGGCACGUUAACUUGUCUCUCUCACACAUAGGAUGAAAUUAGUCUAAACCUAACCUUGGUAGAGCCGACCAUGUCGGGCAGACCACCCUACAUAAAUCUGAUUAUUUUAUCAUAGUUUAUUCAUCACUGAAGGAAGUAUGCAAAAUUAGGCAUACCAUUUAUCCUCACCUCUCUCGCUGACAAAAGAUUCAUGUUAAGUAUAUUCACCCUACAUAAAUUAUCAAGAGGAAUCACAGAUUUAAGGACCGUGGAAAAGAAUUCCAGAACCAGUUAUAUACAAGCAGGGCCUAUGACAUCCCCACUAAUUCUCAAUCAUAUAAAAUAAUAUAUAAUUAAUUCGUCUGGAAUGUUUAAGGCAUGGUGGUGAAUAUAUCAUGAGCGAUGUUGCUGAGUUUCUUCUGAAGAAUUGGCUAGCUAUUAGUGUCUAAAGGAUCUUUAGUUAUAUGGGGCUUAUGUUUCGGUUGCUUGAACAAUUGCUUUUCAGAGGGCAGAAUAGUAGAGGGGGGUUUUGGGGGUCUGGUGGUAUGGAGUUAUGAUGUUAUCAAUAUGAGAUUUUGGUGAUUUGUACUUGAUAAAGGGACACUUUUCGUGAGGGAUUGCUACAUUUUGCAGAUUAUAACAUUGUUUACAAGUGCUUAAAAUGUGUAAUAAUUUGAUCGAGAGAAAAAAUGACCAAAACAAAUGUUCUCAGCAUUUUUGCUUCAUUUAGAACUUGUAAUUAAUUUUUUUUAUCAGAGAAGUUGUAAUUAAUUGGAUUUGGAAUGAAUUGAUAAUAUCCUUACUAUUUCACCUUUUUUAUAUGUUUGGCGUGUGAGUAUGAUACAGAUUGAACUGAUUUUUAAAGUAGAAAUAAAACGAUAACAAACCAAAACAUUCUGGUUUUCAAAAUUUUGAAUCCAAAUCAAUCGAAUUAGUUUAAUUAUAAUUGAAUGUUUUAUGUGUUAUGAUGAUGAAGGAAGUUGAUGAGGUGACUUGCUUCAUCUUUCAAAAUAUGAGGUUCGUUAGACACAUCUUUACUAUUGUUUUUUAAUAACAAAUGAAAAGUCAAUUUAAAAAACAAAAAUCCAAACCAAUGAAUUUCUUUUAUACAUAUAAGAUAAGCUUACUGCAAAGCUCUUGUUUUUUCAAAAUAAAAUUUUGUUUUUGUUUUAUUAAUUUUGUAUGAAUCAAAUUAAUAAGUUUAAUUUUUUUAAGGGUAAAUUAAACCAACAGUUACUCAACUUUGAUGCAGCUGACAAAAUAGUUGAUUUGGUUUCAAUUCAGUCACUCAACUUUCAAAAAAUAACAAAUCAGUCACUAACGUUACCAAAAAGUGACAAAUCAAUCACCCAUUAACAUUUUCCGUUACAGACCUAACGGGACAGGUGACAUGGCUAGUUAACUUGCCACGUUGACAUGGCAAUGCAUUUAAAAUUGGUCUAAUUAAGAAUUUGGUCAUUGUACAUUAUGAAAACAUAAAAAUUAUUUCAAUUGAGUAUCAAUAUUAAAUCUUGUCCAUUGACCCAAAAAUCAUCAUUUCAACAAAUUGUAUGUAAGAAAUUAGUGAAAAUCAACAAUUCAGUAAUUUAUAUCAAAAUUGAGGACUAGCUUUUCAUUUUUUUGUAAAUUACAUGGAUGACAUUCACAAUUAGACCUAAAUAGUGACAAAUUACAAAUUUAAACCCUAAAUACCUUUGUUCAGAGGAUCCGUAGCCAACAGAAUCAAUAAAACCGAUGGAGAUGAAACUCAUGCAUUUGGCGUGAAGAUGAAACUGGACAGAGUAGAACUCGCAUUGUUCGUCACCGUUGUAGGUGUCACAGUCACACGAGAAUCGCAUCGACAUGGCGCGUCGGCUAGUGAGAGGGAUUAGAUCAAGUCGAUGGGCAAUGAACUUGUCGUUGACGACGGAAGAGUUAACUUCAAUUUUGACGAGGUCGAUGGCUAUGUUGGGAACCUCGGCUAUCAUGACACGAUGGAGGGCAUUGGCCAUGGAGGCGUUGGUGUCAUGGCAGCAUAGUUGUCUUUGAGUUCUCGGAUUUUGACCCUUGGGAAUCGCUAGUAUGAAGCUCCUUCCAUUUUCUCUUCUUCUCCAUUUCUUCUCUUCUUCUUCUUCUUCUUCUUCUUCUACUGCCCAAGGCUCUUAAAUGGGGUUGUUUAAAUGACAGCUAGCCUACCGUUAAAUGUCAUGUCACUUUUCUGUUACAAACGUAACGGAAAAUGGUUAAAAAGAUUGAUUUGUUAUUUUUCAAAAAUUAAGUGAUUGAAUUGGAACUAGAGUGACUGUUUUGUCAAUUGCAUCAAAGUUGAGUGAUUGUUGUUGCAAUUUACCCCUUUUUUUUUAAUAGAGAUAAGCUUUGUGGUGGAAAUUUGUUAGGAAAGGAUGAUUGUAGGAAUGGUCCACAAAAUUAAUUGCAUUCCCUUUUCUUGAUGAAUUCUUAUCUUUGGGUCAACUCUUAGCUUAAAUACACUGCUAAAUUUAUUUUAGGCUGUACAAUAUAAAUGGAGCAAUUGAUGUCAGGAGAUAAGUUGGAAGUACAAUUAAAUUUUUUCAUAAGAGGAGAUGGGAUGAGAAGAUUUGAACCCAACAAUUAUUGGAAUUUAGAUUAUAAAAUUGGCGUGAAAUCAUGAAUUUAGAUUAUAAAAUUCUUUCCAUUUUAAUAAUCAUUUUAGAACUAGUUUGGUUUCCAAUCUAUAUUUUGUGUUGUGUUUUGUUUAUGUCAAAUUUUAAGGUAAAACUUUGAAAGUUAAAAUACAUUCUAAGUCCCUAUACACUUUGUACUUUUAGAAUUUAGUUCUCCUAGUUUUUAUUUUUAUGAAUUUAGUCUUUCUAUUUUUUGGUUUUCAAAAUUCAAGUCCCCAAUUAUUUUCACUGUUAAAAUUCUUCUAUUAAACUCACUAGUGUCACCUUUUGAAAUUACCAAAAAAAAAAAAAUCAUUUUGUAGUCAUGUAAUAAUAAAGAAUAACGUUAAAAAUAAUGAUGUGGAUUUUUAUUUAAAAUACUCAUCCAAACUGAUCAUGAUAAAAUGACUUUUUUUUUGUUGGAAUAGUGUUUUUAAGAAAAAUUGACGUCAAUAUUUUGAUUGGAAUAGUUUACAAUGUUAAUUAUUUAGACUAACUAAUGACAUUACAAAAAUAAAAUAAUGAAAUUAUGCCAAAAAUUAAGGAAUAUAAAUUAAAUCUCAAGUUUUAACAUAAUAUAGGGGCUAAUACUAAAAUUUGACCAUUAAUUUCCAUGUAAUAUAAAAUAAAAAUAAAAAAGUUGUGUGAAGCAGCCCAAGCUUAUGACAGAAAAAAAAAACACGGCCCAAAGCUAAGGUUACGUGUUAGAAAGGGAAUGUCAUGAUAGGGGUGAGUAUUCGAUCAAGUCGAGUUAAAUUGAGUCAAAAAAGUUUAAGUUAGUCGAGUUUACGAAUCCUAUUUUAGUAACCGAACUCAAUUUGAAUUUUUUUUCUGAAUCAUAUUGAGUCAAAAAGUUUCGAGUCAAGUUGAGUCGAGCUAAAGAAUCCUAUUAUUUAUACUCAAAACUUAUAUUUACAUGGACCGAUUAUUUAACUAGUAGAUGAAGUACAAGAUUAUUUAACUACAUAAACAAUAUAAUGGUUUUGCCUUUUAACUUAAUGAGUAAAUAUUUAUCAAAACGAUAUAGUUUUGUCUUUUAAUUUAAUAGUUUUGACUUUUAACUUUGGAAAAGAUAAAUUCAGAUUUUCAGAUAACUCGAAUUGUGUAAUUCAUAUUCAAGUUGAAUAUAAAAACUUAAUUUUUUUUAUUCGGGUUGAUCCGAAUAACUUGAUUAACUCAAAUAACUCGAACUAUUUAAUUCAAAAUUUAAAAUUUUUAUCAAAAUUUUCAGAUCAAAUCGAAUUUUGCUCACCCCUAGUAUUGGACAUUAUUUUUAUAUACGGGUGUAUAUAUAUGUGUGCGUGUGUGUGUGUUUGAUGUGAUUUCCUUGUGAGUUCCAUCUAUUUUUAGAAGUUUUUCCACGUAAAAUAUGUGUAUUUAAUAUUUUCAAUUCUUUUAUUAUUCUACUUGCUCGUUGCAAAUACGUUUGAUUCACAACAUUUUAACCUAAACUUAAUUGUAAAUGAUAAGAGAUAUUUUACGAUUAAAUAAAAAAAUUUAAACCACUAAACCAUUACCCUAAUAUGUCAAAACACAUGCAUUUUUUAAUUUCAAAAUUUAUGAAUUCCGAAGUAAAGAGCAUACGAUAUUUAUAUUAAUGUAAGAAAUGUAGGCUUGCUAAGUUUCGCAAAAUCAUAUUACACUUUUAAUUGAAUAUAAUGGUGGGAUGAUUCAAUUAUUAAAAACUAAGUUCGGGCAAAAAUGUAAAAAUAAUCUAAAAUUAAUUGAAUUAUUAUAAUAAAUUUAUAUAACUUAUGGAGUGAACCAAAUCAUGACAUAAUAUCAAAAAUAAUUAAGACAUGUCAUAUUACAAAUAAUAAAAACUCAACUUUAUAAGCAUAUCAAAAUUUAUUAUCAUGGCGUAUAAUAUGUUAUGAAAAAAGAAAAAAGAAAAAAGAAAAAGAAGAGAGACAAUCGCUUCAUCAUGAGAUAUAAGCCCUUGAAACCAAAAGUUAGUUGAAGCUGUUAGGAUCGACUCAAUUAAGCAACAAGUAACAAAAAAUAGUGGAGUAAAUUGAGAAAUUGAACACACAAAUUUAACGUGGAAAACCCCUCCAAAGAGGAUAAAAACCACGGGCAAAAAUAAUUUUACUAUAAUGACAAAAGAAUAAAGAGUACAAAAGAUGGAGAUAAAAAGCUAAACUCCAAAAAACCCCAAAAACAAAGAACCCUCAAAACGUAAACACAAUGUAACGCCCCAGAAUUUUUAUUUUUGUUCUUGCAAAGGUAUAACACAAUUGUGUAUCUACUUUAGUGGUUAAGUGUUUUGGGUGUAUGAGAGGUCUCAAGUUCAAGCCAAGACUUGGCGAAAUUUUGGUAUUUUUAUGAAUAAGCUCUAUCUUUGGUCAGUAGGCUUUUAAGUAAGAGUCGACAAAUAAUUAAAAGAAUGGGCUUGUUCGUUUGGUGGAUAAGUGGAGUGUUGGUGUGAAGGAGGUUUUGUGUUCAAUUCUCUAUGGUGGCAUGGAGAUAGUAUUUUUGCUCCAAUUUUGGCUAAGAGUUGUGUUUGGGCAAAAUUCUGAGUAGUUGUGUUUUAGUGGGUUAAUAGGGAGUGAUUUUUGGAAAUAAUGGGGGAGAGGUUAUCAGAAAAUAAUCUGAUUGUCUUUUUAUUGCAUAAAAAAGUAGAGUUUCGGUUUUCUCUCCAAUUACCCAAACUUUUUCUGACGUUUUCUUCUUUUUUUCCCUCCGCUGUCGAUUCUUUCCCCUAGUUGUUGCCAAAAUUUCCAUUAUUUUUUCCCCUUCCAUUUCUUUCUUUUAUUUUCCAAUUGAUUUGGUUGUUUAUCGUUGGUUGCGUGUGUUCGGUAAGUAACGGUUUUGUCUAUUGUUAAUUGUUCUUAGUUAAUCUCUGAAAGGGGGAUUCCUUUUUGGUGUUUCGGAGUUAAUCAAGGGGCUAGUGGUUAUGAAUCGAUGCUGUGAUUGUGUGAAGUCAUGAUUACUCAAGCGAGGUAAGGGUUUUGUUAGGUUUUUAGUUGAGUUCCUUCCAAAAUUGGUUAAUUAAAAAUGAAUUAAGUGAUUAAUCUGGAGAUUUGUUGGUCGAUUUUUAGGUUAUGGAGGCUUAGGAGUGCUUACGCAUUAGAAAUGAUACCAGGUGUGUACCCGAAAAGCAGAAAAUGAGAUUCGGCGAAAAGCAUAAAUUGCUUGCUAUUUGGACAGCAGCAGUGGGCUAACUUUAAAAAAUCAUCAUAAAUUGUGAAAAUCGAAUUAAAGGAUGAAAAAAGUAAGGAAUUAAAUAUUAUUGAGUCUAGUUUCUCAUAGAGAAAUGGUGUAAGUAAUGGAAUUGUAAAUCGUGAGAUAUAAUAAAUUUUGUGAGACAAGGUCAGAAUGAAUUCAGGUUUCCCUUUUUUGACUUUGGAAAAUCAUUAAAAAUUGUAUAAAAAUGAUUAUGGGUUAAAAUUUAUAUGAUUAAAAUUCUUAAUGAGUAUAUUUUCAAGAGAAACAAACCUUAACAUCAUCUGAAUCUCGUACUAAGAGAUAAUUAAUUUUUAGAGAAGAAGGGUCGAAAUUAUCAGACAGCAGAACAGGGACAAUUUUGAAGAAUUAACUGUACUCAUUGGCUAAACCAAAAAUUCUAAAAAUUUUAAGGUAAGAAGAUAUGUGAGUCUGUUUUUCGGGAAAAUCAAGCGGAUCUUAAUUUUGAAUUCUGUAGCUCUAGUUAUAAAUAAUUUAGUGACAAUGACUCAAGUAGACAACUCUGAAUGAUCAUAUUAGUAAAUAGUGGAAACAUAUAUGAAUAUUUAGCUAGCAUGGGUUACAUUAAAAAUGGAUCACACGGCCAAGGCCAAUUUGGGCCGAGUGGGCCACGCGGGCACAUGGGCGUGUGGGUCCAUUUUUACCAAAAUGUUUCUAAGGCUGCACAGGUUGCCCAAGUCGACUGUGAACCUACUGUAAGGUCGGUAAGUGCUACUUAAACCCCUAAAUGUGUGAAAUUGACUGAAUGAUAUUUGUACUGAGCAUGUUAAUAUCUAAACUGAAUAUAUGUACUGAAAUUGCAUAAUAGCAUAUCAUCCAUGGUAUGUUGCAUUGCAUUGGGUUGAGGGUUGUUAUUUGGAGGAAAUGUACUAAAAGGCUUUAAGCCUAAUUUACUGGAAUCUCAGCUACAAACUACUGUUUUGUGCCGCAAUAUUCAAUACUACUUGAAGUGUAGGAAUGGGUGGGUUGAUUAUAUCCCCACAUGGUGUGUAGAGGCUGGUUGGCAAAUGGAGUUUUAGUAAGCACAAGCAUCGUCAUCUGUCCAUCAUAACUUGGAAGACAACAAAGAUACUCAUAAAAUAGAUCUGCAAACUGAAAAGAGAGAAGUCAUGUGGAGUGAAUAAGAAGAAGAAAGAAAAAAAGGUUGGUGGGAGGAAGAAAAAGGGUCGCGAUAGCCAAUUCGAAGGUUGUCAAUGCCAUUGGGCAAAAUAAAACAUAAUAAACAAACGGCUUGGAGAAAAAAAUUAAGAAAGAAGAAAAAAUUUAGGCAAAAUUUAUAUUAAUGUAAGAAAUGUAGACUUAUUAUGAUAUUACAUUUUUAAGUGUGAUCAUUCAAUUAUUAAAAAUGUAUUUAUAACAAAUUAUGUAAAAUUUUAUAUAAGCAUAUAAUAUGUUAUGCAAAGAGAAUCACUUUUCUUAGUUGAAUUGUUAUAACACAUUAUACAAAAUAUAUUUUAAAUUAAAGCAUAAUGUGAAUACGAUACCAACCAACAAAUUAAAUUCGAUGAUUUAUGGAUAAUUACAUUUAUUACUCAAUUUAAUUUAAUUCAAAGAGCUAUUGAAUACACAUAACAAUUAAUUAUGAUUAAACUUUAAAUUUCACAGAAAAUAAAAAGAAAUAGAUUGUUGAAAAUGAUAAAAUGGAAAGAUAAAGCUACAAACUUCCUCCCCACAAACCUAAGAGCUUUUUAUUCAAAAUGCAGAAAUCAACAAAAUAGUCCUCACAAUCCAACUUAGCAUAGUAAAACAAUUAGGUGGGGAAAUCAAAUAGUAAAUUCCUUUUUCCUUGAAUCAACACCAACCGACUUUGUUGAAAUCUUCACUAUAGCUAAUCACAUUGCCUGAAGAUGUGAUAUGUAAGAAAAUUGGCCAUUGUUGAGUAACGACAGGUUGUGAUGCACUUUCCAAUAAAAGAAAACCAAACACUUCGCCAAUAAGGAUUUAUGUAAAGAACAACAAAAAUUGUCAAGACCACAACUAUAUAAGAAACCAGGAAGCUCACACAAAAAUCAUAUGUGUCUAGCAAACUGUCCUCUCCUUCAUCAUCUAACGAAUUUGAUCUAGUUGAUGGUGCAUCUGGUUUGGAGCAACUUUUAUGCAAAAUAGUUCCACAAAGAAAAGGGUUUCCCUCGUAACUACUUUCAAUAAAGGUCCCAAAUUGAGCUUUUGGUUCAGGAAUACUACCUGACAAGUUGUUGUGUGCCACACUAAAAACUUCCAAAGAGUUCAACUCUACCAACUGAUUGGGGAUUUCACCACUCAAGUUGUUGUAAGAAAGGUCCAAACUCUCAAUUUGAUGAAGUUUUCAGAAUGAUGAAGGUAUAACUCCGAUCAACUUAUUGUGUGACAAGUUUAAAGAAUAGAUUUCACUUAAGUUCCCUAAUUCUGGUGGGAUAUGACCAGUUAAGUUGUUGCAAGAUAAAUCAAUCCCGGUCAUAUAUGCAAGGAUGUUGCCCUCGUACGAAUAGAACCCACUCUUUGUUGUGAACUCUAUUACUUCUUCUAAAUUCUAUUACUUCUUCUAAGUAGCUGUCAGGGUAGUAAGGAUUUAUAUCCCUUUCCAAUUUUCUCAUCGCAAUGGAUGUUGAUUCAUCCAUUUCUGUAAAUGGAAGAUAGAACCCAGUUGCUAGACUCUCUUUCUCUUUCAUUGGAAGAGAUAAAUUUCCCAAACAAGAAGGUAUAGGACCAGAAAACAUAUUUUGAGAAAGAUCUAUGAUGCUUAAAGAAUACAACUUGCAUAACUGAAUUGGAACUUUGCCAUGAAAAUGAUUAUCUUUCAAGAGAAGAACACUCAAAGAAGAAAGUGUGUCAAUCCAUUUUGGCAUGCUACCUGUCAAAUUUUUUUCUCUAAGAUCUAAAGUCACUAGUGAAGAGCUAUUAUAAAAAGCAAGUGAUAGUGGACCUCUCAGUCUAUUCCCGUGGAGGUGGACAUGCUUUAUGUUUGGUGGAUUAAAACAUGACGGUAUAGAGCCAGAUAAAUUAUUUUGAGAAAGAUCCAAAAACUCCAACCAAUUCAAGUUGCAAAAUUCCAUUGGAAUAGAACCCUCGAAACCAUUGUUGGACAAAGCCAAUCUCAAUAAAAAUGAUGCAUUCCCUAUCCAUCUUGGGAGCUUUCCAUGCAACUGGUUGUUACUGAGAUCAAUAUCGCUUAGUGAAUUUGGAAACUCAAAAGUAGACACAUCAACAUUUGUCACCUCUCCUGAAAAUUUAUUUCCAUCCAAAUAUAAAUUCUGCAGCCCAUUUGCUUUGAGAAUCGCAGGAACUACAUUUCCACUGAAGUUGUUAUUUGAUAGUCUCAAAAUGGUCAGUGAGCCUUUCGUGAUCAACUCUUCUGGUACUUUUCCAUACAAUUGAUUGUUUGAUAGAUCUAAAAUUGAUAAAUCCUUCAUGCCACUUAAACAAAGUGGGAUAUUACCUUCAAAAGCAUUCUUGGAUAAGAAUAACCGACUCAAAUGUGGAAAAGUUGAACAUAUACUGGUCGGAAUUUGACCUUGUAUUUUGUUUUCAGAGAUGUCAAUUGAAGAUACAUUAGAAAUAAGAGCUGACGAAAAUGAGAGAGGACCUGUAAAAGAAUUGCCCUUCAAGAUGAGAUCUUCUAACUUUGUGUUGUUUUCUAACAACCAAGUUGGGACCGUUCCACUGAAAUUGUUAUGAGAAAGAUCCACAUAUCUCAAGUCAUAUUGGUAGUAAAGGAAGGUAGGAAGCUUACGACUGAGCUGUUGAGAUGUUAUGCACUUUGACAAACUGAUGACUUCCAAUUGGAACUUUGGGAUUGAGGUAUAAAAGGAAGGUUCCGUUACCAUCUUGUUUUCAUUACUCAAGAGGGCUUUGAUAUUUGAAAGGUUUGCAAAUGGUGCGAAUGACAACGGAAUUUGAAAAUGGUUUAUUGAAAUAUCUAACACACGAAGAGCUGUCAAGUUACUAAAACAAUGAGGAAGCAUCCCCUCCAGUGCAUUCCCACUCACAUCCAAUACUUCAAGAUUCCUUAGAUCACACCAUCCUGAAAAAUUGAAAAAAUUGGUGGAAGAAAUUCUAAUUAAAUUUGGUCUUAUUUAAGAGAAUAUGAGAUAUUACACAAAGCUCGUACAAAAUUCAAUUUGAGCCAUAAAUUUAUUUACCUUGAUUAGGUAGGGGACCAAUAAGUCAACAAUCAUAUAAAGAGAAUGUUUUAAGAGAAACAAGUACUCCAAUGCUUUGCAAAAUAUUGGUGUUGAGAGUAGAAUAGUCAAGAUAUAUUUCCUCCACAUUUCUCGACACAUUUGAUUCUAAGCAAUGUCUAGAGAUAUUAGAUAACGAUAUUGUAAAUAGAAAAUUAUAAUUGAUCAUGAGAAAGAAGUUCAUAUUGACGAGAAAUGCCGAGGACAGCAAUCGCCAUCCCAUGUCAAAAAAAUCAUUUGAGAUAAAUAAUGUUUGAUUUUCUCAGUCUUUUAUUUUUUGUGAAUGAAAAGAAAUAUAAUUUACUUGAAGUUUUUUUAAUUAUUCGAAAAUGCCAUUUAUUUAUUUUAGGCCAAAAAAUUCCAUUUAUUUAACUGUAAUAUAUAUUUUUAUGUUUUAUAUUAUUAAAACCAUAUGAAAUUAAAAUGAUAGUUAUAUGACAUAUUUUUCCAUAAAUAUGAGUAUUUUUUAUUUAUAAUAUUAUUUUUUUUAUUUUUAUAAUUAUUUUUUAUCUCAUAAAAAUUUAAUAAAUUAUUUUGAAAUUAUAUUUAUACAAACAAAAUAAUUAUGAACUCUAAUAUUUUAAAAUUAUGCAAAAUUUAAAAUAUUUUACUUUCAAACCGAAGACCAUAGGAUUUAUAAAAUGUUUCACCGAACCCAUAAGCUGAAUUUUUCCAUGUAUGAUAUAAAACAUAAAGACAAAGAUGAGCAACACAAAGACAGAAAAUUAUUAUUUGGUAGUUUGUUGAUUUACUUUAAGGAUUUAGCAGUUUCAAUCAUGUUCCUGUUAUGCUUUGAUUUUAUUUAGGUUCAUCCAUGUAAAACAAAGAAACAAAAACAUUAAUUAGUUGAAAAAUAAUUAAUUGUGUUAUAACAUAAUCCAAACCUUGUAUUAACAAAUAUUCUGUUUUUUAACCUUUUUCAACGAUGAAGUGGGGAGCACCGAUUCAGGGGCCAAGCAACAACUUUGUAUUGGAGGAUCGAUAUAAAAUUAUUUUUUUUGGAGGGACUAAAGUUAAAAUUAUUUGUGUUAAAAUUGUUGAAAUUGAAUUUUUAAUGUUUAAAGUGACUCAAAAUGCAAUUUUUAUGCAUAUAAUUAAAAAGCUACAGAGGAUUAUAUUGAAUAAUUAAAUUUUAAAAGGACUAAAAAGGGUAUUAUACCCUUGAUUAAAAUAUGUCAUAGGUCCUUGUACUUUUCAAAAAUUUGUAAUUUAGUCGAUAUACUUUUAUUUCUAAGGAUUUAGGCCCUCUACAUUUUCAAAUUUUAGAAUUUAAGUUCAAUUGUUAACAUUAGUUUUUUUUCCAAUGUUUUGAAAUAAAGAAAAUAUUCAAUUGGUAGCAAUGUAACUAAAAAAAUAGCAUUAUAAUGAACCUAAAUUUAACAAAAUAAUCUUAAUAGUGUCAACAAUUAAACUUAAAUUUUAAAAUCUAAAAAGUAGAGGGAUUAAAUUCGUAAAAAUAAAAAUAUAGAGACUAAUUUACAAAGAGUAUAAGGAUUUAUGUUAUAUUUUAACCUAUACCCGUUAGCCUAGGGGGGCCAAGACCUCUGUCUACCCCUUUGGCUUUUCCUCUACACCAAUUGAACAUUAGUUUAAUUGACAUUGUUGAUAUUGCAACAACUCUUUUUCUUUAUUUUCUUCGUCUUAUGAAAAAUGUUAAUUUUUAGUUUUGGACAUUUUUAAUAUGCUUAAAUUUGAGAUUUAAUUAUUAUCCUUUAUUUCUAAUUUAAAUUAAGCUUUAUAUUUUUAUAAUUUUACUAGUUAGUUCAAAUAGUUAAUUCAUUAACUUUUCAAUUAAAAUAUUAUGUAGUUAUAUAUUAUUUAAAAGUGGAUUUUUAAAUAGAUUAAAUUCUUAAAAAUAAAAGUUGAAGGAAAAAAAAUAAAAUUUAAACAAAAACGAAAGUUUAGUCAAAUGAUACCUUUAUGGAUCAUAAAAUCUAUCAAUUCAUUUGCCCUCAUAUUCAAAUGCAUCCAAAUCUGGAAAAAAAAGGGUAACAUAUAAACCUCAUUAUAUUAUCUUAAAACAUUAUUAAUGUUUUUGUUAAUUGAGUCAAGAUUUUGGGAAAAGAAAAUGUUUUUACCUUUUGCAUCUAUUGGUCCUUUCAAUUGAUUGCUUAUGGUCAAAGUUUUCAAAUUCAAAAGCUUGUUAAGAGAUGCAAAGACACUAUUAUUGAAGAGAUUGGAAUUUAAAUUAAGCUCUUUUAAGUGCGUCAAUUCCAAUUUUCUACCACCAUCUGCAAAAGAUUUACAUAAGUUCAUCACUGAAAAAAAUUAGCAUAAAAUUUAAUUAUAUAUAAAAACUUAGAUAACUCAUCAAAUAUAAAUACAUACCUUUGGAGGAUUGAAGGCUUUCAAUUUAAUUCUCGCUUAGAUCAAGUUUCUUCAAGUUUAUCAAAUUACUCAAUCCUAUAUAUUUUCACGUCCAAUUCAAAUAAUUAUGUUAAUAAUUUAAUUUUUACCGAAUAUUUGAAUGAGUUUCAUAAAAUAAAAACAAAAAAUUGGUUUGUUAGGCAAUUUUUUUAGGUGUUGUAGAAAUUUUAAGUUCCUCCAAGUUUAUUAUGCUUAAUUGUUUUUCAUCUAUAGUAGGAAGAAGAAUAGUUUCUAAUUAAUAUUAUAGGCUUUGAAUAUUUUAUAAGUUCAUCCCUUUGAAAAUUUAAUUUAUUCAAUAUAUAAAAAUCAUACUUGUACCUUUGUUUGAGAUGCUUUCAAUUCUGUUCCCACUUAAAUCCAAGUAGUUCAAGUCUGUCAAAUUAUUCAAUUCUGAAAUUCAAUCCUAAAUAUUGAUUAGUUAUAUAUAUUCAUGAUAUGAUAAAAUCAAAUAACAUAUUGCAAGUUUGCAACAACUUUUCCUUCAACAUAAAUUGAUUUUAAAGUACAAAAGAAACAAGUAAAAUCAAUCUACCUUGAAUAUGAAGCAGCCUUCCUUCCAACUGAUUACUACUCAAUCUUAAAGUCUUCAAGGAUGAAAGAUUUCUCAUAUCGAAUAGAAUGCUAUUCUUCAAAGAAUUCCCAGUUAAAUUAAGAGUUUCCAAUUUAGUGAGUCUUGAAAGCCACUGAAAACCUGAUUUAUAUACUAUAUAAUUAGUUACUACUAAACAUAAUAAAUAAUAAUACUCUAAUUUUACAAUAAAAAUUCACUAAAAUCUGUCAUUGCCUUUUGGAAUAAUAUUCUAUCAGAAAAGUCAUGCACAAAUACUUAUACCUUGGUUUGAGAUGCUUUCAAUGUUGUUGUAACUUAAAUCCAAGUACUUCAAGUUUGUCAAAUUAUUCCAUUCUGAUGAAAGUCAAUCCCAAUGUUGAUCAGUUAUGUUUUCAUGAUAAGAUAAAAGCAAAUGAAAUAUUGCAAUAGCUUUUUCUUAAACCAAAUUGAUUUUAAAGUAAAAGGAAGCAUGUAAAAUAAGUCUACCUUGAAUAUGAAAUAAUAUAUAAAUACUAUAUUUAUACCUUUGUUUGAGAUGCUUUCAAUUUUGUUCCCACUUAAAUCCAAGGACUUCAAGUUUGUCAAAUUAUUCAAUUCUAAAAUUCAAUCCCAAAUGUUGAUCAGUUAUAUUUUCAGGACAAGAUAAAAGCAAAUGACAUAUUGCAAUAACUUUUCCUUAAACCAAAUUGAUUUUAAAGUAAAAAAGAAACAGGUAAAACCAAUCUACCUUGAGUAUGAAUCAACUUUCCUUCCAAAAGAUUGUAUCUCAAACUUAAAGUCUUCAAGGAUGAAAGAUUUCUCAUAUAGACCAUAAUGCUAUUCUUCAAAGAAUUCCCACUUAAAUAAAGAGUUUCCAAUUUAGUGAGCCUUGAAAGCCACUGAAAACCUGAUUUAUAUACCAUAUAAUAAGUUACUGCAAAACAUAAAUAAAUAAUAAUACUCCAUUUUUUAGUUAAUUUGAGUAAGUUCUUGUUAGUCUUUUUUUCCUCUCAACCAUAUGAAAAAUUAUUGAAGCAAAAACUAAGUUACAGGGGAUAAAAGAAUGGAAAAUCACUGUCAAACGUCACAAUACAAAUAAAAACUAACAAUAGACCAAACUUAAUUUACCUCUUGGAUGACUUGAUCCUUCGAACCGGUUGUGUGAUAAAUCUAAAUAUCGGAGAGACGAAAGCUCACUCAAAGAUAAUAGAAUGCUAUCAUUCAAGUGAUUGUAACUUAAGUAAAGGAUCUCUAAAUUACUUAAUGUGGAUGAUAGCUUUCCAAAACCUGUAGGAGUGUUCUUUUAAUUAUAUACAAGUAAUUAAUGACUUUUCUUCAGUAAAAUAAAAUAAAUUAUAAGUAAUUGCAAACUAACAAUGAAUAGAGAAAUAGAAUAAUAAAAUAUGUAAUUAAGGGAAAAUUAAAGGCACGACCUUCAUUUUCAAGGUUACCACCUAUGGCAUUCUCUGACAAAUAAAGACUCUUCAAUUUCUCAAAAGGAAGAAACAUAGAGGCAUUGAGAUACCAAUAAUCCAUGUUGUAUUCCCAUUUUGUAGAAUUAAGGGAAGUUGUAUGACUCUCCUAGUGAUGGAGUUGCACUUAACUCUUUCCCAUUUACAGCAAUCUGAACCCUUCAGAUCAACCCAACUUUUCAAUGGGUUACCAUAAUUGAAGAAAGGUUUGAGAUGCAAGAGAGCGAUUCUCUCAUGCUCCAAACAAGCAUCAGUAGUACACCACCUACAUCCUUCUAACACCAACAACAGUACUGCCAUCCUAAUAAACCAUAACCAUUUCCACUCCAUCAUCAUCAUCUUUCUGUUUUCCCUUCUCUCUCAGCUAUAUGUUACUUUUUUAACUUCUAUAUGUAUAUAAUCUGCAGAAGCCUAAGCAGGAUCUAUGCAUCCCACUAAUUCACUGUAGUAUUAAAAUAACAUAUAAUUAAUUAGUUCCUCAAAAAUUGAAUGAAUCUAGACUUGUGCUGCUCUAACUUAUACGUUAGGAAAUAAAUGUUGACACAAUUUUUUGUUUUAUUUAGAAGUUGUAGUUAACUAUAUUUGCUAAAAUUUGUCUUGGAAUGAAACUGAAUUCAAAUCAAUCAAAUUAAUUAUAAUAAAAAUAAAAUUUCAAAAAACUGUUCAAAAUAUGAGUUAUGUUGAAGCCCUGUUCGACAUAUUUUAACUUUUAUUCUUUAUAUAAAAAUGAGAGUUACAAUAAAUAGUAAAAAGAAAAUCUAAUCAAAUGCACUUUUCCAUAACAAAAUUAAUUGCAUUCCUUGUGGAAAAUGAACUCUUGACUUGGCCGACCAUCCUCGACUGAAAUAGGCUGCUAAUUUUAAUUUAGACUGUAGAAAAAAUUUUAACCCAAUUAAUGUCAUUUGAAAUUAAAAUUACUUUAUAAACCUUUUGUUAGCCCUUAAAUUAAUAAACUUUUGUAUGUAGCUAAUUGAGUUUUAACUCAAUCGGUAUUGGUAUUGUUGUCAGUACAGGAAGACGUAAGUUUAAGUGUGCAGAAACGUGUGUUUUAUCCAAUUUAAGGAUUAGGGUAGAUUAUGAAUAAUUCUUUGAAUUGUAUUAACUUAGAAGCUUUGAGAUACUCACAAUUGAAUUAAACAUUCAAUAUAUAUAUUUAUCUUAUUUUUUUUUCUAUUUCCGAUAAAUAAGAAAAGAUCAUUCUUUACGCCACCAUACGAUUUUAGUAUCACAAUCAAAUGAGACUUUUAAAAGUCUUAACACUAUACAAGUAGUUAGUCGACAAAACUUGCACUAAUUUACUCUUUACGCCCAAAUUAUUUACAAAGUGCAAACAACAUUACUUUCACACUAAUUUUUUCCUUCUAUUUAUGUGGGAUAAAUAUCAAAAUUAUAUAUGAAUUUUAAUUUAAUGUGUAAUAUUAUAUAUAAAUUUUGAUUUUGUGUAAUUUUAAAAUGAAAUUUUGAUUUGAUUUAAUUUUCACAAAUCAUUAACAACAUCAUCGAAUUAGUACUAUAUUACAUUGAUAUAUUGCAUGCACAAACAGGUAUACUAAACCAAUAUGAAAAUAAAUAUAUGUAUUCAUUUAUUUAAAUGUGUACAAUUGAAUCAAAAUAAAAGUUUCAUGUAUACAUAUGGAUCACAAUUCAAGUUUCAUACAUAUAAUUGUACCAAAUCAAAGUUCAUGUAUCAAAUUGCACAUUAAGCCAAAAUUUAUGUAUAAAUUUAAUAUUUAUCCCAUUUAUGGGAGAUUAGCUUUCCAAUGGUAUUGUUUUAUUUACAUUAAUCCAAAUAAUUGGAAAUGAUGAAUUAGUUUAACGAAGAUUGUAAUUCUAUUAAUGUUUCUUCUCGAAUUUUUGGUUGCUCUUAUUUACAUGUUUUAUUAAUUGAUAGAUUUAAAUUCUUGGAAUAUAUUCUAAUUAAUUAGAUAUUUCCUUCCUUCCAAAAGCCUUUCAAAAUAGGUUUAGUUCGACCAAGAUACUCUUGUAGAAAAUUUUAGUUUUGUGGGAAAAAGAAAACUAGAUUUAUUUUUUACUCUAAUUGGUUUUAUAUGCAAGGUAUAUAAACUUUUGUGUCGCUGCAAUUUUUUUCCAACAUAUGUAUGUGAUUUGUGGGGUUUCAAUUUUGAAUUUUUUUUUACAAUUUAAUUAAAUUGUGAAAGUAUUUGAAAGUUUUUGAGUUGAUACAAUGUUUAGAACUACCCCAACACCCACCUAACCCUUAAAUAGGAGGAUAAACACGCUUCAGCACACUCGAACUCACAUCCUCCUACACCGAUGAUAAUACUAAUGCCAACAGAGUUAAGACUCAACCAGCCUUGAAUUUUGAAUUUUACUUCUUACACAUUUUGAAUUUUGAAAUUUUAGUUUUGACCCAAACAGUAGCAGUUAAAUCAAUUUGAUUAAAUUUAAUUACUAGUCCUAUAUUAUGCGUACGAUUAUUGAUUAGUCUAUACUCUCAAAUUGGGCAAUUCUAAGUACCUAUACUUUCCGAAUUUUGAAAUUUCAGUCUUGAUGCAAAUGACAAUUAUUAAUCCAUUAAUUUGAUUUUUAGCGAGUAAUAUGUGAAAAUAACAAACUGGUAUAACAUUACACAUAUGAUAAUAUGUUUAUUCCACCACAUUUGAAAAUAGCCGAAUUUAACAAAUAUUGUUAGUGAGGAUUGGAAAUUAGAGUCUAGCCCCCUACAAUAAUUUAGGUUAUGGAAAUAAUCUUGCAAAUAAUGCUUGAGACAUCAUUAUACAUCAAUUUAUAGUUUUAAUUCUUAUACUUACUCAAUUGGAAUAAAGAUUUAGUUUUUUAUUUUCUUUUGAUACAUUGUCUAGAAUCUUUAUUCCAAUUGAGUAAGUAUAAGAAUUAAAACUAUAAAUUGAUGUAUAAUGAUGUCUCAAGCAUUAAAAAUAACUAACUUCAUUAAAAAAUUCAUUAGUUGGCUCUCUAAGACUUAAAAAUUAAAAUUAUGUGGUUAUUAAAAAAGAAUUGUUUUUAUUAAAUUAUUAUUUAAAAUAAAUUUAUCUCAUCAUAAUGAUAUGAAUUUUUUUUCUUUAAAAAAUCCACAUUAACCGACUAAUAGAAUUGUAUAAAGCUGCCACCAAUCUCUUGGCAUGAUGGCAAAAGAUUCAGAGGCAAGCCAGAAAGUUUUUUGAGAGGAGUGAAUAAAGUUAUAUCUUUUUAUUAUAGUAAAAAUGAAAUUUUAUUAUUUUAAUAAUUUAUAUCUUUAUAAUUUUUAAAAGAUUAAAUAAAAAUUUUUUAUUUUUGAGGGGAUAAAGUAUAAGUUUAUCAUAUACUAAUUUAAAAAUUUUAAAAUUAUAAAAAGACUAAAGAUGAAAAUUUUCAUUUUAGGGAGAUGGGGCCCUGCCAGGUCCCUUGACUUCGCCUUGAUAAAAGUAUUAUGUUGCAAGUAUAAAGUUUGAGUUUAAUCUCGAACAAUCUCAUUUCUUAUCCCUAAUUAUAAAAUAAUAAAAUAAAUAGAGCAAUUGAUGUGAGGAGGCAAGUGUAAUAGGUCAAUUUUGACCUGGGCCAGAUUUCAAAACAAAACCCAAACUAAAUAAUAAAAGAGUCCAAAAUAGUUAAAACAAUCCAUCCAUUUUACAAACAAACCCAAAUUAGCAGCCCAAAUACAAAUUAAAACUCAAUAACUCAAAACUAACCCUAGCCCAAUUAGCUCAACACUUAAACACAACAAAAAAACCCCUAGCCCCCUAAGCCUCCAACGCCGCAUGACCACCUGUGCCGCACGCCGCCGCCGCUCAAGGCUUGCCUAUCACCGACCAUCCACGCGUCUAACACUUGCAAAACCAAGGCAACAUGCAACAACAAAGGCCAAAUAGAGGAAACAACAAGGAAACAGAUAAAAAAGGAAGAAACAAACAGUUUUGAUUUGGCUACAAAAGCCCGAAUCUCACCCUUGUAAUUUUUUUAAGAACAUUAGAAAAUAAAAAACAAAAACAACACUUUCAAGGUGAAUUUCUACUUUUAUUUCUGUUUUAAAUACCUAUUUGAUUCUAUAUUCAUAUUUUUAUUUGAUUUUAUAUAUAAUAAAAUAAUAAAAUAAAAAAAGGAAGAAAGGGCUCACCGGAGACGCCCCGUGACCGCGCCGUCGGAGGGCUCUUCUCCAUUGUUGCCAUCGAAUCCGAGAGAGGGUCGGGAGUACUCCUCUUUUGUUUUUUUUUUUGGGUCGAGAGGGCUGGGCUUCCAAGGGAGCUGUGAAACGGGGGCUAAAAACGACCUUUUGCGCAACGCCGGCCACCGGCCACAGGCCACAGCGGCGCUGCGGCGGCAACCCUGGCCUGCCAAGGGGUGGGCUGAGAGAGAGACCAAGAGAGACUGAGAGAGUUCUCUAUUUUUUUAGAAAAAUAAAAGUUGAACUGUUUUUUUCUUUUUCUUUUUGCUAUUUAUAUAGGGUAUAAAACUGCGUCGUUUUGGACUUAAGCAUCAGUGGCCAAAAUGACGCUGUUUUGCAUCAGACCAGAAAGCCAACCCGAAUGCAGUUAGGAUCCUAGCGCAUUUUAGCUUUGAGGAGCUAUUUGCAUAUUCAACCCUUCCGCUUUUGCAAUAUAGUGCAAUUUGGUCCUCGUUGUUUUUAUAUUUUGGCCGCAUAAUUUUCUGAUUGUUUUACUUUGGUUCGAGCUAAAACGCUACGCAUGGGGGCUGGGAAUAUUUGCCAGUCGGUCCCUCAUUCCUUAAGCACACUCUAUUUCAGUCCCUAGGCUUUUUUUAUUUAUUUGCAAUUUGAACCCCAAAUUUUGGGUCGAUUUCAGUAUCAUCCUUAGUCCAUUUAAUUUAUUUGUUCAUUAUUAUUUUUUAUUUAAAAAGCUCUUUUAAUAUUAUUUGUUUUAAGUUUUUUAUUUAUCAUUUACUUUAAACUGUUUUACAUACUAUUUAUUUAAAAUUUUUUUAUAUUAUUCAUUUUAAACCAUUAUAUGUACAUUAUCUUUUAAAUUCUUAUAUACAUAUAUAUAUGUCGAAACCGUUUUUUUGAAAACAAAAAUUUUUAGUUUCGACUUAAAAAUAAAAACUGGAGUCGCCACCGAUCCUUGAUUGAGGUGUAACCGGCUCACCUUAAAAACAAUUUUGGUCUACGAGAUUUGAGAAAAUGAGUUCGGGAGUCAGUUACGCACGAGGAAGGAUUAGCACCCUCGUAACGCCCAAAAUCGGUACCAAAUUGAUUCUUUAAUGCCUUGGUGUCGAAAAUUUGAAAAGAUUUUAAAAGGAAACUUUUUAUUUCAUGAAUGAAUCAAAAUAAUAAGACAUUCUUAUUUCAAAGAAAUAAAACACCACACCCAGUGAGUUAGGGCACAAUAUUUUUAAAUCUUCAAAAUACCCGAAUUUUACCUUUUGCUUUUGAAAAUUCUUAUUUCGAGAAGUCAAAAUAUCAGGACCAGUAAGUUAGGACCCAACAUUUUUGAACUCCCAAGAAUAAGCUUUUAUUUAAAAUUUACGAAUUUAUUGCAAAACAAAUACUUGGCUUUCUAAAUUCAUCGAAAAAUAAUCACGAUCCAGUCAGUUAGGACACGAUCUUUCUCGAGAAUCAUGAAUGCCAAAUAUUUUGGAAAUUUGUAAAAUAUGAUGAUUUUAAUGCCUUGACGAAGCCAAUAUAUAUUUUCUUUAAAAGCAUGAUAAAAUGUUAAUGCAUAACAUGAAACCAAUACUUUAAUUUAAAUCAUAUGUAUAUAUGUAUUUGCAAAUCGCGAAAAUAAAAUAAAUAUAAAUGUAUGGAUAUGUCAUGAAAAUAUGUGUGCAUUUAAAUAUAUGUAUAUAUGUACAAUAUGUAUAAAACCAUGAAAUAUAUAAAAUAAUAAAGAAAAAUGUGUACGUAUAUGUAACAGAGAAUGCAUGUAUGCUUUAAAUUAUAAGAUAUAGGAAAUAAAUAUGUUACAACAAUGUAUAUCUAUAUAAAAUAUAAAUGUAUAUAAAAGUAAGUAAAAGUUAUGCAAGUAGAAUAAUAAAAAAUAUAUAUAUGUAAGGUGCAUGGGUUUAUAAAAAUUAUUUUUAAGAAAAAAUGUAUGCAUAUAUUAUUGUAGAGAAUAAGCAUAUGUAUAUAUAUAGUAAUGGUAAUAAUAAUAAUGAUAAUAAUAAUAAAAAUGAUAAUAGUAAUAAUAAUAAUAAUAAUAUAUGACAUAAUUAAUAAUAUAAAAAACAACAAAUUAAGGAUUAAAUUGGAAAUAAGCGAAGUUUUGAAACCAAAUUUAAAGAUGGGAAUUAAAUAAGGACCAAAUUAAGAUGCGCGCAACAGUAGGAGGAUCGAAAAGAUAAUUUGCCCAAACCUCCCAAAUGCUGCGCAGCAACAUGGACCAAAUUGAAACAGUAUUAAAACAUAUGGCCUAAUUUAAAAAAAUAAAAAGACAGAUUUAAACACCCCUCAUAAAACAGAGGACCAAAUGUGAAAUUGUCCCCUUUCACAGAAAUGCGCGGAUCCUUCCCCGGGUCGGGUCACCGCACGGGUCGUAGGGCUGAAAUGGCGUCGUUUUUGUGCUUACCCUUCGGCCCAAAACAGUGCCGUUUUCGGUAAGCUAUAAAUACAAUGUUUUUUUUUUAAAAAAACUCAUUGUUCUUUCUAUUUCAAAAAAAAAAACAAAAAAAAAAUUUCCUUUUCUCUCAAGCAGGCCCAGAAUCUGGCCAAACUCCGGCGAGUGGCCACUGCGCCGGCCGCCAGUUGCCGGCACCGGCGCCGCCGUUCACGGCGGCGGGGAGUAAAAAAUCUCGCCUUUUUUAAACUGUUUUUAGAUCCCGUUCAAUAGUCAAACUGCUUUGGCUCAAAAGGAUGACCCUUGGCCCCUUCUCCUCUCGGAUCCGAUGUUCUUGAAGGAGGAGAGCCCUCCGACGGUGAACCCGCAAGGCAAAUCAGGUAAGCCCGUUCCCCUUUUACUUCUUAUUUAUUAUGCUUAAAAAAAAACAAACAGAAAGAGCAAACAAGGAAAAAAAAAACCGAAUCUAAGGGAAAAAAAAACCUCCGUUUUGUAUUUUAUUUUUUCAAAUCUUUUUUCUUCGUAUUUUCCUCUCUAUUUUUGUAUGUCUUUACACUCAAGACCCCCUUUUCAGAUCUCCCCCCACGGCUUUUAAAUAGUCGAAAAUAACAACAAAAUAAGCAACAAAAUCAUAUCUCCCUUCAAUAUUGGUUGCGAUUUUUGCUACUACUCUGCUAUUGCUGCGCCAUAUGCUUCUUUUUCGCAGGUGUGGUGGCUCUUGAGUGCGUGCGACGCGUGGGAGCGACAAGCGCGAUGUGCGGCGCUUGCGGAGGGGUGGUGCGCAGGGUGAUGCAGCGCUGAAGCAGAAAGGGCUAGGGUUUCUGGACUGGGCUAGGGUUAAUGUAAUUGGGCUAAAUUUUUGGGUUUAGUCUGUAGAUGGGUAAUUGGGUCUGCUAUGUUUUUAUUUUAUAUGGGCCUGGGCAGAAAAAUUGGGUAUUACAAUAUAUAUUAAAAAAAACUGUUGUAUGUUUCUUAUUUAUUUAUUUUAAACUGUUAUUAUUAUUCAUUUUAAGUUUUUAUAUACUGUUUAUUUAAAGCCUUUUAUUAUUUAUUUUUGAAUUGUUCUUAUAAAUUAUUUAAUUUAAAUUAUUAUUCUUUGAAUUUUUUUUUUUUGCAUAUUAUUUUGUUUUGUUUUCUUUGAUUGUUAAUAUUAGUAUAAAAAAUGAUAUACAUUGUGUGACUAUUACCAUCAUGUGUACUAUAAUUAGUUUCUUCGUGUUUUCAUAUUAUUAUCACUCAUUAACAUAUAUAACAUUUUUUUCAUAAAUUGUUAUUUUAUGUUCUAUGUUAUCAUUCCAUUUCACUUCAUCACUUUGAAAUUAAGUUGCCUUCAAUUUGUGUUUACCCAUAAUAAACCGUUCUAUUUUGUCACAAAUAAAACAAAUGCACCUCGUUCAAGCAUUGUACUCGCAAUUAUUCAAAAAAGAGAAAAAUUUUAAAAUAAGGCAAUAUUUCGCAUUUUGGAGAUUCGAGAAAUUGUACCCUAACUUACGAGGUUUCAAUUUUCUCAUUGAACCUAAAUAGCAAAAUAUCUUUCUAAUUUUCAAAAUUUACGAAAUUCCAAUAAAGUUAAAGGCUAGCUUAUUCUCGAGGGUUUCAAGUGUCGUGUCCUAACUUACGGGAUGUGACAUUUAUUAUCUCGAGACGAGAGGAUCUUUGACAUUCGUUUCGAUUUAUUCAAGCAAAUUCUUUUAAAUUAAAAUAGCGUUAACAAAAGGGGGAUUGUGUUUUAAAUUCUUUCAAAGUUUUUCAAUUUUUAAUAUUUAGACAUUAAUUAAUCAAUUGGGUACCAAUUUUGGGCGUGACGAGGGUGCUAAUCCUUCCUCGCAUGUAAUUGACUCCUGAAUCCGUUUUCUCAAAUUUCGUAGACCAAAAUCACUGUUUUGAUAAAUUAAAAUAUUUUAUUAAAACAACUAAAUUAUGAGAUGACCUAAUCACAUCUCAUAAAAAAAUGGAUUGGUAGCGACUCUCGUUUAAAUUUCCGUUUUCAAACCAACAUCGACCCUUUUAAAAAAAAUGGUUUCAAUAUUAAGUUAUAAGUUGAAUGAAUUAAAAAUAUGUGAAAAGUGUAAAUAAAGACUCUUCAAUCUCAUUUCCUCUAAUGCUCUUUUUUUUUUAAUCAGAGAAGUUGUAAUUGAUUGGAAUGAAAUUAAUAAUCGCCUUAUUAUUUCACUUUUUUUCUUCAUAUGUUUGGCGUCAGUAUGAUACAGGUUGGACUGAUCUUAAAGUUGAAGUAAAACGAUAUCAAACAAAAACCAUUCUGGUUUUUAAAAUUAUGAGUCCAAAUCAAUCCAAUUAGUUUAACUAGAUUUUAAUGUCUUAUGUGUUAUGAUGAUGAAGCAAGUUGAUCAAGGGACUUGCUUCAUCUUUCAAAAUAUGAGUUGCUUAAGAGCCCUGUUUGACGCUUUUUUUUUUCUUAAAUUACAAACGAAAAGGUAUUUUUUUAAAAAAAAUUAACUUAAUGAAUUUUUUAUAGAUAUAAAUUUCCUGCAAAGUUAUUCUUUUUUAAAAAAUAUUUUUUUAAUUUUUUAUAUACCUUUUAAAUAGUUAAUGAAAAUAAGAGUUUUCAUUUCGAAAUGCAAAAGCCAAAAAUAGUUUUUGACUACAAAAGCUGUGUGUUCUUCAUCACUUCUGCAGUGGAAAAACACUUCUGCAGUGUAAAAACACUUUUAACCCAAAACGGGUUUUCACCUAAGUAGAGAAUCCACCCUAAAAUUGUAAAUAGAAAAAGGAAGGACCAAACAUUGUUUCUACCCUGUUUUUGUCUCCUCUUUGAAAAUACUUUCCAAAAAGUUUUAUCAUUUUCUUUUUAUUAAGUUUUCUGUUGGAUCUUAUAGUCAAAUUCCUUUACAUCAUGUACGUUAAUUUGCUUCGCUCUGAUAAAUGUUACAUAUAGGGUUAUCAGCUAAUUAGGAAAGACUGAUGAUAGUCACACCUUACAUCCAAAAGCAAAGCUUUUUUCACAUGUGUAUGUAAGGUUGCUAAGCAAAUCUGAUGAGCCUUCACUGAUGUUUUAAGGUUUAAGUUGAUGUUCUGUUGGUGCAACAACAGAAUCAAGCAAACUCAGCAAGUAUCUUGUCGAGCAAGCCUCGAAACUUGCUGAGCAAACAAACAAUUUCGAGUUAAAGAAAGAAGAGAAUAAGCUGGGGAAAUUUGAGAGAAUAAUAUUGAUGAACAAAACUGAUUUCAUUCAUACAUAAAACAAUGGCUUGAAGCCAGUACAUAACUCAAGCAUAAGGCUUGUCAAAAUCAACAAGUAAUUACCUACCUCCACUAAUUACAUAGAAACUUGAAAUCUUAGCUUGUAAACUUAUACAAAACUGUGUUUACAGCUCAUACAUAAGCUAAUUACAUCAAUCAGAAAGCUAACUUAGUUAGAAAUGAACUAACACUCAUUUCAUCAACUAAAUAUAACAAAAUGAACAAAAUGAGCUUGCACCAGCAGCCCUUGCAUCUGUUCCAGCUUUGCUUGGUCUUCAUGGCCUGUAUGGAAUCGAGUGUUGGCUUCAUGCUGACCAACUUCAACACUCCUCCUUGGUUAGCAUGGUGCAAACACCUAAUUUUCUUCUUAAAUGCUCAAACCUUGUGACAUUAAGGGCUUUAGUCAAAAUGUCUGCAAGCUGGUCCUCUGAAUUGCUGUGAAUUAGCUUCACUUCCUGAGCUUGCUCCAUUUCUCGAACAACAUAUAGCUUAAUGCUAAAAUGCUUUGUUCUUCCAUGGAACACAGGAUUUUUGGCAAUUGCAACAGUAGAUUGAUUGUCACAGAAGAUCUCUGUUGCUUCCCUUUGAUCCAUAUUCAAAUCAGCCAGGAUUUUCCUAAGCCAAAUGGCUUGGUUGACAGCACUUGCUACUGCCACAUACUCUGCUUCAGCAGUAGAUUGUGCCACCAGACUUUGCUUCUUCGAGCUCCAGCAGAACAUAGCUGAACCAAGGUUGAAAGCAUACCCUGAGGUGCUUUUCAUGUCAUCUAUCGAUCCAGCCCAGUCACUAUCAGUGUACCCAACUAGAUUUAGAUUUCCUUUCCUGCUGUACCUUAAGCCAUAGUCCAAAGUGCCUUUGACAUAUCUGAGCACUCUCUUGGCAGCCUGGAAAUGCUUCUCAUUGCAACAAUGCAAGAACCUUGAGAGCAAUCCUACAGCAUACAUUAUGUCUGGUCUAGUGGCAGUCAAGUAUAGCAAACAACCAACUAGACUCCUGUAGGUAGUUUCACAUACCUUCUCAAAAUCUCCUUGGCUCGAUAGUUUUUCUCCAACAGCAACAGGUGUUUUAGUUGGUUUGCAGUUUUGCAUGGAGAACUUGGUCAGAAUCUUUGUGGCAAAGCUCUUCUGACUUAAAAAUAUCCCAUUCUGUGCUUGAGUCACCUCCAUUCUAAGAAAAUAGGACAUCUCCCCAAGAUCAGACAUUUCAAACACCUCUUGCAUCUUGGUCUUGAAAUUAACCAGCACUGCUUGAUCUCCUCCUGUCACCAGCAGGUCAUCAACAUAUAGGGACACAAUGAGUUGUGUUUGUGUCCCUUGCUUCUUGACAUACAGUGUUGGCUCACUCUUGCUUCGAUUGAAUCCCAGAUCAGUCAAGUAGCCAUCGAUUCUGCUGUACCAGGCCCUUGGAGCCUGUUUUAAGCCAUAUAGGGCCUUCUUCAAUUUGUAGACCAUAUGCUCUCUGCCAGCUAUUUCAAACCCUUGUGGUUGUUCAACAUAGAUGUCUUCAUCUAAGAAACCAUUCAGAAAGGCUGAUUUCACAUCAAGUUGAUGGAUCUUCCAUUCGAGCUGUGCUGCUAAGGCAAUCAGCAGUCUGAUGGUGUCGAGCCUGGCCACUGGUGCAAAGGUCUCCAAGUAGUCCAAGCCAUACCUCUGACUGAACCCCUUGACCACUAGCCUUGCUUUUAGCUUGUUCAAGGUACCAUCAGCAUUCUGCUUGGCUUUGUACACCCAUUUCACCCCAAUCACCUUCCUUUUGACUGGCCUUUCAACCAAUUUCCAGGUCUGGUUCUUCUCAAUCAUGCUGAUCUCCUCAGCCAUUGCCUGCUUCCACCCUUGUUGAGCCUCAGCCUCUUCAAAGUUGCUUGGUUCAGCUAUGGCUACAUGAGCCCUUUCAUAAACCUCAGCCAAUGACCUUGUUCCUCUGACUGGUUCAUCAUCAAUAUCCAUUUCAGGGACAUUUUGGUCUGGCUCAGCUUGGUCUACUGCAAGUUCUUCAGAAACUUCUUCAGGUUCAUGUCUUUCCCAGUUCCAACAUGACCUCUCAUCAAAUACCACAUCCCUGCUUAUUGACACUUUGUUUGUUGAAGGAUCUAAAAUCCUAUAGCCCUUCUUAACAGUGCUAUACCCCACCAAAACACCAGGUCGAGCCCUUUCAGACAAUUUGUCCCUUUUAACAGCAGGUACAUGUGCAUAACAGAUGCAUCCAAAGACCUUCAGAUGAGCCAAUGAUGGCUUGAAGCUAAACCAGGCCUCGAAUGGGGUCUUUUGAUCCAAAGCCUUGGUUGGAAGUCUAUUUUGAAUGUAUGUUGCAGUGUUAACUGCUUCUGCCCAUAGUGCUUUAGGCAGAUUUUUCUGAAUCAUCAAGCACCUGGCCAUAUCCAUCAAACUCCUAUUCUUCCUUUCACUUACCCCAUUCUGCUGAGGUGUAUAUGUGUUGGUAAGUUGAUGUUUGAUGCCUGCCUUAUCACAGAAGGCUUGGAACUGAGCUGAGGUGUACUCAGUCCCAUUAUCAGACCUUAUGGUCUUCAGUUUGCAGCCUGUUUCAGUCUCAGAAGCAGUCUUGAACUUCCAAAACACUGAGGCCACUUCUGAUUUCUGUUUUAAAAAGUAAAUCCAGCAAUAUCUCGAGAAAUCAUCAAUGAACAGUAUGAAAUACCUGUUUCCACUUAAUGACUCAGUCUUCAUAGGGCCACACACAUCAGUAUGCACCAGUUGGAGUUUUUCAGAGGCUCUUCAGGCUUGAUUCGAGGGAAAAGGGAGUCUGGCCUGCUUUCCUAGCUGACAAACAUCACAUACAUCAUCAUGGUCCACUGAGUUGAUGAAAUUUUCAGCCAGGUCCUCUCUGACCAUUCGAGCCAUCGAUCUGAAGUUGGCAUGUCCCAGUCUUUGAUGCCACAGCUUGGAUUCAUCUGAAGUGGCUGUGUAGGCAAUGUCUGACUUUUUUGUCCAGUCAACCACAAAGCUCUUAUCAGCCAUAGGGACUGCCAUCAGUUUGGAUCCACUUGGAUCACUGAUUUGGCACUGGUGGUCUUUAAACACAACUGAAUAACCUUUUUCCAGCAACUGAGCUAUGCUGAGGAGGUUUCUGUCAAUUUCAGGCACCAACAGCACAUUUGAAAUCACUUUGGUACCUGUAAUGGUGCAUAUCAGCACAUCACCCUUGCCUUCAGCUUGAAUAAAAUGACCAUUUCCUAUUUUGACUUUAGUUCUGCAGCUUCUGUCUAAAGACUUGAAGAUUGCAGCAUCAGGUGUCAUGUGGUUGGUGCAUCCACUGUCUAGGAGCCAACCAGAUGAGAGCCUUUCCUGAGCAGCUGAGCAUGACACAGCAAAGACUUGCUCCUCUUGGUCACUGUCCUCCUUAGCUACUCGAGCCUCAGCUUUCAUCUGUUGAAACUGAUUUUGCCUCGAUUUGGUCUUACUCUUACAGACUCUCUCAACAUGACCCUUCUUCUUACAAUGCUGACACACAGCAUCUGGAUUGAACCAGCAUUUUUCUUCUGAAUGACCAGCCUUUCUGCAGUGCUUGCAAGUCUGACCUUCUCUCCUUGCAGCAUCAUUCUUUGGCUUGUCUCUCCAGGCCUUCUUGCCUUUGUAGGCAGUAUUUGUUCUUGCCUGAAAGGCACCUUCUUGGUGCUCCUCCAGUCUGCUUGCUCUCCUCUGCUCUUGAGCAUAUAGAGCAUUGAUCAACUCUGUCAGGGAGAUGGUGGACAGAUCCCUUGAGUCCUCGAGAGAUGAGAUUUUUGCCUCAUACCUCUCAGGCAGAGUUGCUAUAACCUUCUCCACUAUCCUAGCUUCAUUGAACUGCUCUCCAAGGAGCCUGAUGCUGUUAACCACAGCCAUAAUCCUGUCAGAAUAUUGCUUGACAGUUUCUUCUUCCUUCAUCUUCAAAUUCUUGAAAUCUCUCCUCAAGUUUAACAACUGUUUCUGCCUUGUCCUCUCUGUCCCUUGAAACUCUUCCUGCAACUUGUCCCAGGCCUGUUUUGGUGAUUCACAGGCCAUAAUCCUUGUGAAAAUCACAUCAGACACUGAGUUUUGGAUGCAAGACAUAGCUUUGUGCCUCUUGGUCCUUUCAUCAGCAUGCUGCCUGAUCUGAGCCACUGUUGGAUUAGCUCUAAGUGGCUCUGGUUCAACAUCAAAGUUGACCACCUCCCACAGAUCGAAAGCCUGCAGGUAGGUCUUCAUUUUGACCACCCAUAUGUGAUAGCCUUCUCCAUUGAAGACUUGAGGUGCAGCUGGUGAAAAGCUUGAUGAAGCCAUGGAAUUGAGUAACAGAUCCCUUAAGAAAUAGGCUCUAGAUACCAAUUGUUGGUGCAACAACAGAAUCAAGCAAACUCAGCAAGUAUCUUGUCGAGCAAGCCUCGAAACUUGCUGAGCAAACAAACAAUUUCAAGUUAAAGAAAGAAGAGAAUAAGCUGGGGAAAUUUGAGAGAAUAAUAUUGAUGAACAAAACUGAUUUCAUUCAUACAUAAAACAAUGGCUUGAAGCCAGUACAUAACUCAAGCAUAAGGCUUGUCAAAAUCAACAAGUAAUUACCUACCUCCACUAAUUACAUAGAAACUUGAAAUCUUAGCUUGUAAACUUAUACAAAACUGUGUUUACAGCUCAUACAUAAGCUAAUUACAUCAAUCAGAAAGCUAACUUAGUUAGAAAUGAACUAACACUCAUUUCAUCAACUAAAUAUAACAAAAUGAACAAAAUGAGCUUGCAUCAGCAGCCCUUGCAUCUGUUCCAGCUUUGCUUGGUCUUCAUGGCCUGUAUGGAAUCGAGUGUUGGCUUCAUGCUGACCAACUUCAACAUGUUCCUUUUCGGCAAAGAACAUUAUCGAGAUCACAGAAUUUUGAUCGCCUUUUGCUUGUUAUGUUAUUCGUUCUUAAACGAUUGCAUAAUCUUUACUGUGAUUGCAGGAUAUAGAGGAACUUUUGAAUUUCAUCGGUGUAACGAGUUUAGGACCUUGGCAUGUUCUUGCAAAUUUGAAGGAGCUUCUAAGGUCUGUCCAGUCUUCAGAAUAUAUAGAUACCUGAAUUAAUUUUGAUUUUGUAGGAUCAACUAUAAUUAGCUACUUAUUACAGUAUGAAUAGACAACCUGACCUUCUUCACACACGACACAUGUGCGGAUUUUUUUACCAAUCCCAUUUCAUUAAAGAAAAAAAAGAGCUUUAAAAAAGGAUCACACUUUUUUGUUGUUUACAGAAUCAUAAUGUUAAUUAGAGUGGAAUAUUUCAGAUUUCUGAUAAUGAGUAUAUUAUUGAGUAUUGCAGUAAAAAAAUGGGUGUGCAACUUAUUUGAACUUUGAAUGUAUGUUUUGUUGGUGAGAAUAUAAAGUUGAUAAAGAUUUGGUAAAUAGAAUAAAAUACUAUUUUUUAUUAGAAAAAAUAUUUGGUACACUGCCAAUCGAGUUAUAAUUAUCAUGACACAAUAUUAAGGGUAAUUAAAACAUGUCAUAUUACAAAUAAUAAAAUUAUAAUGACUCAAAUCUGCAAACAUGUCAAAAUUUACGUACAAUGAAUUAUUAACAUGUAAAUGUAUAAUAUGGUAUGCAAAAAUAAGAUCAUUGCUUGUUUUUUAAAUUGAAUUGUUAUAACAUAUUGUACAAAAUACAUUGUGAAUUAAGGCAUUCUAUGAACAUGAUAUCAAAAUAUUAAAUUUUUUUAAAAUUCGAUGAUAUGAAUAAUUAUGUAAAAUAUAACAUGAUACAAAAUAACUUGAAAGGAAAAGAGGAAUAAAGAAUUGCAUUGUUUUUGAGGUUUUAAAAUAUUUCAGUUUUAGAUUCAUUUUUCUAGUAUGUUUGGUUUAAUUUUACAUUAGAUUUCCUUUACAGUAUGCACUAGUGAACGCUUAGUAUUCAAUUUAAUUUAAUUCAAAGAGAUAUUGCAUAUACAUAAUAAUGGAUUAUGAUUUUACAUUAAAUUUCAUAGAAGAAAAAAGAAAUAGAUGGUUGAAAAUGAUAAAAUCAUAAGAUAAAAGAGCUUUUAUUUAAAAUUCAAAAAUCAACAAAAUAUUCAUUAUCGCUCAACUUAGCAUAAUUAAACAUUUAGGUGUGAAAAUCAAAUUACAAUUUGAGUAGCUAAACACAUUGCUUGAAAAUGUGAUAAGUAAGAAAAUUGCCCACAUUUGAGUAGCGACAGGUGGUGAUGCAUUUCCCAAUGAGAGAAAACCAAACUCUUCGCCAGUAUGGAUUUAUGUAGAGGACAACAAAAAUUGUCAACAACACAACUACAUAAGAAACCAAAAAGCUCACACAAAAAUCAUAAGUACCUAUCAAACCAUCUUCUCCUUUAUCUUCUGAUACAGUUGAUAUCGUUGAUGGUGAAUCGGUUUUGGAACAACUUUUAUGCAAUAUAGCUCCACAAAGAAAAAGAUUUCCCUCAUAACUGUUUUCAAUAAAGGUCCCAAAUUGAGCUUUUGGUUCGGGAAUACUACCUGACAAGUUGUUGUAUGCCACGCUGAAAACCUCCAAAGAGUUCAACUCUACCAACUGGUUGGGGAUUUCACCACUCAAAUUGUUGUAAGAAAGGUCCAAACUCUCAAUUUGAUGAAGUUUUGCGAAUGAUGAGGGUAUAACUCCUGUCAACUUAUUAUGCGACAAGUUUAAAGAAUAGAUUUCACUUAAGUUCCCUAAUUCUGGUGGGAUAUGACCAGUUAAGUUGUUGCAAGAUAAAUCAAUCCCGGUCAUAUAUGUAAGGAUGUUUCCCUCGUACGAUAAGAACCCACUCUUUGUUGUGAACUCUAUUACUUCUUCUAAGUAGCCUUCAGGAUAGUAAUAAUUUCCGAGAGCUCCCAAUGUUUUCACUAAUCCGUCCCCUGUUAACCUUGGACUAAUUUUCGAAUCAGUUAGAAUCUUAUUUGUUUCCGUUGAAAGGGUUAAAUUUCCCAAACAAGAAGGUAUAAUACCAGAAAACAUAUUUUGAGAAAGAUCUAUGAUGUUUAAAGAAUCCAACUUGCAUAACUGAACUGGAACUUCACCAUGAAAAUGAUUAUCUUUCAAGAGAAGAACACUCAAUGAAGAAAGUGUGCCAAUCCAUUUUGGAAUACUACCAGUCAAAUUGUUUCCUCUAAGAUCUAACGUAACCAGUGAAGAGAUAUUAUAAAAAGCGAUUGGUAGUGGGCCACUUAGUCUACUCCCGUGCAGGUGGACAUGCUUUAUGUUUAGGGUAUUAAAGCAGGACGGUAUAGAGCCAAAUAAAUUGUUUUCAGAGAGAUCCAAAAAUUCCAAGCGAUUCAAGUUGCAAAAUUCCAUUGGAAUAGAACCCUCGAAACCAUUUUGGGACAAAGCUAAUCUCUUCAAAAAUGACACAUUCCCCGUCCAUCUUGGGAGGUUUCCAUAAAACUUGUUAUUUCCGAGAUUAAUUUCCCUUAGUGAAGUUGGAAACUCAGAAAUAGAGACAUCAACAUUUGCCAUCUCCCCAGAAAAAUUAUUUCCAUCCAAAUAUAAUUUUGACAGCCUAUUUGCAUUGAGAAUCACAGGAAGCACAUGUCCACUGAGGUUGUUGUUUGAUAGUCUCAAAAUGGUCAACGAGUUUUUUGUGAUUAACUCUUCAGGUACUCUUCCAGACAAUUGAUUGUCUGAUAAAUCUAAAAUCGAUAAAUCCUUCAUGCCACUCAAACAAGGAGGGAUAUCACCUUCGAAGGCAUUCUUGGAUAAGAAUAAGUGGCUCAAAUGUGGAAAAUGUGAACACACGUUGGUUGGAAUCUGACCUUGCAAUUUGUUUUGGGAUAUGUCAAUUAAAGACACUUUAGAGUUAGGAGCUGACGGUAAUGUGAGAGGACCGGUAAAUGAAUUACCCUUCAAGAUGAGAUCUUCUAACUUCGUGUUGUUUUCUAACAACCAAGUUGGGACUGUUCCGCUGAAAUUGUUAUGAGAAAGAUCCACAUAUCUCAAGUCAUAUUGGUAGUAAAGGAAGGUAGGAAGCUUACAACUGAGCUGUUGAGAUGUUAUGCACUUUGGCAAACUAAUGACUUCCAAUUGGAACUUUGGGAUUGAGGUAUAAAAGGAAGGUUCCGUUACCAUCUUGUUUUCAUUACUCAAGAGGGCUUUGAGGUUUGAAAGGUUUGCAAAUGGUGCGAAAGACAACGGAAUUUGAAAAUGGUUUCCUGAAAUAUAUAACCCACGAAGAGAUGUCAAGUUACUGAAACAAUGAGGAAGCAUCCCCUCAAGUGCAUUCCCACUCACAUCCAACACUUCAAGGUUCCUUAGAUCACACCAUCCUGAAAAAUUUAUAAAUUCAUUGAAGAAAUUUUAAUUAAAUUUGAUCCUAUUAAACAGAAUAGGAGAUAUUAUAUCCCAAAAGGCUCAUAAAGAAGUCAAUUUGACCCAUAAAUUUAUUUACCAUGAUUAGGUAAGGGACCGAUAAGUCCACAAUCAUAUAACGACAGAGUUUUAAGAGAACUGAGUACUCCAAUGCCUUGCAAAAUGUUGGUGUUGAGAGUAGAAUGGUCAAGAUAUAAUUCCUCCACAUUGCUCGACACAUUUAAUUCUAAAGGAUGAGAAGAGGUAUUAGAUGUUAAUCAAACGUAAUCUGUUUUGGAAAAGAAAAUCAUGUUCAGAUAAUGGUAUUGUAGAUAAAAGGUUUUAACUGAUGAGAAAGCCUCCACUAAAUUUUGUAAUGGAAUGCUUCCAUCGGUGAAAACGGAUGAAGAUAAAGAACUUUCAAAUUUCUCAAUCCCUUAUUUUCUGUAAGUGAAAGAAAUAUAUAAAUAUUUGUUUUCAUGAAUAAGAUAAAAGUUUAAUAGAGAAUGUCCAAAUCUUAACAUAACUAUUCAUUCAUUUUAUUAAUUAAUAAACUAAUCCUUUUUUAGCAUUCUAAGAUAAAAUAUAAUUUCAAAAUAAUUUGAUCUAGAUUUAAAUAGAUGAGCAUAUUCUUUUAAAAUCUCAAAUAUGUUUGAAAUCAAUUUAACAUUUAACCUUAAUGUUAGUAUUUGGUACUGGUAAUGGAGUUUUUUAACUCUACAAGUGAAGUUAAAAAAUGGCCACUAACCUAUUUCUUUUAAAUAUUUAUUUUUUAAUAUUUUACUAUACCAUAUAAGAUAUUUGUUAUUAUCUCAAUCCUACUUAUGAAGUUUAGAAUUGUUACUAUACCAUAUAAGAUAUUUGUUACUAUACCAUAUAACAUUAUUAUAUUCUUGUUAAAAAAACUAAUAUUUUUACCUUUCAUAUCUAUUGAUCCUUUCAAUUCAUUGCCCCAUAGGCUCAAAGAUUUCAAAUUUGAAAGCUUGUUAAGGGAUGCAAAUACACUAGUAUUGAAGAGAUUGUCAUCUAAAUAAAGCUCUUCCAAGUGGGUCAACUCCAAUUUUCUACCACCAUCUACAAAAGAUUUAUAUAAUUUCAUCACUGAAAUGAAUUGGCAUAAAAUUUAAUUAUAUGUAAGAAUUUAGGUAAUUGGUUAAAUAUAAAUGCAUACCUUUAAAGGAUUGAAAGCUUUCAAUUUGAUUCCCACCUAAAUCGAGUUUCUUCAAAUUUGUUAAAUUGUUCAAUCCUAUACAUAUCCACGUACAAUUCAAAAAAUCAUUAUGUUAAUAAUUUUAAUUUCUACUUAAUAUUUUAAUGAAAUAAAAAUGAAAAAGAAAGUAAAUCUAAAACUUGAAGUGAAGAUGAAAAUCCUCAAACGUGAAAUGUGAAUGUUCAAAAUUAAAACAAUUAAUUUUAAAAGGUUCUAGAAAGAAUUAUCAAGAAAAACAAAGUUAUAGCUUUAGUACCUUUAGUAUCUAAUGAGCCUUACAAAUCGUUGCCGUACAAAGUCAAAGACUUUAGGCUUGAAAGCCCUUGCAGAAAGGAAAUUGUGUUGUUCCGAAAGAGAUUACCACUCAAAUCAAGUACCUCUAAGUUUGUUAGCCUCAAUUGUGUUCCAUCUAUCAUUGGAAGAAAAUAAUGAGUAUAGUUAAUAUCAUCCAAGAUAUAAAUAGUUAGGAAAAAUGAUUGUUUGAGAAGGAAGAGGCAAUUUACAAGCUUUCCCAUGAAUUGAUAACUACAUUUUACAAGUAAAACUUAAUUGAUUCAAUAUAUAAAUACUUUGUUUGAGAUACCUUCCUACUUUAAUUACUCAAUCCCAAAUAUUGAUUACUUAUAUAUAUUCAUGAUAUGAUAAAAGCAAAUGACUUAUUAAUUGCAACAGCUUUUCCUUCAACAUGAAUUUAAUGCUAUUCUUCAAAUAAUUCCAACUUAUAUCAAUAAUCUCCAAUCUAAUGAGCCAUUGAAAACCUGAUUUAUAUAUUAUAUAAUUAGUUACUACAAAACAUAAAUAAAUAAUAAUACUCCAUUUUUGCAAUAAAAAUUCACUAAAGAAAAUACAUUUGAAGUCUGUCAUUGCCUUUUGGAAUAAUAGUCAGUCAAGAAAGUUACUACGCACAAAUACUUAUACCUUUGUUUGAGAUGCUUUCAAUGUUAUUGUAACUUAAAUCCAAGUACUUCAAAUUUGUCAAAUUAUUCAAUCCUGAAAUUCAAUCCCAAAUAUUGAUCAGUUAUAUAUAUAUAUUCAUGAUAUGAUAAAAGCAAAGACAUAUUGCAACAUUAACUGUCCCUUAAACAAAAAUUGGUUUUAAAGUAAAAAAGAAACAUAUAAAACCAGUCUACCUUUAAUAUGAAUUGACAUAUAAAUACUGUACUUAUACCUUUGUUUGAGAUGCUUUCAAUUCUGUUCCAACUUAAAUCCAAGUAUUUCAAGUUUGACAAAUUAUUCAAUCCUGAAAUUCAAUCCCAAAUAUUGAUUAGUUAUAUAUAUUCAUCGUAUGAUAAAAUCAAACUUGAACAUACAUUGAUUUUUAAAUCAAGGAUGAAAGAUUUCUCAUAUGGAACAAAAUGCUAUUCUUCAAAGAAUUCCCACUUAAAUCAAGAGUUUCCAAGUUAUUGAGUCUUGAAAGCAAUUGAAAACCUGAUAUAUAUAUAUUUACUUGUUAAUUGUUUUUUCUUUCUUAGCCAUAUGAAAAUUUUACUAAAGCAAAAGUGGAAUUAGAACGGAUAAAAAGAAUGGAAAACUAGGUACCAAGACUAGAAGACCAUCCUCAAACUCCACUAUACAAAUGACUUAUUGCAACAACAUUUCCUUCAACAUGAAUUUAUUUUAAAGAAUGCUAUUCUUCAAACAAAUCCAACUUAUAUCAAUAAUUUCCAAUUUAAUGAGCCACUGAAAACCUGAUUUAUAUAUUAUAUUAUUAGUUACCACAAAACAUAAAUAAAUAAUAAUACUCCAUUUUUGCAAUAAAAAUUCACUAAAGAAACAUAUUGAAUAUAAAUAAUAAUACUCCAUUUUCCAAUUUAACAUAUUGCAACAUUAAUUUUCCCUUAAACAAAAUUUGGUUUUAAAGUAAAAAAGAAACAUAUAAAACCAGUCUACCUUGAAUAUGAAUUGACAUAUAAAUACUAUACUUAUACCUUGGUUUGAGAUGCUUUCAAUGUUGUUCCAACUUAAAUCCAAGUACUUCAAGUUUGUCAAAUUAUUCAAUCCUGAAAUUCAAUCCCAAAUAUUGAUUAGCUAUAUAUAUUCAUCGUAUGAUAAAAUCAAACUUGAACAUACAUUGAUUUUUAAAGUUAAAAAGAAACAGGCAAAAUCAGUCUACCGUGAAUAUGAUCCAGCCUUCCUUUCAACUGAUUAGCGCUCAAUCUUAAAGUCUUCAAGGAUGAAAUAUUUCUCAUAUGGAACAGAAUGGUAUUCUUCAAAGAAUUCCCACUUAAAUCAAGAGUUUCCAAGUUAUUGAGUCUUGAAAGCAAUUGAAAACCUGAUAUAUAUAUAUAUAUAUAUGUAUAUAUAAUUACUUGCUAAUUGUUUUCUUCUUUCUUCGCUAUAUGAAAAUUUUACUAAAGCAAAAGUGGAAUUACAACGAAUAAAAAGAAUGGAAAACUUGGUACCAAGCCUAGAAGACCAUCCUCAAACUCCACUAUACAAAUAAAAACUAACAUCAGACCAAACUUAAUUUACCUCUUAGAUGACUUGAUCCUUCAAAUUUGUUGAUUGAUAGAUCUAAAUACCGGAGAGAUGAAAGCUCACUCAAAGAUAACAAAAUGCUAUCAUUCAAGUAAUUUUCACUUAAGUCAAGGAUCUCCAAAUUACUCAAUGUGGAUGAUAGUUUUCCAAAGCCUGUAGAAGUGUUCUUUUAAAUAUAUGCAAGUUAGUGACUUUUCUUUAAUAAAAUAAAAUAAAAUAUAAGUAAUUGUAAAUUAACAAUGGUGAGAAUAGUGGAAUAGUAAAAGAUGUAAUUAAGGAAAAAUUAAAGGCACGACCUUCAUUUUCAAGGCUACCACCUAUGACAUUUCCCGACAAAUAAAGUCUCUUCAAUUCCUCAAAAGGAAGAAACAUAGAGGCAUUGAGAUACCAGGCAUUGAGAUUCCUAUUAUCCAUGACGUAUUCCAUAUUGUCUUCCCAUUUUGUAGAAUUAAGGGAGAGUUGUAUGAGUCUCCUAGUGGUGGUGUUACACUCAACUCUUUCCCAUUUACAACAAUCUGAACCCUUCACCUCAACCCAACUUUGCAAUUGAUUACCAUAAUUGAAGAAAGGCUUGAGAUGCAAGAGAGCGAUUCUCUCAUGCUCCAAACAAGCAUCAGUAGUACACCAACUGCAUCUUUCUAACACCAACAACAUUACUGCCAUCCUAAUAAACCAUAAGUACCAUUUCCACUCCAUCAUCAUCAUCAUCUUUCUGUUUUCACUUCUCUCUCAGCUAUAUGUUACUUUUUCUUAACUUCUAUAUGUAUAUAAUCUAAAGAAGCCUAAGCUUCUUUUUUAUAUACAAGCAGAACAUUUUGCAUCCCACUAAUUUACUAUAAUAUAAAAAUAAUAUAUAAUUAAUUAAUUCCUCAAAAAUUGGAUCAAUCUAGGCUUCUUAUUUACGUAAAUUCCUUAUUGCAAAACCUCUUGGUAGAAAUUCGUUAGGAAAGGAUGAAUGGACCACAAGAAUGCUUAUCAACUCUUGACUUUGGCGUCCAAUGCUAAAUUUAUUUUAAAAUUUCUUCAUGGAGACAAGAUGGGAUGACAAGAAUGAUAAGUUUUAAGUCAUUUAAGUUUACACAAUUUUAAUCACUCAUAAAAACAAGUAUUGACAUUCUAUUAAAGAAUUUAAACAUGGCUUAACGUUGAUUUUAAAUCUAAUGUUGAUGUUAAUCUUGAAAAAAGAAUGGCCAAAAAAAUAUGAAAAGUGAGAGGUGGACAUAAAAUAGUGUAGUUGGGGUUAUAAAAUUCUUCAUGUAGACAUUAUAUUUUUUUUAUGCCUUUUUUACACUUAUAUAAAGUUAGUCUUGACUUCGCUUUAUUAAUAGAAAUUUUAGGUCUUCAUUUUUUGUUUUAUUCAUGGGCAUAAUAUUUUUUUAUUUUUAUUUUAUGGUCUAUGAUCGAGGUUUAUGACUAUCCCCUUUCAACAACGUCGUCUCAACUGUUCAAACAUACCCUUGCAGGUAAAAUAAUACUUUUUAAAAUCACAAAUAUUUAAGAUAAUACAUUGCAGCUAUAUAAAUGCUUUCUUGUUUAAGAUACUAAUAAAGUAAUUAACAAAGUAAUUAUUAUACCUAUAAUAAUUCAAAAUGCCACUUGUUAUCUAAUGAAGUAUAGGGGUGCAAAUGAGACAUCCGUACUCGCAAGCUAUUCGAAUUUGGCUCAAAAACUUUUGAAAUUGAUUUGGUAAUUAUUGAGCCGAGCUAUAGGUCGAUCCAGAUUCGAGCUUAGUAAUACUUAACUCGAGUAUUUUGAGAGCCUUAUUGAACUUUUUAUAUUUUUAUAUUAUUAGAUUACAUUAUUGCUAUUAAUAUAUAUUAUUAACUCUAAGUUUAAUUAUAGAGGCGAGCUCAAACUCGAGUACAAAAAUUGAUAAACAUAUUUAAUUUCGAGCUUAAAAAUAUAUGUUCGAUCGAGCAUCAAGCUUUGAAUUUCAAAUUAAACUUGAGUUUAACAGUAUUGAGUUCAAAUAGAUUCAAUUACACCCUACAAUAAAAUAUACCAACAAAACCUACAUUCCAUCUUUGCUAUAAAUUUUAUGUAUGUGUGUGUUUAACGUGAGUUCCAUCUAUGUCCAACUUGAUGACGAUGAAAGUUCCUAUGGUGUAAAAAGUUUUAAUUAUGUGGAAAAAUAAGGUCUUCUCUUCACACGUUUAAUAUGCUUACUUGUGUCGGUCAUUUCGAGCUUCACAUCAAUUUUCAAAAAGUUGGAAAACUUAUGUCUGCUUUUAUGAUUCUUUUAUGUGUGUGUUUAACGUGACUUCCUUGUGAGUUCCAUCUAGGUCCAACUUGAUGACAAUGAAAGUUCCUAUGGUGUAAAAAGUUUUAGUUAUGUGGAAAAUUGGUGGAAAACUUACGUCUUUUCACUUGCUUUUAUGAUUCUUUUUACAUGAUAUUACUAUAUAAUUAAAUUGAAAUACUGAUAAAUUUGAACCCAUAUGAUGUAAGUCUAGGCAUCAUCUAAUUUAUUGAUAUUUAAUUAAUUAAUAUAUAUACUUUCAAUUAUAAGAAUUGAAACAUAACUUUCAAGCCAAUUGGAGUAUGCCCCUGUUACACGUCAAAAGAAGUAGAUUUUGAACUCAACAUGAACCUGUGAGAUUUGAUGCCUAAAAUAUAGGUAUAAGGUUUCAAUUCAUGGAAAUGUUGGAAAUCUUGGAAAUUUCUUAGUCUCCUCUCUUUGGAUGUUUUUGAACAAAAAUGUUUUAAGUCUCUUCCGAUGCUAAACUUCUGAUUGGUCGUCGGUUCACUGACCCUUUGGUACACAGCAAUAUGAAGCAUUGGCCAUUCAAGGCCAUUGCUGGUCCUGGUGAUAAGCCAAUGAUUGUACUACUAUAGAUUUGAAUAUUUGUACACAUUUGAUCGGCUCUUCGUAAAUUUAAAUCUUACAAAUUCGGAUAAUAUUUGAACUUUGAAUGUAUGUUUUGUUGGUGAGAAUAUAAAGUUGAUAAAGAUUUGGUAAAUAGAGUAAAUUACUAUUUUUAUUAGAAAAAUUAUUUGGUACACUGCCAAUCGAGGUAAUUAAAACAUGUCAUAUUAUAAAUAAUAAAAUUAUGAUGACUCAAAUAUACGAACAUGUCAAAAUUUAUGUACAACAAAUUAUUAACAUGUAAAUGUAUAAUACGGUACGCAAAAAUAAGAUAAUUUCUUGUUUUUUUAAUUGAAUUGUUAUAACAUAUUAUACAAAAUACAUCGUGAAUUAAAGCAUAAUAUGAACAUGAUAUCAAAAUAUUAAUUUUUUUUAAAAUUCAAUGAUACGAAUAAUUAUGUAAAAUAUAACAUGAUACAAAAUAUCUUGAGAGGAAAAGAGGAAUAAAGAAUUGCAUUAUUUGUGAGGUUUUAAAAUAUUCCAGUUUUAGAUUCAAUUUUCUAGUAUGUUUGGUUUAAUUUUACAUUAGAUUUCCUUUUCAGUAUGCACUAGUGAACGCUUAGCAGUCAGUUUAAUUUAAUUGAAAGAGAUAUUGCAUAUACAUAAUAAUGGAUUAUGAUCUUACAUUAAAUUUCAUAGAAGAAAAAGAAAUAGAUGGUUGAAAAUGAUAAAACCAUAAGAUAAAAGAGCUUUUAUUCAAAAUGCAAAAAUCAACAAAAUAUUCAUUAUCACUCAACUUAGCAUAAUUAAACAUUUAGGUGAGGAAACAAAUCACAAUUUGAGUAGCUAAACACAUUGCUUGAAAAUGUGAUAAGUAAGAAAAUUGCCCACAUUUGAGUAGCGACAUGUGGUGAUGCAUUUCCCAACGAGAGAAAACUAAGCUCUUCACCAGUAUGGAUUUAUGUAGAGGACAACAAAAAUUGUCAACAACACAACUACAUAAGAAACCAAAAAGCUCACAAAAAAAUCAUAAGUACCUAUCAAACCAUCUUCUCCUUUAUCUUCUGAUACAGUUGAUAUCGUUGAUGGUGAAUCAGUUUUGGAACAACUUUUAUGCAAUAUAUCUCCACAAAGAAAAGGAUUUCCCUCAUAACUGUUUUCAAUAAAGGUCCCAAAUUGAGCUUUUGGUUUGGGAAUACUACCUGACAAGUUGUUGUAUGCCACGCUGAAAACCUCCAAAGAGUUCAACUCUACCAAUUGAUAGGGGAUUUCACCACUCAAGUUGUUGUAAGAAAGGUCCAAACUCUCAAUGUGCUGAAGUUUUGAGAAUGAUGAGGGUAUAACUCCGGUCAACUUAUUGUGUGACAAGUUUAAAGAAUGGAUUUCACUCAAGUUCCCUAAUUCUGGUGGGAUAUGACCAGUUAAGUUGUUGCAAGAUAAAUCAAUCCCAGUCAUAUAUGAAAGGAUGUCGCCAUUGUACGAAUAGAACCCACUCUUUGUUGUGAACUCUAUUACUUCUUCUAAGUAGCUUAGAGGAUAGUAAGAAUCCAUUUCCAGGUUUCCUAUCAUAAUGCGUGUUGAUUCAUCCUCUUCUAUAGAUGGCCCAUAGAACCCAGUUUCUAGAAUCCUCUUCAUUUGUAUUGGAAGAGAUAAAUUUCCCAAACAAGAAGGUAUAGGACCAGAAAACAUAUUUUGAGAAAGAUCUAUGAUGCUUAAAGAAUGCAACUUGCAUAACUCAAUAGGAACUUUACCAUGAAAAUGAUUAUCUUUCAGGAGAAGAACACUCAAAGAAGAAAGCGUGUAAAUCCAUUUUGGAAUACUACCUGUCAAAUUGUUUCCUCUAAGAUCUAAAGUCACUAUUGAAGAGUUAUUAUAAAAAGCAAGUGAUAGUGUGCCUCUCAGUCUAUUCCUGUGGAGGUGGACAUGCUCUAUGUUGGUGGAUUAAAACAUGACGGUAUAGAGCCAGAUAAAUUAUUUUGAGAAAGAUCCAAAAAUUCCAACCUAUUCAACUUUCAAAAUUCCAUUGGAAUAGAACCUUCAAAACCAUUGUUGGACAAAUUUAAUCUCCACAAAAAUGAUGCAUUCCCUAUCCAUCUUGGGAGCUUUCCAUGCAACUUGUUACUGAGAUCAAUUUCGCUUAGUGAAUUUGGAAACUCAAAAAGAAAUGUUCACACAAAGUUUUUUCCAACAUAUGUCUGUCAUUUGUGGGGUCUUGAAUUUAAUAUCAAUGGUUGAAUUUUCAUAGCUAAUAUGUACGCAAAAGGCUUAGUGGGUGGAAUUUUAUGUCUGGAAAGCGUUUCUACAAUGACAUAAUUAAUUGCAUUACUUUUCAAAGAUUGACUAUUGACUUUGGUGAGCUUAUUAGGUUAAAUUCUGCUGCUGGUCACUGUUCUUUGUGAAAGUUGUAAAUUUAGUCUAUUUUCUUCAAUUUGAUCAAUUUUAAUCCCUAUACAUUUUGAAUUUUAAAAUUUUAGUUGUGACCCAAACAAUAGAGUUAAAUCAAUUUAAUUAAAACCAAUUACUAGUCCUAUAUUAUGCGUACAAUUGUUGAUUUAGUCCAUACUCUUCAAUUGGAUCAUUCUAAGUACCUAUAUUUUUCAAAUUUUAAAAUUUCAGUCUUGAUGCAAAUGACAAUCCUUAGUCUGUUAACUAGAUUUUUAGUAACAUAUGAAAAUAAUAAGAUGAUAUGACAUUACAAAUAUGAUAAUAUUUUUGCAUUAAAUAUGUCAACAAUGACAUAAUUAAUUGCAUUAACUUUCAGACGUUGACCAUUGACUUUUGCGUCAACCUUAAGCUUAUAUAGCCCCUACAAUAAUUUAUAGCCCCUACAAUAAUUUAGGUUAUGGAAAUAAUCUUACAAUUAAUGCCUGAGAAAUUAUUAUAGAUCAAUUUAUAGUUUUAAUCCCUAUAAUUACUCAAUUGAAUUAAGAUUCAGUUUUUCUUAUUUAAUUUGAUAUAUUUGUUUUCUUAUUAAUGUUAAUGUUAUGGAUUAGUUUUUUUUAAGACAACUUCAUUAUUUUAUUCAAUGAAUAAUACCAUACAAUUCGGGGGAAAAUAACAAGCAAUCGUUGUACUCCUUAAAGGACAAGCUCCAUAAAUACAACAAAAGCUUUAGCUUCAACAUUAAUACAACAUUAUGGCAUGUUGAAAUCGGCUCCGUCACAACUCAAGCACAACAUAUCAGGAGUGAUUACAAGCACUUAAUAUAGUAAGAAAAUCAACCCUGGAUGGUCCAAAGCGGAGGGCAUAAAUCGGCAAAAGAACUGAGCAUCCACCAAACUAGAGGGGAUGUGGCGACAAAACCAACCCUAAAAUUACUAGCAAAAGCAAGACUAAAAAGCGUACUACAAGAGUAGACAAAAACUUCUAAAAGUUAAACAAUGGAAAAAUAAACAAAAAAAAUACAAAACUUAAGAUAACAUGAGUCUAAAACGAGUCAUGAAAUCAUUUAUUAUUUUGAAACUCUCAAAACAUAAACAAAUUAAGAUAUCAACGAAGAGGUACCCACUUUCUAAAAGAAAGUGUUGGUCGUCGGUGGUGUUUCAAUGAUGAUAGGCAUUGUCACCUGUCCAUCACAACUUGUAAAGACAACAAAAAUACCCACAAAAUAAAUCUGUAAAUUGAAAAGAACGAAGACUCAUGGAGUGAAUGAGAAGAAGAAAAAUAAAAAGGGUUAAUAGGGAGGAGAAAAAGGAGGGCGGUAACUAAUCCUGAGGCUAACACCGCUGCUAGGCUAAAAAAAAAAAAAAAAGCAAACAUGUUGUGGAUUAGUUAAAAUAACUAACAUCAUUGGAAAUUUCAUUAGUUGGCUGAUUUGGAUUUUUUUAAAAAAAAAUUGAAACUAGAAACCAUAAAUGAUCUAACAUUUAGAAACCAUAAAUUGGGUUUUUUUUCAAUUGCUUUGCUGUCCAACUCCAUCCAUCUAAAAUCGCAAGGAUGUACCCAUGUUCAAUAUGCAGUACAGAGUACAGACCCAAAAAUUGACCAUAUAAUGUGGCUGAAGAGAAUUUUCGAAUGGUUUUAAAGAAUUAUGAGAACACAAUGAAUAAAGUUAAGGCAUCAUUUAUUCAGCUUGCUAUAAUGCAGGUCAUUCCAAUAAAGAAGCAUUUUUUAACUACAUUUUCCGUUACCCCAAUAACAAUGAAAUCCCUUAUUAUAGCACAGUAUGUUCUCCGAUGAACAUAGAACUCACCAUUUUUAGGAACACGUGUAGUUGAGGAUGAGAAUUCGGAUCAACUGUAACUUCAAAUAGUGGAAUGAAAACAUUGUCCAGAAUAUUCUGAAAAGAUUUUACAAUUCCCAUUUGCUUGUACACAUUAUACAAUCGUGGUGACUGCAGAAUUAAGUCAAAAUCAAGUGAAGAAGGUUACCUUUGACUUGAGAAAUAUAUCACAGAGAGAGAGAGAGAGAGAAAACAGUAAUCUGGAAAGAUGAUGCUUAAUAUGGACAUGAUACCCUAAAAACCGAUCUUAAAUUUUAAUUUCUAAAAUGUUAUUAGCUUGUGCAUACUUUCAAAUACUUUUCAUUAGAGUUACCAUAGACUAAUUUUUCCAAUUUUAGAUGAUUCAAGAAACUACUUGGGGGCAAUUCUUAAAUAAACAUGUCCGAACAGUAGUCAUUAACAAGAAAGCAUCCAAGAAAACCAGCAGUUAAUACUUAAAUAAACAUUAUCAAAUGGAGAUGUAAAGAAGAAAGAAUCCUACUGCAAAGCUAGAUAGCAGGAGAAUCACUAGAAUGAAGAGAAAUACUAUUGGCACUAUACCUGGAUUAACCAAACAGUAGUCUCACUAUAAAUUUCAUUGUUAAUAAACCAACUUGCCAACUGGUCCCAUUCACUUUGUUUCCUUCCGUAUAUGGACACCCUGUACUCUGCCAUCUUGAAAAUAUAUAUAUUAUUCAGUGUAGUCAGAGGCGCAAGGAGCACUCUAGGUGCUAGAAUCCUUUUAUUAUAUAAGGCACAUGGCGCACAAAAAAAAAAAAAAACACUUGCUUGUGUUAAGGCACAUGUAUGCGUGUUUUGGUAUGUCCAUGUCUGUAUAUAUAUAAGCCGAAGAUAUAUAAUUACAAUAAUAAACUAUAAAAGUGCUCCAGUUUGAAGUACAGAACAUGCCAAAUUUUCUUUCUUUUGUCAACCAUAUGCAUAUUUCCAUAUGAUCCCAUGCCUGGUGUUGAAUACUCAAAUAUUGAGAAGUAGAGAGUUCGAUAUUAUCCCUUUGUUACAAUUAAGAAACAAUUAAAGAGAUAGUAAAGAGAACUUCAAUUAGAAGGCCUUUUCCCCCUACAUGCACCAGGCAGGCGCUUAGCCUGAAAAGGUCAAAGGCCCUUUUACUGUCUGGUGAAAAGGCAAAAAACAUUGGACAAAGUUGGUGGGAGGAUGGAAUACUAAAAAGAGCCCAAUGUUGUCACUUUUCUAAAGUAAGCUCAUAUGCUUUUUUUGUACCCAAACAAUAUCUCACCCUUUAAUUUGUACCUAAAGAAAUUAUUUCUAAUAGAAAGUUUACUUUUGUUAUGAUCAAUGCUGGAGGCCAAAACUGAUUUGGGCUAAGGAAUUGGUGGUGAGAGUUGGGAGGCAAGAAGAAAGAAAGUCCUUGAGUGUUAUAUUUUUCAAAAAAUACAAAUUGUUCAUUUUUUUACCACAUCAUCAUGCCAGGUCAGCUUCCAUGUGGAUAAAGAAAAUUUUGGCGGCAUUGAAACAGAGGCUCACUUAGGAAAAAGAAGGAUACUUCAUGGGCUUUUAGUAAUUUAGCCCUUGGAAGGAAUAUGACCAUCCAAAAAAAGGCAGUUGAUGCUUUAAGGUCAAUUAGCCGAAACAAUAACAACAAUUCCUAGGCUUCAAUAAAAUAAUUUAGACAACAAAUAAAGCUUAAAGGUUGAGUUUUGCACUGCAGCAGCAUUGGGUUUUACAAGGUGAAAACCCACAUUGCAAACCAAUAUCAAAGUUUCAGAUCUAUCAUAAUUUAAAAUUCUAACUAAACCAAACGCCAAGAAUGCUGAAUGCCUAAACAAAAAACAUAAGAUUAACCCAAGGACCUAAUUGGGUAUGCUAAAAUUUGUCUUGGAAUGAAAUUAAUAAUAUCCUUACUAUUUCACUUUUUUUUUCUCUUCAUAUGUUUGGUGUGAGCAUGAUACAGAUUAGACUGAUUUUAAAGUAAAAGUAAAACGAUACCAAACCUAAACAUUCUGGUUUUUUUUAAUUUUUUAUCAGAGCCCUGUUUGAUGCAUUUUUAGUUUUGUUUUCUAAUAACAAAUGGAAAGUUAAUUAAAAAAAAAACUCUAAUCCAAUGAGUUCUUUUAUAGAUACAAGAUAAGUCCUGCAAAGUUUUUGUUUUUUAGAAAUAAAAUUUUAUUUUUGUUUUUUAAUUGAUCUUCAUACCUAUUUUAAUAUCUAAGUUCCGGAUUCCUAACUGCCCUAUCAAUAAUAUAGUAUUCAAGAUUUGAACUUAUAUUUUUCUUUAAAAAUAUAAUGUAUUUUAUUAUUGUAUUCUACAUUCAUUAAUACUUAGUAGAAAUAACCUAAUAAAUUGAAUUUUUUUCAUAUAUUAAUAGAGAUAAGUUCGUGCAAAAUUGUUGGUUGAAAAUUCAUUAGGAAAGGAUGAUUGUAUGAAUGUACCAUCAUCAUAAGUGAGCUCAAUGAUGCUCUGUCAUCUCAAUAUGAAGCCUCCUAUCAAUCACCAGUCUGCAGAAAACAUUUGAAAUCGAAACACCCCGGACAUCUCCGACAAAUCUGCCAUAACAUUAGCAUCUCUUCCAUUUUUCUAAACACAACCUCACGAAUGGAAAUCUUAAGCUCAUCAACGCUCGCAUAAAUGUACCAAUAUUUCCACGGCCUAGAUUUCUCAUUGAUACACCAAGAAAGCUUGACUAUGGAGUCGGAUUCAACCAUAAGCUUUCAGUCUAUAAUCCACUAGGAAUCCAAAAAAAUUUUAAAUGUUAUAUUAUUAUAUAAAAAAUUGAAACAUGACUUCCGUAGGUUUUAAAUCUAAUGUUGACACUAAUCUUGAAUAAGUCAUUCCCCUCCCAUCUUAACUAAUGGCCAAAGAGAUAUCAAAAGUGGGAGAUGGCCAUAAAAUUGUGUAGUUUGGGUUAUAAAAUUUUUGGGCAAACUACAUAUAGAUUGUUAUUUAAUUAUAAUUUUUUUUAAAAAAAUUUAAACACUUAAAGUAAAAAUUUUGUAAUUUAAGCACUCACAUUAAAGUAAAAAUUUUGUAAUUUAAGCACUCACAUUACAUAGUUUAGUUAUUUUGAUGACUCCUUAAAAUAAAAAAUUGCAAAGUGACACGGCAGUUAAAAAAAUUGUAUAAUAACAAAUUUAACCCUCAAAUUUUAUAUAUUAUAUCAAUUACAUAUUACAACUACAUAUUUUAUAAUUAUUGAUAUCGAAUAUGUCCCUCACUACGCUGGGGAUUUUUAUUUUAUUUUUUUAUAAUUUGUUUUUAAUUAAUAUUUAAAAUUAAUUUCAAAAUAUUUGAAAAUUUUAUAAUUAUUUGGUGUUAGUCCCUUCAUUAUACUCAAAUUUAAGAUUAAGCCCCUAUACUUUAAUUUUGACAUAAUUUGGUUCUUUCACUUUUAUAAUCUCAUUAAUUAUUUCAAGUAACUAACACUUUUAACAAUGCCAAAUAAAAUAAUGUCAUAUUUUUUUCUUAAAGCCAUCACUUCUAACUAAAUAAUGACUUAAUCACUUUCUAAUUAAUCAUACUAACGUAGAAUUUUUUUUUUUCGUUGGAAUGAGUAUGUUUAAAGAAAACCCACCUCAACAUUUGUAGAUGUCUUCAACAAUUUCCUAAGCACGAUACAAUAAAGCUUGGUGAUCGUAUAAUUUUGUUUUAUGGAAGCUCCAAAUUAUGUUGAUUCUUGAAUGAUACGGUCUGCAUGGGUUUGUUUUGGGUGCUAUUAGUGUACUAGCACAGUUUGUAGUGGAUAAAUAUGCGAGAUUAGUAGAAAAUUCUGAUUAUGUUUUACAUGUGCAACAAGAUAAGCUAUUGGCUUCUUGGUUACUUUCAACUGUUAGUGAUGAAAUUCUAGCCUAUCUUACUAGUGCUCGUACUAGUUAUUAUAUGUGGGAAAUUACUGGUGCCUGCACCUACAUUACUUACUAGGUUGGGCGGUAUAGUGCAAAGGAAAUAGAUUUCUGGUGUCUGCACCUAAAUUACUUACUAGGUUGGGCGGUAUAGGUUGUGAAAUUGAUAAAGCCAAUAAUUUCAGUUUGAAAUAUAAUGAUUUCUGUUGGGUUGCUCAAAUGCUUUAGCAAGAACACGAGACAGAAAAAUUGUCAAUUAAGCUUUACUAGGAUGAAGGGCGACGAUAAUUGUGUUGGUGAACGGAACUUUUCCCUUACAAAAUCUUAAAUAUUCAAUCUGCGUAUUCUUUUUAGUCCCAAAAAUAACAAUGUCAAUUCGCAUCAGUUCCCUUAUGCUUCAUUUAGUUUCAUUUUUCUCUUCUACUGUAAGAAUAAGUGCAUUUUUUUUCCUUCUUAUGUCCUUAUUUUUGGAAAUUGAGAUUUUCGAUCUCUUUUCUACCGUCUCAAAAAGUUGACAUGGCAGUCACUGUUUAUUUGGCUGGAUGCCCGGGCUUUAAUGGGCUAAAGCCAAAGCUUAUUUCAAGAUUUGUUGCUGUUUGUACCUGAUGGAUUUAUUGUUUCAAUUCAUUUCUUUUUACUUUUCAGAUUUUUUUUUCCACUUUUCUGUUUUAUAGGGCUCUUAAACUGUUUCAUGUUGUCCAUUUAAAGGCGUUUAAGAAUUGCAUUUACAUUCUUCUAUGUUUAUUUUACUUUUACUAGAUAUUGCACGUUGAAUUGUUAAAGCCAUAUGACACUUCAAGGGGACCUGGUUAGUGGUAAUUUAGUUUUGUCUUCUGUGACCUAAUUAAUUGGCCCACUGAUUAAUGGGCGGGAACAUGCUGUGCAGGUAAAAAAUGAGUCUUUGAAUAAACUGAACGAGCUUGAGGAAAUGCGUGAGAGACUAGAGGCAAGGAAAGUAGUUAUGGCAAACAUGUCAACUCGUUGCAAAGUUGCAACAGAGGAUGCUAAAAAACAGGAGGAAAUGCUUAGUACUGAAGUAAGAUCAUUGUUGGUUGCUGGUACCUCUCUUUCUGUAGCAAGGAAGCGAUUACAGGUGAAGCUUUUAUAUUCUAGCUUAAAUUAGCUUUGGAAUUUCAUUUUGAUAUUAUCAUGAAUGCUGAAUUUAUGAUAUAUUUGAAGGUUUCUUCUUAUUCAGCUUUAGAUAUUAUUUAUUCUCCUCUUGGAUCAAUAAGACCUCUCUCUUUGCACCUCCACCCCCUGUGAAGGUGGUUGAGGGGCUUAGAUGAGAUGAUUCUCAUUCUAUGAAUUCCUUUGCAUAGUCAAGGGCUAUCCCCUUCUUGCUCUCCUACUUCUUUGUCUCUUUUUUUAGAUGGUUGGUAGUCUUGCAUGCAUGGCAUGAUUGAUUAUAUGUUGUUUUUAUCACAGGAAGCAAAUAGAUUACUCACUGAAGAAAGGGGUUGUGUUAACUUAAAAAUGUGCAAAAGAAGCUUCGAGCAAGGCAACAAUAUAUGAUAUCACAAGUUUCAUUACUGUAUCCUGUAAAGAUCUUGGUUGGACCUGCACAGAAGCAAGAACUUGAGUCCUACUCUAGCAGUAGUAGAUUAGGUAAUGUGCUAGUAGUUUUGGAUUGCUAAUGCUUUGCAAUAAAGCCAACAUAUGGUCAGUGUCGUCAAGGCAUGCGCCUAGGCAUGCCUACCCCUUAGUUUUAUACAACAAAACGCCUUGUACCCAUCCAGGUGAGGUCCAUUUGAUCAAGCGCAUGCCUGGUGCACCUAGGCACACUUUUUUUGUAAGGCAAUGGGCAUUAGAAAAAGCCUGCCUUGUUGAAUUUCUCAAUAAUUUAUUUUAUUUUUCACUGUUUUCAUUUGAUAUACCUUUACUAAUAAGAAAGGGAUAAUAUCAAACUCUAUAGUUCUCAAUAUUUGAGCAUUCACCUAUAAAAAAAUUGCAAGUUUUGUGGAUAAACCAGACCACACUUUAGAGUUUACUAUAUAUCUUAAACUUUUAUGUUAUAGACACACAGACUUGCAAAAACUCUCACAUAUACGUAUUGCGCUUUACUGCACUCUGGCUAGCGCUUCCUUUUGUGCCUUGCUCUCGAGGCAAUAUAAAGGUUAGCACCUAGAAUGCGCCUUGCGCCCUAGACAACACUGCAUAUGGUUUUAAUUAGCAGCCAGUCUCCUCGUUUUGAAAUCAAUAUGUCUUUCCUGUUUAGUUUGUAGUUUAUUUUUAUAUUCUUAAUUAACAUUUAUCCUCUCACUUAUAUCAUCGAGAACCCAUUGUGAUGCUUGUUAUAUUUCCUCCUACGUUUUCUUUUUUGUUCUUGAGAUUUUGGAUGUUCAAAAUGGUUUGAGGAAAACUUUACCAACAAUAGCAGCUUCUUUCUCUUGAACAAUUCCUUCUUGCAACACGGGGAAUAUCUAUAAAUGGCAUGCCUGGAUAUGCAUAUCCUUUGAUAUCAAAUAUGGUUGGUCCAAUAUGAUGUUUUACUAGGGGAGAAUAAAAUGAGUUAUUUUGGUCAACUGGACAAGUCUUUUAUGAUUCCUAAACAGCUUAAGGAGUACCAUUACCUAUCACUUGACUCUUCUUUUGGUUAUAAUGGUUGUAUUCAGUUAUUCCUCUUUUAGCAAUCUACUAUUCAAUUCUCCUCAUAUCAAAACAAUUUUUUUUUGCUCUUGAAUAUUAUGAACUUUUUACAUAUCUCUUACUUUCAUGAUUAUAUUUUUUUGAAUUUUGUUUUGACUUCCACAAAGAGGUGGUGUCUGGUGAUGUACUGAUACGAAGUUCCUUUGUUCCUGACUUCACUAGGGAAUCCUUCUGCAUCAAAGCCCGUCAAUCAAGGAUCGUUGACGAUUUUAGGUCUGAAUCUCACCUUGCUUCCUUUUACAAAGAUGAGUUUUUUCACUGACAAAAAGGAGGUUCAGAGAUCUGCAACUGCCUUGGGAUAUGUUGCACAUGUGCGUUCUAUUUCUUCUGUGAAGUUAUCAUUUAUUACUGAAUUUGUUUUUUCUGAUAAUAUCAAGCUGUGGAUAUCAAGUUUUUUGACCUACCACCUACAAUCCCUUGUUGCUUGAAGAUGCUGUAGUAAUUUUUAAAUGCUAGGAUGGUAAUAUGGUAUAGUGGGCUGCAUCUUGAUUGUUUAUUUCUCAUGCUGAGGCUAGAAUUUUAAUCAUACCUAUUAUUGUUUCUUGUUUCCUGCCAUUUCAUCAUUUGCAGGCUGUUUCACUAAUUGCAUCCCAUUUACAAGUUCCCUUGCGUUAUCCUCUGCGCUUGGGUUCAAGACACGACAAGAGCAGCAUAUGCUGUGUUCUUGUUAAACAAGGCAAGGUUUUGCAUAGUAGUAAUUCUUUUUCCAAGAUGAAUUAUUCUCCUUUGGCAUUUUUAUGUAUAUUAUUGGAUUCAAAUGGUCUGCAAAGUUAGCUUGUCAAUGCUCUUCAAUCCACAGGUUGGAAAAACAGUGCAUGUUUGUUCGACAGCAUUUACAGCUCAUUUUAUGUCAUUGAUAGUGGAUAAUCUUGCUUCCAUCAUCAUUAAUAUCAUGGUUGAAUUGUUUGGAAGAUAUUGGAUUUACAAUAUCCAGGUUCUUGUGAUAGACACUUGAGACUAUCUAUAAACUUCACCGGCAGAUUAGGUGAAGGAUUAUCAACAAAUUUGAAAAGUGUGUGAAUUCCCACCAUGCAUCUAAAAGGAGGUCCAGCACUCGAAUCUCAUUCCCCAUAACUAAAAACUAUGUCACUGUGACUUGGUCAUAUCUCCAUAUCCAUGUUCGAAUUCGGACAUGGGUAGUUAAAGAAAAAUGAAGAGUUGAUGCAUGAUAGACUAGUUCAAAAGUGCUUUUAGAAAAAAGUGCUGUUGAAAUGUGGUGCGGAAAAGUGUGUUUGUUAAUUUUUAGUGUUGUUCAUUGCUGUCAAAAGACGCGGUUGAAAGGUAAAAUGUCUUUUUUAGACAUGAUAGUAGAAAGUAAAAAAUUAGUCAAAUUAUAUGAUAUUUAAAUAAUUUAAUAUAAUGAUACAUGAAAUAUAACUUUUAAAUACCUUUUAAGUAAUUAAUAUAAAUUAUUUGUAAAAUUGAUUAUAUAUAAAAUAUUUUGAAAAAAAUUAAAUAUAAUAAUAAAUAAGAUUUAAACAAUUUAAUAUAAUAAAAUAUAAAAUAUAAAUUAAUCUAAUUUUUAUUUACCUUUUAAAUAGUUAAUGAAAAUAAGAGUAUUUUGACAAUUUUCACUUCCAAAUGACAAAAGCCAAAAGCAGUAGGUUUUUGACUACAAAAGCUAUGUGUUCUUCAUCACUUCUGGAGUGGAAAAACACUUCUGCAGUGUAAAAACACUUUUAAUAAUUCAAAAAGGCUUUUUCACCACAGUAGAGAAUGCACCAUAAAAUUGUAAAUAGAAAAAGGAAGGACCAAACAUUUUUUCUACCCUGUUUUUGUCUCCUCUUUGAAAAUACUUUCCAAAAAGUUUUAUCUUUUUUUUUUUCUGUUUACAAUGCCUUGAAUGCAAAUUCCUUAUAGAAGUGCUUUCUUUUGAUCCACUUGCAUCAUUGUAAGAAGUCUGCAUUGCCUUCUAACUUUCUUUGUUGAUUAUCUUUUAUUAAGUUUUCUGUUGGAUCUUAUAGUCAAAUUCCUUUACAUCAUGUAUGUUAAUUUGCUUAGCCCUGAUAAAUGUUAGUGUUGUGCGGAAGCGUGUAAAAGAGUAAAAUUAUUGUACUAAAAAAUCACACUAAGUUCAAUUCCCAGGAAAGAGAGGUGGAUCACAAAGAUCGCUUAAGUACCAGGUCUUUCCUAGCCAGAAUAUCCCUCAAUCGUAAUUUAAUAGCACAAUAAAUCACUACAAUCACACACACAAUUCAUGCAGAAUAAUACAAUAAAGAACACAAGAAUUUAACGAGGUUCAGCAAAUUUUGCCUACGUCCUCGGGCACUACCAAAUAUAUUUCACUCCAAAAUACAAGUGAGAAUUUACAAAGAGAGAGAGAGAAAACAAUGCCUUAAGUAGAGAAUGGCAAGUUUGAGAUACAGAAUGAGAGAUGGUCAUGCUUAUUUAUAAUUGAGGUUCAGGGAUCAACUUGCAAGGUCACUUUACAAUUAGGGACCAUAAAUUGCAAAUAUCUCAGAUUUUAUUAUGCCAAUAUCUCGAUACCCAUAUCUUUGACUUUCCAAUAUUUGAUACCCAUAUCUUUGACUUUCUAUUAUUUGAUACCCAUAUAUUUGAUUUUCCAUAAAUAUGGAUAAUUCCCAAUAAUCUCCACCUUAAAGAUUUGAUUCGAGUAAUCUUAUCUUCACACAAUUCUCUCUGCCUUUGUCAACAACACUUGAUAGUGCCUUCUUCAACUGUUAAACAUGCAGAAUAUUGAUCAAGUUCAAACAAUGUUCGAACUUGAUUGUUGUUACCACCUUGGUCAUCAUAUCUGCGGGAUUAUCUACAGUCUUAAUCUUCUAAAGGUGAAUUUUCCCCUCAUCAAUAAUUUUCCGCACAAAAUGGAAACGUACGUCGAUAUGCUUUGAACGUGCAUGAUAGACUUGAUUCUUUGCUAAAUGAAUAGCACUUUGACUAUCACAAUACACAUUAAUAUGCUCCUGAACCAAUCCCAAGGUUUUAACCAUACCUUGUAACCAAAUAGCUUCCUUUACAGCCUCUGUUACAGCCAUGUAUUCAGCUUCUGUGAUUGACAACGCAACUGUAGACUGCAGUGUAGACUUCCAACUUAUUGGUCCUCCAGCAAGAGUAAACACAUAACCAGUGGUUGAUCUUCGUUUGUCCAAAUCACCGGCAUAAUCAGAAUCAACGUACCCAACAACACAUUUACCAAGUAUAGUAUCCUGCUUGAACAAUAAUCCAAUAUCCAUGGUCUUAUGAAUAUACCGUAGAAUCCAUUUCACAGCUUGCCAAUGUCCUUUUCCAGGAUUAUGCAUAUACCUGCUCACUAUACUAACUGCCUGUGAAAUGUCGGGUCUUGUACACACCAUUGCAUACAUCAAGCUACCUACUUCAUUAGAAUACGAAACUUGUAACAUGUAUUCUUUUUCCGUAUUUGUCGAAGGAGAUAGUUGUGCAGAAAGCUUGAAAUGAGAAGCCAACGAAGUACUUACAGCUUUAGUCUGCUCGUUCAUGCCAAACUUCUGUAGUAUCUUCUUUAAAUAUUGCUUCUGAGACAAACUAACUCUGCCAUGAGCUCUAUCCCUACAUAUUUCCAUGCCAAGGAUCUUCUUAGCUUCACCUAGAUCUUUCAUCUCAAACUCAAGGUUGAGUUGAGUCUUCAAUCUCUCAAUGUCAACUUUACUCUUAAAUGCUAUCAACAUAUCAUCAACAUAUAAGAGCAAGUAUACGAAAAAUCCUUCUUGUAGCUUCUGAAAAUACACGCAAUGAUCAAAUUUACUUCUUGUAUACCUUUGCCCUUUCAUGAACUGAUCAAAUCGCUUGUACCACUGCCUCGGAGAUUGUUUCAAUCCAUAAAGCAACUUUGUUAGUUUGCAAACCCAAUUUUCUUUAUCAGCAACCUUGAAUCCAUCUGGCUGAGUCAUAUAGAUUUCCUCUUCCAAAUCACCGUGUAAAAAUGUGGUCUUCACAUCGAGCUGAACUAGUUCAAGAUCAUAUUGCACAACCAAGGCUAGCAAAAUCCGAAUAGACGAAUGCUUCACAACUGGAGAAAAUACUUCAUUGUAGUCUAUUCUUUCUUUCUGAGCGUAACCCUUUGCUACCAAUCUAGCCUUGUAUCGAACUUCAUUUUUAUCAGGAAAUCCUUCCUUUUUUGCAUAUACCCAUUUGCAUCCAAUUGCCUUCUUUCCUUUAGGUAGUGUCACCAACUCCCAAGUUCUAUUUUUAUGAAGAGACUGCAUUUCUUCAUUCAUAGCUUGCUUCCACUUUACACCAUCAGAGUUACUUCUUGCUUCUAUGUAAGUAGAAGGAACAUCAUCAUCUGUAAUUGGAAGUGCAUAGGCCACCAUAUCAUCAAAGCGAGCAGGCAUACGGAUCUCUCUUCUUGGCCUUCUAUAUGCAAUUGAAUCAUGUUGCUGUAGAAGUUCUUGGGUCGAAACUUCUUCAUCAUUUGUUCCUUCAAUAUUAGCUGGAUCAUCAUUAACCUUUUCAAGCUCCACCUGUUGCAAAGUGCCAUUGGUUGUGUAUCCUUUUGUGAAUCAUUGUUCUUCAUCAUGGUUGAUUCAUCAAAAGUCACAUCUCUACUGAAAAUUAUUUUCCUUGUAUCAGGACACCAGAGACGGUAUCCUUUUACUCCACCAGUUAUACCCAUGAAUAAUGCUUUCUUUGCUCUUGGGUCUAACUUAGAUUCUUUUACAUGAUAAUAUGCAGUGGAACCAAAAUCAUGUAAAGAAUCAUAAUUAGUAGCAGGUUUACCAGCCCACCUCUCCAUAGGAGUUUUUCCAUUUAUUGCAGCUGAUGGCAACCGAUUAAUUAGAUGGCACGCAUAUGUAACUGCCUCAGCCCAAAAUUAUUUGCCCAAUCCAGCAUUGGACAACAUACAUCGAACUUUCUUCAGUAUAGUCCGAUUCAUACGUUCUGCCACCCCAUUCUGUUGUGGUGUAUCUCGAACAGUGAAGUGUCGUACAAUACCUUCAUCGUGACAUACAGAUCAUUCUUGUACUCAAUACCAUUGUCUGAUCGAAGUCGUUUGACUUUUCGACCAGUCUGGGUCUCCACCAUCUUCUUCCAUUUCAGAAAUACAUCCAAAACUUUAUUUUUCCUUUUCAUUAGAUACACCCAUACUUUUCUUGAAUAAUCAUCAACAAAAGUAACAAAAUAGUGCAUACCUCCCAAAGAAGCCACUUUAGUAGGUCCCCACACAUCACUAUGAACGUAGUCCAGAAUUUCUUUUGUAUUGUGAAUUGCUGAACCAAAUUUUAUCCUCGUCUGCUUGCCCAGAACACAAUGUUCACAGAAUUCCAAUUUGCAAGAAUUUGCACCUUUCAACAAGCCUUGCUUUGCCAAACUCUGCAAAGCUUUUUCACCAGCAUGUCCCAAUCGCAUAUGCCAUAACCUGGUAGCCUCUGAAUCUGCAUCUUUCGUAGAAGCUGUUGAUGUUGAUCCAAUAACUAUACUUCCAUUUAAAUAAUACAGAUUAUUCCUUCUUGUGCCUUUCAUCACCGUCAAUACCCCAGCUACUACCUUUAGUAAUCCAUCUCUCAAAGUGAUUGUGAGCCCUUUAGAUUCUAGGACCCCUAAUGAGAUAAGAUUUUUCUUCAAGCUAGGUAUGUAGCGAACAUCUGUCAAGACUUGAAUUGAGCCGUCGUGAUUCUUCAAUUGGAUUGUACCUACUCCCAUUGUCUUACAAGCGCUAUCAUUGCCCAUAAAAACAACUCCACCUUCUAGUUCUUUAAGACUAGAAAACCAGUCCUUAUUAGGACACAUAUGGUAUGUACAUCCCGAAUCCAAAAUCCACUCAUCUGUAUGACAUGCCAUUGCCAUGCCAACCAAGCUAAAGUCUGACUCCUCAUCAUGCUCCGCUACACAUGCAUCAGAAAUAGCUUUACCCUUUUGUAACUUAGGACAAUUCUUUUUCCAAUGCCCUUUCUCACGACAAAAAGCACAUUCAUCUUUGGCAGGUCUCCCUUUGGACUUACUCCUUCUACCAGAUUUGUUGCUGCGCGAACGACCUCUUACUGUUAAGACUUCUGUAGUUGUAUCUCUGUGGUCUUUUUUAUCUUUCUUUCGAGUCUCAGAUCUAUACAACGCACUACAGACUGCAUCAAAUGUGAUUGUAUCCUUCCCAUGAAGCAAUGUGGUGGUAAGAUGAUCAUAUUCAUCAGGAAGAGAAUUCAACAACAGUAAUGCCUUGUCUUCAUCUUCAAAUUUCUCAUCCAAAUUUAGCAAGUCUGCUAAAAUUUUAUUGAAUGAGUUCACAUGGUCAUUCAUCGGCAUACCGGGUGCAUACGUGAAUCGAUAAAGUUUUUUUUCAUAUAAAGCCUAUUUUCAAGACUUUUUGUUAGAAACUUUUCUUCCAGUGUAUCCCACAACUUCUUCGCUGAUGUCUCCCUCAUGACAGAGUACUUCUGCUAUUUGGCCAAACAUAGGCGAAUUUUUCCACAUGCCUGUCUAUUGAUCUUGGCCCACUCCUUGUCAUCCAUCUUCUCAGGUUUUUCUUCAAGGGCUAUAUCCAGCUCUUGCUGACAUAAGACAUCCAGGAUCUCACAUUGCCACAUAUCAAAAUUAUUGGUACCAUCAAAUUUCUCUACUUCAAAUUUCGCAUUGGUCACAGUAGUCUUUGUUGAUGACGAUGCCUUUUCCAUUUUUUCUCCUCAAUCCCAACUACAGUACGUGAACAGUACUGUGAACGAUCGUAUUCCCCAAGUACGAAUCUAGCUCUGAUACCAAUUGUUGUGCGGAAGCGUGUAAAAGAGUAAAAUUAUUGUACUAAAAAAUCACACUAAGUUCAAUUCCCAGGAAAGAGAGGUGGAUCACAAGGAUCGCUUAAGUACCAGGUCUUUCCUAGCCAGAAUAUCCCUCAAUCAUAAUUUAAUAGCACAAUAAAUCACUACAAUCACACACACAAUUCAUGCAGAAUAAUACAAUAAAGAACACAAGAAUUUAACGAGGUUCAGCAAAUUUUGCCUACGUCCUCAGGCACUACCAAAUAUAUUUCACUCCAAAAUACAAGUGAGAAUUUACAAAGAGAGAGAGAAAACAAUGCCUUAAGUAGAGAAUGGCAAGUUUGAGAUACAGAAUGAGAGAUGGUCAUGAUUAUUUAUAGUUGAGGUUCAGGGAUCAACUUGCAAAGUCACUUUACAAUUAGGGACCAUAUAUUACAAAUAUCUCAGAUUUUAUUAUGCCAAUAUCUCGAUAUCCAUAUCUUUGACUUUCUAAUAUUUGAUACCCAUAUCUUUGACUUUCCAAUAUUUGAUACCCAUAUCUUUGACUUUCUAUUAUUUGAUACCCAUAUCUUUGAUUUUCCAUAAAUAUGGAUAAUUCCCAAUAGUUAGAUAUAGGGUUGUCAGCUAAUUAGGAAAGACUGUGAUGAUAGUCACACCUUACAUCCAAACGCAAAGCUUUUUACAUGUGUAUGUAAGGUUGCUAAGCAAAUCUGAUGAGCCUUCACUGAUGUUUUAAGGUUAAGUUAAUGUUCCUUUUCUGCAAAGAACAUUAUCGAGAUCACAGUAUUUUGAUCGCCUUUUGCUUGUUAUGUUAUUCGUUCUGAAAUGAUUGUCUAAUCUUUACCGCGAUUGCAGGAUAUAGAGUAAUUUUUGAAUUUCAUCGGUGUAAAGAGUUUAGGACCUCGACAAGUUCUUGCAAAUUUGAAGGAGCUUCUAAGGUCUGUCCAGUCUUCAGAAUAUAUAGAUACCUGAAUUAAUUUUGAUUUUGUAGGAUCAACUAUAAUUUUGACCUUCUUCACACACGGCACGUGCGGAUUUUUUACCAAUCCCAUUUCAUUAAAGAAAAAAAAAGAGCUUUAAAAAAGGAUCACACUUUUUUGUUGUUUACAGAAUCAUAAUGUUAAUUAGAGUGGAAUAUUUCAAAUUUCUGAUGAUGAGAAUAUUCUUGAGUAUUGCAGUAAAAAAUUGGGUGUGGAACUUAUUUGAAACUUUGAAUGUAUGUUUUGUUGGUGAGAAUAUAAAGUUGAUAAAGAUUUGAUAAAAAGAAUAAAAUACUAUUUUUUAUUACAAAAUUAUUUGGUACCCUGCCAAUCGAGUUAUAAUUAUCAUGACACAAUAUUAAAGGUAAUUAAAACAUGUCAUAUUACAAAUAAUAAAAUUAUAACGACUCAAAUAUACGAACAUGCCAAAAUUUAUGUACAACGAAUUAUUAACAUGUAAAUGUAUAAUACGGUACAAAAAAUAAAAUAAUUUCUUUUUUUUGUAAUUGAAUUGUUAUAACACAUUAUACAAAAUACAUUGUGAAUUAAAGCAUAAUAUGAACAUGAUAUCAAUAUAUCAAAUUUUUUAAAAAUUCGAUCAUACGAAUAAUUAUGUAAAAUAUAACAUGAUACAAAAUGACUUGAGAGGAAAAGAGGAAUGUAGACUUGCAUUGUUUGUGAGGUUUUAAAAUAUUCCAGUUUUAGAUUCAAUUUUCUAGUAUUUUUGGUUUAAUUUUACAUUAGAUUUUCUUUUCAGUAUGCACUAGUAAACGCUUGGUAGUCACUUUAAUUUAAUUUAAAGAGAUAUUGCAUAUACAUAAUAAAUUUCAUAGAAGAAAAAAGAAAUAGAUGGUUGAAAAUGAUAAAAUCGUAAGAUAAAAGAGCUUUUAUUCAAAAUGCAAAAAUGAACAAAAUAUUCAUUAUCGCUCAACUUAGCAUAAUUAAACAUUUAGGUGUGGAAAUCAAAUCACAAUUUGAGUAGCUAAACAUAUCGCUUGAAAAUGUGAUAAGUAAGAAACUUGCCCACAUUUGAGUAGCGACAGGUGGUGAUGCAUUUCCCAACGAGAGAAAACCAAGCUCUUCGCCAGUAUGGAUUUAUGUAGAGGACAACAAAAAUUGUCAACAAAGCAACUACAAAAGAAACCAAAAAGCUCACACAAAAAUCAUAAGUACCUAUCAAACCAUCUUCUCCUUUAUCUUCUGAUACAGUUGAUAUCGUUGAUGGCGAAUCGGUUUUGGAACAACUUUUAUGCAAUAUAGCUCCACAAAGAAAAGGAUUUCCCUCAUAACUGUUUUCAAUAAAGGUCCCAAAUUGAGCUUUUUCAGGAAUACUACCUGACAAGUUGUUGUAUGCCACGCUGAAAACCUCCAAAGAGUUCAACUCUACCAACUGAUUGGGGAUUUCACCACUCAAAUUGUUGUAAGAAAGGUCCAAACUCUCAAUUUGAUGAAGUUUUGCGAAUGAUGAGGGUAUAACUCCUGUCAACUUAUUGUGCGACAAGUUUAAAGAAUAGAUUUCACUUAAGUUCCCUAAUUCUGGUGGGAUAUGACCAGUUAAGUUGUUGCAAGAUAAAUCAAUCCCAGUCAUAUCUGCAAGGAUGUCGCCCUCGUACGAUAAGAACCCACUUUUUGUUGUGAACUCUAUUACUUCUUCUAUGUAGCUGGAAGGAUUGGAAUAAUCUACCAAUGUUUUCGUGAAUCCGUCCCCUGUUAAACUUAGAGCAGUUCUCCCAUUAGUUAGAGUCUUAUUUGUUUCCAUUGGAAGGGUUAAAUUUCCCAAACAAGAAGGGAUAAUACCAGAAAACAUAUUUUGAGAAAGAUCUAUGAUGCUUAAAGAAUCCAACUUGCAUAACUGAACUGGAACUUCACCAUAAAAAUGAUUAUCUUUCAAGAUAAGAAUACUCAAUGAAGAAAGUGUGCCAAUCCAUUUUGGAAUACUACCAGUCAAAUUGUUUCCUCUAAGAUCUAACGUAACCAGUGAAGAGAUAUUAUAGAAAGCGAUUGGUAGUGGGCCACUUAGUCUACUCCCGUGCAGGUGGACAUGCUUUAUGUUUAGGGUAUUAAAGCAGGACGGUAUAGAGCCAAAUAAAUUGUUUUCAGAGAGAUCCAAAAAUUCCAAGCGAUCCAAAUUGCAAAAUUCCAUUGGAAUAGAACCCUCGAAACCAUUGUUGGACAAAGCUAAUCUUUCCAAAAACGAUGCAUUCCCUAUCCAUCUUGGGAGCUUUCCAUGCAACUUGUUGUUACUAAGAUCAAUUUCCCUCAGUGAAUUUAGAAACUCAAAAGCAGACACAUCAACAUUAGUCAUCUCUCCUGAAAAGUUAUUUCCAUCCAAAUAUAAAUUCAGCUGCCCAUUUGCGUUAAGAAUCGCAGGAACUACAUUUCCACUGAGGUUGUUAUUUGAUAGUCUCAAAAUGGUCAGUGAGCCUUUCGCAAUCAACUCUUCUGGUACUUUUCCAUACAAUUGAUUGUUUGAUAGAUCUAAAAGUGAUAAAUCCUUCAUGCCACUUAAACAAAGUGGGAUAUUACCUUCAAAAGCAUUCUUGGAUAAGAAUAAUUGAGUCAAAUGUGGAAAAGUUGAACAUAUACCAGUCGGAAUUUGACCUUGUACUUUGUUUUGGGAUAUGUCAAUUAAAGAAAUAUUAGAGUUAGGAGCUGACGGUAAUGAGAGAGGACCAGUAAAGGAAUUACCCUUCAAGAUGAGAAUUUCUAACUUUGUGUUGUUUUCUAACAACCAAGUUGGGACUGUUCCGCUGAAAUUGUUAUGAGAAAGAUCCACAUAUCUCAAGUCAUAUUGGUAGUAAAGGAAGGUAGGAAGUUCAAGAUUGGGUUGUUGAGAUGUUAUGCACUUUGGCAAACUAAUGACUUCCAAUUGGAACUUUGGGAUUGAGGUAUAAAAGGAAGGUUCCGUUACCAUCUUGUUUUCAUUACUCAAGAGGGCUUUGAGGUUUGAAAGGUUUGCAAAUGGUGCGAAUGACAACGGAAUUUGAAAAUGGUUUCUUGAAAUAUCUAACUCACGAAGAGAUGUCAAGUUACUGAAACAAUGAGGAAGCAUCCCCUCAAGUGCAUUCCCACUCACAUCCAACACUUCAAGGUUCCUUAGAUCACACCAUCCUGAAAAAUUUAUAAAUUCAUUGAAGAAAUUUUAAUUAAAUUUGAUCCUAUUAAACAGAAUAGGAGAUAUUAUAUCCCAAAAGGCUCAUAAAGAAGUCAAUUUGACCCAUAAAUUUAUUUACCAUGAUUAGGUAAGGGACCGAUAAGUCCACAAUCAUAUAACGACAGAGUUUUAAGAGAACUGAGUACUCCAAUGCCUUGCAAAAUGUUGGUGUUGAGAGUAGAAUGGUCAAGAUAUAAUUCCUCCACAUUGCUCGACACAUUUAAUUCUAAAGGAUGAGAAGAGGUAUUAGAUGUUAAUCAAACGUAAUCUGUUUUGGAAAAGAAAAUCAUGUUCAGAUAAUGGUAUUGUAGAUAAAAGGUUUUAACUGAUGAGAAAGCCUCCACUAAAUUUUGUAAUGGAAUGCUUCCAUCGGUGAAAACUGAUGAAGAUAAAGAACUUUCAAAUUUCUCAAUCCCUUAUUUUCUGUAAGUGAAAGAAAUAUAUAAAUAUUUGUUUUCAUGAAUAAGAUAAAAGUUUAAUAGAGAAUGUCCAAAUCUUAACAUAACUAUUCAUUCAUUUUAUUAAUUAAUAAACUAAUCCUUUUUUAGCAUUCUAAGAUAAAAUAUAAUUUCAAAAUAAUUUGAUCUAGAUUUAAAUAGAUGAGCAUAUUCUUUUAAAAUCUCAAAUAUGUUUGAAAUCAAUUUAACAUUUAACCUUAAUGUUAGUAUUUGGUACUGGUAAUGGAGUUUUUUAACUCUACAAGUGAAGUUAAAAAAUGGCCACUAACCUAUUUCUUUUAAAUAUUUAUUUUUUAAUAUUUUACUAUACCAUAUAAGAUAUUUGUUAUUAUCUCAAUCCUACUUAUGAAGUUUAGAAUUGUUACUAUACCAUAUAAGAUAUUUGUUACUAUACCAUAUAACAUUAUUAUAUUCUUGUUAAAAAAGGGAAGUUUAAUUAAAUGAUACCAAAUCUUUCAAUUCAUUAUAGCUCAUAUCUAGUUCCCUUAAGUUGAUAAAUGUAUCCAAAUCUAGGAAAACAAAAACAACAAAUCAACUUCAUUAUAUUCUCUUAAAACAUUAUUAUAUUCUUGUUAAAAAUCUAAUAUUUUUACCUUUCAUAUCUAUUGAUCCUUUCAAUUGAUUGUCCCCUAUGCUCAAAUAUUUCAAAUUUGAAAGCUUGUUAAGGGACGCAAAUACACUAGUAUUGAAGAGAUUUCCAUCUAAAUUAAGCUCUUCCAAGUGGGUCAACUCCAAUUUUCUACCACCAUCUACAAAAGAUUUAUAUAAUUUCAUCACUGAAAUGAAUUGGCAUAAAAUUAAAUUAUCUGGAAGAAUUUAGGUAAUUGGUUAAAUAUAAAUGCAUACCUUUAAAGGAUUGAAAGCUUUCAAUUUGAUUCCAACUUAAAUCGAGUUUCUUCAAAUAGAUAUUUUACUCACCAAUACUUUAUUAAAAAAAAUCAAAUAGAUAUUUUACUCACCAAUAAAUAAAAUUCAAAAGAAUUAUAAGUAAACUCAGCGGAUUAAAUGAAAAUUUUAAAGCACUAAAUAUUGGCCCAAAAACAAAGUUAAGUUAAAAUAUGUUAUAUCUCCCUUUUACUCUUUACAAACGUGAAAUUUUAAAAUUCAAGUCUAAUUAUUAAUACUGUUAAAAUUAUUUUAUUAAAUCCAUGUUCAUUAUGUCAUUUUCUAGUUACAUUGCUACCAAAUUUUUUUUUAUUUCAAAAUGUUACACCAACAAAUUAUUUUAAAAAAUUAACAAUUUAAAUAACUAGGUACCAAGCCUAGAAGACCAUCCUCAAACUCCACUAUACAAAUAAAAACUAACACUAGACCAAACUUAAUUUACCUCUUAGAUGACCUGAUCCUUCAAAUUUGUUGUCUGAUAGAUCUAAAUACCGGAGAGAUGAAAGCUCACUUAAAGAUAACAAAAUGCUGUCAUUCAAGUAGUUUUCACUUAAGUCAAGGAUCUCCAAAUUACUCAAUGUGGAUGAUAGUUUUCCAAAGCCUAUAGAAAUAUUCUUUUAAAUAUAUACAAGUUAGUGACUUUUCUUCCAUAAACUAAAAUAAAAUAUAAGUAAUUGCAAAUUAACGAUGGUGAGAGUAGUGGAAUAAUAAAAGAUGUAAUUAAGGAAAAACUAGAGGCACGACCUUCAUUUUCAAGGUUACCACUUAUGCCAUUCCCCGACAAAUAAAGACUCUUCAAUUCCUCAAAGGGAAGAAACAUAGAGGUAUUGAGAUACCAGGCAUUGAGAUUCCUAUAAUCCGUGUUGUAUCGCAUACUGUCUUCCCAUUUUGUAUAAUUAAGGGAGAGUUGAAUGAGUCUCCUAGUGGUGGUGUUAC